rnacentral:lncRNA from 1 species
UGAUCACCUACCGGAUUCAUUCAGCAAUCUAAAGCAACUGACAACACUUAGGAUGAUGGACAUUAAGGGAGGGUUGACAAAAUUACCUAGUGCGAUCUGGUUUGUUCAGUUUGUGGCUUAUUCUUUUUCGUCCCACGAUAAUGAGCUGUACUGUUUGAAAAUGCCAGACUUGUCAUGGACCCAAAUAUUUGGAUUACCCACCGUGGCGAGUCUCGUCUCUAAUAUCCGUGAACUUCGGAUGGACGCGUGGUAUAGCAGACGGCCCAACUUUUACACCCUUGAACUUGAUAAGCCGGAGAAUGUCAAUUUUUAUCGCGAGUCCCUCGAGCGUAGCAAAUCUCAGAGGGAAAAACAAAUAUUGGCCUCCCCAAACAUGCGGUUCCUCCUUCAGCUCCCGUCUAGUUUAAGAGACUCAGUAUUUCGAGAAGUGCGGAAUCUGGGUUUCUGUCGUUAUUGGAUGCCGAUAUUCGUUGGUAUAUGUGAUUCGGAGUUGGAGAAACUCCUUCUGCAGGAUUCCACGCUUUCAAGACGGAUUGAACAGUGUUGGCUGAGAAACAGGAAAUUCCCGUCCAGAUACCGUCGGAGGAUUCGUCGACAGCGGCAUCAGCCCACAAAAGCACUUGAGCCGUCGCAUAUUAAGAAUCUGCAAGAGGUUGAUCUGUUCGAAUGCGAGCUACUAGUCGAGAUUCGCGGCCUCGAAGAAUUGGGAUACCUUUCAUCCCUUGCGGUCGCAUAUUGUAGGUCGAUCGAAAGGAUGCCAGACCUAUCGAAAUCGAGGAAGCUAAGGGAGCUUCGAGUGGGAAAAUGUCCGAAGCUAAGAAGCAUGGAAGGUUUGGAACGCUUGGAAUCUCUAAAGUGUUUGCGGAUUCACGAUUGCAGGUCUUUGGAGAGUCUGGUGGACACCUCGAAUUUGGAUUUAGAAUGUUGCCUGAUUGUCCGUUGCAAGCGGUUGCCCGACUGUCGCAAUUAUUGUAAACGUGGCCGGGAUUGCUAUUGUGAGAUGCUUUUCGAGGGGUUAUGGAAAUCUGACCCGAUGGAAGUCCAGCAAGUAUUACAGGGACACCCGGAUGUUGCGCCAGUAAGGAAUUUAGAACGUGGCUUGGUUGUUGUGCUUGGUGUAGCCAUUUUGUUUGUUUUGUUGUUGUUUUGUUUUUUUGUUCUAUGAAAAAGGCUUUCUCCCGGACAAAUAUUGGUGAUGAAGCUAUGGAAGUGAACGAGGCACGCUCAUAUGAUGCCAAAACAUUGUCCAAUUUUGAUCAGCUCUUGAACAUAGUACUCAGUUCAUUGAUUGCUGUCCAUGAUUUCCAUUCUAUUCCUCCUUUUGUCUUUGUUAUAGAUGAGUUUCAACUCAAACGAGUGUGGUCGAACCCUGUUUUUCUCUCGCUUGUUUUGUUUGAAACGGAGAAACUGAACACAGAACGUGAAAAUCUCGCAGCGAGAGAUGGGGGAAGGGCUAGAGAGAUAGAGAGAGAGGGAGAGAGAGGGUGGUUGGAGUUUCUCUCGGCUUCUUACAAGAGAGAGAGAGAGAGAGGAGGGGGGGAUUUGUCUGCGUUGCGUGGUGACUGUCUGAUAAGAGGGGGGGCGUCGAGUUGUUCGAGGUCAGCGAGGCUGUGGCGGUCGAGUCGCAGACGGUCAAGCACAUAUACUAACACUUUUUAUUCACAAUUGUGGCUUUAUGUUUUAUCCCAUAUGCUGUAGGAGGGUUGGCUUUUAGGAAUUAAGCUUAAAAAGGAGUGCCCUGAGCCCACAUUCUCUUUACUUAUGACUCCCUAUUCUUUCUUGUUACUAACCCUGAUUGAACUGCAGAUGUUCGAAAAAGAUUCUUGACUGUAUUGCACUGCUCGAUCCCCAGGAUUAUCUUGCAAAAUUCCAGUAUAUGAUUCAGUCCUGACACGGGUGCAGAGUUCAUAACAGAGGUACGCACCGUCCAGGGAAUGAAUGGUAUUCAGAACUCUGGUAACUAUAUGGGUCUACCUAUUCUAUGGGGGUAGAUCCAAACAAGAAGCUCUUGGCUUUUUUAAGGAUAGAGUCUUGACAAGGAUGCCUAGCUGAAAAUCUAAAUUGUUGUCACAAGCUGGUAGAGAGUAUAGGUAAAAACAGUGGCUUAUGCUGUACAAACUUACUCCAUGUCUUGUUUCAAGUUUCCAAAGAAGUGGCAUGAAGAAGUGGAUGCAGCUAUAGCCAAUUUUUGGUUGGGAAAGCUUAACCGAAGCAAAGUUAGAAUGAGUCUUUAGUUUAUCACAGUUUGACAGAACCCUCCUUGCUAAGCUUGCUUGAAGAGUCCAAAGCAACCCCUCAGAAUUCUGGGUGCAAAUAUUUCAAGCGCUCUACCCUUUGUAGCUUUGUGGAAGUUAGAAGAGGUGGCAGAAUGUCUUGGGGAUGGAGUAGAGUUUUGGAAGGAGAGAUCUAAUUAAGGAAGGCAUGUUAUAAAAAAUUGCUAAUGGGAAAUCAGUCAAAGUUGGGGAGGAUAGGUUGGUGAAGGAGAGUUGAGACUUGAUGCUGCAUCCUUCAAUCUGACUCAGGGGAUAAAGGAAUUAAGAAUGGAGUCUCUAAUUGAUUCAGAUACUAAGACUUGGAACUUAAACCCCAUUAAAGACAGCAUGUGGUAGGAGGAGCAGUGAUUGGUGUUGAGAAAUCACAUAAGGUUGAGAAGUUCAGAUGACCAAAUGAUUUGGCCCUGGAACAGGAUUGGUUGUUCUUCAGUAAAGUCUCUACCACUUUACCAUGCAGAAAAGAAAGAAACAUCUACUAAAGCCUAGAUCCUCAAGCUCUCAUACUAUUGAUGGUAUAAAUUGGAAGUUAGCACAGGGAGUUGACUCUCCUCAAGACAAGACACUUCCUCUAGCAACUUUGCUUGAAUGUUGUGCCUGCUGCUGCUACAUGUGCAAAAGAAAAAAAUAUAGUUUCUCCUGGCGACGGUGCCCUUAAGAGUUUGUGCCAACAAACUUUCAUCUGACUAAUUUAGUCGUUCUUGACCUUUCAGAUAGCGAUGUUUCAGAGAAAUGGAUUGGCUGGAAUCAAAUCAUAAUAUAGUACGAAUCUUACUCCUUACAUACAUGUAUCAUUACUUGUCGUUUUUUUUUUUCCUGCAAAUAAUUUCUUAGUAUAUAUUUUGUUUUGCAGGUGGCAAGUAAACUAGAAGUACUAGAUCUCAACAAUUGCGAAUACUUAAUGAGAACACCUUAUUUAUCUAUGUCAGCGUCCUUGGAGAGAUUGAAUCUUGAAGGUUUUCACAACUUAAUUGAAAUUGACCCAUCCAUUGGUAAAUUAAAGCUCCUAACUGCUUUGAACCUGAAGGGAUGUGACUCUUUUGAAGAGUUACCUGAAGAGAUAGGAUAUCUACAAGCUUUAACAGAGAUUGUCAUGCCUAAUACACUACAUGAACUUUCGAAGAGAUUUGGUAAUUUGUGGUCACUGUUGACCUUUGAUGUAUCGCAUAAGCAGAUUAGCAAACUGCCAUACUCGAUCGGAGAGCUAGUGAAACUUAGGCGGUUGGAUUUAUCAGGGUGUACAAAGAUAGAGGAACUUCCAGACUCAAGUUUGGAAAGUACAAUCCUUAGUUGAGUUGGAUUUGUCAUUGAUAAUAUUUGUGGACCUUAAAAAGACUUAAAGAUUGACAAGUUUCUUCUGUUAUGUGCAUUGAACAAGAAGCACCACCCUCCAUUUUUUAGUGAUGAAGAAUGGCGUUUCGAUAAAAUAGCCAAAGACGGCACUCUACGCAAGCACAUGACUUGAGAGGAAUCGCCACUGUUGCAGAAAAAAGAAUAAGGGAAGCACAGGCAGUUUGCGACUGCAUUUUGUUACCAAAUUACUGGCAACCAUCUUCACUAGCAGUCAGAUAAGCACCGGGGAUGGUGCUCCUCUGAGGAUCGAACUAGUAGAUGGCAGGACCAAUGAGAGGGUUAUGAGUGGCCCUCUAUCUUCCGUAAAGCUCAAAAUUGUCAUCCUUGAUGGCGAUUUUGGGUCAGACGAGGGAGAGGAUUGGACCGAGAAGGAAUUCAAUUACAAUAUCAUUUGUGAAAGGGAAGGGAGAAGGCCAUUGAUAACCGGGGAGGUGACUGUGAUCUUGCAAGGGGGAAUUGGUUGCCUUCGUAAUUUAAUCAUCACUGACAGCUCGAGCUGGAUGAGAAGUCGAGAAAUGAGCUCGAGCUGUUCAAAAGGUUUCUGCAGAAAUAAGAAUAAGUGAGGUGAGAAGUGAAACUUUCAUUGUUAAAUAUCAUCGAGGAGAGUAUAAGUUUGCAAUGCCUAUCAUUUUACAAUAACAAUUUAAUUCCAAUCAUCAACUCUGUAUGUGGACCAUAGAAAGAUUGAUUGACAAGUUUUCUCUGUUAUGCGCAGUGAACAAGAAGCACUAUCCACAAUCACUGAGCGACGAAGUAUGGCAUUUGCAGAAAAUAGCCAAAGACAGCACUCUGCACAAGUGCAUGACUUCGAGAGGAAUCAACACUGUUUCCUCCAGCUGUACGAAGUGGAUGCGUCUUUCUAAGAAACAAAGUGACUCUUACUCUUCGAGCACUACUAAUUUCCCUUUUUUCCAGUUCACGUUAUUCUAAGCAUUGUUCAAUAUCAAAUCGUGCUACUUCUUUUGUGUGCGAUGUUAUUUCAGGUACUUGGAAAUGGGAUCACCAAGCGGACAUGGGAUAUGAUCGUCAGACACGCCAGCCCCUGUGUGGUCAACGAUGACAACAUGUAUUUCUACCAAGCUUUGAACAAGGCCAGUAUAGUGUUCAAUUCAGUCAUGAAAGUUGCUCAAGCAGCACUCGAUGGCCAAAUUUACCAGUCGGUAGACAUAUUGGCCCACUCUCAGAAGGUACAUGAAUCAUAACCCGAAACAUCUCUAUCUAGUAGCUGAGUGUGAAUCUAUCUGGACCUAUAGAAAGGGCCUGUAUUUAUCGGAUUAGUCUGCUUCCAUGGCAGAAUAUAUACCGCAAGCACUUCUCUUAAAAAAGUACCUGUUUGAUUUUGGACUUGAUUGAACCUGCUGCUCGGUUGACAGAUUUUGUUGCAGAACUUGAAAUGGCUAGCUUACAAUAACAACAAUCAAUGGUGGCGCUCGAUGCCCUGCCCAGCGUCUCUCUUCUGAGAGCCCCAACUAAUUUGCCUACAGAGCCGUCAAUUGGCCUGAGCCUGCCUCUUCAUCAUCUAUUUUACACAGAGCUAAACCAAGGUAUUGUGGUAUUACAUCACUUCCAUCUAUCUUUUCCUUUUUGGCCUCCUUAAUCUUUCACAGUUCAGUGUUCCCAUUUCUUUAUUGGCACAUCCACCUUUUUGCACGUCUAUGGUAGCUGAAACUGAAAUGCAUCAUUAUUCAGAUAGACCAGAAGUGACUCCUGAAUUUAGUUACUCACUGGUUUCAGCAUCGUGCUGCUACAAUGUCACAGAGAUCAGGCAAUUAGGUUGUCUGGGGCCACAGUCAUAUCACUGCAAAAAUCUUUGAUCCGACUGUAAUUCAACGGCUUGGCAAGGGAGGACUUUUUGUCCAGUUUGAGUGCUGGCGAAAGCAGUCAUCUUCCCGGUUACACACGAUCGUUUGCGCCGAACAUCCAUUUGUCUCCUGACGAGCUUUUCCAAGUGCCAUCUUCAAUCCCUGGCAAUUUAAUGUGGCACCGGAGCAUACUUCCAUCAUUGAGUCGAGCAGCAGGGCAGAUUUUGGGAUCUGCCCAUCUCGCACGGGUUAUCGAGUCCAUAAUUCUAGGAUUGCAAGACCCAAGGUGGCAUGGUACAAGAUCUGUGAUGUGAUGAAGUGGGGAUUGGUUUGGCGCGUUGUGGCUGCAAAGAGAAGAGCAAUGUUCAAUUGUGCAAGUUAUCCAGCUGUAUAAAUGGAGAGUCCCAUCCCCCAAAAGAGUUUUCGGUGCUUCAGGAGCGCGAAGCUCUCGCCCACACAAGCCAGUCAUCACAUGCGAAGUAUAAAAAAGAAGGAAAUUCAUGAUACUUGAUGCGAGGAGAAUGUCUUGGGGGUAUGAGAAUGUCUAGUUCUAGGGGUAAGCUGCCCAGGAUGCAUCAGCAACUUAUAUUAUGCAUGAUCACUGCGAUUUUCUCUAUUGUUUUUUUGUUGAUUGUCCUUUCAUAUUUGAAUGAAGUUGUGCACCAUCAAGAUGGGGCUGCCGAUUGGACAUGUCUUCUCCCUAUGGGUCACGCAAGCUGAUCUUAGGAAGUACCUCAAUACAGGGGUUCUUCCUCAAGAAUUGUAAGGCUUUUGCUCUCUUCUUCAAGAAUUGUUUGGCAUUCUGUUUGUCCCAAAUACAUCAUCCCUUGAUUUGUCAGUUUACUGUUCUGAUAUGCUUAGUAGACUUUUCUUUGCUUUACAAAAUUUGUGAGUAUAUUACUUAGUUUGCGAGAUCCAAAGUUUCUCCUGUCAGCUUUGCUCUUUUUGAUCUGAAAUAUUAUAUGGUAACCAUUAGUCACAAAGCCCACAAUCUUGACGGUAUAUAGAAAAGGUUCUUCUAUCGCCAAUGUGGGACCUUGUUUUCCAUGUAACAUUCCACCGAGUUCCUGUAGGCUUGGAUCUAAGACCGCUUCGAGACUAUUCCAGAGAAUAUUUCUGGGCGAGAAAAGAGAUGAAUUUUUCUCUUUCUAAAUUGUGCAGUUUUGCUUUCAUCUGCGAAAAAUUGAAAUGGAAACAAUUCAUCUUCAUCAUUGAAAAUAUGCAAGACGUGCAAAGUUUCCCAUUUGAUCAAUGAAAAGUGCUUAUUUGAUUGUGAUAGUGAGUUCUAACAGAAGAAAUAGGAAGAGAACCAGAAAGGUAUCCUUGGGCAAAAAGUAAGAUCCGAAUAUGAACUCGUAUAGAAAAGAGCAUAUCGGCAAUCUAGGACGUUACACAUGAUGUACCACAUACCUAAAAAUGUCGAUGGUGUUAAGCAUGUUUUAGUUCCUAAAUCUGUCAUAGAUAACAGCACUGAAAAAUGGAAUUCUUCUCUUGUAGGGCAAGGUCUUGGCAAGAAAGAGUAUUGGAUUUAUUUCUGCUACGGUGAAUAUGCUGUGGGGACAAGAGGAGAUUGAGAACGGAAUGUUCCUUAUGAACUUUUCCUCUUCCAGAACAUUGCGCACUAUCUUCUUGUGCUAAGAAAAUGGAAGCUUGAACUGCAAAGUUAGGAGGUCUCUGAUGUGAAAACUGUUGUCUAGGCUAAGCUACAGAGCGUUCCUCUGUAUCUUCUGACAUUGAAGGGAGGUCUUGACGGCUUUUUCAAGGGUGAGAAAGGACUAAGGCAGGUCGAUCCUUUAUUGCAUUUUUUGUUAUGGUGAUGGAGGUUUUUCCAGAACUGUUCAAUAAUUCUGCAUGUCAUGGCAAAUUAAAAUACCGUUCUCAGUGCUCUAAGGGGAAACUUGCUGACGAUUUGAUGAUAUUUUCCAAAGGGGAUAUGGAUUCUUGAAUGAAACUAUUGGCCUUGCUUCAGAGACUUAAGCACACGUCAGGUCUUAGUAUUAAUCCCCUUAAGACGGAGAUAUAUAUAUAUAUAUCUAGCUGGUAUUAAGCGGCAGCUAGUGGAUGAUAUACAUCUCUUGGUGGCUUUAAAAAGGGCCAAUUGCCAGUUAGUACCUUGGCCUUCCUCUGAUUUUGGGAACGUGAGUGAUGACAGUGUAAAACUUUGCUGGACAAGAUUACUCUUCGAAUGAGGUCUUGGACAAUUAGGCAUCUCUGUCUCGCUGAAAGAUUGCAACUCAUUUAGGAAGUAGCAGCUUGGUGAAUUUUUGGAGUCAAAUUUUUUUGUUGCCAAAAAAGUUAUCAAUAUGAUGGAAAGCAAGUGUAACCCUUUUGGAAGGGAGAAUCUAAAAACGCUCGAGGUUCAAAAGUUGCUUGGAUGAUGCAUGUCACCCCAGGUUUAAGGGUGGUUCAGGAUUGAGGAAACUAGGGCCUUGAAAUCUUGCUUGUCUAUUGAAGAACUCAAGGAGAUUUUGUUGCAGGUUGGAUCCAUUCGGGUGGCCUGGCUUAGCCGUUUCUUGCUUAAAGGGCAGUCUAUUUGGGCAGUGAAUCCAACUGGCGAGAGCAGCUAUGCUUGGAGAAAGUCUACUUGAAGCAAUGUAAAUUAGUAUAUAAUAUAUAGUUUCAUUUAAAAUUAAUAUUUGAAAAUUUGAUGGAGAAACGCGAACUCAAUUGUAAUUUGCAUUGCAAAGCAUGGCUUACGUUGUCACUUUUCUUCUUGUCCCAUAUAAAACUCGACCUCACUUACAACGUGGUUUUGAGAAGACUUUUUGAGAUUUACUACUUGUCAUGUCUUACACACAAUGGAUGAUGAGAUUGGAAAAAUGCAAAGUCAAGAUUUUCAAAUUAUGAUAUGGGAAAUCUAUUCUUAACUUUUCAUCACCAAUAUAUGAAGAUUACCAGAAGCCCACCGGACUAGAUCUUUGCUAGAAAUGCAUUUCCUCAUAGGGCGUGAACGAUAAUAGUUUUGUUUCUCUAUUUUUCUGUUAUCGAGAAUAGGUUUAGAAUAGAAAUCCGUUUGGUGAUGUAAUUUCAUUUUUUUUAUCUUCAGAACAAAUUUUGCACCUAGAAAUAGGGUUUGGAAGAAAAAUGAGAAGUAUAAAUUUUGUACUUUUCUCUUUCUAGAACAAAAACAGAAAUAAAAACUUUUAAGGUGCGUUUGGUAAUCAUUCUGUUCCGGGGAAUAAUUUUUUAACAUAAAUAGUUUUUUAUUUUUUUUAUUUCAGGGAAUAAUUUCUGAAUAUAAGAACGCGCUUGGUAAUUGCAAAAAAAUUAUAUUCCAGGAAUAUAAAUACGUUUGAUAAACUUGUAUAAUUUUGUUAUUUCUUUUUAAUUUUUUAAUAUUUUUCCUUUUUUUCUUCUUUUUUUCCUUCUUUAUUCUUUGUGACCGGUGGCUAGCGGCCGGCGACCAGCGAGGUCCGACGAGCUUGCCGAAGCUUCACCAGGCCACUGCGAGGGCCGGCGAGCUCGCCAGAGCCUCGCCAGGCCAUCGCGAGGCUCAGCCUCACUAGAUAUGGGCCUCGCCGGUGACCUCGAUGGCCAAGUGAGCCUCGCCAAGCCACCGGCGAGGCUCAAGCUCGCCCAAGCGAUGCGAGGUCGGCCUCGCCUUGGAGCUUGCCCAGCCAAGGCGAGGCCGAGCUCGCCCAACCACCGGCGAGGCUCGGCCUCGCCAAGCCAACGUUGGGCGGCAUCGCCUGCCAGUGGCCUGGCAACUCUCUGGCGAGGUUGCCGGCCCUCUACGGCCGGUCGCUGACCAUGGCCGAGGCCAGCGACCGGCCAAAAGGAAGAAGAAGGAAAGAAAAAAGAAGAGAGAAAAUUUGUUUCUCAAAAUUGUUCCUGAGAUUGAUCUUGGGAACAAGAAGUUACUCUUUUCUACUUUUUAUUUCUGUUCCAAAUUUGUUCUCGGGAACAAAAGUUUUACCAAGCAUGUUUCUAUUCUAUUUUUGUUCCCCGGAACAAAAGAAUAUAAAUUUUUGUUCCGGGGAACAAAAACACUUUUUACAUCACUCAUCCUUGUCGCUACCCUCCACCGGCCGUCGCUGCCCUCCACUGGUCACCUGCCCUUCGCCAGCUAUUGGUCAUCGCCCUCCACUCGCUACCCACUUGCCAGCCACCAAUCACCACCUUUCAUCGGCUGCCACCAAGAAAUUUUAAGACCUAUCAAACGAAUUUCUAUUUCGAGAAUGUAAAUUAUGUAUUGUUAUCAAAUGCAUGUUUUUGUUCAUCAACUCAUCCAAUGAAUAGAAAUAGAAAAAUAUAUUUCUUACAAGAAAAUAUUAUCGGGAACAAAAUGAUUAUCGUUUGCACCCUUAUUGAACUUGAAUUUAACCGGAACAAAUCAUAAUGCAGCGGAAUCUGAAUGGGUUCCAUAGGUAAGUUAAAAGACAAAAGAAAAAAAAAAUUGUUAAAAGGUCAACGUCCCCAAGACAUGUCAGUGGGAGCUUAGGCAAAGAAUUUUCGCGGAGCAAACCUGAAAUGCAGUUGAUCACUUCGUCUCAAUUGCUCUCAGCUCACCUGUGACAUGGCCGUUGGACGAUGACCACAUACGUUCCACGUUUCUUUUUUACUAAUUCUUUAUAGAGGAUCAACAUUCAAUAGAUCAUCAGCGUAAUCUAGAGGAGAGUUUCCCAUAUCAAAAGGUCGAAACCGCAUUUUCUUGAAAACGUCGUCCGCCCCUCUUCUCCAUUCCCAUCGCGAUCUACAUCGUACACCACUGAAAAUUAGUCCACAAAAUGCAUGAGAAAUUGCAUCGCAAAUAUUUCGCAAAGAUAAAAUCGGCAUUGAAACCGGAAAAAGGAACCAAAUGCCAAUGUUCCCACAGAUAUGAGAGCUCACCAUUGGGGAUGGGCAUGGGGGCGAGUCCAAUUCCCAGCCAGCGAACUAGGAACCUGCACCAUCCCUGUCCCGUUCCCCACGCGUGGUAGAGCGUUUCGCCGGCGGUUCCGUUGAAAGGACGGCAGAGGGUAAGAUAGAGAGAGACAGUGUAUUAACACUGUGCCAAAAUUUUUGCCUUAAUUCCCACUUGUAUCCGUGUAUUAAAAUAGAGCAGGAGGUACACUCAAGUCAACGCUUAGCGAGCCAUACCAACAUUGUCCAUAACAUUGUCCGUAGCGAGCCAAACCAACAAGAACCGACGCCCAGAGCUUAAUGGAUAAUUAGCGAAGACACUCAAGUCAACGCUCUAAAGUCAAACCUGAAACUGAAUACACCGCGAAAAACUAAAGGGCCGUUUGAGGAACUAAAGAAUCGACUACUCAGGAUGAGUUUGAAGAGAGUAGCCUGGUCAACUUCGACAAACUCAGCGACCCAGGCCUUUGAGGACGUCCUCGAUGGUGCCAUUGUCGGACUUGGCAAACUCGAGGUGCUUCUUGCAGUACUCGAUUGACAUUGAAGUACAAUCGCAAUCUGAGGAACCAUGGUCACCACUGCGAAUGCACACCAAUGGGAGAGGCAAGGACACAAAUGCAGUCGAUGAGGAAGAUCACCCUUGGGAGCUCUGACGGUGAUCCGUUCGAGGUCAACGAGGCUGUGGCCAACGAGUCACAGACGAUCAAGCACAUAUACUCACCCUCUUUAUGCACAAUUGUGGCUGAUGUUUUAUCCCAUGUACUCAACAAUGCUCUGUAGGAGCGUUAGCGUCAGGGAAUUAAGCUUAAAAAGGAGAGCCCUGAGCCCACCUUCUCUUUACAUAUGGCUUCCUAUUCUUUGUUGUUGCCGACCCUGUUUGAACUGCGGAUGUUCCCAAAAGAUUGUUGACUGUAUUGCACUCUUGUCCGCAGGAUUAUCUUGCAAAAGUCCUGUAUAUGCUUCAGUCCUAACACGGGUGCAAAGUUGAGAACAGAGGUAAGCACAGUCCAGGGAAUCAACGUUAUUCAGAACCCUGGUAACUAUUUGGGUCUACCUAUUCUAUGGGGUAGAUCUAAACGUGAAGCUCUUGGCUUUGUGAAGGAAAGAGCCCUGAAAAGAAUGCCGAGCUGGAAAACUAAAUUGGUCUCACAAGCUAGUAGAAUAGGUAGUACAACAAAAAGUAAUGCAAUGAAAUAAAAUAUAAAUCAUGGUAUAAAAACAUGUUGUAUCAUAAACAAAAAGUUAUGAAUAUUCAGAACCCAUUUUAUGAACUCAUUUAGCUAGUACAACAAAAAGUUGGAAUAUGUGACCAUGUGUUGUAUCAAAACUCAUUUUAUGAAUAUUCCGGGUUCAUAAUGAAAUAAAAUAUAAAUCAUGGUAUAAAUACAAGAAGUUAUUCAAUAUAUCAUAAUAAGAUUGUUAAACAAAGUUAUCUUCUGAUCACUCCCUAAUAUUUCUUGAUUUCUUUUACUUUCUUUUUAUUCAAAAGCGAGUUUGCUUCCCUAGCAAAGAAGGCAAGAGUUCAAGAUUCCAUUAUGAUAAAAUCAGAGAUUUAAAAAACAAAACUACUGAAGAUUAAUAUUUUUAUAAUCAAACGGAGGUGCCAUUACUUGUAAGGAAGAUGAACUCUGUCUAAUUAGCUUUUUCUUUUCCCUUUUUACAUUCACCAACCGGUGAAGAUGAUACGCUUGGCUCUCCUUAAGCUUCCUGUGAUUCCAGGGCUGACACCUAAGCUUCAAUUACAAUAAUAACUCAUCCAAUCUUAAGAGGAGGGCUAUCAUCCAAUUCAUUCUUAAUUCAAGGUCAUCUGUAAGCCCUCUUUUGCUUUUUAUCAUGGCUUAUGUUGAAAUCCACAAGGAACCAUUCUAGAUUUAUCUUCCUCGAGUGGUGGAAAUUACAAUUAUAAAUAAUCAGGAUUGAAAUCGACUAUCAAAAUCAAAAUGUAUUGCCUUUUAAGAUGUGCUAAUCGUUGUGAUUGCCGUGAGCAAAGGAUUAAUGUUAACAAUUUAUAAUCAAAAUUUAUCGGAUGAACUCAAUUAAUAAAAGCUUAGUAGAUUCUAGACUUUUUGGAUAAUUUUCCCCUGCUAAAUCCACUAUACUAUCAAAUUCGAAAUUAAACGGAGCAAAUCACAACGCAACCCAAUCUGACUGGGUUCCGAUAGGCAAAGAGAAAAGAUAAUCCAGAUUGGUCCAAAAAAUCUAAAUUAUGAUGUUUCCACGUUGAUCGGCACAAAAGGUCAACGUCCUCAAGGCACGUCGGCGGGAGCUUAUCCAACAAAAUUUCCAAGCAAGAAAGAAGAAAAACAAAGGAGAAAGAAAACCAAGUCAGCUUCUGAAUGAUUAUUCUUUUCUUGUCCAGUCUUCAAAUUUUAAAACAGAAGAGCCCACUGUCUUCAGAAAUGAAAACCAUCGAACUCAAUCUGCUCUAAAGAACACAAGGCUAAUAGAUUCUGAUUCUCACCAGCACACAACAAAACAACAUCUCUCUCUCUCUCUCUCCCUCCUAUAAAUUACCCUCUUCACCACAUCUUACCUUGAAUCCAACAAGCCAUCGAACUCUUCAGUUUGUCCAUAAAUCGCACCAAGAAAGGACAGAACAUCUGGUUUUUUUGGCCUGUCUCUGUCUCAUCCUUGCUGAAAGAGGGGGAUGGCUGAGACGGUAGCAAGAGAGAGGAAGAUACCGGUGGCAGUGGACGAGAGCGAGGAGAGCAUGUACGCCUUGUCGUGGUGUCUCAAGAACGUCGUCUCCGAGAACUCCAAGGACACCCUCGUCCUCCUCUACGCAAAGCCCCUUCGUUCUGCCCACACAGCCCUCGACGGCACAGGUAAAAAACUAAACGUCGAGAUGUUCUUCGUCUUCUGCUCUGGUGACCAUCUCCUGCGAUUAUAGAGUGGUUUUAACGUUUUCUUUUUCCAUUUCGUUCUUUGUUCAGGGUACUUGUUUUCCUCGGACAUAGUGGCCACCAUGGAGAGGCACAACAAUGAGAUGGCCGACCGUGUGAUGGCCAGGGCUAAGAAGAUCUGCCAUGAUUUUGGUGAGGUGAGUUCUUGUUGAGGCAUAAAUUUCCAAGUUUCGAUAAGUGAAAAUGUCUUAAGGAUCAAUGGGAUUCAGUGACCCGGGUGUGGUUGCUAUUGUUGGUGGAUAGGUCGCGGUGGAGACGAGAGUGGAGAAUGGGGAUGCAAGAGAUGUCAUCUGCAGCGUGGCGCAGAAGUUGGUGCCUGAUGUUCUGGUGAUGGGGAGCCAUGGCUACGGACUAAUAAAAAGGUACUUCAAAUACUCAUUUUGUUUAAUCAAUCAAAACUCCGUACAUCGGCUCCAAUAAUCAAUCACCUUAGAGGGAAGUCAUGUAUUAUGUAGCCUUAGCUUGAGAUAAUGUUAACAUUGAAAGUAUGGGUAAUCACUUUUAUAAUAGACAUGGGAUAGGUUGUACAUUAAGAAUUUAGCUACAUGUGGGCGAUCUUGAAGUCUCUCAGACUGAUUCAAUAUUCAAUGAUUUAUUCGAAUUAGUAGAAUGAGGGGUUUACUCUUAAUUGUAAACCUUCCUUCGUUUUCAGUGGGUAGAUUGUGGCAUCUGUGUCAAUACUUAAUUGUGAUUUGGUGAAAUGUCACCGGGCCUUUCUGGGGAGCGUGAGCUAUCAUUGUGCCCAGAACGUCAAGUGUCCCGUGCUGGUAGUGAAGAGGCCCAAAACCAACAGGAACCACUGAAACUCGAUCUAUACUUCCUGUGUUGUGUCCUAGUCCUAGGUUGUCUUCUACAGAAUUAUCGAGUUUUAUUGUGUACAUAUUCCUACAAUGUGCAUAUUCUUUGUUUUCUGCCUUGUAAAUGGAUUGGAUCUUAAUAAUAGAAUUUGAUUGUCAAAAAGGACACGGUGCUUGACCUCAUCAUUAAGCAGCAUACAAUAAAAUAAAAUAAAAAUGUGAAUGGGCUUAUCGAAAGUUUCCAUCAGCUGUCGACAGAGACUGACCAAAUCAAAGAGAGAUGAGCGAUAGAGAUUGAUGGCAUUAUCUUAAGACCAUAUGCAGCAGAUCCAGACUCUUCAACAAGUGCGAUUGAUCUGAAAAUGGACGUUAGCCUUCGUUCUGAAAACUCAAAUCAGUCAGAAUGGAUAUAGAUGAAAUCAGGCACUCAAAAGUCUUGGGAUCAGCCUUCCUCUCUCCCUCUCUAAAGAAAUGUCCUACAUCUAUAUUGUAAAGAUAGAAAAAGAAAAAUUUUGAAGGCGCCAAGCUUAUGUCGAACCCAACCGGUCAGCUUUAUUGCUCUGCCUCUUUCUACAACUCAUCCUGUGAACAGCACAAAGUGCCGGAGAUCAAUGAAUGCAACAAACACAGAAGAAAGUGCAGCAAUUUUAAGUUCAUGACCAUGUCAAGUGAAUAAUUAUACCUUUACUUCGUCCUUGGAGUCAGCAGACUCAGCACUCUCAUCUGCCUCUGCUUUAAUUUCGGGAUCAGAAUCGUCUUCAGCAUCAUCGGGAUCAGCAUCAUCUUCAUCCUCAAUCUGGAAAAAAGAUGUGCAAGGUUAGAACCUUCCAAUAAAUAACAUUCGGAAUCUUUUAAAGAGCAGGUAUAAAAAAGGCUUACGUCAGAAUCUACUGGCUCAUCCUUGGCUUCCUGGAAAGGGAUAAACAGAGGUCAGAUAAAGGGGAACAAACCAUGUGAAUAUAACCUCUCUCUCUUCUGCGCCCGCCCGCGCACACAUAUACACAAGUACAUUGAGUCUGGUCAAGAACCCUAAGCUAUGCAGGAAAAAAUAUGCAAAUAGAUAAUACUCAGCAUCACAAACAUAAAUAUAUAGUGAUCUCCUGUCAACUCACUAAUUUUUUCAGUAUAUAUUCACUUGCUUAUUUGUGAAAAGAGUAUGUCAGACAAUUCAGGUAGUACUAAAUCAUGAAGCAAUAUAAUCUUAAAACUUCUAUGAUUCUUCCUAUUUCCCAAAAGUAUUGAGUUAUAACAGCUCUAUGUUACCUUUUCCUCUCUUUUCUUUUCAGCCUCCUCAGAUGCUGCCUUCUCAGCCUGCAAAGGAAAAAUAAACACCAUAAUUAGUCUACACUCAUACUAUUUCCAGAAGUAAAAAUUAUAAAGAGCAAAACCACAUACAUCCUUGUUCUUGCCCCAUUUUUCUUCAGCAACAUUCUUGGCAUACUCAGGAUCAUCACAUAUUGAUAAAUUAUCGAACAAGGUUCCAGAUUUGACCCGACAAAUCAAGCAUAGAGUAAUUCAAAGUUUGAGCUCCUGGAACACUGGCAGAAAAAAUAACAAGAUCCCAGGCACAGGUAAAUUACCUGCCAUAGUUCAAUCCCAACAUACUUCAAGUAGGGGAAAAUAUAGAGCUCCGGGGCUAGCAACCCCGGCCAACUCUCGCCCCAUCGUUGCCGGCCCUUUCCGACAAUUGUGGGGUGGCGGCAGCAAUGAGGGCCUCCUCACCUUAGAGGCCCUUGUUGAUUUGCUUUCAAAACCCAUUUUUAAAAAAAUUAAUUUUUUAAUUUAAUUUAAUUAAUAUUUACAUUAAAAAUCAAAUUUAUGGGCAAAACGACGUAUUGUUGAGUAAGCAUCCCAAUGAGUCACGUGGAUCGGUUUUAUUAUUGAAAUAAUGCAAUGUCGGAUUUCCGACUAAUUUCAUCAAAGUUGGCACUUAAGUAUCCGAUUUUUUUUUAAAUGUCACUUAAAUGUAUUUUUUUGAAGUUUUGGUACUAAAGUGUUCACUUAUGCUAAGUUUUGGCAUUCGUGGUGUACAUUUGCUCUCGUCCUCCUCUAUUGCAAAGCCCCUUCGAUCUGCCUAUAGUUAAAAAACUAAACAUCAAGAUUGUUGACACCUAAAUUUUGGCGACCCGUUUAAUCAUUUAUCGCAUUAAAAAACUAGGGAUUAAGUUUAACCCCUAAAAAAAUAUUAAUUAAUUAAUUAAUUGCAUAGCAUAUAGUUUUAGGUGCAUUUAUCUUUAAUUUGCAUUUACAUUGAGCCGGUGAUAAGUGGGUUCGAAUUGAUGGUUCGGAACUUUUAAUUGAUGAAUCGGGCUAAGCCCAAAGAGAGCGAAUCAGCCCAAGCCCGUAUCAUCAUGGAGAUUUUACGGAUUUACCUUUGUGAGAUUUCAAUUCAAAAGUAAAUAUUGCGUUUGGAAAGGAAAUCUUCGUGGAUAUAAUUUUGGAAAAUUGAAAAAAAAAACUAAUUCGUGACCUAUAAAUAGGUUAAUUUGCUAGGGUUUAGGGAGAGGCCAGACAAUAGAAAUACGUGAUCACAAAGAAAGAGAACUCACGUUCUCCACGGUGGGGAUCGGCAGUCAUAAUCUCAGAGCUCACUUGAGAGACACACGGGAGAAAGAGAGAGGAGGGUUCUCUCGGCCAAGCCAUCGUAUGGCUCUCCACCUUGCCGUCGCUGCUGCGUCAAAGCCACCACGAUGAGUUAUUCCCAUCCCAGCUGUUCUGAGACCCCUUGUCGAUUUGCUGUCCAGCCAAGGUACGAUCUUCGACGACGAUCACUCGCCAAGGAGCCUCCCGCGCCAACGAAGACGACCGAGAAGACCUCGUUGGAUUACUUGAAAAGAAAGCCCACGACAAUCAGAUUUCGUGGCUCCCAUUAAGGUCCACUUGGCGAUACUUGGAAAUCAAAAAGGAAUGAUGGAGAAAAAUAUAUAUUGCUGAACCAUAGCAAAAGUUGCAAUCUCCACAGUUUGUAACAAAUUCGGACAAUUUUGCAAUGCUGGUCCAUCUCUUUCUGACGCGUACAUGUUGCUCAGCCGCGCCUGACAAUUUUCUUGUAGAUUUUCCAGGUUCUCCUUGAACGUGCACCACAAGAAGCUGAGUUGAACUGAGGCCACGGAGCCCGCGACCUUCCCGAGCCGUUUUCAGGUCUCAUAGAGCCCGUUCGGGAUCCCAUUGCGACAACAACCGCGGAGAUCCUUUGCCGUGGGUCCUCUUGGCUAGCGCUCCCGUCCCCAUAGCUAACCGAGCGCCACCAAAAUCCGGUCCGAUAUCCAAGUCCGAGCUAUGAGUCUCGCCGAGCAUUGCCAUAUUGCGUCGCGAGUAACCGUUCGAAGUCCAAAUAUGGAAGCUAAUAUUCGGAAUAGGUAAAAUAUUGUGUAUUUUGAUUUCCGAAAAUUAUGUUUCCUUAUUUGAUAUAUUCGUUGAUGCACAUUAUUGAAAUUCUCGAUAUGCUGAGAUAUUUGUGAACUCGAGUAGCCUUCUAAAUUGGGAAAUUUUCCCAAUUUUACAACAUGCAUAUGAUUGACAGUCCGAUUUCACGCUCGAAAUACGACUCGCAAUCGCACGAAAAAUCUCCAAUCUGAUCUCCCACCCAAGAUUCGAUUCACGAUUUAUGUAAAAUUGGCCAACCCGAUCUCCCGCCUGAGAUACGGUUCGUCAAUUUGGAUAUCUUGCUCUGAUUUGUUGUCGUGCUGUUUAAGUUAAUUUUGUUUUCGUAGAAAAAAAACAAAAAAUGUAGGUUAGAAUUAAGUUUAUUUCCUGUUUUAGGGUUUGCAUAUUUAGAAUAGGAACUUUAUUUCGAAUUUAAAAAAAUUCAAAAAAUUCAAAAAAAUCAAAAAAUCAAAAAUCAGAUUAAUCAAUUUAGGAUGCUAGGUUUUUAACUUGGAUUGCAUGUUUAAUUACUUGGCAAUUUUAAUUUCGAAUUUUUAUAUAAAAAAAAAAAGAAACAAAAACACAAAAAUCAUCAUGCAUAUGUCAUGUGGAAUUAGGGCAUUAUUUGCACUUCAUUGCAUAUUAGGAUAAAAUUGCAUGUUUCAUUUUAAAUUUAGACUGAUUUAGAUAGACUGCAUCUUAGAUUAGAGAUUGCUAGGUUAAGAUAAUAUCCUCGUUUAAUUAGGGUUUAGCCUGACAUAAUCCUUAAUAUAAGUUGGAUAGAUGAUCUUAAUCUAGCCAGGUAAUUUUCUCAUUUUUCUAAUUUCGAAUUUCAUGAAAAAAAUGUCUUAGAACAAAUUAGUUCAAUUACUUAGGAUAAAAUGCAUUCUUUUAGGAAAAAGAAAAAAAAUCAUGCGCAUGUCAUAUAGGAUUAGAUUAAUGAAAUGCACAUCAUUUAGUGAUUCUUGCUAGGUCCAUUUAAUUAGAAAUUGCAUGUUAUUAGAAUUAGGUCAUUUAGUUAAUAUUGCAUUGCAUAUUGCAUGAUUUCAUUAAUUAAGAGAAAACAAAAAAGAAAUUACGUGUUAAUUAGAAACCAUAUCUAGGACUAUUGAUGUGGGUUUUAAUUUAACAUUGCAGAUGUUUUCGUUACUUUGAGGUAAGUUUUUGUAAUUUAUUGUUUAUCUGGGUAUUAAAUUGAUGGUUUGUGUACCCGCAUGAUCUCAUCACAUAUUAGGAAAAUAAAUUUAAAAUUAAUCCAAGCUGCUUGCAAAAAGAAAAACAUUUUUUCAAAAUAAAAGAAAUGGUACCAAAAGGGCGUUACGAAAUCUAGUGUAACCAAGUCCCCGUACCCAAAUCUCUGGUUCGUAGGAGUAAAGUAAUUACUUUACUUGGGUUUCUGAUCGACCCACCAAAAAUAGAUUAGUGGUGACUCAUAAUUGAAAAUCAAUUGCAUGUUAAGAACUUAAACCUAAGUCGCGAAUUGGUAUGGGUUUGGGAGAGCCCGAGUUAAGUCUAGGCUUAACAAUCCAUUAGCCAAACCUUAGGUGGUUCACACCCGAAAAAUUGGUCGCAACAAAGAUGGUCUUCUUCUUCUGCUAUGGAGACCAUCUCUUGCGAUUAUAUUUAUAAAGCGGUUUUGACAUUUUUAUUUUUCAUUUCAUUCUUUGUUCCGGUACCUGUUUUCUUCAUAUAUAGUGGCCACCAUGGAGAGGUACAACAAUGAAAUGGCCGACUAUUUUAUGGCUAAGGCUAAGAAGAUUUGCCAUGAUUUUGGUGAGAUGAGCUCUUAUUAAGACAUAGAUUUCUUUUUUGUUUCGGCAAGUAGAUUGUAGUAUUUGUAUGGAUAUUGGCUAGUGAUUGGUGAAAUGUGGCAGGGCAUGAGCUAUCACUGUGCUCAAAAUGUCGAGUGCCCUAUGUUGGUAAUGAAGAGACCCACAUCCAGCAGGAAUAACUAAAACUCGAAUCUGUAAAGUUUGUGCUUGGGAUCUUCUUUGGUUGGGUCCGAGUCCUAGGUUGCCUUUAAGCGCUUUGUCAAGUUUCAUUGUAUAUACUCCUAUAUUGUCUAGUGUCCUCAUUGUUUCUUACCAAGGCUUUUUGUACAUGCAUACUUUUCGUGAGUUAAGACUUGUGAAUGGAUUGAUUUUUUGUUAGUAAAACUUUGUUGAUACCCAAAUUUUGAUGGACCUAUUUAAUUAUUCAUUAAUUACAUAAAAAAAUUAUGGAUUAAUUUUUAACUCUUAGAAAAAAUAAUUUUCAUUAAAUUGCAUUGCAUACAAACAUUAGGAGCAUUUGCAUUGCUAACAUUAAAGUUAAAAAAAUAAAAAUUUUACUAUUAUAACUUUUAUAAUUAUUUAAAAAUAUAUAUAGUUUUUAAAAAAGUGAGACCGCCUUCUUUCUUUUCCCCUGUUCUUCCUCUUUCCCGUAGCCCUCCCUCUCCCUCACGCUCUCACGCAUUUAGCAGAAAAAGGAAAAAAUACAAGGCUCGUACGAGCAGAAGGACAAGAGAGCAGAGGGCAAAGCGUCUCACCGGAGUGGGUGGUCAGGUGCAGACCGGCAACGGCAGCUGGCGUCACAGGAGGCCAUGUGCGCCGGUGGCCAUUAAAAGGAAAGAGAGGUACAGAGAGAGGGGGUACUUUUACAAAGGAAGGAGACUGAGAGGGAGAGAGAAGCGUGGAGUGAGAGCCGAGAUAGAACGGAGAGCGAGAGUGAGCUGGGCCGACACCGCGGCCACGCACGAACUCCGUCCGACGACCACGCCCUGUCGAUGUCUUCAAACCGAACGGGUAAAUCUUUCUUUUUUCCCUCUUUUUUUCUGCCCUGUUUUGGGCACGCCGGGCCGGAGCUCGCGACCGUUUGGCUCACGCGAACUCCGGCCCCGUCCAUCCCUCCUUUGGUUGUUGUGUGUUUCGUUGUCUGUUUGGCGAGAGUCCCGGUUUUGGUUCGGGUCCCUAGUUGAGUCGGAGACCUCACGAUUAGUGAGCGCCCUUCACCCGUUCGCCGAAAUGAUUCUUCAGUGAGAUCUAGUUUUCAUCCUCCCGUUUUUAGUCAAAACCGAGCGUCCUUGAGUUGAUUCGUUCUGUUGAGGCGGGUGUUGUUGAGUUUGCCGUUCCAGGUGUCGGUUGUUUCGCCAUAUUCUCGCCACGGUAGUCAUUUUUUAUGUUUGCGCUUGGCCGAGGGCGCCACGGCCGGCGAUGUCACGUUCCGGCCUAGGAGCGACGGCCUAGACGGAGGGGUUGUCUUCAGGGUGGCCGUGUUUUUCUUCUUGGUCCGCGGCCGCCAUGGUGGUCUUCCACGGAGGCUCCGCUGCUUCUUGCGGAUUGGCGUCCAAGCGGCCCCGUCCCAGGCGGAGACUGGCAGCGUCGCUCAUCGCGCCCAUCUCCGUCGCGCUGAGACUGCCACGAGCGUGGGGGAGGAGCUGUGGUUCGGGGGAUGGAAUGAGUCCAAAAUAUGGACUCAAGGCUUGGGGUCUUGAUUUUCGUUUGGACUGAAUUUGGGAUUGGGCUUUAGGAUUAACUUAGGUUUUUUGCGUGGGUUUGUUAAUUUAGAUUUGGGUCAAGCUUGUUUUGUUAGAGCAUAGAGAGAGAGAGAGAGAGAGAGCUGUUGAGGCACGCGUGAGUAGGGGUGUGUAUAGUCCGGGCGUGCGGUUCCCGACCUAGAACUGGGAACCGCUUGAAAAAUGAGAACCGGGAUCCACCCGUUAGUUGCAUGGAUUCACCCGGAAACCGGACCGGUUCACAACCUAAAACUAAGAACCGCCUAAAAAAUGAGAACCGGGAUCCACUCGUUAGUUGCAUGUAUUCAUUCUGGAACCGGACCGCCGGUCCGAUCCAGUUCCCGGAUGGAUCCAUGAAAUCAGUCUCACAAUAAUAAUAACCGGGAUCGAUUAAGUCCUAAAGCCUCCCAUUGUCAUGCCCGAAAUCUUAACAAAUCUAUGUACUCGCUCAUCCUAAGCUGAACUUGAGAAGAUUAAGAUCAAACUUCCAUUGUGCUAAUUAAAGAUGCAUAACUAACAUUUCUCCCUCGUCCAUCAUCCACCCUCACCCUCGGCAAAAUCCAUAGUUGGCCACUGUUCAUCACCAGAACAAAAACCGCAAAGCAUGCCACGCGUUUACACACAACCAUAACGAAGAAAAGAAGUGAGUUCUGUGUGGAUUAAUAACUGGGUGGGCGGUCCGAGCAGGUUUUAAUAAGUGAGAUCUGGAGAUCAGCGCCUCUCCAUUUGGUGUGCUUUGGAUUUUUCCCACUUUAAUUAAUUUUUUUAAUUAUUUGAUUUGGAUUUGUUAAUUUCUAAUUUUAUUUUUAAAUAUUAAAAAUUAAUAUAUUAUUUUAAUAUGAUCGGUUCGGUUCGGGUGGGCAGGUGGACGGAUUCGCCCAUGGAAUCGCGAACCAGGCGGUUCUCAUAAAUUGGAACCGGGAACCGAACCGGUUCUCUCAAGAACCACCGGUUCCGAGCGGUUCCGAUCCGAUUCCGGGCGAUUUGGGGGGGUCCCGAUUCUUUUGUACACCCCUACAUGUGAGGAAGCGACAUAGAGUGAAAGCUGCAAUUUCCCGUUUAAUUUCCACGAAGUUCACUUUUCCUUUGCAUUUUAGGGGUGCAUGAUAACCAAAAUUUCUAUUCCAGAAAUAAUUUUUCUAUUCCAGACUUGUUUCUGGAAUAGAAACCUAUUUGAUAAACUUACUCAGUUUUUCUAUUUCUGGAAUAAAUUUCUAUUCCAAAAAUUGAUUUGGAAGAGAAAUUAGAAACAAUUUCUUCCACUAAACCCUAAUUUCGUUGAGUCCUCCUUCAUCUCCUCUACGUCUUUGCCUCCUCCUCCUCCUCCUUCUCUCCUCAUUUUAUUAAAAAUAAAAAUAAAAAUAUUCAUUUUAUUCAUUUAAAAAUUAAAAUAAAUUUAUUAAAAAUUUAUUAAAAAUAAAUAAAUUAUUUUUGUUUAUCAUUUUAUUUUUAGUUUAUUAAAAAUAAAUUUAUUAAAUUUAUUAAAAAUAAUUUAUUUAUGAUAAAUAAAAAUAAAUUAUUUUUAUUAAAAAUAAAUUUAAUAAAUUUAUUUUUAUUUGCCUUGAGUGUUUUGCCAAAUAAAUUUAUUUUUAUUUUUAAUUUUUAUUCGUUUUAAAAUAAAUUUAUUUUAUUUUAUUAUUUAUUUUUUUGUUACUAAAUCAUUUUUAUUUUUAUUUUUUAUAUUAAAGGUCGUCGGUCGUUGCCGCUACCGUCCGAAAGGAAGAAAUUUUGUAUCGUUAUCAAACAAAUUUAUAUUUUUAGAAUAGAAAUUUUGUGUCGUUAUCAAACGGUUAUUUUUGCUUAGAAACUCUUCUAGAAAUAAAAAUAGAAAAAUCUAUUUCUGUUCCAAAAACUAUUUCUGGAACAUAAUGAUUGUCAUGCGCGCCCUUAAUUUCCAAGAAUUUUACUCCUCAUAGUCAAAUUUCUCCAUCAUUUCAUUUUAAAGCCUACCGCACCUUGCACCUAGAAAAAGCCAAAAUGACCAACUUUGGUUCGAGUUAGAAUUAUAGUGUGAAACCCAUUUUAUCUAAGGAAAAUGGCGUGUAAAGGUGACCGGUUUGGGAACUUUGUAAGAGUCACAGUUGUCAAGCCACCCUCUUCAAAGGAAACUCAUUUUGCUAAGAUUACUUGUGCGUUUGAUGGGCAUCUAAGGCUCCGUUCGAUAAUGUUCAUAUUUCUCUAAAUUUCUAUUCUUUUAUUCUCUGAAAUACGAAAAGAAUAGAAAUUUAUUUGGUAACGUCAAUUAAUUUUUCUUUUUCCUGAAAUAGAAAACUAGCAAAGGAAUAAAUUUAUAACAGAAAUUAGAAAUAGAAAAAAGUAGCUUUUCGAAAUAAGUCUUUUUUUCUUUUCUACUUCUUCCUCACCACUCGCCGCUGGUCGUCGGACGCUACACUAGUUGCUGCCGGUCGUUGGAUGCUAGUCACCGCUAUCGCCAGCUAGAGAAGGAGCAAGAAGAAGAAGAAGGGAGGGAAAAAAAGAAAAAUCUAAAAAAUUAUUACAAAAAAAUAAAAGAAAUUCUACAUUACAAAAAAAAAAUAAAAAUUGUGGGAAUACAUUCUUAUUCUUUUUUUCUAUUUUGAGAAUAGAAAAUUUGUGUAGUUACCAAACGCGUUCUUUUACUUAGAAAUCGUUUUGGAAAAUAGAAAUAAAAAAAAAAACUAUUUUUGAAAGAAAUUGUUUAUUGGAAUAGAAAUGUUACUAAACGCGUCCUAACUUGUCAUUUCCAAAAUACCGAACCAGAAUUUCCUGAACAAUUUCGUAACUACGUGAGACUGUUUAUCUGGUUCUUCUUUGUAAUAUUCAACCAUCAUAUCCAAGUACCUAGCAAUACCAUAGAAGAGGAAGACCACGUUUUCUCAUUUUCACACCUACAAUAACCAAAGAUAUUUACGAUCAAUUUUUCUUGCCAUGAACCCAAUGAAAAUGCCAGCUUCGAAUUUUCCCCUUCUAGUUUUAAAAUCUUGAGAUCUUUGACGUUAAACCAUACAUGACUUCUAACUCUUAAAAGUCAAAAGAGAGAAAAAGCCUAAAGUUAAAGUGAGGAGACAUCAUUUAUAUGACAAAAUUACUGGCCGAAAAUUUCCCUGCAAAUUAGCACCUAAAAUCUGGUUUAUGUCCUUUGGACUAUUACCUACUAAUAGUAAUUUCGGAUUAAAAACGUUAAUUUAUGAAACAAUGUUACAACUUGUUAGAUAUAUUCGCAAUGGACAUCAUCCACAAAUUUACCAAAUCUUUCACAAAUGUAGAAUAUCACGUGUAUGUUAUAUAUAGUCAUAUUAUGUCUAGAAUCAUGAUAUCAUGUAUCUACUCUAUAUCAGUUUAGAUUCCAUAUAAAUGAUCACAAUUACUUGGGUAAUGCAAUCCACUGAUUUGAAAAAGGGCUUUCGGUUUAUCUAUCUCUCACCAACAUAACCCUUCAAUCAAAACUCACCACCACUAGCUUAGAUAGUCUGUGCCACAAUCCAUUUCGAAAGACUUGAAUCAGAGAAUCACUUUGUUGAAUUGACGCCAACUACGAUCAACUCCACCAUGCACGAACCUCACAUGCCAGGAUGACACAACUCGACCCAAUCUUUGCCUUCAUAGCCCGCCGGCCUUCGGUGAUUAUUUCACAAGGAACCAAUCAUUAGACAAGUAACUGUUCUCCAAAUUGAACACUAGAAACCACGACUCCAAUCGCCGCCACAUGCGGCCGGUUGGUCAAGACCACAAACUUGACCUAGUCCUUGUGUUAGCAGUCAUUUUUUGAUCUGUGCCAAGUUCGUGCUGUCUGGCCUCGCUUCAUCCUCGGAAAGAUGACGUCAGCAUCAAGAAAUCACCAUAUCAGUUAUGCCUCCCACAUCAUCACAACAACAUAUCAUAAGAGCUAGCAAUUUGUGUUCACAUGUCAUUUUGUAAUCGGGUCAAGCAAUUUUUCCAAACGUAGACUUGUCAAAGAACUGGUUUGGGUUUUGAUUUCCAGGUCAACUGCUUAUAUCGCCCAUUGAACCGCUGGAUCGAUGAAGUUGGAAAAUCCACAAAGAAAUCUAUCAUAUAUUAAAUGUGCCAAUUAGCAUCAAAAGGAGCACUCGUGUGAUUAGAUGCAUGUUAAGUGUAAAUGAUAUGUAGGGAAGUGUCGUUAAAAGACUUGUUUAUCUCUUGUUUAAUUAACACUUAAAAAGAAACUUAGGGCAAUCUAUUGCUGUGUUGAAGACUGUUGACCCCGUAAACAUCCAACUUCUUACCGUGGUUCAAUCAGAUUUUGAUCAAAAGUGAAAAGUUAACCUCGUUAAGAUUAUGAUGAAAUGGUACAAUUGGGUAGCGCAUUGCAAGAGCUUUCCAAUGACGCCUAAUUUGUCCAAAUCGGACGACGGGACUGCUGGAUGUGUUGCCACGAGGGAUGCUUGAUCCUUUGGAUGUUCACUUGUUUGAUGUUUCCAAUAUUAUACUUAAAGGAAAUGAGCUGCAACUGCCAUAUGAAGUAUGCUUGAAGGUAGAAAAUUUAGUGAUCUAAUCUGGAAGGCAGCUAUGAAUCAAAACCUUACUUCCCCUGUUACCAUGGAAGAAAUUAAAGAAGCUGCAUACCAAUUGGGACCUAAUAAAGCUCCAGGGCCGGAUGGGUUAAAUGGCAUCUUUUUUCAGCACCACUGGCGAGAUAUUGGAGAAGAUAUCUGUCGGGAGAUUCAACACUUCUUCGAGACCGGAGUUCUAAACCCAGCCCUUAACCGAACACAAAUCAUUCUUAUCCCCAAAAUCCACAACCCAGAAAAAAUAGAACAAUUUAGACCCAUAAGCCUGUGCAAUUUUGCCUACAAAAUCAUUUUCAAAAUCAUCACGAAUAGAUUGAAACCUCUAAUACCAGCCCUAAUUGAACCAGAACAGAGUGCAUUUGUCGGAGGACGGCAAAUACAAGAUAAUAUAUUUAUUGUCCAGGAAGUCCUUCACAGACUAAGAACUCGACAUAGACAGCGACACUUCCAGGCGGUCCUUAAACUUGAUAUGCAAAAGGCGUAUGAUCGGAUAGAGUGGGAUUUCCUUCAAGCAUGUCUGCGGAAGAUGGGGUUUUGUGAAGAAUGGGUUAAAAGGGUAAUGCAGUGUGUUACAACUGUCUCCUACAGCAUCAAAAUUAAUGGUGUAUCCUUGCCUUAUUUCCAGCCAACUAGGGGAAUUCGCCAGGGUGAUCCAUUAUCCCCUUAUUUAUUCAUCAUUGUGGCAAAUGUCCUAUCCCACAUGUUAAAGCAAGCCAUACAAACAGGUACAAUUCGUGGUAUCAGGUUGAAUAGAAAUUGUCCCACCCUUUCCCAUCUAUUAUUUGCAGAUGACUCCAUUUUUUUCCUUCAUGGUACAAUCUUGGAAUGUCAAAACUUAGCGUCUAUCCUGCAUCAGUAUUGUUAUGCAUCGGGUCAAGCUGUCAACCGCAAUAAAUCGGGGAUAUUCUUUAGUAAGGGCUGUCCAGAACAACUACGAAGAAAUAUGGCGUCUGAGCUGAGAGUUUCAAUUAUUACGAAAACUGGGAAAUAUCUAGGAAUCCCUUCGGACUCGGGUGCGUCCAAAAAAGAAGUGUUCACAUGGAUUCUAGCUAGAAUAAAUAUGAAGCUAGAAAGUUGGAAGGAAAACUUGUUAUCAAGAGCGGGUAAGGAAACACUUCUCAAAUCAGUUGUGCAAGCUAUACCCCAGUAUGCUAUGUCCAUUUUCAAAAUCCCAGUAUCUAUUAUCAGAGAUAUAGAAAAGAAGAUUGCUAACUUCUGGUGGAGAAACAAUAAUAAAGCGAAUGGUCUUCAUUGGAGAAAAUGGGAACUUCUCAAGCUCACAAAAAAGGAAGGAGGGCUCGGUUUCAAGGACCUAUCCACUUUCAAUAUGGCUAUGUUAGGAAAACAAGCUUGGCGCCUUUCUCAUCACCCAGACAAUCUAGUAAGCCAAAUUAUGAAGGGCCUAUACUUCCCAAAUUGUACCUUUUGGCAAGCAGGAAAAGGAUCGCGCCCAUCUUGGGGAUGGCAAAGUUUGUUAGCUGGGAGAGAAGUGAUCUCCCCUCAAGUAAUGUGGGCUGUGGGAAAUGGUCAGAAAAUCUCAAUCAGAACAGAUAAAUGGCUGAAAAUGGGUGUAAUCGGAGGACCCGCGGCAAGAAAUGAACCUUCCAAGGUUGCAGAGUUGAUAGAUUUUGAAAAUGCUGUGUGGAAAGAAGAUCUAUUGCGAUCUAUGUUUGAUCAAAAUAUAGUGAUGGAAAUUCUAGCUACCCCUUUCGGACUUCCAACAACGGAAGAUAAACUGAUAUGGUUGAGUAAUAAAUCAGGAAGGUAUACGGUGAAAAGUGGAUAUUUGCUGCAUAGAAAGAAUCCAAUGGUUUUUCAAGAUCAGUUGCCAACAACAUCCUACCAGGUCAGCCCCGAAUUAUGGAAACAUAUAUGGAAUGCGUCUAUACAACCCAAAAUAAAGUUCUUUCUAUGGAGUGCUUGUCAAAAUGCUUUACCUACGAUGGAGAACUUGUAUAGAAGAAAAAUAGUACCUGCGCCUAUAUGUCCAUUAUGUGGUUUGGAACCGGAGACGAUAGAACACACAUUUCUUCUAUGCCCUUGGAUCACACAGCUAUGGACUGAGCCAUCCUUGCAAGUUGAAGUGAAUCGAGUAGGCUUGACCCGCUUUGAUGAAUGGUUAUACAAAGUACACACAAGCUCUAGAACAUCUCAAGAAUUUGAACUACUUGUGAAUGUACUUUGGUGCAUAUGGAAGGAUCGAAAUCAUCAUAUUUUUAGGAAAAGUCCUCUCAAUUUCCAUCACACUCUUUUUAGAGCCAUUACCUCACAAGACAGCUUUGCCACUUGGAAUCCCAAAUUGAAAAACCAGAAGAAAGAAGCCGACUUACACAACAAAUGGCAACCCCCGAAGCCCGGUGUUCUCAAAAUCAACAUAGAUGCAUCCUUCGGGCCUACUUGCACAGAAAGAUCACAGUUAAACUCAAAUCAAGAGGUCUCAUGGUACAGUAAAGAAGAUCUUUCAGCAUCAACCUCGGAACCAAAAUCAACAAGCGAAGAAUUUCAAGACUCGUCUCCCAACUCAUAUACCUCCUUCUCCCCAACACUUGAUGUCUCAUGGACGGAAAUUGAAGAUGACCAGCUCCACCUGCAUGGAAACAUACAAUUGGCUAGCUCUACUCGCAACCCAGAGGCCUCAGCCAUAUCGCCAACAAUGACUAACUCGGAUGUUGGUAAACGGGUGAUGAUAGAACGGCCACACAAAAUGGUAUCUGAGGAGAUUCAAAAUCCCACGGGCCUAGCUACUACAAAGAAGAAGCAAGGUGAAAACAACAAUAAAUAUGCCUUAUCUCUACCCCAUGGGUUGCCAAGAAGAAAUAAUCAGUCAACAAAUAAAAAGCAAGACCCAAAAAGUGUGCCCUCUGACACAGAACUAAAAUCAUAUAGCAGCUAUAAUGCAGAGCAAAGGGUGAGGCCAGAUUUGAAGUCGAAAGAAAGAGAAGAAGCGAGAAAUCAGCAAAGCAACCCAGAUCUGAACAGAAAAGAGANNNNNNNNNNNNNNNNNNNNNNNNNNNNNNNNNNNNNNNNNNNNNNNNNNNNNNNNNNNNNNNNNNNNNNNNNNNNNNNNNNNNNNNNNNNNNNNNNNNNGCAUUCUUGAAUAGGUGAGGAUGCCGUAGAGUGGGAAGAAACCGAAAUCGCCUCUGUGCCUUGCACGCCUGACAAUGGAGACGGGGAAAACAACCAAGCUAAAAGAAAACUCUGAAGUUAGCCAAGAACAGAGAUCGACCUCAGAGCAAAAUAGGGAGGAAUAUGCCUCUUUUACCGGAUCUCAAACUCGACUUUCCCCCUUCACAGCAGCUGUAGCAUGUGUUUGCAGGGAUGAUUUGGGAAGAAUUAUUGAUGGUUUUACUAAAUCUGUGGAGGUUAGAACGGCCGAGCAAGCGGAGGUAAUGGCUCUAUUGAAACUCUAGAUUUUAUCUCCUUGAAGCUGGCCCUGAAUAGAACUGAAAAAGAAAUAAUUAUACACUCUGACUGCAGCACAGUGGUAAAGGGGAUCCACUCUUCAGAGACUAUUAGUUGGGAAAUACAACCACUUUUGGACCGGGUAAAACAGAAACUGGAAAAAAUGUCAGGUCUUACAAUAGCUCAUUGUAAUCGAUCGACGAAUAAGGUAGCUGACUGGUUAGCGAAAGCACAUCGAUUGGGUUGUCUUACUGAGAAUUGGGUUAAUUACCCACCCUUAGCCCUUUUGGAUCUUUUGUGCGUUGAUGCUAGUGUUGUACUUGGUAAAAACAUUUCCUACUAAUGCAUCGUUGUCUGCUCGUUCAAAAAAAAAAAAAAAUCUGGAAGGCAGCAGAGCCUUCAAUGGUCCUGUCUGACAUAUAUGAUGACUGGCUGAAGAAUAUAUUAUGGUACACUUCUUUCUCCUCAUUACUUAUUUUAAAAUUUUAAUUUAGAAUUUAAGAUAAAGAAGUUUACAAUUUUAUAAACUAUAUCAAACUGCUUACGAUUAAAUCAUAAUAAUGUAGUUUCUAUAGAGAAUCUUAUCCAUCCUUAAGAGUUACAAUUAGGUAUUUGACACUUUAUGAUUUGUUUUUGUAUAGAGGAAUUUAUAAAGUAUGACAUCAAUAUGUACGUAUGUUUAAACAAAUGUAGCUAAUAUAUCCAACGUGCCAGGAACUUUAGUCACCCAUACACUCAAGUUAUAAAAAGGAAAUAAUGUAACAAAAUAACUCCUUUAUUCAAGUAUAAUUGUUUCAUCAAAUUAUCAGCACACUUCAUCUGAACGAUAGUCUAAAUUGACUACUAAUGUGGCAAACAAUUUUUUUUCCCUUUUUGUUAAGCCUUAGCACACAUUUUGUCGGGUGUAGAAAGUGGAAGGCCUACGGGAAGGAAUGAUAUCGAGAGAAAGAGAGAAGGCCCAACCAAAGAUGAUACGGCCCACAUGAUGAACCUCAAGCUAAAAGCGUGGUUCGGCCAGGCCCUGCGGGGCCAAUCGAGUGCGCGACCCGCAAAGACUCCUCAAAACCCUACCCGGGAGGACGCGAGGGUGAUAUAAACGAUAAUGAUGAUUACCUAAGUUGUGCAAGUCCCGUGUUCUUUCCUCUUCGUCUCUCUUCCCUGAGUACCCAGGACGCCAAAGGGUUUACUAGAUCAAGAGCCCAAACUCAGAUCCAAGCACACCCAAAGCAAAGCUUGGCUGAGAGAAAGAAAGGAUCUGGCAUCCGUGGUGUUUGCAGAUCCUGCAAUGGAGGAAGGGACGAGUUCAAAAAAAUCAUCCGGACCUUCGUACGAUGUAUUUCUAAGUUUCCGAGGAGCGGACACCCGUCAUGGAUUCACUGAUCAUCUUUAUCAUGACAUGGUUAAGGCUGGGAUCAUGGUCUUUAGGGACGAUGAAUCCCUCCAUGUCGGUGAAGAAAUUGGUGGUGCACUUCUACAAGCAAUUGCGAAUUCCAAGAUCUAUGUUCCUAUAUUUUCCACGAAUUAUGCUUCGAGUCAUUGGUGCCUUCGAGAGCUCGCAUACAUGGUUGAGUGCACCUUGAAAUCGAACAGGAACAAAGAAAUUUUGCCCAUUUUCUUGGAUGUGGAACCGGCUGAUGUGAAGCUGAAAACAAAAUUGUACAGUGAAACUCUUUCAAAGUGCCAAAAGAGUGAAGCAAAGUCAUGGGAAAAGGCUCUUAUUGAAGUGGGCAAGAUAAAGGGAUGGAACUUGAACAAAGAUGAAAGGUAAAUGUCUUCAACUUUUCUAAUUGUCAUCUGUAGAUUUCCUUUUCUUCCCUAUUCAAUGUAAUUUUGGUAUUGCUAGUGAAAACCUAGUUUAUUCAUCUCGGGUAGUGGCCAAUAGCGGCCGGCACCGACGCGGUGGUGGCACACCCUACUCAUCCUGAUUCUCUUUCACCUCACUUUCUGUCCCUGACACAGUAGCUUUUUACAAUAUAAAAGUCAUCCUUAACACAGUUGUUACGUUAUGGCAGCCAAGUAGAUUUGAUCCAAUCGGUAAUUGAAGCUGUUUUGGAUAAGUUGAAUGUCAGAUAUAAAAAUGUGACUGAGCAUCUAGUUGGGGUUGAUGAUCGUGUAGAAGCUAUAAUCAAGAUUUUGGAUGUGGAAUCUGAUAGUGUGAAAUUCCUUGCAAUCCACGGAAUGGGCGGUGUCGGCAAAACAACACUAGCCAAAGUCAUCUUCAACCGAUUGUCUUCUCAAUUUCAAGGCUGUAAUUUCCUUUCGGAUGUUCGAGAGUCAUCAGAACGACAUGGCCUGGUACAUUUGCAAAAGCAAUUGUUAUCCGAGUUCCAUGAUUCUCGUUUUGUGGACAAAAUUAAAGAUGUGGAUGAUGGAAUCAACAUGAUUAAGAGGGUACUUCAUAAUAAAAAAGUUCUCAUUGUUCUUGAUGAUGUGCAUGAAGAAAAGCAACUGAAAUAUUUGGCAAAAAACAGAAAUUGGUUUGGUUCUGGUAGUAGGAUUAUUCUUACCACUAGAUACAAAAGUGUCCUAAUGAUUGACGGAGAAGCAACAGAUGAAGGUCUUAUAAAGUCUGCAAAUGUUUUGACUUAUGAAGUACAGGAAAUGGAAUUUCAUCAUGCCCUUAAGCUUUUCAGUAUGCAUGCCUUCAGGAGAGACUCUCUGCCCAAUGAUUAUGUCUCCCUUUCAAAAAAAGUUGUCUCCACUUUGGGAAAGCUUCCUUUAGCUCUUGAAAUCAUAGGUUCAUCCCUUUUUGGUAGAUCCAAAGAAUUAUGGGUAGACACUUUGAAGAAGCUAAGAAAAGCUCCUCCCGAAGAAGUCCAAAAAACAUUGAGAAUAACUUAUGAGAGGUUAGAUUAUGAUCAAAGGCAAGUAUUUUUGGAUAUAGCUUGUUUUUUUGUUAAUGAAAAUAAAACCUAUCCUUGUUACCUGUGGAAUGAUUGUGAUUACUGCCCACACAAUGCCAUUGAAGUCCUUUGUCUCAUGUCCUUGAUAAAAAUCAAAGAUGACAAUACCUUUUGGAUGCAUGACCAAGUGCGGGACCUCGGAAGGGCAAUCGUUCGUGAAGAGAAUUUCAAAGAACCUCAUGAGUGUAGUCGAGUGUGGAAUCAUCAGGAAGCCCUAAGCAUUAUGGAGCAGAAAAAGGUAUAGUAAGGGAAUAACAACUCAUUUUCCUGUGAAUUGUUGUAGCCUAUUCUUGAAAAAGGAAAAAUCCAUCCCUAUUAGCGCUUGAAAUUGUUUGCUUUUAACCUUCACAUGUGACUUCUUGGUGUUUCCAUCGAUAGGGAAGCGAGAAGAUAGAAGCACUAUCACUAGGAUCUCGUGGAGUCAUCAUAACGCCGGGUGAAGUUGCUAAUUUACAACACCUAAGGUUCUUAAAUGGGAAUGAGAUGUUCCUUGUUGGAGACUUCAAUAAUCUUCUCCCCAAUUUAAGAUGGCUUUCUUGGCGAUGGUGCCCUUUCGAGUUUGUGGCAACAAACUUUCAUCUGGUCAAUUUAGUCGUUCUUGACCUUUCACAUAGCUAUGUAUCAGAGAAAUUGAUUGGCUGGAACCAAAUCAGAGUAUGAUACGAGUCUCACUCCUUGUAUACAAGUAUCUUUUCUUGUCUUUCUCGUUUUUUUCUUCCUAUAAAUCGUUUCUUAAUAUAUAUUUUUUUGCAGGUAGCAAGUAAACUAAAAGUACUAGAUCUCAGCAAUUGCAACAAUUUAAUGAGAACGCCUGAUUUAUCUAUGUUGGUGUCCUUGGAGAGAUUGAUUCUUGAAAAGUGUCGCAAUUUAAUUGAAAUUGACCCUUCCAUUGGAAAAUUAAAGCUCCUCACUGCUUUAAACUUGAAUGGAUGUGACGCUCUUGAAGAGUUGCCUUACGAAAUAGGAUGGCUAGAUGCUUUGACGGAGAUUCUCAUGCCUCAUUCGUGGUAUGCAUUCAAACUUCCGGAGACGAUUGGUUAUUUGAAGUCAUUGUUGACCCUUGAUGUAUCAUAUAGCUGGAUCCACAUGCUACCAUACUCGAUUAAAGGGCUAGUGAAACUUAGGCGGUUGAAUUUAUUUAAGUGUUUAAACAUAAAAUUUCUUCCACACUCGGUUGGGCAAUUACAUUCAUUAGUCGAGUUGGAUUUGUCAUCAACAAGUUUGGAAUACCUACCUAAUUCAAUUGGGCAAUUACAAUCAUUAGUCAAGUUGGAUUUGUCAUCAACAAGUUUAGGACACCUACCUGAUUCAAUUGGGCAAUUACAAUCAUUAGUCGAGUUGGAUUUGUCAUCAACAAGUUUGGGACACCUACCUAAUUCAAUCGGCAAUCUAAAGCAAUUGGUAGUACUUAGGAUGAACGACAUGAUUGGAAUAACAAAAUUACCAAGAGAGAUUUGGCUGAUGGAGAAGCUUGAAGAGUUAGAAGCUGGUAGAUGUCACCACUUGACUGGCGAAAUCCCUGAAGAAAUUGGGACGUUGUCUCGUUUAAGGAUCUUAGACUUGUCAUUCACAUGUAUAUCCGGAUUACCCACCACUAUGCGGUACCUCUGUAAUCUCCAAACACUUAAUCUAGAAUCAUGUUCUAAGCUUAAUGAGUUGCCGGAGCUUCCUCCGAGUUUGAGUUGUCUAAGGUGGGCCUUUGAUGCUCUCAAGUUCUACGGAAACAGGACAUAUAUGCUGGAGUGGGACUCUGCUUAUCACUCUAGCAUCUUACACCUAUAUGAGGUGGAAGAACCAACAUUUGGCAAAACCGUGCGAUUCUGGCCCCGGCUCCUAUCUUCUAGUUUAAGAGAGUUGGAAGUUGGAAAUCUGGCAAUUAUACCACGGUGGGAAUAUUCCCUUUUGAGCAACUUGUCAACCUUGCGAUUACAAAGUUGUUUGAUGUCAAAAUUCCUUGAUGUGAUCCCUGAGGAGGUUGUGAUCCCUAAGGAGGUCAAGCGCUCAACUUUGUGGGAGAAAGUAAAGAGAAUGCAAUUAAAACAAGAGCGAUCAGGAUCGUUGGAAAGAUGUCUGUUGGAAUCGUUGAAAAGGGAAAGAUCAAGAGAUUUAGAGAUAUCGGAACCGUUUCUGUUGGAAAUGAAAAGAUUGAGACAUUUAGAGAUGCGUAAGUGCCAGUUCUCCCCAGGAGCACUUCGUAUAUCGCACAUGAAGAUUCUGGAAGAGGUAAAUCUGUUCGGAUGCUCCUUGUUAGUCGAGAUCUGGGGCCUUGAAGAAUUGGGAUCCCUUUGCUUCCUAUCGAUUGUGGAUUGCAGUUUCAUGGAAAGGAUGUCAAACCUAUCGAAAUUGAGAAAACUAAGGAAGCUUAGAGUAGGAGAAUGUCCAAAGCUACGAAGCGUGGAAGGUCUAAAUCACUUGGAAUCUUUACGGAAGUUGUGGAUUCACGAUUGCUGCUCGUUGGAGAGUUUGGCUGACACCUCAAAUUUGCGUUUAGAAUGUUCCACAAUUGAACAUUGCAAGCAGUUGCCCAACUGUAACAGUUAUUGUAGAUGUCGUGACAACAGAGAUUCAGAUAUUGAACCUGACCAUGCCAAGUAUUUUUGAGCCGGUUACACUGAGCCCGACCUGACGAAAGUCUGGUGAGUAUGAUGUGAACACCCGUAUAUUGUGUUUGUAAGGAAGUCAGAUCAAGUCUUUAUCGUUGGGCUUACUGUGUUCCUUUUGUUUUUGUUUUUUUUUCCUUCUCUGAACUAGAAUUCGGAUGGUCUGAAGAAGGAAGGUUUUCCCAUGACAAUAUUGGUAACAAGUACGACCCAUUAAGAUUGAAAGCCAAUUUGAAGAUGAGAUGAUGUAGAGAGAAGUACGUUGAGAAGAUUGGCCCAAUGACCUCGACCAAGAAUGACCAGAUUUACGUGUCGUAACCAUAUUCUCGUCAUUGGGUGGAUACGACUUUGUUAUAACCAUGGAGUUUCCGUCUGGCAUGCUCGCGUAGCAUCUUCAUUUCCUCAAACUUUCCAUUUCCUGGUAAUCAGUCUCGGCUCUGUUUUCUUCUUAAUUUGGAUAUGAAGCAGAGGCCCAGGGCACUAGCUUCAGCCUGUGUGAAAAUCGGCUGCCAUUGAGGCUCUAUUAAUUAUCUGAACUUGCUGCGCUGCCUUUGUGGUAAUUAGGAUGUGAAUCGCUGCUUUACUUUUGCAUCUAAGCUCCUCUGCUGAAUAUCACAUCUUUGAUGAAAAUGCCUGAACGGAGAAUUUCCUUCACUACUAAACUGUUGAUCGAAUUUGGUCAUAUAGGCCUAUUUUGAAGAAAGUGAGCUAGAUCCAUUUGUGUUUGAUUAUGUAAUGCUGGCCGAGAACCUCAUGUAUAAAAUUGAAUCGAUCCCAAUGCGUUUUUCGCUGAAUUCAUAUGAAACCAAAGUGAUUCCUUUACUUGUAUGCUUAUUUCUGAACUUAUCCAGUUGAGUUGUGCUUGAAUUGACUCCCAUGUUCUGUAAAAUUUGCGGAAGCCCCAUACUGAUCAUGUCCAUUCUAUUGUGAAACUUGGAGUUUCUGAAUUUGCUUGAUUUCAUUUUGGCGUCUUUUGAUUCUUGUCAAUGUGUUUAUAGGAAAGUGUCAUCGUUUCUGUGUAAAUGGCAUAUAUGUGACUGAACCGAAUUGUUUAAUGCAUUGCAUCAGCAUUACUGAUAUGCUCAUUACAUGCACACGUACCGAUAUGUCGAUGCUAGGCUGAGGGUUCCCUUAUGAUAGUUUGGAUUUGCUUUUAAUUGGUUCAUGUUAUUUCGCUUACCUGAGAGCAUUCUCCUACUCAAUUCACUGAACUUUUCACAUCUGUUUGCAUUAUAAGAUAGGCACGUUUUGUGUCUCGAACUUAUGUUGUAUGAUUUUGAUUCAUGUUUUAAUACCUCUAAUUUUGCCAUAAAUGCAUUUGGACUUAUUUGAGUGUGCCUGAUCUUGCUUUCCUUAUGUCCGAGUGGGGAACUUCUCAAUUUGACAUCAAUUUGUUCUUCCCUCAUUUACUUUAUAAUCUUAAUUAGUCACGUUGAUACAUGAUGACUAUCACUAUUUGUGUUAAAUCAAUUUAUAUCUCGUGAUACCUUAUUAUUCAUUGAUUGGCCAUGGUAUGAGUGGGAAGUAGAUAUUCUCACCUACACAACUUUCGAGCCAAAACUGUGUAAAUACAUGUACAUUUGUCUGGUAUAUUAUAUGUUCAAAAUUACUCAUAAUUGAACAUUUUCAGCAACGAACACUAUUUCAAGCAUGAUUUCUUAUUUUAGGAUCAGUAGAUUUUAGAUUUUUAUCUUGAUUGAUCUUAGAUAUUUUUUGAUCUAGUGUUGCGAUUCUGAAGAUUCACUAUUCUGAAGAUUGUCUAGUUGAAGAUCCGCAAUGCACAAAUUUUGAAUAAAUUGUUGCAUUUGCAAAUUUGAAAUGGCUUGUUAUAUAUCCAGUGUGAGAAUUUUAUUUACAUAUAAAUAUUAUGGCAAGCUGGACGUACCCAAUGGGUACAGGGUUAUUUUAGUGACUUGGGGUAUUGGAAAUCUGUAACAUGUUUGGGACGAGUUUGGGAUGACUGUCCUUGGCGCAAACCUAUCCCAAACUCGUUCCAAUUCCAUCUCUACCAUCGGUACUUGCUUAUAUCUGUUAGGAGAUAAGAGUUAAUCAAGAAAUUUUUAAGUUAACAUGUCACUAGCCCCUUGAAUUUAAAAAGAUAGAAAGUGAUUAAACGCUAUCAAAAUCUAAAUUUGGUUCAAUUCACUGAAAAUGAAGGAAUCCAUUCGCUUCAACCCGUGGCCAGUGCUUGGGGACGUGGAUAAGAUGAGGAAAGAAGGGUAUGCGGAAAGAAUUGGCAAGAGUUUCACCAGUUUGAGAGAAGCAGGGAACAUGAAAGUCCAUUUUUGAUUGGGACGGAAAUAAAAAUACAAAAGUCUUCAAAAUUGUCCUGGCCCGAAUCAGCACGAAAAUUUUUAACCCGAUAAUAAAGCAGAACGGAUUGUUGACCUUUAUUAUAUGUAUUUCAGGUACGCCAGGUUUUCCGGCUUCGUGCUAUGUAGCCCAGAAUGGCCUAGCAAGAACGAUUUUUCUAUUUCCAUAUUUUAUUGAUUUAUAUUUGUAGAAUUUCACUAAUUUCUUUAAUCGUUUUUUUUUUUGUCGGUCCUAUUUUAACACUCACUCUCAGACUUUUGUCUUGCCUCUUUGUAAGGCGUGGGAAUCGAAACCCACUCCUGAAAUGAAACCGUCCCCACCCCAAUCCUUCCUGAGAAUGUGGUGAUUUGAACCUCCCACUUCCCCAUUUCAAGUUGGAACAGUGGCUAUUGGGGCGAACCCCCAAUGGUUACUAAUUUCUUUAAUCAUAAAUGAGAAAAAUGAAAUUUUACAGGUGAAAAAAUUAAUUUAUUGCACUAUUGAAAAUAGUGAAAAUUAUUAACAAAUUUCAAAAAUAAAAAAUUCUACACAGGUGAACAAAUUUCUAGCUCUAUAUAUUUUAAAGUUGGCUACCUUUCGACCCUAGCUCAGCCCUAACCCUGAAAGACCGAAAUAAUAAUGGACGGGCUAAGCUAAUCAAAACUCGGCCGAAUGAUGGGAAAGGAAGCGUGGCCAUCCCACACCCAUUUUCGAAGCCAAUUCAAGUAUGGACACAUAAGAUGGAAGGUCUUGUUCAGCUGCAUACGUCCAAAUUGGAAAGGAGAAUCAAAGACGGAAAGGAGCGUGCAGUUUCCCUUUUGACGAAGGGAGCAAUCUUGACAAUCAGGGACCGGAUUUCACGGCCAAAAGAAACACUAGAAAAUCUGGGCAUCAAAAAGCAGAGGAUUCUCGGGCAAGUGGGGAGGGAGAUUUUUCAGCAAAUAAUAAUUGUCAUAGAGAGCUCGAAAAAGAAAAGGGUGGAGCUUUUCUUCGCGGCCAAGAAAGAGAAAUACAGGGAGAGGAAAACUUUAAUAAAAAGAAGAGAAAAACAGGGAAGUGGUCAGCAAGAGAGAGUUCUAAAAAGAAGAGGAAAGUAGGGAAGUGGCUGGCAAAAGAAAACAGAGAUUUUAAAAAACAGAGGAGGCAGAUUCUUGUGGAGGAUAUGCAAGCAAAAUUGAAAAGACGGAGAGAGAGAGAGAGAGAGAGCUGUCAGGGCACACGCGUGAGGAAGUGACAGAGAGCAAAUGGUGCAAUUUCACCGUAAGUCAGUUUAAUUUACUUUUGAUGCAUCUAAAUUUCCUCAAAGUUACACUUUUCCUUUGCACUUUAAUUUCUAAGAAUUUUACUCCUCAUAGUUAAAUUUCUCCACCAUUUCAUCCCAAAGCCUAGAGCACCUUUCACUUGGAAAAAGCCAAAAAUGAAAUCAUGUUUAGCAGUGUUUUGAAAUUGAAUAAUUAUUGCAAAGGGCAUUUGCCAUCAUCUAAAGAAAUACUUUUGUUAAGGGAAUUUUUCCCGAAUAAAAAUAUACAAUUUUCCUCUAUUCUGACUAAAGGGCGCGUAAGAGUGUUCAGCUCUAAAGAUCUUCACUGUAUCUUAUCAUAAAAGGUUCCCACAUCCCUAUAGAGUAUACGGAUUGAACUGUAAUUGUUUCAGAGUUUUUCAACUUAGCUUCACUGAGAGAGAGAUGUUAUGGUGGAGAAGAGAACAAAAUUUCAAAUAAUAGUUGCAUCACGAGAUAGUAAAAUGUAGUAUAAUAAACUUAUUAAUAUCGAGUAUUUUCAAUUUUCAAGCGCCAAAUUAAAAGAACAUGUAUAUUGCAUUCAGAUCGAUUACUUCACAUAUGACUAACACAUAAAUAAAUUUCCUUAGUAAAAGGGUAGUUUGGUCUUUUAAUUGAGGAUUUUUCUCUAAAGAUGUACAUUCUAUAUAUAUCAAAAGCUGAGGAGCGUACAUGAUAAAGAUGGGAGUACUUUUGAAAUUUUCUUUAAUAUGAUCAAAGUAAAUAAAAACUCAAAAACCAUCUUUAUGCUCUACCUUGGUUUCACUUUAUAUCCUCCAUCUCUAAAGACAUGAAUCUAUGAAUUUGUUCUGUCACUUUCAUUAGUUGUCAGGUUUUAGAUUUUAAAUUCGUCAUUAAAUGAAUGGGACCCGGAAGUUUCGAGGAUGCCAAACCCAUUGAUUGAUUCAUGGACACUUUUAGGAAACUUCUCGGAUACUUCUCGAAUGACUCAAGUUGUUGACUAUUUUUGAGUCGAGGAAUAUUUGAAGUCAAGUCCCUUUUCCCCACGCCAGAGACUGAAAGAGCUUAUAAUACCAACAACCCUCGCUUAGAUCCAAGCACACGCAAAGCAAACUUCACUGAGAGGAAGAAAGCAUUUGAUAUCCGUGGCAUUUAGAGAUCCUACAAUGGAGAAAGGGAUGAGUUCACAGGUGUCAUCUGGAUCUUCAUAUGAAGAUUUUUCUCUAAAGAUGUACAUUCUAUAUAUAUCAAAAGCUGAGGAGCGUACAUGAUAAAGAUGGGAGUACUUUUGAAAUUUUCUUUAAUAUGAUCAAAGUAAAUAAAAACUCAAAAACCAUCUUUAUGCUCUAUCUUGGUUUCACUUUAUAUCCUCCAUCUCUAAAGCCAUGAAUCUAUGAAUUUGUUCUGUCACUUUCAUUAGUUGUCAGGUGUCAAAUUUUAAAUUCGUCAUUAAAUGAAUGGGACCCAGAAGUUUCGAGGAUGCCAAACCCAUUGAUUGAUUCCUGGACACUUUUAGGAAACUUCUCGGAUACUUCUCGAAUGACUCAAGUUGUUGACUAUUUUUGAGUCGAGGAAUAUUUGAAGUCAAGUCCCUUUUCCCCACGCCAGAGACUGAAAGAGCUUAUAAUACCAACAACCCUCGCUUAGAUCCAAGCACACCCAAAGCAAACUUCACUGAGAGGAAGAAAGCAUUUGAUAUCCGUGGCAUUUAGAGAUCCUACAAUGGAGAAAGGGAUGAGUUCACGGGUGUCAUCUGGAUCUUCAUAUGAGGUUUUUCUAAGUUUUCGAGGAUUAGAUACCCGUCAUACAUUCACCGAUUUUCUUUAUCAUGACAUGGAUGAAGCUGGAAUCUGCGUCUUUAGGGAUAGUGAAUCCCUCCAUGUCGGUGAAAAAAUUGGUAAGCUUUUACAUGCAAUUGAGAACUCUAAGAUCUACAUUCCCAUAUUCUCCACAAACUAUGCUUCGAGUGACUGGUGUCUCCGAGAGCUUGAACAUAUGGUCAAAUGCACCUCAAAAUCGAAUGGGAACAAAGAGAUUUUGCCCAUUUUCUUGGAUGUGGAACCUUCUGAUGUCAAGUUGAAAACAAAAUUGUAUCGAAAAGCUCUUUCAAAGCACCAAAAGACGUGCAGUGAAGUAGAGUCAUGGGAAAAGGCUCUCAUUGAGGUGGGCAAGAUAAUCGGAUGGAACUGGAAGAAAGAUAAAAGGUAAAUGUCUACAAUUUUUCAAACUAUCAUAUGUGGAUUUCCUUUUCCUCCAUAUUUAGUUUAAUUGCGGUAUUGCUGGUGAAAAAAUAGUUUAUUCAACUUUAGUAUCUCAUUCUUUUCAUUUUUUUCUCCCAAUUUCUAAAUUUAUUUUCUUUUUCAUGAUAAUUAAGGAUAAAAGAGAUUUUUUUUUUCAAAAAUUGAGAUAGAAUUAUAUAUAUCAUGUAAAAAUCAUGUGCCUUGCACAUGCUGACGACAAAAUUGAUACACAGUUAAUGGUCGUGUAACAAAAUGAAAGUGCAAGAAAUAUUGCGAAACAGUUGAAGGUUCGGCACUAAAUGUGUACUACCCGAAAUUUAAGAUAAUUUUGUGUAUUACCUCUGCUUUCUUUCAACCUCAUUUAUAUGGCAUUUGCAAUUUUUUUUAUCCUGGAUUUCAUAAGCAUUUAAGAAAAAUAUAGGAGUAUACAACCGUAUGGUCAUUCGCUCGCGAGUCUAAGGGGCCAUUUAAUUUUUAAGGAAUAGAAGAACGCAACUUAAAAAAAAAAAAAAAACGUUUACUCAAAAGGUGAAAAGCUGUGUUCUUUCGUGAACCUAGCUGCUCCACCAAGCCGCUGGCCAGCCACCGCAGCAGCUCUCCCUCAACCGUCACUUCUUCCUUGCUAGCCCGACAACAAGCCACCAUCGAGACAUCCGGCCCCCACCCUUUCUUUCUCUCAUUCACUCGGAAGUCGGAUAUGGGCUCGGGAUGUCGGGUCUGAUGUCACCGAGACCAUAUUUGGCGUUGCUGACCUUGGGCGACCUCAAAUUUGGCGCCGCCGAAGGCUGUUAAUGCAUCCUUGGCGGAUGCAAGGCCACGAGAUCCAUGUGACUUGAAGGAUUGAGGCAAGGCCGAGAUGGGCGGGUCGAUGGGGCGCGAUGGGCAACCCCUUUGGAACACCAUGGUGACGACCUGGGGAGGUGAGCGACGUCAGUGGCGGUGUGGUGGUGGCAGCGGCCGACAGUGAUGGUGACUAAAAUUGGGGGAGCGGAGACGGAUUGGAAAAAAUCCAGAUUAUUUUGACAUCUAGAUUAUUUUGCAUAAUUUCUGCAAAUUGUAGGAGCAAUUGAGUUACUCAGGAAGUAGUUUUGCAAUAUAAAAUUUAUCCUUAACACGGUUGUUACGUUGUUGCAGCCAAGCAACUCUGAUAAAAUCUGUGAUUGAAACUGUGUUGCGUAAGCUGAAUGUCGAAUAUAAAAAGAUUGUGACGGAAGAUCUAGUUGGAGUUGAUGAUCAUGUAGAAGCUAUAAUAAAAAAGUUGGAUAUGGGAUCGGAUAGUGUACAAUUUCUUGGAAUCCAUGGAAUGGGCGGGAUUGGCAAAACAACACUUGCCAAGGUCAUCUUCAACCGACUGUCUUCUCACUUCCACUACUCCCAUUUCCUUUCGGAUGUCCGAGAGACGUCACAACGCCUUGGUAUGGUAGGUUUGCAAAUUCAGUUGCUAUCCAAGUUCCAUGAUUCUCUUUCCAUCCUCAACCAAAUUCAUGACACGGAUCAUGGGGCCAUAAUGAUUGAGAAUGUACUUUGCAAAAAAAAAGUUCUUAUUGUUCUUGACGAUGUGGAUGAGGAAAAGCAACUCAAAAGUCUAGCAAAGAAAGUUGAUUGGUUUGGUUCCGGUAGUAGGAUUAUCAUAACUACUAGGUACCAAAGUGUCCUAAGCAUUCGGGUAGAAGCAACAGGUGAAGCCCCUGCAAAUAUUUUGGCUCAUGAAGUAUUUGCAAUGGAAUGUGAUCACGCUCUUAAGCUUUUCAGCAGGCAUGCCUUUAGAAGAGACUCUCCUCUAGAUCAUUAUAUCCCCCUUUCCAAAAAAAUUAUCCAUACUUUGGGAAAUCUUCCUUUAGCCCUUGAGAUUAUAGGCUCAUUUUUUAAUGGUAAAUCCAUAGAAAUAUGGGUAGACACAUUGAAUAUGUUAAAAGAAGCUCCUCCUAAGGAAGUCCAAAAAACAUUGAUGAUAACUUAUAAAAGGUUAGAUUAUGCCCCAAAGCAAGUAUUUUUGGAUAUAGCUUGUUUUUUUGCUAAUGAGAAAAAAACAUACGCUUCCUACAUGUGGGAUGCUUGUCGAUACUACCCACACAAUGCCCUAGAAGUCCUCUCUCUCAUGUCCUUGAUAAAAAUCAAGGAUGACAAUACUUUCUGGAUGCAUGACCAAGUGCAGGACCUUGGAAGGGAAAUCGUUCGUAAAGAGAAUGUUGAUGAUCCAUGCAAGCGUAGCAGAGUGCAUGAUCCUAAGGAAGCGAUAAGCAUUUUGAAGCAGAAAGAGGUAUGAAAAGGGAACAUUAAUUUAUUUUAUUGUGAAAUGUUGUAAAUUAUUCUUGUAAAAAGAAAAAUUAAUCGCUAUUAACAAUUGGAAUUGUUUGCCUUUGAGCUUCACCAUGUGGACUCCUUUGUGUUUCCAUUGUCAGGGGAGUAGGAAAAUUAAAGCACUGUCACUUGGAUUUCUCGAAGACACUUUUCCAAAGACUGAAGGAUUUGGAGAAUUUCAAGUACUGUCGGUUAGAUUACAUGAAGACAUAAUUUUAAAGCAUGACGAAUUUGCUUAUUUAGAGAAGUUGAGGUUCUUUCGAGGAGAUCAGGUGUGCUUUGUUGGAGACUUCAAUAAUCUUCUUUCCGAUUUAAAAUGGCUUUCUUGCCCUAGUUGCUCAUCCGUAUUUGAGGCAAAAAACUUUCAUCCGACUAAUUUAGUCGUUCUUGACCUUUCAUGGAGCAACAUUUCGGAAAAAGAUAUUGAUUGGAUCAAAGUACGAUACGAACCCCACUCCUUGUAUUCGUAAAUCGUUUCUUUUCACUUUUUUUUUUUUUGUAGGUGGUUUCUCAAUAAAUAUUUUAUCAAAUUAUUUUGUAGGCGGCAAGGAAACUAAAAGUCCUAGAUCUCAACAACUGCAUGCGCUUAUGGAGAGUGCCUGAUUUAUUUACGUUGGUGUCUUUGGAGAUUUUGAUAUUACAUGGUUGUCUUAUGAUAAAUAAAUUUCCGGACUCGAUUGAGAAAUUACAAUCAUUAAUCGAGUUGGAUUUGUUAAAAACAAGUAUAGAUCACCUACCAGAUUCAUUUAGCAAUCUAAAGCAACUGACGACACUUAGGAUGAGGGACAUUAAGGGAGGGUUGACAAAAUUACCUAGUGCGAUAUGGUUUGUUCAGUUAGUGAAUAGUCCUUUUUGGCCCCCCGGAUGUGAGCUAUAUUGUUUGAAAAUGCCAGACAUGUCAUGGACCCAAAUAUCCGAAUUACCCACCGCGAUGAGUCUAGUCUCUAAUAUCCUUAAACUUGAGAUAGCCGCAUGGUAUAGCAGACCGUCCUACCCCCUUGAUAAGCUGGAUAAUGUCAUUGAUUUUCCCUCUGAACCCAAUCGUACCCAAUCUCAGGUGGAAAAACAAAUAUUGGCCUCCCCAAACAUGCGGUUCCUCCUCCAGCUCCCGUCUAGUUUAAGAGACUCAGUAUUUCGAGAACUGGCGACCUCAUUUUUGCCAUAUUUACCUCAUGAUUGUUGGUGGAUGCCGAUAUUCGUUGGUAUUUGUGAUUCGGAGUUGGAGAAACUCCUUCUGAAGGAUUGCCCACUUUCAAGACGGCUUGAAAGGUUUAGGUCGAAAAUGAGAGAAAUCUAGUUCCAAUACCCUUCUGCAUCACCCCACAAAAGCACUUGAGCUGUCGCAUAUGAAGAAUCUGCAAGAGGGAGAUUUGUUCGAGUGCGAGCUACUAGUCGAGAUUCGCGGCCUCAAAGAAUUGGGAUCCCUUUCAUCCCUUGCGGUCACAUAUUGUAGGUCGACUGAAAGGAUGCCAGACCUAUCGAAAUCGAGGAAGCUAAGGGAGCUUCAAGUAGGAAAAUGUCCGAAGCUAAGAAGCAUGGAAGGUUUAGACCGCUCUCUAAAGUGUUUGCAGAUUCACGAUUACAGGUCGUUGGAGAGUUUGGUGGACACCUCGAAUUUAGAUUUAGAAUGUUGCCUGAUUGUCCGUUGCAAGCGGUUGCCCGACCGCCGCAAUUAUUGUAAACGUGGCCGGGGUUGCUAUUGUGAGAUGCUUUUCAAGGGGUUAUGGAAAUCUGACCCGAUGGAAGUCCAGCAAGCAUUACAGGGACACCUGGAUGUUGCGCCAGUAAGGAAUUUAGAAUGUGGCUUGGUUGUUGUGCUUGGUGUAGUCAUUUUGUUUGUUUUGUUGUUGUUCUGUUUUUUUGUUCUAUGAAAAAGGCUUUCUCCCGGACAAAUAUUGGUGAUGAAGCUAAGGAAGUGAACGGGGCACGCUCAUAUGAUGCCAAAACAUUGUCCAAUUUUGAUCAGCUUUUGAACAUAGUACUCAGUUCAUUGAUUGCUGUCCAAACAUGAAGCUCUUGGCUUUUUUAAGGAUAGAGUCUUGACAAGGAUGCCUAGCUGAAAAUCUAAAUUGUUGUCACAAGCUGGUAGGGAGAUCAGGUAAAAACAGUGGCUUAUGCUGUGCAAACUUACUCCAUGUCUUAUUUCAAGUUUUGAAAGAAGUGGCAUGAAGAAGUGGAUGCAGCUAUAGCCAAUUUUUGGAUGGGAAAGCUUAACUGAAGCAAAGUUAGAUGAGGCUUAAGUUUAUCACAGUUUGACAGAACCCUCCUUGCUAAGCUUGCUUGGAGAAUCCAAAGCAACCCCUCAGAAUUUUGGGUGCAAAUAUUUCAAGCGCUCUACCCUUUGCAGCUUUAUGGAAGUUAGAAGAGGUGGCAGAAUGUCUUGGGGAUGGAGUAGAGUUUUGGAAGGAGAGAUCUAAUUAAGGAAGGCAUGUUGUAAUAAAUUGCUAAUGGAAUAUCAGUCAAAGUUGGGGAGGAUAGGUUGGUGAAGGAGAGUUGAGACUUGAUGCUGCAUCCUUCAAUCUGACUCAGGUGAUAAAGGAAUUAAGAAUGGAGUCUCUAAUUGAUGCGGAUACUAAGACUUGGAACUUAAACCCCAUCAAAGACAGCAUGCGGCAGGAGGAGCAGUGACUGGUGUUGAGAAAUCACAUAAGAUCGAGAAGUUCCGAUGACCAAAUGAUUUGGCCCUGGAACAGGAUUGGUUGUUCUUCAGUAUAGUCUCUACCACUUUACCAUGCAGAAAAGAAAGAAACAUCUACUAAAGCCUAGAUCCUCAAGCUCUCAUACUAUUGACGGUAUAAUUUGGAAGUUAGCACAGGGAGUGGACUCUCCUCAACAUAAGACACUUCCUCUAGCAACUUUGCUUGAAUGUUGUGCCUGAUGCUGCUACAUGUGCAAAAGAAAAAAAAUAUAGUUUCUCCUGGCAAUGGUGCCCUUAAGAGUUUGUGGCAACAAACUUUCAUCUGACUAAUUUAGUCGUUCUUGACCUUUCACAUAGCGAUGUUUCAGAGAAAUGGAUUGGCUGGAAUCAAAUCAUAAUAUAGUACGAAUCUCACUCCUUGCAUACAUGUUUCAUUCCUUGUUGUUAUUUUUUUCCUGCAAAUAAUUUCUUAGUAUAUAUUUUGUUUUGCAAGUGGCAAGUAAACUAGAAGUACUAGAUCUCAACAAUUGCAAAUACUUAAUGAGAACACCUGAUUUAUCUAUGUUGGUUUCCUUGGGGAGAUUGACUCUUGAAGGUUGUCACAACUUAAUUGAAAUUGACCCAUCCAUUGGUAAAUUAAAGCUCCUAACUACAUUGAACCUAAAGGGAUGUGACUCUUUUCAAGAGUUACCUGGAGAGAUAGGAUAUCUACAAGCUUUGGCAGAGAUUGUCAUGCCUAAUACCCUACAUGAACUUUCGAAGAGAUUUGGUAAUUUGCCGUCAUUGUUGACCUUUGAUGUAUCACAUAGGCAGAUUAGCAAACUGCCAUACUUGAUUGGAGAGCUAGUGAAACUUAGGUGGUUGGAUUUAUUAGGGUGUACAAAGAUAGAGGAACUUCCAGACUCAGGUUUGGAAAUUACAAUCCUUAGUUGAGUUGGAUUUGUCAUUGAUAAUAUUUGUGGAUCUUAAAAAGACUUAAAGAUUGACAAGUUUCCUCUGUUAUGUGCAGUGAACAAGAAGCACCACUGUCCAUUUUUGAGCGAUGAAGAAUGGCGUUUCGAUAAAAUAGCCAAAUACGGCGCUCUAUGCAGUGAACAAGAAGCACUAUCCCCAAUCACUGAGUGACGAAGUAUGGUGUUUGCAGAAAAUAGCCAAAGACAGCGCUCUGCACAAGUGCAUGACUUCGAGAGGAAUCAACAUUGUUCAAGAUUUCCUCCAGCUGUACGAAGUGGAUGUACCUUUCUAAGAAACAAAGUGACUCUUACUCUCGAUUUCCUCCAGCUGUACGAAGCGGAUGCACCUUUCUAAGAAACAAAGUGACUCUUACUCUUCAAGCACUGCUAACUUCCCUUUUUUCCAGUUCACAUUAUUCUAAGCAUUGUUCAAUAUCAAAUCGUGGUACUUCUUUUGUGUGCGAUGUUGUUUGAGGUACUUGGAAAUGGGAUCACCAAGGGGACAUGGGAUCACCAAGGGGACAUGUGAUCAACGAUGACAAGAUGUAUUUCUACCAAGCUUUGAACAAGGCCAGUAUAGUGUUCAUUCGGUUAUGAAUGUUGCUCAAGCAGCACUCGAUUGCCAAAUUUACCAGUGGGUAGACAUAUUGGCCUACUCUCGGAAGGUACAUAAAUCAUAACCCGAAACUUCUCUAUCUAGUAGCUGAGUGUGAAUCUAUCUGGACCUAUAGAAAGGGCCUGUAUUUAUCGGAUUAGUCUGCUUCCAUGGCAGAAUGUAUACCACAAGCACUUCUCUUAAAAAAGUACCCGUUUGAUUUUGGGCUUGAUUGAACCUGCUGCUUGGUUGACAGAUUUUGUUGCAGAACUUGAAAUGGCUAGCUUACAAUAACAAGAAUCAAUGGUGGCACUCGAUGCCCUGCCCAGCGUCUCUCUUCUGAGAGGCCCAAGCAAUGUGCCUACAGAGCCGUCAAUCGGCCUGAGCCUGCCUCUUCAUCAUCUAUUUUACACAGAGCUAAAACAAGGUAUUGUGGUAUUUCAUCACUUCCAUCUAUCUUUUCCUUUUUUGCCUUCUUAAUCUUUCACAGUUUAGUGUUCCCAUUUCUUUAUUGGCACAUCUACCUUUUUGCACAUCUAUGGUAGCUGAAACUGAAAUGCAUCAUUAUUCAGAUAGACCAGAAGUGACUCCUGAAUUUAGUUACUCAAUGGUUUCAGCAUCGUGCUGCUACAAUGUCACAAAGAUCAGACAAUUAGGUUGUCUGGGGCCACAGUCAUAUCACUGCAAAAAUCUUUGAUCCGACUGUAAUUCAACAGCUUGGCAAGGGAGGACUUUUUGUCCAGUUUGAGUGCUGGCGAAAGCAGUCAUCUUCCUGGUUACACACAAGAUCUGUUUGUGACAAACAUCCAUUUGUCUCCUGAGGAGCUUUUCCAAGUGCCAUCUCCAAUCCCUGGCAAUUUAAUGUGGACACCGGAGCAUACUUUCAUCAUUGAGUUGAGAAGCGGGGCAGAUUUUGGGAUCUGCCCAUCUCGCAUGGGUUAUGGAGUCCAUAAUUCUAGGAUUGCAAGGCCCAAGGUGGCAAGGUGCAAGAUCCGUGAUGUGGUGAAGUGGGGAUUGGUUCAGCACGUUGUGGCUGCAAAGAGACGAGCAAUGUUCAGUUGUGCAAGUUAUCCAGCUGUAUAAAUGGAGAGUCCCAUCCCCCAAAAGAAUUUUGGGUGCUUCAGGAGCACGAAGCUCUCGCCCACACAAGCCAGUCAUCACAUGCGAAGUACAAAAAAGAAGGAAAUUCAUGAUACUUGAUGUGAGGAGAUUGUCCUGGGGGUAUGAGAAUGUCUAGUUCUGGGGGUAAGCUGCCCAGGAUGCAUCAUCGACUUAGUAUAAUGCAUGAUCACUGAGAUUUUCUCUAUUGUUUUUUGUUGAUUGUCCUUUCAUAUUUGAAGGAAGUUGUGCACCAUCAAGAUGGGGCUGCCAAUUGGACGUGUCUUCUCUCUAUGGGUCACGCAAGCUGAUCUUAGGAAGUACCUCAAUACAGGGGUUCUUCCUCAAGAAUUGUAAGGCUUUUGCUCUCUUCUUCAAGAAUUGUUUGGCAUUCUGUUUGUCCCAAAUACAUCAUCCCUUGAUUUGUCAGUUUACUGCUCUGAUAUGCUUAGUAGACUUUUCUUUGCUUUACAAAAUUUGUGAGUAUAUUACUUAGUUUGCGAGAUCCAAAGUUUCUCCUGUCAGCUUUGCUCUUAUUGAUCUGAAAUAUUAUAUGGUAACCAUUAGUCACAAAGCCCACAAUCUUGACGGUAUAUAGUCAAGGUUCUUCUAUCGCCAAUGUGGGACCUUGUUUUCCACGUAACAUUCCACCGAGUUCCUGUAGGCUUGGAUCUAAGACCGCGUCGAGACUAUUCCAGAGAAUAUUUCUGGGAGAGAAAAGAGAUGAAUUUUUCUCUUUCUAAAUUGAGCAGUUUUGCUUUCAUCUGUGAAAAAUCGAAAUGGAGACAAUUCAUCUUUAUCAUUGAAAAUCAUGCAAGAUGUGCAAAGUUUCCCCUUUGAUCAAUGAAGAGUCCUUAUUUGAUUGUGAUAGUGAGUUCUAACCGAAGAAAUAGGGAGAACCAAAAAGGUAUUCUUGGGCAGAAAGUAAGAUCUGAUUACGAACUUGUAAAGAAAAUAGUGUACCAGCAAUCUAGGACGUUGCACACGCAUACCACGUACCUAAAAUUGUCGAUGGUGUUAAGCAUGUUUUAGUUCCUAAAUCUGUCAUAGGUAACAGCGCUGAAAAAUGGAAUUCUUCUCUUGUAGGGCAAGGUCUUGGCAAGAAAGAGUAUUGGAUUUAUUUCCGCUAUGGUGAAUAUGCGUGGGGACGAGGAGAUUGAGAACGGAAUGUUCCUUAUGAACUUUUCCUCUUCCAGAACAUUGCACACUAUUUUUUUGUGCUGCGAAAAUGGAAGCCUGAACUGCAAAGUUAGGAGGUCUCCGAUGUGAAAACUGUUGUCUAGGCUAAGCUACAGAACGUUCCUCUGUAUCUUCUGACAUUGGAGGGAGGUCUUGAGGGCUUCUUCAAGGGUAAGAAAGGACUAAGACAGGUUGAUCCUUUAUUGCAUAUUUUUCUUACGGUGAUGGAGGUUUUCCCAAAACUGUUCAGUAACGCUGCAAAUCAUGGCAAAUCAAAAUACCAUUCUCAGUGCUCUACCGUGAAACUUGCUGACGAUUUGAUUCCAAAGGGGAUAUGGAUUCUUAAAUGAAACUAUUGGCCUUGUUUCAGAGACCUAAUCACACGUCAGGUCAUGCUUUCAUCCAUCUUAAUUUUUUAUAUAGAAUAUCAAUAAAGUAAUUGUACAAAAUUAGUAUGACUAGUAACUCCUUUUAUUCCAAAAUGGUAUCUACCUAUCAGUAACUAGUGAUUUUUCCAUGCAAUAAAUUAUGAUGAAAUAAGAAAAUAUAAUUUUGUGCCUAUCUAUUGUUAGUAACUCUCAAUGUUCAUAGUAAUUUCUUUAGACUUUGCUAUUCACGUGAACUUACGUUUAUUAACUUAGUGGUGAGAACAUGUAAGAUUUUAUGUCAUGAACAUAUUACAUCUAUUGUGAGUGUUAGAUAGGCUAUGGUACUAUUGAAUUAGAUUGUGCCAUUUGACACACAAGUUUUCGCUUGAGGUCUUCUCAUUCAUUUAAGAAAAUAUGAGAUCAAGUUCGACAGAGUUUGACCCCCAAAACAAAAUUAUUGAUCUUGCAAUUCUCAACUGCAUUUCUUCGCAUUUAAAUAUUAGGGACAUUUAAAUUUUAGGCAUAAAGUAUUCGCGUCGAAUAAAGCAUGGAUCAGAAUUUCUUCGGGAUUGGCUCGAUGGAUAGUCUAAUGUGGAAAAAAUGAGUCCUGAACUCCCUUGAGGUUCCAAAAUUGAGCCUGCACGAGCCCGGUCCUAACCUAAUCAAACUCGGCCUAAUGAAUGGAAAGGCAGCGCAGUCAUUCAAGGACAACAAGGGAAAUUUAAAUCACCCAACACCCAUUUUCGAAGACCGCUCCAGUCCGAACGCAUAGAUGGAAGGUCUUGUUCAGCUGCACACGUCGAAAUUGGUAGAGAAGGCAAGGGACAAUCAAAGGAGGAAAGAGGCGUGCAGUUUCCAUCUUGACAAAGGAAGCAAAAGCAGGGGAUUCUUGGCCAAACGAAUACAAGAAAAUCCGGGCAUAGAAAAGCAGGGGUCGGCAAAAGAAGAGAAAGAGAAACAGAGGAGGCAGAUUCUCGUGGAGGAGGUAGAAAGAAAAAAGAGGAGAGAGAGAGAGAGAGAGAGAGAGAGAGAGAGAGCUGUUGGGGCACGAGUGAGGAAGCGACAGAGAGCGAAAGAUGCAAUUUCCCGUUUAAUUUCCUCGAAGUUCAGUUUUCCUUUGCACUUUAAUUUCCAAGAAUUUUACUCCUCAUAGUCAAAUUUCUGCAUCAUUUUAUUUUAAAGCCUAGCGCACCUUACACCUAGAAAAAGCCAAAACCAAAAUCAUGUUUAGCACUAUUUUGAAGUUGACCGACUUUUGUUCAGAAAAAUCUCUCUCCCCACUUGUCCGAGAACCCUCUGUUUUUUGAUGCCCAGGUUUUGUUGUUUCUUUUGGCCGUGAGUUCUGGUACCUGAAUACCGAGAUUGCUCCCUUUGUCAAGAUGAAAACUGCACGCCCCUUUCCUCCUUUGAUUCUCCUUUCCAAUUUCGAAAUGUGCAGCCGAACAAGACCUUCCAUCUUAUGAAGAUAUGAUAUUCUAGAAGAAAGGGAAAGCAAAUAUAAUCAUUGUCAAAGAGAGCUUCAAAAAGUAAAGAAUGGAGCUUUUCUUCACGGCCAAGAAAGAGAAAUAUAGAGAGAGGGAAAUGGUACAAGUAAGAGAGAAAACUUUAAUAGAAAGAAGAGAAAAAUAGGGAAGUUCUCAGGAAAAAAAAAAAAAAAGAGAGAGAGAAAGAAAAACUGGGGAGGCAGGUUAUCAUGGAGGGGGUGCAAAAAAAAAAAUGAAAACACGCGCGAGGAAGUCACAAAGAGCAAAUAAUACAAUUACCCAUUACACUCUUCCUUUGCGCAUUAAUUUCCAAAAAUUUUACUCUUCAGGAUCACGUUAAAUAAAUUUAAAGUUUAGAUACCGCAUUGUAAAUCCAAACUAUGAUUCUUUGCUAUUCCCAUCACGUUUCUGCCAUUUGAUCACGCCUGUUAAUCUCUCAUUGUUUUUGCUGUCAAUCUCUCUCGUUUUACCUUCGUAAUCCCAAUUCCCUGAUCCCAAGGAAGGUCGAGAAAAUCCUUGGGUCAGGCCCUUGGGCCUAAUGGGCCGGUCCAUGCCCAAUGGUCACUGAUUACUAGCAAGAUAAAACAUUCCUCACCUCCAUAAAUUGAUCCUAUUCCUCUCAUUUUUUGUCACCAUUUUUCAAUCUUCACUCGCAUAACACUUACAAACGCACUUGCUCUCUAAAAUUGAACACCAAUUUCAUUUAUUUCUUUUCCUCUUUUAAAUAUUUAAUCGCGUUCUUUCGAUAGCAAUGGAGAGCAACAGCUAUAACUGUGUUUGAUUAGGUCGACACAAUCCGGACUUCACCUUGCAAUUGCCAUGGAAAACCGUUCAGUGAGUACCGAGGAAAAAACGUCUAUAUGCCAUUGCAUCUUUUUUGAAUGGUCUAUUUAACGAUCAAAAUAAUGGAGAAUAUUGUUUUUUUUUUUUUUGAAAAGGUGUUUGGCAUUGGCAAAUGGAUCUCGCAAAAUUUAAAAAAAAAAAAUGUAUAGUUUAAUGUUGCAGAUUAGUUUGUGCAUCUACCCAAUUGGAAAAAGUAUUUUACGUUAUGAUUAUACUACGUGACAAUGCUGAUACGACUUAGAAGACCAAUCGCAUUAUCCAAGUGAUUAGCACCUUAUCCUACUUGAUGCGACAUGUGAUCUACAUAUCAUUUUUUAUUAGCUUGCACAUCAUAUGUCACCGUCACGUCACAUAAAUUACUGUUAGCCAGUCAUAAGAUGGUCGCUACUCCCUCCAUGAUACAAGUGGGAAACCUGUAACCUUCGACUUGCAAAUCAAGUUCUGGUUUAUGCGACCAACCGCAGAGUGGUGAAUGAGUGUUGGGGAACAUUCCUUUUUUAGCAAGAUUUCCAUGACGCCCUUACGCUUGGAAAAAAAGUAAACAAGGGUAGAAAUCUAAAUGAAGAUGUGAGAAGAUGAGAAUUCAGACGGCAGUGACUCAUGAACAAAAACAAUGGGAUGAACUAAGGACGUGACCUCUGUUCAAACUCCAAAAGCAAAACCAAAGCUCUCCCACAGGCGACAAACACCAGAAGGGGAAAACCUACAAAUGCCACAACAAAAGAAUGGUCCGGUGUAGAACGAACAAUCUGCACCUGAUUCUCUCGAAUGCACAGAGUCGACAGGGAACGAAACUCAAGAAGAACCGUGACCGUAUGUGUCAACGAAACUCAAGAAGUGCAGGCACAUAACUAUAGAGUAACUUGAUUUCGAUUACCUUUAUUAGACCAUGGCAAAUAUGUACAGAUAAUAAUUAUUUUGAAGCCUCGAGCAAAGGAUGCACAUCCAAGCAGGAGCAAGAGCAAGGGGAGAGAGAGCCAGGCAGAAAACAAGAUCCUAGUUAUGUAUAAAUAAUAUCUAAGAAAAAUAGGAAAAAAGAAAGAAAGUACUUUCCCCUGCCUGUUUCCUCGAGCACGCUCGGUUUCUGCAGCAACAGAAGGCAGCCAUUGCUCUCAAGGGAGCUUUAUUGUCAGAUGUCAAACUUUUACCCCCAGAUUCAGUAAAAACUUGCACGUUCUAGGACCCAUUCAGGACCAUGAACCCAGAUGAUGGUGUAAAUUAUAUUGUUGGCUCGAAUGGCCUUCAACUUUUGGCUUCGAAACUAGCAAGACACCUGUUCUGGUCUAAACAAACAAGUCGGUAAGAAACCCCCAUCCAAAAAGAACGAAGCAAAAGAGCAAUGGCAAUCACAGGUCACCUGAAUGUUCAGAUUCGCAACUCCAGAUAUAUUUAUUUCUGAAUCAUCGCCAAUAUUGAGCCCACCGAUGGAUAGUUUCCACCAUUUGAGGGAACAAUGCAUUAACACUAUCAGUGAUAAGACCCUGAAAGAAAUGUAUGCAGGCUUCAUCGUCCAGGUCCAAGCUGAACUUCUCCUGAAGCUGUAAGCAUAGACAGUCUCUGUCAUGACCAAAAGCAUGACUUCACCUCUGGACAGAAAAGAAAAGACGAUGCACAGAAAUGGGUUCUAACCUUAAGCAUUCCUUUUUCAGGAUCAGAAGCGAUGUCGGGGAUGUUAGAACCCGCCAUCAGAUGGAAAAGGUUCAAGAUUAGGUUACUUGAUUUCCGGAGAAUAUUGUAUGCUUCGCAACAAUAUGUCUUGAAUCUUGUGUAGUACUGGCUGAGGAAGGAAAAUGUCACCCAUUAACACAUACAUAACAAUAACAAUUGCCGCUUUUCAUAAAUGACAAAAAUGCAUAUCUAUACAUCAACACCAUUCUUAAAUCUUAAAGAGCAUUAAAAUAGUGACCUACCUUUCAGUUCCACCCAUAGCUUCUACCAUUUCUUUGCAAAGUUUCAUUGGGGGUGGAAAUGGCUUAGGAUCACGGCCAAGAAUAAAACCAAAGUCAACAUGGAAAAGACGUCCAUCAUCCCUGAGAAGAAGGUUGUCCAGGUGUCUAAAGGACCAGAAUCAGCAUUAGAAUAUUAUCUCUUUGAUAAUAAAAACAACUAAAUCAACUAAGAAAGCAUAAAGCGGACGACAUGGCACUUGACAAACUACUUAUGUAAUGUAGAGAGGAUGUGUAUUCUGAAGAGGACAUGUAAUAAUCUUCAAUCAUCACACCUAAUCAAAUGAAACUAACGUAGACAUAUAUUUUCUAAGAUUGUCAAAAAGAAAGUCCUGUAUAUUUCACCAAAAAAAUAAAAACCUGAACUACCACUCGAACGAAGCCUAUCAGGACUAUUUAGCAUUGCACUCGACACCAAAGAAUAUCGACAGAGUGGAAGACUAAGAUAGAAGUUCAUUCUUUAACCACGUAGUCAAAUUCAAAAGUGAGGUUAUGUCUUUUGACAAGCACAUAGUUAAGAGAUUUUUACCAAACAAAACAAACAGUGCAAAAUAGCAUUAUCUGAAAUAAUAGCUCCAGCUCCAACACUAUUUAAAUCAAGAAAUAAACAUAUAACAAGAGAGAGAAAAAAUGAAUCUUAAUGCUUGAAACGUAAUAAUUGCAUUCAGUUAUCACCUGUCUCCAAUACCAAGUAUAUAUGUAAUAACAGAGUACCCAGCACAGCUCUUUAUGAACGUAUCAAGGCAUGUAGCUGUAAUUCCGAACGGUCCAUGCUCAUCUGGAUGAAACUUCUGUAGAUAACUGAUAAUGCUUCAAUGCUCUGAGAGAAUCUACAUGUAGGUAGAGAUGUCUAGUAAAUUCAAAGAUCACUAUUUAUCAUAACAUUCAACAGCAGUUUGGCAUUAAUUAUUCAAAUUGCAUAAAAAGAAAGCUUCAUUAACCUAGUAUCUGCACCUUACUAAAUUGCAUUUUGCUCUAAGUCAGGCAACUGAAAGACAUCGUUUGAAAAAUCAAGUGAAUGAGAGAUAAUGAUAUCCUGUGAAAACUCUCGGAACCAAAUUUGCAUCUAUCCCUUGAUUUUUUAUGAUGCAGCACACUCUAUUUCCCAGUAAUCCAUAUCUUAUACCUAUUAUGAAACAGAUUAACUUAAACUACCCAUCAUCGAAAGUCAUCUACUCAACUUCAAUAAAAAGGACCUUAAAUAAUUAAUAAAUAGUCUUUGGGGAAUAAGUUACCUGUGCCAAAGUCCGAGAAGGUAUAAAUUCCAACAUGCCUUCAUCUUGUCCCAUGGCUAGUACCUUAUACGGAGUCAAGCACAAAUCCAGGUUCUCCAACUUAAGUAAUCGAUCCAUAAGAGAGACCAUCUGGAUAACCUACAGCAAACAGAACAUUUUGGUGUUCCCAAAACAUUUUUCAUCGAUGUCCAACUACUUCUCUUUCUCAAAAGAGCAAAAACAGACUGAGAACAACGGCAUAAGAAACAAGAAAAAAAUUCCACGAGCCAGAAAGUUAAAGCUAUGGAACAUAUUUUUAAUGCAAUAAUAGAGGCUUAAUUACCAAUUGAUCUUGUCGAAUAUCAUCUCCUUUCUUAAAUAUUAUCUUGCAACUUCCACCACUUGCUGUUCUGAAGGUAAGACGAAGAGGAUGAAGUGCACUUUUAAAUAUUGAGGACUCUGAAGGAUCAAUACCAGUGAUGAGGACACCGGGAGUGAGUGGGGAUCGUAUUGGCUGAGAAGUAGAAACAAGUUGUCUGAAUCAAGCUAAAGUCAGAGAGUGGAAAAGACAGUUCAACAGAAAUUAGAGAUACCUCCUCAAAAUAUGUGAGCUCACUUAGAAGACCAGAAAGAAGCUGUCUAAGUUUCUCGAUCUUUUUCUGGGUAUUGCCACGUACAUUUCUAACAUCCCUCAUUAUGGAACACAACUGGGCAGUCAACUCUGUCUGAUGCACCAAACUUUGCCAGAGUUUAAAUCCAUCCUCAUUUCCAUUGACAACAGAUGCCAACUGUACGAAUUACAAUCUAAUAACUGCUGUGCAGAACUAUUUAAUAACAUCUCUAGCUUAGUCUUUCAGGAAAUAGACACAGCAUGUAGCCACUAUACUGAAAGAUGGUGAUUCCACUAAACAGAGCCAACCCAAGAAUAAGGAACUCAAGAAAUUACAAUGAAAUUUCGAUGAUUUCUUAAUCAAAAAUCCAAAAAAAACCAUCACACAAAUCGGAUGGCAUUUCUCAUUCUUUUCUACAGUUGGCUGAUCAUCCACAUGUAGACACAUUUGAGAAGCAUACAUGCUCAAUCACGGAUAGCACCUCCAGUACCAUACAACAGAGAAGCCCACUUGUCUUUUCUUAGAUAAAUAGAUGAACAGAAGAAGAAGAAGAAGAAGAAGAAAAACAAUAGCCCAAUUCAGUCGGAGUGAAACCCCCACAAUUGCUCCUAAAUUUAAAUGCCCCAUACUUUGCUCUUAAAGAACUUAACUGAAGGAUCUCAACCAAACAUCAAGACAACGUUUUAACAUUUUGGUACAGAACCACCAUAAGAGGAAAGAUAUAACAACAAAGCCAGAACCUUGAAGAACUCAAACCUUCAUCAUAUGCUCUUCCAAGAUCUCGUAAGUACAGUAGUAUCGUUUAGCAAAAGCACAAUCAUGAAGUUCCACAGCAACAUACCACCGGAGAAAGCUUGCCAGCUCAAUAUUACGCAAUGCUGUCAGAAAAAUUUUCUUUCGUUAGCAAGAAAAAGAUAAGACACUACUGAUUCCCAAAGAAGAUGAGGCAUACAGCGUUGCACAAGAAACUGAGAAAGGCAAGAUUUAUCAGAUCGUUCAAAGCGAAGAGCCUGAACCAACUGAAGCAAGUAGCACUGCAGCUCUUCAACAUCAGCUCUCUCAAGCACACUGACAGCAUAUGCACGAACCUGCAGUGAAGGCACCCAGAAGCAUAACAGCAUGAGACCCUUUCAUUUCCAACGACAUUGUAAACUCUGAACGUCUCUCUCAGAUGCAUGCAUUUGAUGCACUGAAAUCCAUGAUGCUAAUGAACUACAAUCAACAACCAACCCAUCUAUCUGGCUGGAGGGGGUACAAGCAUGGAAUGCUCAUAAUUUGCCAAACUAUCUGAAGUCUUCAAACUUAUAACUCCUUUUCAAUUUUUUUUCCUUUUAGUACUUUGUAACUGAAAGUAUUUAAUGGAAAUCACUGAAUAAUCUAAAGCAGAGUACUCAAAGAGAGAUUCCAAUCAUCAGGUUGUAUCCCUGUAUCCUCUGUGAUAAAGCAACAACACAAAAAUUUUCUGCCAGCAUGUAUGAAGAAUAAGGAUUAUCCUAGGAACACAAGAAACAAACCUCUUACAAAACUCUUACCUCCUCGCUUUUGAAAACAGGAGAUAAUAGUUCUAGGGCAUCACAUACAUCAAUUGUUUCCCACCAUCCCAUUAAUUCUAAUGCCUGCUUAGCUUCCUGCAAGAAAGGGGAAAAAAAAAUUAAGAACAAGGAUUAUGAUUCGGUGGUACAUAUCAAAGAUCAUUUGGAUACUCUAUUAAAGGUUUUACCUGCAUAGUUCCUUCAAAGAGGUGCUUAACUAGGACCCAGAAAAACUUUGCAAAUUACCAUGCUGCAAUUAAAUACUUUGCAAUCCUAAAGCCUGUCAUAUGCUCUGUUAUGUCCGUGCAUGAUUUGACCGCGUAAUGCACAUUUACAUGGCAUAUGCAAGAGAACUUAAUAUUCUUUUAUACAGACAAGUAGGAGCCAAACAGAGGCGAUGCUCAGAGCAUGAGGACAGGAAAUGAUGUGCCAGUCAACAGGCAUUAGUGAGAAUACCCACAAUAUAUAAGAGACACAUCAAAAUAGUGCUGACCUGAACAUCACUCCAUUCAACACAGCGAAGGAACUUUGUGAGAGCUCUCUUCUCAGACAUCAAAGAAAAGCGAAAUUUCCAAAGGAGCUGCCUCUCGUCUCCACUUAAAGUCCUUGUAGGAGGAUAUUUAAGUAGUUUUUGUAUUGACCUUACAAUCAAAAGAUUGAGCAGGUUUUACUAGCAUGAAAGGUGAAAGUUGGAAGAGAAGUACAAUAUUAGCAGUGGGACAACGGAGUUAUCAGGAAACAUAUGAUGACUAACAUAAACAAAUAAAAAAAUGAUUUUGCAAGAUUUAUAGCAUUAUUUAACCGCAAAAACUUAGACAAGGAUACUCAGCUCAAUUUAAUUCUGUUUAUGAAGUGUUCAAUAGUUGACUCGAUUUAAGGCAAGGUGAAGUAGGCAAUCAGAGGUGCAACAUCAUUCAAUCUAACUGUUUGCCAAAGAGAGCUGGAUCUGGACAUGUAAGUAUCCCAUAAACCUCAAUUUAACUGUAAUUUAACAAGGCCAACACAAUCGCAAACGCCUCAAUAUUCUUUCUCUUGGUUCAUGCAUAUUCCGCAGCAGGUUAAUAUUUUAAGGAUAGAAGUUUCUUCAAGCAUGUUAAGGAUAUCAUGAAAAAUGGCUUUCUAAAAUAACUAAACAUGAGAGACCUCACCAUCAAGUGACUAAAGCACGUGAUUGCUUCAUUAGAUGAAUAAUUACUUAGAACUCAUGAAUAGCGCAAACUGAAGUAGGUUACUAUGAUGUUUCAGUUGGUGACAGUCUGCUCUGGCAGGCAGCAGGGAACAAACUUACACAAAGCAAAUGGUGGGACAAGAAUAUAUAGCAAAAUCUAUGUUAACAUAAAAGUGUUUCACUCCUUUACACCUACUUCGGCUUCACCCAACUUCUUUAAUGGAAGAAAAAGAGUGGAAUAAAGAAAUAAUGAUCUUGACAUAAAUCAGAGUCCCAUUCAAAGUGCACAACGGUACAUGAUAAUUGAAUUUAAGAGGUUUUUUCUUGUGGGUCAAACUGAAGAGGAAUUAAAGAAAACCAAAACAUGGCCAAUUAAUUUAGAGAUAACUGAUGCCAACAUCAAUGCAGGAUUAUCCCAUUGAGAAAUCAACUUGCGUUCUGGCCAAUUUAAGAAUCAAUGCCACUCUAUACAUAUAUACACAUGCAUAGCCACACAUACGCCUAGAAGCAUGCGGUCAAACACAGAAUAGCUGAAAACAUAUAGAGCCUUUAUCUACAGGAGGUUUAUACAUAAUAGCUCUAUCAAUUCAUGCAACUUUUAUUGCAAUGUAUCUUUCUUCUGGAUGUAAUGAUGACGACAGCUGCUUGAAGAAGAAAAGAGCAGAGUAAUUUGCCCUUAUACUACAAAUACCGUAAAUUGUAUCACAGUUUCUAUCACAUAAGAAAAAGUCAGACUUACUUCCUUUGAGUAGAGUUUGGUUUAAGAUCCUUGUCAAUGAUACCACGGGUUAAACUCCUUGCUAGCUUUAGUUGCUUGUGCUCAGAUGGAUUUAUCCUUCCCACUUCAGGGUCCCAUACUAUAACAAGUUCAUUUGUUAAAACUAUUGGUGGAGGUAAGAAAUUCGCCCCAGAUUCCUACAAAUCGACCAUAAUACACUUUUUUCACAAAAGGAGAAUUAAAUGUUUCAUGGAAGGUCAACUUGCUAACCGAUGCACAGAAACAUAGUGUCUUGCCAAAGAAAAUAGCCACAUGAGCCACCAAGCCCGGAAACUGAUAAAGACAAACUAGCAACUAUCAAGCACCACUUUUAUAGAAUUCUAAAAGGGCAUCAACUCUGCAACAUUCAACAGAAUAGAUAAAACAACCAAAGUAAAUGGAUUGAGCAUUAAAGACUUUCCAAUAUGCAUUAAGUUGGCAACAGCCAUCAUACGUCAAUCUAUGUAGGAGAAUGUUGAUCAAACCAUAGAUGACUUCUAACGUCUCAUCUCAACAGUAAAUUUUGCCACGGUGUAAGCUAAUAGUGCAAGAGGCUAAAAUUAAUGCUACAGCGCAGAAGUUUUGUAGUAAGUAGGACUAGGGUUACGGAAGUACAUUGAAUAUCUAAUCACAUGUAGUAGAAGGGAAACUCUUCUUAGGAAUAAAAAUAUAGUCCUUAAAAUCGACAUCAAAGAGAUUUUCUCCAGAACAAAGAAAUCCCUACUCUAAGAAAAUACUGAGAUUGAGUACACAGAGAGUUACAGCACUAAACUCCAGUCACUCUGCAUGCACAUUCACAAUAAAACAGAUCUAUCAGUGUAGGUGAAUACAACCUCUUUUCUUACAUCAUGUUUCACAAUUAGAGUUAGGAAGGUAUGAGAUUAACAGAGAAGUAGAGAAAGGAAAUUAAAGGAAAACAAUAAAAAAUAUCUUAGUUUCCUUCACUAAAGCAUAUUUAAGGGAAAAUACAAAAACGAUAAUGAAACUAGAUAAUGGACCUAAAUGACCUUUGUAUUGUCCACAAUUCAAACAAAAGUUAGGUAGUAAUGGAAAGGUGCCUGGGUGCAUUUCCUUCAUAUAAUGUUGUCCUAGAAGGAAUUGCUUCCUCUAACUUCCGCACAUUUUCUCCUUUCAAUUAACCAAAUAGGGCAAAUACUCUUGGCGAGUAUAUCUCCUCUCCCUUUCCUCUGUCCACACUCUUACGAAACCAAUGCUUCAUAUUGACAUCAGCUUUACUAAUGAUAUUACCAAUACAAGCAAGAUAGUUGUCAUACUAAGCAUAUGGCAUGUCUCUUGGAUUUCCUACUGUUGGCCAGGAGAAGGAGCUUUAGACAAGAUGAGGAAAACCAGCACUAACUGACAUUACAGGUAAGCAUGAAGUUUUCUGUGACGAACAAGAUAACAAACUGUGGAAAAUGAAAUGGAAUUCCGCUUCAAAUUCUCUUUUGUCAACAAAGCAUGUGUUAACCCAGGAAUAGAAGAAAUGCACCAGCAACAUACUUAAUUUUCAUUUGCUUAUAUCAUGGUGAAGAUACUACAUCCAACAAUAAUGUCUGAUAACCCAAUAUCUAGCAUCUAAAUGUUUUUCACAACAAGCACCAUCACACAGAAUGAGAGGCCUAUAACUUUAUGCAAAGUAAAGACGCCUGAUGAAGAGGAAUGAAGAAAAUAGAUGGACAAGAGAAAGUCGUGACGGUGAUACAUUGUGCUUUCAAUAGGCUCGCUGUCUGGUCUAAUGGACAAGUUUUCGAGGCAAUGUGCACAACUUGAACAAAAAACAAACAAACCUUUUAGGAGAUAACAACAUUGUUAUAGCGUUCUUCCUGAAUGUUUACCUGGAAAACAACUUGAUGUUCAAAGCUACAAAAGUCAACAACCAGGUAUAGAUGGGAAUUUCCAAUUUUAUUGCUCUCCCGUUCCUUGACUUUGUCCAUAGCUUUAAAUGCAAGGUGGUCUAGCCAAUCAAUUCGUUGAAUCUGUCCUUUUUCAUAUUUAUUCAUAAGCUUUUCCAAGCGCUCCAGCUCACCCCGCUCAUGCUUGGGGACCUAAAAACAUAUUGCAAGUACCCAAAAUCAUCAUUGCUUUCAUGCCCAAUCUGAAAGUUGUAAUCACCAGCAUAACAUGUAACAAGCAGAACCUUUCCAGGAGUAUUUGUUGGAAAUGAGCCAUCAGCUUCCUUUCCUUGCCAAAGUCUAAGCUUCUGCUUCCCAGUUUUGAGCUGCUUUUUGCUGCUAAAUAGAAGAAUCGUAGCCCCACCAAUCAACCCCUCCUCUUUUCCACAAGAAACAUCCCAGACCUAAAAUUUUUAUGUCAAAACAAGAAUUUUUUGCUCUCAAUUAGAUGUAAAAUUCAAUUAGAUACCAUAGAUUAACACCAAGGGUGCAAGCAUCAAAUUCUCCCUGAACCACAUUUGAGGGAUAAAAGUUUAUGAACCAUUUGCAUCUGCAGAUGAAACCAUUGCCUCAUCACUUGGGAGACAAAUGUGGUGAUAUUACCUUAAUAACGAUAUCAAGAACCAGCUAAAGUUCACUGACCAUGCCUCUCAACAGAAGCUAAGUAUUAAUGAAAAGACAUGCUUAGGUAAUUUCAACAUAAUGUGGGAUGAUAAAGAAUACAGUAAAGAACAUAUGGUCCAAGUAUUAGCUCUGAGCAAACAGCCUUUCACUAUGGAUCAACUUUGUCAAAGGAUAAUCAGGAUUACAUGUAGCAAUGCCAUGUUAAGAUCGGAGUACGCCCAACAAGUAAUAAAGAAGAGAUACAAAUGUAUGUAAUGAGAGGUGUACUUUAAGAAAGCGGAGCACUUCGGUAUAGAUACAAAGUCAGCUAAGAUAUAUCUACAAUACACAAGUGAAGAAACAUUCCAGACUCACUGUUAAAGCAAGUUGUGAGUGAGCAGUUAAGUCUCGAUAUUUAGUACUCAGAGUGAUGAGUUCAUUCCAAAAAUAUGGUGGCCCUGCAGAUUCCAACCUGGCAUUGAAAUGAAUAGCUAAGAUUUGGAUUGACGUUGAACAGAAUCUAAAUCUCCAACUACCCAUGUCAUAUACUCUUAUUGACAGAAUAAAAAGAGUUAUAUUCAAUCGAUCACUGUUAGGGGGACCACCAUGCUGGAUCCCCAACAUCUACCUGUAACAGCAGGCAAUUGUUCAUCCAUAAUAUAAGUAAAAACUAAAUUGAACGUCCACCACAGUUUAUUUUGUCAGCAUGUUUAUUGCCCAACCAUGAACAGAGUUCAGUAUAUAAAUAACAGAUAACGAAAGCAGAACCAAUUGCGUGACUUUGUCUUCUGAAAUAUGAAGACAAAAGAACAAAAUCUUCUCAUAGCAGCUAGCUGUCAAUAAAGACCUUGAGAUUUUUUUGUUUCGAUAUUUCGUCCAUUGAUGGCCAUUGACAUAGGACCGUGUUAUUUGGUUCAUCUUCCAUCUCCUAGGAUAAAAUCUAAGAAAUUGAUAAGCAUCAUCUAAAAGAUAUACCCAAAACGAACUAUUUUUGAAAUUCCUACAGUCUCUGGCCUUUGAUUUAAGCAACCUCGAAAGCAACAGACUCCUAUACUUUCUAAGAAACAUGAGCCAGAAAGUGCCGAAUUAAGCUCCAGAUAAAUGUAUCAUUCAGUUAAUAGGAAUACGAAAUAAUUAUUCCAAUGGACUAAUUUGAACACAGAGCUUCCAACAGAAAAAAAAUAAAAAUAAAAAUAAAAUAGACAGAGAAACUGCUAAUGGAUUUAGACACCACCAGCUGUAGGGUUUACAAUUAUGACUAUUGAGGCCAGGCAUAUGAAUCAAAAUUAUUUCCAGGGUUACAUUUAAACUUUUCAUUGCCACUCACGCAUGAAAGAUCGGAGUCUGUCUCUUUACAAGGCUACCUUAUGCAACAGACAGAUUGUGCCAGAAAAACAUGCAACGUCAACUAAUGCCCUAAAACGAUCGAUAUGAUGAAGUACAUCCCACAUUCCCAACCAUCAACAUAGGCCAUGCUGAUGGUACCAGAUUCACUCACGCUCAUCUCUCUCACUCCUCUAAACAGCCACUUCGGCAUGAAACCACAAAAGAGAUCCAUUGUGUUACAAAUCAGCAACGUCCUUACCCAGAACUAUGUCACAUAAUAUAAGUUCUCUUGUGAAGUGAAUAGAUAUUUUUAAGUUUACCCAGAUAUCUCAUCGUCGUCCAUCAUGUUUCCUUAAAGCAAAAAACCUUUUUCAAUUGUCUCUACAAAUAGUGAACCAAGAUAUAAUAGAAGAAAAUGUCACUGGGAAGUAAUACUUGGCACGGCAGAUAACAAAAUGAUCAUGCAUGGGAAAAAAGAUCGGCACAUGAGGACCGGAUUAAAUUAGGUGGGCACCUCGUUCUAGUGGGAAGACCAAAUGGGGCACCGUCAAUGUACAGAGAGCACUCGACGUAGAGCUCCGCCUUUCUCUCCUCCGCGGCAUGAUCGAUCUCUGCAGAAGGAAUACAGUGGAAACGGUAUAUAACAGCUGAAAGCACAAAAGCCACGGCAGAAUCUAAAGACUCUCGGUCCGCUUAACCAUUAACCAACAGCAAGAAGCACACGUCUCCAGCCUUUCCCUGAAAACACACGACCACAGAAGUCUCCUUGCACCAUCAAGCAGUUCACCCACCUACAAUUCACUCCAUUUCUCGAAUUUUUUCCUUCUCUCGUUCUUCUACUAGCCAAAACUCGAAAAGGGUUACCUGGGUUUGGAGAGCGCUUAGGAGGCAGAGCGUCUUCCAAGUUCUUGACCCGGAAGGUAACGGGGAGCUUGAUGUCGCGCGACAGGAAGAACCGGAACUCGUUGCCGCCGCUCAUCGUCGUCGACUUCGCCGGGGCUGGACACAGAGAGCACGCGAAUCCUCCUAGCCGCAGAGGGCCGCCGUCGGACAAGCGGGUGGGUUUCGCCGAUCCCGAGCACGGACGCUGAGUUCGGUUCGGUUGAGGAAGGGGAAGCGCCGGCGUGGGCAACGACGGCGCCGGAGAGACACCGGGCGGGGACCAACCGCUAGAUCAGACGGUUAAUUUCGUUGGAUCGUUCCUGCGACAUGAGUUUUAUUUUAUUACGGAAAAUUACACUGGCUAUCGAAUUCUAAAUGUUUUGAAAAUAUAUAAUUUGAACAUUUUAAAGUUUAGUGUGAUCGAGUCAAUAGAUAAUAGAACCAAUCUGCUGACUUGGCACGCUGAGAUCCUAUCUCGCGGGUUGCCAUGAAUCGAAUCGGAUAGAAUUUUUUUUGGUCAAAAAUAAGGAUGAGACGCAUUACUUAAUCGAGUUCUUUGCAAAUACAUCAAAAGCAUAAGUACAUAACAAAUCUAAAAAUGCAUAGGGGGGUUAGUAACCCAACUACUAAGAAGACACUUCAUGCAUUGGGCUUUUGCAAGCCAAUUUGCUGUUUUAUUCGUCUCUCGGCUGCAAUGGGCUAUUGUAAGGCCCGGAGUUGCUUGCAACUUUGUCUUGCCCGGUCCACCAAUGGUUGUGCAUCCCAACUGAACUCCACUAAAGUGAAAAUGCUAUGCAUGAGCCUUCAGAUUGUACUUGCAGCUUCAGUUUAGUUAUGUUCGGGGGAAACUUGGUGGAGAUAAAAUCUAGGGUUUCGACAAGCACCGUAGCCUCUGCUUGUUCCGCUGAGCUGAUUGCAACCGAUUUGGCGAACCCAUUUACUAAUUUGCCAAGGGAGUUGCGGCAAAUUAGUAGAUACAAUAAAUAUCAUAACUGAUUAUUUCAAAUGAAAAUUUUAAGUUGAUUCAAUAAAUAUCAAAAUGUGGCAUUUAGAUGCAUAAGUCAAAUUUUCUCUUUGUAUUAUUUUAUAGUAGAUUUCUCCGGUAGAGAUUCAACAUCAUAUUAAUAUGAAUUUUAUGUGACAUUACAAAUGUAAUUACUUUUAUAUUUUCGUUGAAUAUAUUUAAUGUGUAAUUUUUACUUUCAAUAUGAUAUAUUGAUUAGAAUAUAUCAUCUUUGGUCGGUUUGGUUUAGGUUCUAUAUUUUAUUUUCCUUUUCCAUGUUUCAUAUAUAAUUUACUGUCAAGAACUAAAUUGACUCUUGAUGAUCACAUAAUAGUAUAAUUUAAAAUAACCCAUACUAACUAAAACAAAAAGCAAAUAGGUCUUAAUAUGUGUUUUAAAUAAAAAUAUAUUUGCACAAAAAUCUAUUUGCUGAAGAGGGUGUCUCCUAUCUUGUCGCCAAUUGCGUCAAAGGCCGCAAGGGGCGCGAAUAAUCCGCUAUUCGGGCGGCAUGGAGAGAGAUAUUAUCAUGGAUGGGCGGCCAAUUUUAGGGUUGAAAAAGGCCCAUGUGUAAAAUUAAAAAAGCUAGUAAGUGCAUGUUAGCAAAAUAAAUUUGAUAACAAAACCAAUUUGAAAAAAAAAAAGUUAUCACUAAUGAUAUUAUUUGUAAAUUAAUCUAUACACGUUUCAUAAAUUUAUGAUUACUAACUGGAUAACUAAAAUCAAAUUUAUUUUAAAAAGAAUAACGCAACUAAUUAAAUGUAACUUAAUUUAAAGAUUUAAUACCAUUCGUAAACCAAAGGCGAUCGGGUUUACCUAUGGCAAUGAAAUUGAUUUUUUUGGCACAAUUUUUUUUUGCCUAUGGGUUUUUUCUUUAGCCUUCUGUUUUUUAUUUUAAUAAAAUCAAAGCCGGCAAGCAAAAACUAACUGGGUUUAAUGGCCAUAGUUUAUUUUUCUUUUUCAUUUUUUGACAUCUUUAAUUAAAAGUCAUUUUCUUAGAAUCAUUUGAGCAAAGCCAACAAAACCACACUUUUGUUGUCUUGGGUCAAACCUAAGACGACUUAGUUUUAUUUUGUUGCUGUAGGUGGGAGGAAUUUUUAUCCUCAACUGCGAUAAAGUAUGAAUUUUGUGGCUUAAGCCUGAUCUAUGACGACAUAAUCGUGAUUUCGUUGCUUUAGUUCCAAUCUAAGAUCAUGAACAUAUUUCUUGCCAUAGGUUUAAAAUUGUCCCACCUUUAAUUGAGUCAAUGGCGAAGAAAAUAUAAAAAAAAUUUCACUUAAAUUUAAUGUAAGGCGACAAAACUCGGUAUGGCAAGCUGUUUAGUUGCCUUAGGGCAUGACCAGCCGUUUUUCCUGUAGUUUGCAGUAAUGGAAAAAAGAUGUACCGUAAUAGCCAUUUCACCGUAAUAUAACACAAUUGUAAUAAUUAUUAUGGUAUUUGGUUUAAGUAAUGUAAUACUUAUUACACAGGUUUGUAUUCAUUGGCAACAUCUAUAAGAAGAAGCCGAUAGCAUCAGAAUUUAAAUAUUAUCCCUAAAUUCAGAAUUGGAGGGAUUAUAAUAAUCAUCAUUUCAAUUAGUUAAAUCGUGAUUCAUGAGUUUAAUGCACCACACAUAUAUUAUCAGGUAUUGUAAUUUAAUCAAAUAUCUACUAUCAUAAUUAAAAGAUAAGCACAUAGCAUCUCAUGAUUUGGGUCGUUGUGACCCUCCCUGGACGGUUGCUGCGAGCUUCGUGCGGAAGUCACCGGGGCCGCUCGAUUCGGGUUGCAGCGACCCUGAUCACGAUUAAAUCUCGCGAUUCGGGUCGCAGCGACCCUCGCCGUGCUGUGUCCUCCCCUUGUCGGACCGCCUGCCCCUUGCCGGUGGUAACCGGCCAAGCCUUUGGCCGGCCAACUCUCAUUUUUUUCCCUUUUUUUUUUAAUAGCAAAAAAAUUUUGCAAAGUUAAUUUGUCCAAACACUAUUUUACUCAAAGAUACUUCAUAAUGGACUUUCACAAAUACGAUUUACCAAACACAAUUUGCAUUUUGAAAAGCUCAUUUAGCUCAAGGGUAUUUACAUUUUCUCAAUGACUUUCUCCAAAAACCUUCCCAAACGCACCCUUAGGCAAUCAUGAGUGUAAUACCCAUACACGUUAUGAAGAUAUCAUACAUUAUAGUCAUUAGAACUAAAAUUAUUGUUACGUAAGUAGAAGUAAGCUUGAAUUAACAAAUAUAUAACUAUUUAUAAACUAGUAAUUAAGAUAUUAUUCACUAUGAGUAAUAUAAGAUUGCCUUAUGCAACAUUUAGAUAAUCAUACUUAAUAGUAUGGAACUGAUAUAUCCUUACUAUUACUUUUGAAUACUUCUUAGAGUGCGUUUAUCUCAUGAAAAACUCAAGAUCUGAAAAAUAUUUUUUGCAAAAUUAAUUGGUUAUAUCGCUUAGAAAAAUUAGUUAAUAAAAACUUUUUUUCGUUAUCAACAACAGUUUAUGACUAACUAUUUUUGUGGGUGAUGAAAAUACUUUUAUUCAUUAAAUUUUUUAAGCGAUACAAGUGAUCAUUUUUCGGAAAAUGUUUUCCAAAUCUUGAGUACUUUGUGAAACAAACACGCUCUUAACAUAAUAAUGAUUGUAUACAACACAAUUAUCUUUACGUCAAUAUCUUUUAGUACAGUAUAUGCCAUAAUAUAUAAUUAUGCCAAAAUAUUGUAAUUGGUGUUAGAAUUACAUAAAAAUAUAACAAAUUAAUCAUAAUUAGUAUGAACUUUAGCUAUAAUUAAUAUAAUCUAUCACCGCUAGUGUCGGCGGGUGAAAUGAGAGUGGGAACGGCACCCCUUGCACACACCAUUUGCCAAGCCUCUUAAAGCUCUUGCUUUGAAACAAGGAAGCAAACCUAUAGAAAUAUCUAAAUGAAAGCGUAGAUGUCCCUAAACAAAACUCCGACGACAUGUAAACGGGGUCAGCAAGCAAAGGAGACUCCGUAAGAGAAAACUAUAUAAAACUAUAUAUGUAUAUAAUCUCUAACAUGAGUCUUGACCCGACCCAAUCCCGUUGCUCGACCGCCUCCCGAUCUGCACACAGUCGAUUGGCAGGGAGAUCGGCGUGGUCAGCUGCCCGAAGGUCUGCCAGCAGAAGGGGCCGUCGUCGUGGGAGGGGGGCUUCUGCGAUGAUGGCCUCAAGUCUAUCGCCGACAGGGUGAUUUCCUCGCAAGGCACGCUGUCGCUGCAAGCCAAGUCCACUGGCCUCUCUGUGUACGUCCCUGAGACGUGCUCGUAAGCGACGUCUCGCACCGCCACGGCCGAUGACUGGUUCGUGCACGUCGCGUGAUCGCAAUAGUACUGGUUGAUGAUGAUGGGCCAUCGGACCUCGGAGACUCGAAUGUUUGAGAACUUCACUCCAUAAACGGAUCCUGACUAGGGGUGAGCACGGUUCCCGGGUAGAACCGGGAACCGGAGAACCGAACCGGAGGGUCCGGUUCGGUUCCCGGUUCUUAAGAGACUGGUUCCGGUUCCCAGUUCCAUUUUCCUAGGAACUGGCGUUCCCGGUUCCGGUUCCGGUUCCCGUAUGAAUCGGAACCGGAACCGGAACCUGUCAAAAUUAAAAAAAAAAAAAAAAAACCUUAGUCGCUUCCCCCACGUGAUUUCCUCUACGUUUCUUCCCGCCUUUCCCUUCCUUUUUCUCUCUCUUUCUUUUCUCCCCUUUUUCCUCCUCACACGUCACUUCCUGCCCCCCCAACCUUUUUCUUUUCUUCUCUCUCUUCUUUCCCCUUCUCUCGGCCGAAACCCCACCCCUUCUUCUCUUCUUCUUCUUCUUCUUCUUCGCAACCCCUCCCCUCGCCGCUUCACCCACCACCACACCGCCACCCCACGGCCUACUCACCACCAUCUCUUGGCCACUGAACCAGCACCACCCACCGUUCGUCCGACGAGCCGUCUCACCGUUGAGCCCGAGGAGCGGCUCUCGAGCCCCUCGCCUCUGGCGGCGGCGGAGGACGGAGCGCUCAGGGUUAAGGCGGCGGGGGGGCUCGGGUUUAGGAGCCACGCCUUUGGCGAUCCGGAGGAGAGCGGGGGCGACGAGGGGAGCGGCGGUGGCGGCGGCGGCUCGGAGAAGAACGAGCAGUUCGUGCGCUGGUUUCACGAGGCGUGGCCAUAUUUCAGAGCUCACAGGGGCGGCACUUUUGUCGUCGUCGUCUCCGGCGAAAUCGUCGCUAGUCGGCACUUGGAUCCGGUUCUCAAGGCACGCAUCGGUUUUUCCUCGCUUCUUCUGUUUCGUUUCUGAUUUGUGGUUUGGCUGCAUGUUAAUGCUGUGAGGAUUCAGGAAGAACAAAAGCGCGGACCCGUUCUGUUGUGGAAUGCUCCAAGUGAUUAAAUUCGCGUUCUUCAUGCCUUGUAGCUGACUUACUUUUAUUUAUCCAAACAAUGGGCAAAGAAAGUAUAUGUUCUGCUAAUGUUUGCAUGAGGUGCAACUGAGCAUUUGUUUUUAUGUCUAUUGCAUGGAUUGGAUCUCAAUUUUAGAAGUGGCUAGGUCUUGUUUGUGUGGCCUGCUUUUGUUUCUAUAAAAUCAAUUUUUAACAAUAGACCUUUAAUUGCUGAUACUAAGCAUGUCUUCGUAGGACAUGAGCCUAACUAUGUUGGAAGAUACAGAAUAACAGACACUAAAGCUCUGGAAGCAGCUAUGGAAGCAGCUGAAGGUACUUGUUUAAUGAUAGAGGCUAAACUAUCUCCUGGACCCCCAAUAUCCAGUAUGCGCUGUCAUGGGCAUAGUAGCCGUUUGCAUGAAGUUGGUUUAAGUGUCGCAAGUGGUAACUUUCUUGCAGCCAAGGUAACGGUUUACAUGCUUACUCUCUUGGUCAAUAUCUCGAAUUAGUUUAACGAACAGUUCACAUUUCUCCUGUCAUCGUUCUGCUUUGGCAGCUAUAGUAAUGUUGAUUAUUUUAUUUGUAGCGAAGAGGAGUUAUUGAAGGUGUUGAUUUUGGGGCAACAGGUGAAGUAAAGAAAGUGGAUGUUUCUCGUAUUCAUGAGAGGCUUGAUGAUGGAUGUAUAGUUGUAUUAAGCAACCUGGGCUAUUCCAGCUUUGGAGAAGUUCUGAAUUGCAAGUAUGGAUUAUUGAUUUUGAUGCCUUGAAAAAAAAAAAAAAAAAACCUGUCGGAACCUGGAACCGACUCCGGAACCUGUGACAGGGUAGGUUCCAGGUUCAAAAAAUUGAGGAACCUGUACCCGAGGUUAGGUUCCAGGUUCCAGACGGAACCGAACCGGAACCGGGAACCGCUCACCCCUAAUCCUGACCCACCCUGCGUCAGACACAAUUCAUUCGUAAAAAGACAUAAAAAAAGGCUAGGGUAUUAUAAAUUGUCAAUUUCCAAGGCUGUUUAUGUUUUAAUGUUGUUCAGGACGCAAAUUUAUUUUUUUCCUUUUACCUGCCACGAUUUUAUCCUAACGCCGUUCGUUGUCCCUUGCAGAUCGACGUCUUCAACGGUGAUGUUGUGCACACAUGCUUUAGAGUGGUCUUUUCCUAGGCUUCCGAUGCUGAUCCCGUGCCCCGGACCGCAGUGCACAUCGUGUAUGCGAAUGUCGGAACAUCCGCUGACGAUCGAAAUGCAGUCGUCCCCUGUAUGAAACAUGGUAACAGAAUCUAAAUCGAACAUUCUACUAAAUUGAAGAAACGUAACAUUCAAUAUCUAUGCAUUUCCAAUGAAACUUUCGCAGAAAUUGUGGUUACCGCAGGCGAGAGUAGCAUCGUGGAUGGUCACGUCUUGGGAGUUCCCGAGGUGGAUCCCAUCGGUGUUGGGACUGUCGCCCGGGGACGAAAUACUCAUGUCACGCACGAGAACGCUGACGCAGUGGUCGAACGUGAGGUGGAAGUUGGGGCUGUUCUGGAUCUUGAUGCCGCUGAACGUGACGUUGAGACAGUGAUCGAAUCUCAUUGCCUGAUCAAUCAAAGCCAUGAAAAAGAAGAGGAGAUCCAUAUCAAUCUUCCCAAUGAUCACACAGUUUGGAAAAAACUCAGGCAAUUAUAGCUAGGAAUGAUCGGUUCGUGGCUCUUACGGUUGGUUUGUUCCGGGGCAUUGAACUCAACUCCUCUUUCGCCUGCCACAAGUUCGACAAAAGAGUAGACAUGGAAACACGAUUAGUCGAAAUCUCAAGCAAUGAUUUUGCAAUAAAAGGCAUAUGGUACCUGCCCAAGCCCAACAACACCGAUAUAGUAUAGUGAUUACUUCCCAAUUGUAAUACUAAUAAGUUCAAGGAAAUCAAAAUCAUGUGCAAAUUCAAGUAAAAAUUUUUGCAAUUAAAUCAUACGGUAAAGUACGCACAAAAAAUAAAAACUCGAAAAAUAACGCUAAAAUAUACUUUUGAUAAGUUAAAUGCAAGAAUAAACGGAAUUAGAGACGAUAAUCACACAAAAAUAAGAAGUCAUGGACUAUAAGCAUCUCAAGAUUUUUGCAUAUGAAGAAUUUGCGCUUGUUCGUUCCCCGGAACAAAAAAAGAACAGAAACCUGUUUGGUAACGCCAAGUUGUUUUUCUAUUCCCGGGAAUAGAAAGUUAGCCCGGGAAUAGAUUUGGAGCAGAAAUGAGAAGCAAAAAAAAUUUGCUUCUUGUCCCGGGAACAAUUUCUAGAAAUAAGCUGAUUUUCUUUUUUAAUUUUCUUUUAUUUCCUUUUCUUGCCGCGACCACCGUCAACCGCUUGAAGCCACCACCCGCCGCUGCCGCUGGUCGCCGCCCGCCGCCGUCGCCCGCCGCCGGUCGCCGGUCGCCGCCGCCACAGGUCGCCGGUCCCGCCGGUCGCCGGCCGCUGCCGCCGCCGGUCGCCGCCGCCGGCGCCGCCAGCGCCGCCCGCGAUUGCUGUCACCGCCCGCGGUCGCCAGUCGUCGCCGGAGGCGGCCGGGCGACCACGGGAGGGGGCGGCCGAUGGGCUUCCGGCGGCGGCCGGCAGUGACGGUCGGCGGCCGGCGGUCGUGCGGUGGCGGCGGCUAACGGGCCGGCAGCCACGACCGGCGGGCGGGCGGCGGCGAUCCGUCGGCAAGAAUAAAAAAUGAAAAAAACAAACAAGAAAUUGUUGCGUUACCAAACGCAUUUCUAUUCUUUUUCUAUUCCAAGAGUAGAAAUUUUGUGUCGUUACCAAACGGGUUCUUUUACUCAUAAAUUGUCUCCGGAGCAGAAAUAGAAAAGAACCAUUUCUAAAAAAAACAUGUAGCAGGAUAAGGAAUUUGAAUUCGAAAUUUUAAUUGCUAAAUCGUUUCGAUAUGCAACCAGCAUGGAAUUCGUUAUGGUGCCUGAAUAGCCUCGAUUAAAAUAUUUAAGCUAAAAAAAAAAGAACAGAUAUAGCAAAAUUAAGAUUUAUAUGAAAUUAGAGAUUGAUCUAGUCGGAUCUCCUUUAUAGUUGUAUUUAUUAUUAUUAUUAUUAUUAGCGCCACUAGUGAUUCAUAUAGCACAUUAUGAUUAAUAGGAUAGAGGAGGGUUAUUGGACAAUUAUUUUUAUCUCUUGGUAAAAUUAAAACAUCAUAAUUUAAGGAGACUCGCAAUAAUAUAUAUAGAGAAAUAAAGAUUUUAUAAUAUCAUAUUUGAUAGAUAGGGGAAACACAAAUAGAUUAAGUUAAGUCUAAAUAGUGUUUUGAUGUAGAUAAUAUUGACCCUAAUAGGGGUAUGGAGAGUAACCGUAUAAUAAAUUUGAUAACUAAAUUCUAGAGCAGCUUACAUUUUCACUUUUAGGUUAUUUAUCUGUCUUGGCAACUUCAUCAUUUUUUUCGGAAGUUUUCGAAUGUGCUAAGUUAUCAAUUGAAAUUUCAGUAUGCUAAAAUUUAAAUGAAUUUUCAUCUAUGUUUAUCAUGUUCAUUCUAUUGUAGUAUGAUAAUAUCCUAUUGCACAAAAACACGUACAAUUUAGUAAAACUAAUUUGCCAUCCUUUUCAUUGGGUACAUCUAUAAAAAAAUCUGGAUCGGAAAAAGUAGGAAGACAAUGUGUCUUAUGUUUACUUUGUUACGCUAAUAAGGGAAAAAGAACGCUUUAAGUGCCAUAACUUUGCACAAAGGGAUACUUAAGUGUCAUAACUUACAAAAUGUACACUUAAGUGCCACAUUCGAAGAAAACGAAUCACUUGAGUGCCACUUCGGCCAAAGUCCAGCCAAAACGCCGACGUUGCAUUUUUCCGGCGAAGCGUGCCCAAAACGAUGCCAUUUUGCACACUGACAUGGCCAAAUAAUGCAAAAACGGCGUCGUUUUGGGCUGACGUGGUAAAAAAUUAAUUAAAUUAAAUUAAAUUAAAUUUAAAUUUUAUGUUUAAUUGAAUGUACUUCAAAAGCAUGAAUAAAAAUACACAAAUUAAAAAAAUCUACUUUUGUUAUGUUAUCUCGUUAUUCAAAUUUAUAUUAUUUUAGAAAAAGUGGAUUUGCUUAUUUUGUGUGUCUUCUUUACAUAGUUUUGUUUCAAUCUUUUUCUAAUGUCCUGAGUUAAUAUUCAAGAUCGUUUCUCUUUAUCUAUUAUUUUGAAUUUUAUUUUAAUUGUCAAAUGAAAGAAAAUGGGGGUGAUACAACAAACUAAUAAGCUAAAAACUCAAGAACCUUAUCCUUAUUGACUCCUUCAAAUAUUUUAAUUUCAAAUUAAGUGUAUCUUGAUAUAAAUCUAGGUUUUGUUUUUACUCUCAAUCUCAAUCAAGUGGAGUUGGUUGAAUUGUAUACAAUAUUUUUGAAACAAUCUGAUUUCAAAAGCCGGAAAUAGGUUGAAUUAAUUGCACAUAUUCUAUGGAUAAGUAGAUUGUGUAAUAUAUAUAUAUAUAUUUUUUUUGGUGACCUGGGAAGCGUCGUAUAGCCGGCAGCCGACGGCGUAAACCCGGGGCGACCCGCAGGGACCCACCUCCUACAAGCCACAGGUAAGUCGCGUAAAUGACGAGGUGGGGAGUUGAACCCUGGCUUUGCGGGUGGCCAGCGUACAACUCCACCAUCUCUGCCACCAAUGGGGUGGGUGUGUAAUAUUUUUAUUCUUAAGAUUCUACAAAAAAAAAAAAAGAAAAAAAAAAAGAGAGUGAAAAGUAUUUAGAACGCAUGAAAUAAAUAAAAAUAAUAAUAAAAUAACUCAAGUUAUAAAUAAAUAACCAGUUGUUUAUUUAUUUAUUUAGUAUUGACGUAUAUUAAAGUGGCAAGAAUUAUGAAGACCAAAAGAAGUAAUAUGAAUUAUAUAUCUAAAUAUUACUAUUAUAAGCUACAUAGAAACGUCUAUAUCUUCUCAAUUUACUCAAUUUAAAAUAUCAAAUAUUGGAAUAUAUUACAAACUUUAAACUUUAUAAAAAAUAAGAUUACUUUUCUAUCUUAUAAUUAAGUGAAUGUACUAAGCGAAUAAUUUAAAACUUAUAUGUAAUAUCAGGGCCUUAGGGUACGUCAUGUCGUAUCUUUGUUAUGCUUGUAAUCACACAUGCAAAAUGAGUGCCACUGGAGCGCAUGAUAUGUUACAAUGGGUGGAAGAAUUCAUCCCAAAAAAUUAACUUAUCAAGAGAGGAAACUCAAUCCAUUAUAAGUCCAGAAUAUCUCUUUAGUUGCCUGAUGUGAAACUCAUUCUCCCCUUCUUCAAGGAAUUUGUGAGCUCGCAGAAAGGCCUCCAGGCCGACGUGUUAGGUUAUUGACAAGGGACCACAACCUCGAGGAUAAAAUUCGAGAAGGUGGUGCCUAAGGAGUAGCUUUAAUAACAUGUUAAUGCAUUACAAUGAGUGGAAGAACUCAUCCCAAAAAAUUAGCUUAUUAGGAGAAGGAACCAAACUUAUUGUAAGCCUCGGGAUAUUUCCUUAGUUGGCUGAUAGGGACUUUGCCCCCAUUAGAUAGGCAUGAAUACUCUCUCAAAUUUCUUUAUGAGUACUAAAAUUAACUAGACUUCAUAAUAAUAAGGGAAACAAAAGGAAGGAAUAAAACAUUAUAAGACAAGUUAGAGUUUGUACUUAAUCUUUAAAGUGAUCUAAUGAUUUUCUUAACUUUUAUAUCCCAUGCAAGUAUGUUUAUUCAAAUUAAAUGCAAAUAAGUGUUAGGUGACAACCUUCCCAAGAGGUCACCCAUCUUAAGAGUGCUCUCACCUAAGUAUGCUUAGCUUUGGGGUUGCAAUGCAAAACUUACCGUCAUAUCAAAAGGCAUAUUUGUAAGUUAAUUCCAGUUUUCAUACACACACAACGAAAUUGUCUCGCUUUAUUUUAUGCACAAUUUGGUUCAUUCUUCCUCAUUUGUCUUCCUAGUAACUUGCUAGGAGUCUCUUCUUGUCUAGGCUAUCUGCCCUAUGCUAUCACUCAUUGCCCUUGUCAAGCUAGGUCGUAACAUAAUUAGACAAAUUUCUUUUGUUGUGACUCUUGCACUUGUUAAAUUAAUUGAGGUCAAAUUUGUUAUUUAAAAGAUCUAGUGGUAUCAAUGUUGAUGCAAUGAGUAGAAAGUCAUGAGUGUUCGAAAAAUUCAUAGAUAUUCCUAAAAUCAUUUCAAAGUUAUUGAGAAGUGAUGUUACGUGGAAAUUGGAAAACAAUUUUCGCUCUUUUUAUUGGACCUUAGCCCAUUUUGUGGGGCCCUCCUGAGGUCAAACUCAAGAGGCUCUCUUUGCUUGUGGUGAGCAAUCCUACUUAAUCCACAAACUGUGGCAUCAGAAUUUAGAUAAAGUUAAGAUUUGCCGGGUAUUUUAUGACUCUUAAUUUCCACGCCGGUGUCUCUAAUUUAUAAGAAAUAAAACUUCACAUAUAUAAUACUUGCUAUUCACUAUUUCUUCUUUUUAUAGUGGUCUUAAAAAGAGGAAUAAUUAUUUAAAAGUUGUAAAUGGUCGAUUCAAUUAUAAACUUUUUAUUUUUGGCCAAUUUAAUUGUAAGCCUUUUGAGAAUUUGUCAACAUAGUUCUUCUAGCCAAUUUUAAACAAAAAAUAGAUGUCAGCCAUCCUCCAUAAUACAAAUGGCAUUGUGGACGAUUUUUGUAAUUUACUUUACAAGUUUUUGAUAUUCUUCUCUUUUAUUUGUGUUUUUCCUGUUUUCCUUUGCUAGUUGUUGAGUUUAGAACAAUGGUGGGGAUGCCCCAUGUGUGGUUGAUGACCUUUGCUGGGCAUCGUUGAGGCUCGCGACCUGUGGAGGGAAAUAGUGGAAAAUAAGAAAAUAAAAAAGAAAAUAAAAAAGAAAAGAAAAAAGAAAAAAAUCAGAAAAUCAAAAAGAAAUUGCAAAAUCAUUAAAAUUAGUACCAACCAUACCAUAUAGGACGGCUGAUGCUAAUUGGAUUGUUACGUUAAUGAUUUACGGUCAAAAUUGGAUGGAAGAAUACAUAUGCAAUACACUAAAAUGUUUGAAAAUAAAUUAAUAAAACUAAAAAAUUUAGGAUUGAAUUGGCCACCAUACAAUGGAUUUGGGAUUUUUUGAUAAUUACUUACCCCUUAAAAAGAUAUAUGUUCAUGGAUUGAAUGCGAUAAACAUCAACUUUUGCGACAUGAUCUUUGAAGACAAUAUUUGUCGACUUCAUUGAUCCUUGAGUUUCUAUACAUAAAUUCUUUUGUCGUCAUAAAAUUAGAAACCAUUUCAUUGAUUUACCCCUCUUCAAGACAUUUAAAAUUAAGGGAUAUGUGGACGAAAAGCCCUAAAACUUAUUGUAAAAGUGUAAUAUGAAUUCUAAAACAUUUAAAAAGUACAAUUGGGUCCAAAACUUGUCCUUUGUACAAUUAAGUACCUCCAUUGUUUCCUCAAUUUAUUUGAUAAAAAAUAAUGACAUGUCUUUCUAAAAACUUCCCAAGGUCACGUGGCAUUGAGAUGGCAAGAAAUGGGAGCCACGUCAGGAAAAAAAAUGCUAAACAAAAACAAAUAACGAAAAGCCAAAAAUUCAAAAAGAACGAUAACAUAGAACGCGGCGGGAGAGAUGCAUGUGGGCUGGGGUGUUUGGUGAAGGGGUGGUCCGCCGUCGAGGGUCGUUGAUCCUUGCAUUGCACGGUGGUGGCAUGACUAUUCACCGCCGCCACCCUAUGAGGAUUGUGCGGUAAAUAGAGUUCGUUGGCCCCUGAACUCAAGCAUGGUGACUUCACCAACGAAGGAGACGAGCUCACCAUCUGUGUUUCCCCUUCAUCAAUUUCUAAUCUUUCCUUGAUUUUCCUUGGAAAAUCCUUACUCUUAACAAUUUUCAGUGGUCUCUGUUUGAUUUUUCCUUUAGUAAUUUCUUGGUAGAUCCUUACUCUGAUAAGAUUCAUGAUCUCUAUUUCUUGCCAUUCAAAAAUGUUCCAUCAACUUCAUUCAUUUUUAUAAUUUUUCGCGCGUACAACCGUGACAACUACCUUGAUUUGAAGAAAUUGGAGCUCAAGACGGAACUUCAUGAGGAACAUGACCACUGCGUAAGGAGUUGUGGCACCACCCCCUGCGAGGGCAAAAACCACAAAAACAUCUGGCGAGCCCUCGCUCAAGCCGACCAUCGCGUAGCUCUCAUCCAUCAUUGUGCUAGGGCCUAGGAGCCCUACCCCAGGUCUAGCCAAGUGAGAGUCAGUGGUCCUUGUUGAGUCCCUAAUGAGGGCCGAUGGCCAUUGCUGGCAAAAGCAUGGCGGCAGUGUAGGCGCAUGACAAAAUUUAUGUUUCUCGAUUUUUCUGUUUCUCUGUUCCUCGGAACAGGUUUGGAACAGAAAUCCGUUUGGUAACGCAAUUUGAUUUCUCUAUUUCUGAAACAGAUUUCUAUUCCAGAAAUAGAGAAAUUGAAGAAAUCAGAAGCUGAAAUUUUUAACUUUUCAGUUUCUGAAAUAGAAAUCAGAAACUGAAAUCAAACUAUAUAAAAGAACCUUGCGCUUUCUUGCUAACUUAAUUCACUCAUAACCACAACUUCACAAAUUAUUGCUAAUUUUCUUUUUCUUAUUUUGCUUGUUUUUUUUUGCAUUAUUUUUUUCAAUUUUUUUUAAUAACUUCCUCUUUAGGAUGAAAUGCAAUUGAAUGGGUCCCCAAUUUUAAAAAACGACCAAAGUUCUUAAAUGCUUACUUAAAAACAAUGGGGCUCUUUCCUCCUAGAAAAGGCACCCGCAUGGCUAAUUGAAGAAAAAGUUCUUGCGUAAUAGAUGAAUAAAAAACGUGUCUAAAAAUUUAACCUUAUUUUUUUCGGAUUCGAAAUUCUUGCAAAAUCAAAAUAAUUAGAUUGUUACACAAUCUUGAAUUUUAAUUCGAAGGCAAUAGAUUCAAGAGAAUUUCUCUCUUUGUUAUGCAAGGGCCAUUAAAGGUUCAUUGAGCAACAAUAAAGAAAUUAGGGAUGAGCAACUUGACUAAUUCAAUUCGAGAAUCAAAAUAAACCGACCUUCCCCCAAUUGGUUCCUAACCAUAAACGUUACUUUAAGAUAUAAUUCUUAUAUAUUCCUUUACACCAUUAAUUUUAUUCUGCUGAUAAUCUUGUAUAAUACUAGUUUUUGAUAAAAUGACAAGGCUGUAUAGGCGCCAUUGAUGGCACCCAUAUUCAUGCUUCCGUAGUACUUGUUUGAACCUAUGCAGGAUGAGCUUGCAAACGAUACAUUAACUGAGGAUGGAAACCAAAUAAAUACGCUUAGGAAAAUAAUUACUAAUAAAAUGACAAGGGAUAAUAAUAUGCCGGAAAUUCCAUUAAAUUGUAUUUUCAACUUUUGUAAUGUAUUAGUGUUAUUUCGACUAUUAUUUUGUAUUUGAGGAUUUCCUAUGUUGUUUUAGUAUUAUUUUGACUAUUAUUUUGUAUUUGAUGAUUUCCUAUGUUGUUAUCUAAUUAAUUUCUAUUUCUAGAAAUAGAAAUUUUGUUCUGUUAUCAAACGGAUUUCUGUUGCAGAAAUAGAAAUUUUGAGUCGUUAUCAAACGGGUUUCUUUACUCAGAAACUUGUCCGGGGAAUAGAAAUUAAGAAAUUGAUUUCUAGCUAGAAAUCAAUUUCUGUUUCAGAAAUUUUGUCAUGCGCAGCUGUAGUGUCUCCUUAAAACCUUCUACCUGUGGUCUCAACAUGGUGCCAAAAAAUAUCUAAAAUUAAUACGUUGACAUUUUUUGUCUGAUAAGUUGGAUAAAAGUACUUGAUUGUGCAAAUUGGACAAAUUUUAGGAUUUGAUUGUAUUUUUUAAAAGCUAUAAAACUUACUUGGACUUUUAUGGGAAGUUUUUAUUAUCACAAUGUGGCAGGGUAAUUGAACAAAAUUAGUGGUCUUGAGGGAGGGUGGAUUUCCUCCUGUCACUAGGGUGUGCAAAGAAACCACAAGAGCUUGAACAAAAGGCUAAAAAAGAUAAAUAGAAAGUGAUUUUUGAGGGUGUAAAUGACCUCAAAUGCUUUUUUUUUUUUUAAGGAAUGUAAGUGGGGUUUGGGGUGAUAAAACGGGUUUUGGGUCUACUUAGGCUUGUUAGGUAACAUUUUGUUCCUAAAUUUUUCUAUUCUUUUGUUCUCUAGAACAAAAAAAAAAUUUCAUUUGGUCACAUAAGUCAAUUUUUUUAUUUCCAAAAUAGAUUAGCGACAAGAGAAUGGAUGAACAGAAAAAAAAAAAAAACAAGGGCCUUUUAGGCUGCGCAUGACAAAAUUUCUGAAAUAGAAAUUGAUUUCUUGCUAGAAAUCAAUUUCUUAAUUUCUAUUCCCCGGACAAAUUUCUGAGCAAAGAAACCCGUUUGAUAACGACUCAAAAUUUCUAUUUCUGAAACAGAAAUCCGUUUGAUAACAGAACAAAAUUUCUAUUUCUAGAAAUAGAAAUUAAUUAGAUAACAACAUAGGAAAUCCUCAAAUACAAAAUAAUAGUCGAAAUAAUAUUAAAACAACAUAGGAAAUCCUCAAAUACAAAAUAAUAGUCGAAAUAAUACUAAUACAUUACAAAAGUUGAAAAUACAAUUUUAUGGAAUUUCGGUAUAUUAUUAUCCCUUACCAUUUUAUUAGCAAUUAUUUUCCUAAGCGUAUUUAUUUGGUUUCCCUCAUCGGUCAAUGUAUCGUUUGCAAGCUCUUCCUGCAUAGGUUCAGACAAGUACUGCGGAAGCAUGAAUAUGGGUGCCAUCAAUGGUGCCUAUACAGCCUUGUCAUUUUAUCAAAAACUAGUAUUAUACAAGAUUAUCAACAAAAUAAAAUUAAUGGUGUAAAGGAAUAUAUAAGAAUUCUACCUUAAAGUAAUGUUUAUGGUUAGGAACCAAUUGGGGGAAGGUCGGUUUAUUUUGAUUCUCGAAUUGAAUCAGUCCAGUUGCUCAUCCCUAAUUUUUUUAUUGUUGCUCAAUGAACCUUUAAUGGCCAUUGCAUAGCAAAGAGAAAUUCUCUUGAAUCUAUUGCCUUCGAAUUAAAAUUCAAGAUUGUGUAACAAUCUAAUUAUUUUGAUUUUGCAAGAAUUUUGAAUCCGUAAAAAAAUAAGGUUAAAUUUCUAGGCACGUUUUUUAUUUAUCUAUUACGUAAGAACUUUUUCUUCAACUGGCCAUGUGCGUGCCUGUUCUAGGAGGAAAGAGCCUCAUUGUUUUUAAGUAAGCAUUUAAGAACUUUGGUCGUUUUUGAAAAUUGGGGACCCAUUCGAUUGCCUUUCAUCCUAAAGAAGAAGUUAUAAAAAAAAUGCAAAAAAAAAAAAAAAAACACAAGAAAAAUAAGAAAAAGAAAAUUAGCAAUAAUUUGUGAAGUUGUGGUUAUGAAUGAAUUAUGUUAGCAAGAAAGCGCAAGGUUAUUUUAUAUAGUUUGAUUUCAGUUUUUGAUUUUUAUUUCAGAAACUGAGAAGUUAAAAUUUUCAGCUUCUGAUUUCUUCAAUUUCUCUAUUUCUGGAAUAGAAAUCCGUUUCAGAAAUAGAGAAAUCAAAUUACGUUACCAAACGGAUUUCUGUUCCAAACCUGUUCCGGGGAACAGAGAAACAGAGAAAUCGAGAAACAUAAAUUUUGUCACACGCGCCCUUAAAAUCGGGCCUCGUUCUGUUUCCGAUAAAAGUUAAAAAAGUUCGGGUAUCAUUACAGUUCAACCCGAACCGAAUCGAAAUGCAAUAGACCAGCCCAGAGAAAUCUCUAAAAUUCCACCUAUGUCCUCCCGUCUCCACAAUAACCCCCGUCCUGUCCUUUCUCCAUCCUAGUCGACGCUUCUUCAACUCUGUAGGAGCACCGAGCACCCUCUCUCAUCGCUACGGCCACCGCCCACUCCUCCUCCACUGAACCAGUCCUCUCGCCGUCCGGCGUUCUCCGAUUCUCGAUUCUGAAUGACGCCGUUGCUAUCGCAAUCGUCGGCCGAAGACGGCGAAUGAUGGGUUUUCUUUUUUUCUUCAUGGGUUGACAUUGGGGUUUGGAAAGAGGGAGAUGGGAAGCGGCGCGCAAGAGUGAGAUCCGUAGAAUUGGAGGACGGAAGUUGGAAGCGGUGCGCAAGAGUGAGCCCUGGCAUACCUUCUUCUUCUUCUUCUUCUUCUUCUUCUUCUUCUUCUUCUUCUUCUUCUUCUUCUUCUUCGGCCAUGAUAAAUCUAUUCGGAAGAAAAUCGUUUUCCAUUUGUUGGGUCUCGACUCUCAACUGGAUGUUGAUCUUGCUUGGUUCAGUUUGGCUUCGAGAAAAACAUUGAAUAAAGCAAAGCAGAGAAGAGCAGAGGAGCAGCCUGCAGGAGUGAAGGAAGGAAGAAGAAGAAGAAGAAGAUAAAAGAGACCAAAUCCAGACCCGAACCGCGAUUCCGAUUUGGGCCGUAUACGGGUCGGGUCUCCUGUUGGGCCGUACCAAGCACACUCAUGAAUGCUUCAUGCUUCAGCUUGGGUCAGGUAUGUUUUUUUUUUUUUUUUUUUUUGGGGUCAAAAGGGUCGGGUGCGUCGACACCCUAAGUAAAAAACCGAAUAAGGUUUCAGAAGGAUCUGCGAUUAUAUAGUUGGAAAUAUUCGAUUCCCGAACUUGAUAUAUUUUAAUUACAAAAUGUCUUUAUUUCAUUUAUAAUCAUAAGGUUAUUUAUUAAACAUGCAAAAUUAUCGGAACCUUACAAGGAUAUGGACGGAUCUGAAAUUUAUUUUAUCGGAUAAUUAGCUCAAAACUUGAACUCAAUAAAUCAUUUGCCAAAUUGCCUUUCACCUAUUAAAAAAACUUAGGGUUACUUAUAUAAUUUUUGAAGUCCAAGACAAAAAUUGGUUAUAAUCCAAGCACACACUAUUUCAAGCAUGAUUUCUUAUUCUAGGAUUGUUAUAUUUCAAUGUUUCUAUCAUAUCAAUCUUAAAUAUUUUUCAAUCUAAUAUUGAGAUUCAAUAAAUUUUCUAGCUGAAGGUAUGCCAUGCACAAAUUUUGGAAAAAUGAUUGUGCUUGCAAAUUUGAAGUGGCUUAUUAUAUACCCAUACAAGAAAUUUAUUUAUGAAAAUAGUGCAAUGGCAUAUUUGGGUACUCAAUGGGGAUGAGGUUAUUGAGAUGAAUUUUUGACAAGUUUGAGACAAGGAUAGUCAUCCCUAACUAGCCCCACCUUUAUCCCUACCGUUUAUAUAUGUUCCGAGAGAGUUAAUCAAGAGAUUUUUAAGUUCAAUUGGCACUAGCCCCUCAAAUUCAAUACAAAUAAAAAGUGAUUACCCACCACCAAAUCUAAAUGUAGUUUCAUCUUUUAAAAUGAAGGGAAUCCAUUCACUUAAACCUGUAGCAUGUAGCCUGUGCUAGGAAAUGUAGAAAAGGUGUUGAAAGAAAGCAUGUGGAAAGAAUUGGAAGAGUUUUUCCAUUUGGGAGAAGUGAGGAAAAUUGAAGGUGAGAUUGGCAAGAGUGAAAAAAAAGAGGGUAUAAGCUAUCAAAAUGACUAAAUUAAACUUAUUGAGGUAUAUUUAUUCUAAACCUUUUUUUUUGUGAUAUAAAAAAUCUCCAACUUGUACUUGUGUGACAUAUUCACUCUUUGUCCACAAGUACUGUUAAAAAUUUACCUACAUGAAGAAAAGUAAAUGAUGUUGACAUGGCAUGACACUCAUGUGACUUAAGUGAGAUAAAAUCAACGUUGCUUUAGCUGAAAGUAAAUAAGUUUGUCUAGGCUUGAAAACCUUUAUCUCAAAUAGAUCAAGAUGGAUAUGAGCUUUAUUAUGUAUAUUUAAGAAGGGGUUGGGCUUCGAGGCCUCGUAUUGUGUAGUUUGAAAUGAAUUGACUUGUCUGAUCAUUUUUUUUCGUAUUUUAUUUAUUAUCCUUAUAGUAUUCAUUAAUAUUUGUAAUCCAAGCUUAAAAAAAAAGAAAUUCUACAAGUUAACAAAUUAAUUUAUUGUACUAUUAAAAGAGUGGAAAUUAUUUGCAAAUUUGAAAAGGAGAAGACACUUAAAAGGCAGCAAAAUAUUUGCAAUUUUUAAAAAUGUUCACCACCUUUUGGGCCGAGCCCGACCCGAACCCUAAAGCCGGAAAUAAUAAUAGACGGGCUAGGUAGUCCAUUCCUGGUUCAGGCUUUUUCUUCGGGCUUGGAAAUUCCAGGCCUAAAAGCUUGGCCCAGACCAAAUAUUGGCUAGAAGCCCAGCCAGCCACCCAUGUGUUGGUCGCUGCUUCAAGCGAGCUUUGAUGGCCGCCCUUAUAAGUCGCCGCACCGUUGCUCUCCCGACCGACGAACGUCUGUGCUCGCCUCUCUCUCUCUCUCUCUCUCUCUUUCUUCAGCAUCAAUGACAGCCCAUCGUGGGAUCGAGCUCGACUCGAGCUCCAUCACAGCGUUUAGCUUGGUGCAUGCAGAAUAGCUCAAGCUCGACCAUCGUCUACCCUAACCCUUUUCGCUUCCACGAAUCUGAUUCGCCGCCACCAUCGUCGCCUCGUCGCCGCUUGCCGCUUGCCGCCGCCCAUCGUCGCCUUGUCGCCGCCCGUCGGCCGAGGUUGUCCGACAACUCAAUCGGUGUCGCUCGUCCUGGUGGCGCUCGUCUUGCACUUUUUGCAAAUAAAUCUCUCCGGUCAGCGGUCAACACCAGCGGUAGGGUUCGGGUCGGCGAGGAUGCAGGAGGGUCGGUCGUGCUAGUCUGCACCAGAUUGAGACGAUCGCCAACCCAAGGGGGUCUGCGACGCCGACUGCAGGGUCGCUCGUGCUGGUCUGGCCCGGGCUCCAAAAGGGGCAGGUGAGGAUCGAGCAUUACGCAUCGAAGAGGACGAAAUUCAUCACGGUGCACGAUUAACGGAUUGCAUGCUUUGCGCUCUCUUAAGACGGCAAGUUCCUGGCUACAGCGAGCACGAAAGGGACUCUCAUUAGGGUCUUUAAUGCGGUUGAUGGUACUCUGUUGCAGGAGGUAAGUUGUCUUGAAUGAGGAAUUAGUCUAUUUGGAACUGGAACUUAGUUUGUGCAUUUUAUUUUAGCUAAAUUGAGGUGUUCAAGACCCUUUGUUGAGCUCAGAAACGAGUGAAUUGGAAGAACAUUUUAAUUGUCAGAUGACGUACUCCUUUUAGGAGAAAAUAUUACAGCAAAACAUGGGUUUGAAAUCUAGAAAGUGACUUUGGUGAAUAUAAUUAUUAGGCAGUGUCAUGACCAAAUUUUAAUGUGGGUUAUGCAUUGAGUAGUGUUUUAUUUCUUAGGAGCUGGUUACUUGUAGAUAACAGCUGUAAACCUUUAUUUAUAGUUGUCUUUGUUUAAUUUGGUUGGACUACACUGUGUAACUCAUGGUUCCAUUGGUCUCAUAGUGUUGCUAAUGCCCAUUUAUAGUUUGUUAUUGUCAAUCCUGUUCCAUGUGGAUGAUUUGUCCUGGACCUUUUUAUUUGAGAGUUAGGUUGGAACAUUUUGGUUUUCUGAUGGUGACUUGUAAGUUACAUUGGUUGUGAGUCCACCAUGUUAAGACACCUCGUGUAUUGAGGCAAAUCAGUUGUUGCUGGUAAGAUGUAGCGUUACCUAUGUGCUGCUCCUACCAUUGACAGCCAUUUACUGCAGUUGAUCUUCAUUUUUUAUUUCCCUUACUGCAAAUCAGUUCACUCUACCGCUGGUGGUGACCGCUUUGUGAGUUACUUGCCCAAAGACAAGACUGUGGCGAGCGGGCUCGGCACCAGGGAGGGAGAGCCGGAUCCAGUGGAGUCGCAGCGGGUGGUAUCUUCCGAAUAGUGAGUUGUUGCGGUUCCUCAAGCUUAAGCCCAGAAAGUUCUAAAAGAAGGUAAGGAUGAAUUUGAUGACUGCUGCGAUUUUUCAAUGUUCUAGUGAACAGCAGUUGCUCUUUCGACAUCGUAUUCCUCCACUUUGUUAUUAUAGCUUCUUUUCGGCAGCCCUGUCUACUCCUGGAGUCAUAGACGGAAUGCUGUAUUUUCUUCACGGGUGAAAUGCUGUAACGAUCCCCUACAUUGUUUAUGAGUUUGCUUAUUCGAAACAAACAGAAUGUGAGCUACAUUAUCUUGACUAUCAAAGAAAUAGGCACUGGAUCAAACAUUUAGCUCCAUUCAGAUGAUUCACCAAAAAGAGAAAAGAGCGAAGAAAUGAACUGAAGGGAAAGAAAGGCCAACAACAACCCAAUCUAUCCAACAAUAAUGACAACGAAUAUUACAAGAUAACCACAAAGACCAAAGUUGCUAAAUGACUGCAAUUCUAGCUUCAAUAACUGGAACCCUUGAUCUGAUGGGACCAAAUCCAAGAUAUCCAGCAAGACUUACAAAAUAAUGUAAAUGAAAUAAGGUCAAACUUAUUUUGUUUCUCGUCACGGUCUAGUCCCCACUCCCAACCAUGACCAAAUUGAUCAGCUAAAACCCAUACUUUGAUUAGUGCUUCUCCCAUAAAGAAUCUAAAGAGAAAAAAGAAUAAAUACUUUUUUUUUAAAAGUAUAAAAAAGUGAAAAAUUAUUGAUUAGAUUUGUAUUGUUUGGAAGUAUUUUAGUAAUAUAAUCUUUUAAAAAAAACAUAAGAAUAAGUUUUCCUAAAUUUGAUUAAAUAUGAAAAUAUUUUAUUAAUAUGGAUCGGGUUGGGUAUAAGUUGAAAAAUUUACAUUAGACUUAAAUGGGUCAUAAAUGAGUUAAUGGGUCAAUUUGGGCGAACCAUUAAUGAUCCGACCCAAACCCGACCUAUUCCACCUGUUUAACAGCUCUAAGGCUAACUUGUAGAGGUUGUGAUGGGGUCAAUUGGGGGAGUGGUGGUGUGAUCCUUGUAGAGGUUGUGAUGGGGCCAAUUGGGGGAGUGGUGGUGUGAUUCAGGGACGGAGAUGGUGACAUUGAUCGGCUAUAUGGUGGGAGAGAGAGAAAUAUUAUUGUAAAGAAUAGAAAAAUUUUAAGUAAUAAUUGCAUCACGCGAUAGUAAAAUAUAUAUAAUAAAUCAAUCAAUAUUGGGUAUUCUCAAUAUUUAAGUGCCAAUUAAAAUGACAUGCAUAUUGUAGUUGGCAAUGUAAAUUGACUGAUUACUUCACAUAAAAUACAUUUACAUAGUAAAAGGGAUAGUUUGAUCUUUUAGUUGAGGAUUUUUCUCUAAAGAUGAACAUCCUACAAUUAUCAAAAGCAGAGAAGCAUAUAUGAUAUAGAUGAAAGUAUUUUUGGAAUUUUCUCUAAUAUGAUUAAAGUAAAGAAAAACUCAAAAACUCAAAAACCAUCUUUCUGCUCUGUCUUUUGGUUUCACUUUAUAUCUCUAUUUUUUUUAAUGUUUUUUUUUUGGACGAAGUAUUGCUUUUAUUCAUUCAUAAAAGGAGCUCUACAAGAGCUAAGACAAGUGAGUUUCUGAAGCCAUGAAUCUAUCAAUUUGUGCUGUCACUUUUGUUUGUUGCUAGGUUUCAGAUUUUAAAUUUGUUUUUCAACGAAUGGGACCCAGAAACUUCAGCCCAUUGAUUGAUUCAUGAAUGAUUCAUGGAAACUUUUAGGAAACUUCUCGGAAACUUCUUGCAUGACUCAAGGCAUUGACUAUAUUUACUCAAGGGAUAUUCGGAGAUUUUUCCCCCUCCAUGACGCCAGAGAUUGAGAGCUCAUCAUAUUGACAGCCCUCGCUCGGAUCCAAGCACACCCAAAGCAAACUUUCCUGAGAUAUCUGGUGUUUAGAGAUCAUACAAUGGAGAGAGGGAUGAGUUCACAGGCAUCAUCUGGAUCUUCGUACGAGGUUUUUCUAAAUUUUCGAGGAGUAGACACCCGUCAUGGAUUUACUGAUUUUCUUUACCAUGGGAUGGUUGGUGCUGGAAUCCUUGUCUUUAGGGAUAGUGAAUCCCUCCAUGUCGGUGAAGAAAUUGGUGUUGAACUUCUACAAGCAAUCGAGAACUCCAAGAUUUACAUUCCCAUAUUCUCCGCAAAUUAUGUUUCAAGUUGCUGGUGCCUCCGAGAGCUUGCAUACAUGGUCAAGUGCACCUUGAAAUCGAAUGGGAACAAGGAGAUUCUGCCUAUUUUCUUGGAUGUGGAACCUGUUGAUGUGAAGCUGAAAACAAACUUUUCAAAUCUCCAACAGAUGUUGUGCAGUGAAGCAGAGUCAUGGCAAAAGGCUCUCAUUGCAGUGGGCAAGAUAAAAGGAUGGAACUUGAAGAAAGAUGAAAGGUAAAUGUCUUAAACUUUUCAUUUGUUAUGUAGAUUUCCUUUUCCUCCUUAUUAAGUUUGAUUGCGGUAUUGUUGGUGAAAAAUAUAGUUUAUUCAUCUCAUCGAGAAUGGAAUUCUCAUGGGUAGUAGCCAAUAGAGGUUGGCACCGAUGCAGUGGUGGCACACCCUACUCAUUCUUAUUCUCUUUCUCUUCUCACUUUUGAUCUCUGACACAGUAGCCACGAACAGUAACAUCUUGAGCAGCUUCACCAAGUCGCCGGCCAGCCACCGCUGCAACUCAUCCAUCAAUCAUCACCAUUUCUUUGUCACCAGCCUGACACCAGGUAGCCAGAACCUGCCUUGACCAUCCAAACUCCCACCCUUUCUAUCCUUCACUCACUGGCAAGUUAGAUCCAGGUUGGGUCUGACGUCACCUUGCCUAUAUCCGGCAUUGCCAGCCUUGGGGACCCCAAAUUUGGUGUCUCCUAAAGCUGGCGACGCCGUCUUGGCGAUCGUGAGGCCAUGACCCAUGUGACGUGGAGGAUUGUGAUAAGGCUUAAGAUGGCGGGUUGAUUGGGUGCGACGGUCAAGGACUCUGGAAUGCAAUGGUGACGGUGCAGGGAGGCAAGUGAUGUCAAUAGUGGCAUGAUGGUGGCAAAGGCUGACGGUGAUGGCGACUGAAGUUGGGGAGUGGAGAGAGAUUGAAAAAUCCAGAAAUUUUUAGCAUCUAGAUUUUUUUUCUCUCUCUAAUUUCCUCAACAUGUGAGGGCAAUUGAGUCACUUGAAGAGUAGCUUUUCACAACAUAAAAGUUGUCCUUAACACGGUUGUUACAUCAUGGCAGCCAAGUAGAUUUGAUCCAAUCGGUAAUUGAAGCUGUUUUGGUUAAGCUGAAUGUCAGAUAUAAAAAUGUGACUGAGCACCUAGUUGGAGUUGAUAAUCGUGUAGAAGCUAUAAUUAAGAUGUUGGAUGUGGAAUUUGAUGGUGUGAAAUUUCUCAUGAUCCAUGGAAUGGGAGGUGUUGGCAAAACAACACUAACCAAAGUUGUCUUCAACCGAUUGUCUUCUCGGUUCCAAGGCUGCAAUUUCCUUUCGGAUGUUCGAGAGUCAUCAGAACGACAUGGCUUGGUACAUUUGCAAAAACAAUUGUUAUCCAAGUUCCUUGAUCGUUGUUAUGUUGACCAAAUUAGUGAAGUGGAUCAUGGGAUCGACAUGAUUAAGAGGGUACUUAAUAAUAAAAAAGUUCUCAUUGUUCUUGACGACGUGGAUGAAAACAAGCAGCUGAAAAAUUUGGCAGAAAAAGGAAAUUGGUUCGGUUCUGGUAGUCGGAUUAUCAUUACUACUAGAUACAAAAGUGUCCUAAUGAUUGACGGAGAAGCAACAAGUGAAGGUCCUAUAAAGUGUGCAAAUGUUUUGACUUAUGAAGUACAUGAAAUGAAUUUCGCCAUGCUCUUGAGCUUUUCAGUAGGCAUGCCUUCAGGAGAGACUCUCCACCCGAUGAUUAUGUCUACCUUUCAGAAAAAGUUGUCUCCACUUUGGGAAAGCUUCCUUUAGCUCUUGAAGUCACUGGUUCAUCCAUUUCUGGUAGAUCCAAAGAAUUUUGGGUAGACACUUUGAAGAAGCUAGAAAAAGCUCCUUCCAUAGAAGUCCAAAAAACAUUGAUGAUAACUUAUGAAAGGUUAGAUGAUGCACAAAGGCAAGUAUUUCUGGAUAUAAGUUGUUUUUUUGUUAAUGAGGAUAAAACCUACCCUUGCUACAUGUGGGAGGACUGUGAAUACCACCUAUACAAUGCCAUUGAAAUCCUCUGUCUCAUGUCCUUGAUAAAAAUCAAAGAUGACAAUACAUUUUGGAUGCAUGAUCAAUUGCGGGACCUCGGAAGGGCAAUCGUUCGUGAAGAGAAUUUCAAAGAACCUCACAAGCGUAGUCGAGUGUGGAAUCAUCAGGAAGCCUUGAGCAUUUUGGAGCAGAAAAAGGUAUCGAAAGGGAAUUACAACUUAUUUUCCUGUGAAUUGUUGUAGCCUAUUCUUGAAAAAGGAAAAAUCCAUCCCUAUUAGCGCUUGAAAUUGUUUGCUUUUAACCUUCACACGUGACUUCUUGGUGUUUCCAUCGAUAGGGAAGCAAGAAGAUAGAAGCAUUGUCACUAGGAUCUCGUGGAGUCAUCAUAAUGCCUAGUGAAGUUGCUAAUUUACGACACUUGAGGUUCUUGGAUGGGAAUGAGAUGUUCCUUGUUGGAGACUUCAAUAAUCUUCUCUCCAAUUUAAGAUGGCUUUCUUGGCGAUGGUGCCCUUUCGAGUUUGCGGCAACAAACUUUCAUCUAGUCAAUUUAAUCGUUCUUGACCUUUCACACAGCUAUGUAUCAGAGAAAUGGAUUGGCUGGAACCAAAUCAAAGUAUGAUACGAGUCUCACUCCUUGUAUAUAAGUAUCUUUUCUUGUCUUUCUUGUUCUUUUUCCUAUAAAUCAUUUCUUAAUAUAUAUAUAUUUUUGCAGGUGGCAAGUAAACUAAAAGUACUAGAUCUCAGCAAUUGCAAUGAUUUAAUGAGAACGCCUGAUUUAUCUAUGUUGGUGUCCUUGGAGAGAUUGAUUCUUGAAGGUUGUCGCAAUUUAAUUGAAAUUGACCCUUCAAUUGGAAAAUUAAAGCUCCUCACUGCUUUAAACUUGAAUGGAUGUCACGCUCUUGAAGGGUUGCCUUACGAAAUAGGAUGUCUAGAUGCUUUGACGGAGAUUCUCAUGCCUCGUUCAUCGUAUGCAUUCAAACUUCCAGAGACAAUUGGUAAUUUGAAGUCAUUGUUGACCCUUGAUGUAUCACAUAGCUGGAUCCGCUUGCUGCCAAACUCAAUUGGAGGGCUGGUGAAACUUAGGCGGUUGAAUUUAUUUAAGUGUUUAAAGAUAAAGAAGCUUCCUGACUCGGUUGGAGAAUUACGAUCAUUAGUCGAGUUGGAUUUGUCAUCAACAAGUUUGGGACACCUACCUGAUUCAAUCGGCAAUCUAAAGCAAUUGACAGUACUUAGGAUGAGCCACAUAAUUGGGAUAACAAAAUUACCAAGAGCGAUUGGGCUGAUGGAGAAGCUUGAAGAAUUAGAAGCUAGUGGAUGUCAUCGCUUGACCGGCGAAAUCCCUGAAGAAAUUGGGAGGUUGUCUUGUUUAAGGAUCUUAGACUUGUCGUUCACACGUAUUUCCAGAUUACCCAUCACUGUGGGUUGCCUCUCUAAUCUCCAAACACUUAAUCUAGAAUCAUGUUCUAAGCUUAAUUUGUUGCCGCAGCUUCCCCCAAGUUUGAGUUGUCUAAGGUGGGCCUUUGAUACUCUCAAGUUCUGCGGAAACAGGACAUAUAUGCCGGAGCGGGACUCUGCUUGUCACUCUAGCAUCGUACCCUUAUAUGAGGUGGAAGAACGAGCAUCCGGCAAAACCAAGCGAUUCUUGCCCUGGCUCCUGUCUUCUAGUUUAAGAGAGUUCGAAGUUGGAAAUCUGUCAAUUACACCACGGAUGAAUUAUACCCAUUUGAGCAACUUGUCAACUUUGCGAUUACAAAGUUGUUCAAUAUCAGAUUACUUUGAUGUUUUACCUGUUGAGCGCCCCAUUUUGUCGGAGCAAGUAAAGAUAAUGCAAUUAGAAAAAGAGCAAAGGGAAUCGGUUGUGUCGGAAAUGGAAAGAUGGAGCGGUUUAAAUAUCGGAUCAUUUCUGUUGCAAAUAAAAAGAUUGAGACAUUUAGAGAUGCGUACGUGCAAGUUCUUCUCAAGAGAACUUCGUCUAUCGCACAUGAAGAUUCUGGAAGAGGUAAAUCUGUUCGGAUGCUCCUUGUUUGUCGAGAUCUGCGGCCUUGAAGAACUGGGAUCCCUUUGCUUCCUAUCGAUUGUGGAUUGCAGUUCCAUGGAAAGGAUGUCAAACCUAUCGAAAUUGAGAAAGCUAAGGAAGCUAAGAGUAGGAGAAUGUCCAAAGUUAAAAAGCGUGGAAGGUCUAAAUCACUUGGAAUCUUUACAGAAGUUGUGGAUUCACGAUUGCUGCUUGUUGGAGAGUUUGGCUGACACCUCAAAUUUGCGUUUAGAAUGUUCCACAAUUGAACAUUGUGAGCGGUUGCCCAACCAUAACAGUUACUGUAGAUGUCAUGACAAUAGAGAUUCAGAUACUGAACCUGACCACGCGAAGUAUUUUUGAGCCGGUUACACUGAGCCCAACCUGAUGAAAGUCCGGUGAGUAUGAUGUGAACACCCGUAUAUUGUGUCUGUAAGGAAGUCAGACCAAGUCUUUAUUGUUGGGCUUAUUGUGUUCAUUUUGUUUUUGUUUUUUUUUUCUUCUCUGAAUUAGAAUUCGGUUGGUCUCAAGAAGGUUUUCCAAUGACAAUAUUGGUAACAAGUACGACCCAUUAAGAUUGAAAGCCAAUUUGAAGAUGAAAUGUAGACAAAAGUACGUUGAGAAGAUUGGCCCAAUGACCGCGACCAAGAAUGACCAGAAUUCAGUGACUUUCACCCCCAUUCUCUUUUUGUUAUCGUAAGUAGAUAUGCAUUUUACGUGUUGUAACCAUAUUCUCGUCAUUGGGUGGAUACGAUUUUGUUAUAACCAUGGAGUUUCCGUCCAGCAUGCUCGCGUAGCAUCUGCAUUUCCUCAAACUUUCCAUUUCCUGGUAAUCAGUCUCGGCUCUGUUUUCUUCUUAAUUUGGAUAUGAAGCAGAGGCCCAGGGCUCUAGCUCCAACCUGUGUGAAAAUCGGCUGCCAUUGAGGCUCUAUUAAUUAUCUGAACUUGCUGCGCUGCCUUUGUGGUGGUAAUCAGGAUGUGAAUCGUUGCUUUACUUUUGCAUCUAACCUCCUCUGCUGAAUAUCUCACUUCUUUGAUGAAAAUGCCUGAACAGAGAAUUUCCUUCACUACUAAACUGUUGAUCGAAUUUUGUCAUAUAGGCCUAUUUUGAAGACAGUGAGCUAGAUCCAUGUGUUCAAUUAUGUAAUGCUGGCCAAGAACCUCAUGUAUAAAAUUGAAUCGAUCCCAAUGUGUUUCUCGCUGAAUUCAUAUGAAACCAAAGUGAUUCCUAUACUGGUAUGCUUAUUUCUGAACUUAUCCAGUUGAGUUGUGCUUGAAUUGACUCCCAUGUUCUGUAAAAUUUGCCGAAGCCCCAUACUGAUCAUGUCCAUUCUAUUGCGAAACUUGGAGUUUCUUAAUUUGCUUGAUUUCAUUUUGGCGUCUUUUGAUUCCUGUCAAUGUGUUUAUAGGGAAGUGUCAUAGUUCUCUGUGUAAAUGGCAUAUAUGUGACUGAACCGAAUUGUUUAAUGCAUUGCAUCAGCAUUACUGAUACGCUCAUUUUAUGCACACGUACCGAUAUGUUGAUGCUAGGCUGAGAGUUCCCUAUGAUAGUUUGGAUUUGCUUUUGAUUGGUUCAUGUUAUUUCGCUUGCCUGAGAGCAUUCUCCUACUCAAUUGUGUGUCUCGAACUUAGUUGUAUGAUUUUGAUUCAUGUUUCAAUACCUCUAGUUUUGCCGUGAAUGCAUUUGGACUUAUUUGAGUGUGCCUGAUCUUGCUUUCCUUAUGCCCGAGCGGGGAACUUCUCAAUUUGACAUCAAUUUGUUCUUCCCUCAUUUACUUUAUAAUUUUAAUUUGUCACGUUGAUACAUGAUGACUAUCACUAUUUGUGUUAAAUCAAUUUAUAUCUCGUGAUACCUUAGUAUUCAUUGCUCAGCCAUGGUAUGAUUGGGAAGUAGAUAGUCUCACCUACAUAACUUUCGAGCCAAAACUGGGUAUAUACAUGUACAUUGUCUAGUAUAUUAUAUGUUCAAAAUUACUUAUAAUUGAACAUUUUCAGCAAUGAACACUAUUUCAAGCAUGAUUUCUUAUUUUAGGAUUAGUAGAUUUUAGAUUUUUAUCUUGAUUGAUCUUAGAUAUUUUUUGAUCUAGUGUUGCGAUUCUUAAAGAUUGUCUAGUUGAAGAUCCGCAAUGCACAAAUUUUGAAUAAAUGGUUGUGUUGGCAAAUUUGAAAUGGCUUAUUAUAUAUCCAGUGUGAGAAUUUUAUUUACAUAUAAAUAUUAUGGCAAGCUGGACGUACCCAAUGGGUACAGGGUUAUUUUAGUCACUUGGGUCUGGGAAAUCUAUAAUAUGUUUGGGACGAGUUUGGGAUGAUUUCCUUGUCGCAAACCUAUCCCAAACUCGUCCUAGUUCCAUCUCUGCCAUCAGUACUUGCUUAUAUAUGUUAGGAGAUGAGAGUUAAUCAAGAAAUUUUUAAGUUAACGUGUCACUAGCCCCUUGAAUUUAAAAUGAUAUAAAGUGCUUAAACACUAUCAAAAUGUAAAUUCGGUUCAAUUUACUGAAAAUGAAGGAAUCCAUUCGCUUCAACCCGUGCCCUGUGCUUGGGGACGUGGAUAAGAUGAGGAAAGAAGGGUAUGCGGAAAGAAUUGGCAAAGUUUCACCAGUUCGAGAGAAGCAGGGAAAAUGAAGGUCCAUUUUUGAUAGGGACGAAAAUAAAAUUACGAAAGUCUUAAAGCCCGAAUUGGCACCAAAAUUUUUAACCCGAUUAGACCAGAACGGAUUGUCGACCCCUUUAUUAUGUAUAUUUCAGGCAGGCCAGGUUUUCCAGCUUCGUGCUAUGCAGCCCAAAAUGGCCUUGCACGCACGAUUUUUCUAUUUUCAUGUUUUAUUGAUUUAUAGUUGUAGCAUUUCACUAAUUUCUUUAAUCAUAAAUGAGAAAAAUGAAUUUUUACAGGUGAAAAAAUUAAUUUAUUGCACUAUUGAAAAUAGUGAAAAUUAUUAACAAAUUUCAAAAAUAAAAGAUACUAUACAGGUGAGCAAAUUUCUAGCAAUUUUUUUUUUUUUUAAGUUGGCUACCUUUCGACCCUAGCUCAGCCCUAACCCCAAAAGACCGAAAUAAUAAUGGACGGGCUAGAAAAUCCAUUUCAGGUUCUUUUUUUUUUUUUUUUUCUUUUCAGAGCUUGGAAAUUCCAGCCUCGAAAGUUUGGACUAGGCCGAAAAAUACACUCCUACUGCCACAUUUUCUUUUUUGGUCAGAGGGGAAUUGUCGAUAACUUGGUCAUAUUUGCCAGACAAUCUUUUUUUCUUUUUUUUCAAUGUGGUAUUUCCAUUUUUUCAUUUUUUUCUUUUAAUGAACGUCUUUUUUUCACAUCUACAGUUUUUUCACCUUCACUUUCCCACUCCUUUCAAUAAAAAAGUAGUCGAUCUCUUAAUUUCUUCACCUUUGUUUUUCGAACCUUUCCAAAUGACUAUUUUUUCCACCUUAGUUUCCUUCGCCUAUAUUUUCAACCUCUUCAUUUAUUUCACCUCCCAAAAAAUAUAUCCAAACAUGGUGAUAGUUCAUUUGAUCUAGGUUUGGUUUUCCCAAACGGAAUUACCUUGACUUUGGGGAUGACGUAAGCGAAGAUAGAGUGGUCCCGUCUACACUCGAUGGUGACCAUGUACCGUUUUCUAGCCAAAUGAAUCGUUAGUUUUGUGUACGUGCUUAUCAGACACCCAUAAAAAUAUCUCUCUCCCUCUCCACUUGAACUUGAACUUGCACAAUGAACUCCGCCCAAUCACCCACUAGAUAUGGUCAAGCAUAGUUGCGGCUUCGAGCUUGACACCUCUAUUGUCAUGGGCGUCGGUGGUGUUGGUUGAGGCAAUGGCAGCGCCCAUCGAGGACAUGGAUGGUGAUGUUGAUUGGCAAGUAUGGUUGAGAGAUUGAGAAAGAAAGAAAAAUGAUUUCGUAGAGGAGUGUGAUAGUUGUAUCAUAUGAUAAUGACACAUGAUGUAACAAGCCAAUGAAAAUUGAGUAUUGGCAACAUUUAAGUAGCAAAUAUUGCACGAGCAACAUGGAUUGACCACUUAUACUACAUCAAUCUCAAUAAGUAGCACAUAGAAUAUAUUUCCGUAAUAGAGGGGUAGUUUGAUCUUUUAAUUAUGGAUUAUAGUCUGAAGAUGAUCAUGCGGCAAAUGUCAAAAACUGAGAAGCAUAUGUGAUAUAAAUAAAAAGUCAGAGAGGAUUUUUGAAAUUUUCUCUACUACGAUUAAAAAAAGAAAAGCUCUUGUAUCCCAUUAUAACUUUAUAUUCUCUAUUUUUAAAGCUAUGGAUCUUUGAUUUUGUGCUGUGAAUUUUGUAGCUUUGUUAUUAGGCUUCAGAUUUUAAAUUUGUUAUUAAAUGAACGGGACGAGAAAACAUCUACAACCAAACCUGUGACUUGAUUAUUUGACUUGUUUUAUUGAAAAGAAUGACGCUUCAAAACUAACAUGAGUAGGUAUGUAAUAUAAUUGCAAUUGUUUUGCAUUUGCCUAAAUCGUCAACCUUAGCAUGUCGUUUGCUUGAGAGUGAGGAAGGGGAUGGACUGAUAUAAAGCGUACCCUGCAUUUUUCUCCCCAGAAAUCGUUUGAUUAUAUAUUUUCAAGAACUUGUUGAUAAAGAGCACAAAUGAAAGGAUAGCCACCUCAAUUAAAUCGCGGAUCUCAAUCUUAGGGCUCGAGAAUCUCAUAUGAUUACAAAAAUGACAAAAGGGUAAUCAAUUUUACACUAUGUAGAAUUGAAAUUUGCUCGAUUAAUUGAUUCAAUUUAGUUAAUCAAGAACCGCGAGACACCAUUAUAUAAGAUAGGUAACAUGUCAUAUCUCAAGGAGGUAAAUUGAAUCAAUUUAUGUUUCAUAAGUAUUGUGACAACCCUCCUGACAUGAUAAGCGAAAUAAGUUUAGAGGUAAUGUCAAAUUAAGUACAAAUGGUACUUAAUAGAUGCAGGUUCUCCCAAAUCCUUAACUUGUGCGAUGUUGGGAAAUUCAUUGAUUAAUCCUAUGAAAAUUUUAUACAACAAGAAGUUUGCCACUAACUUAUUGGGAUCAACUAAGAACCAAGUAAGAUACGAGAGUAUAUUUUACUUCCUAGCAAUCAAAGAUCUAGAUUCAAGAACUUGAUUAUACUAGUUAUUCAACUAAUGACCUUUUGAUACUUAAACUUUAUUAUUUAUCAACUAAAGUGUCCACAUAAUCAAUUUACCAAAUUAUGACUGCUAAGGUUCUCACCCACUAAGUGUCAAUGCAAUGUUCUUUUACUAUUUAUCAUUAUCCUAAAAUGUAACCUAAACAUUUAACUAAAACAAUCAAAUCAUGACAUAGAAGUGAUACAAAGAAAUCACAACUAAUUUCGUCUUAAAAAGUAGUAAAAGACUAAGCGAAAGGGCUACUCAAUACAAGUCCGGCAAAAAAGAUAUUACAUGGCCUUAUUAAUUAGGCUCGGGACAACAACCCCAUAAGCUAAAAUCAAAUCGGGUCCAAUCUUUUAAAAGAGACUAAUCUACUAAAAUUAAUCCAAACUAGAAGAACAUGAAAUUCCCUAAACCAUAUGAAUAUCAACUAAAUGACACUAAGCCAAAUCUGUACUAAGAUUUAACAAUCUAAUCAAGACAUAUUUUCUAACAUUAUUCUAAUUUUUCCUUAUUUUGGGAUUUUUUUUUGUUAUUUAUUUAUUUAUUCGGUCCCCUUCUUGGUCCAUCACCUUUAGGACACGCGUAAAUGUCACAACUUCUGCAAAAUUCUUUCAACGUUUCCAUUUUGUCACCCUUUUCUUUUCUAUAGAACUCCCCCGAGUACUAGUGUCUUUCUCUGCAAAAUUUCCUUUACUCAUUUCCACUGGCAAAAGUACAACCCGAGUGCCAAAAUUUAGCACGAAGGGACACUUAAGUGCCAAAAGUUAGGAAAAUGAUAUUUAAGUGUUACUUUCUCUUUUUUUUUAAAGUAGGACACUUAAGUCCCAUCUUCGAUGAAUCCCACCGAAAAUCCUACAUGACAAUUUUUUAUUAUUUUUUUCAUCUAUGUAGCCUGUUGGAAUGUUGACUCAAUAAAAAAGAGGCAAAAACGAUGUUUUUGAGCGAAUUCAAAUGUUAAUAUAAAAAUAAUUUUAAUUAAAUUAUAAAAUAAAUAAUAAUUGUUUUAAUUUAUUUUUUAAAAAAAAAGGUGGGGGAGAGGAGGUAGCGGGUAAGGGCUGAGCCCUCGCCAUCGCUGCCUCCCUGUCGCCACCGGGAAGGCCAGUGGCUGGCGACCCUAGCUGACACUCCCCCCACCAUCGUCGGCCCUUCCCAGUGAUGGCAGGGAGGGCCCAUGAACCCUCGCCAAAUUUGGGGGAGGGUUGCGAUCCUCGCCCAGAUCUGGGCGAGGGCCGUCGCUCGCAAGCCCUUGCCUCCGGUCGGUCGAGGGCUGGCGACCCCGGCCGACCCUCUCCCUCCGUCGCCGCCCCUUCUCGGUGAGGGCGGGGAGGCGGCGAGGGUUUACGAACCCUCGCCAGAUCUAGGUAAGGGUCGUGACCCUCACCCCAAAUUUGGGUGAGGGCUUACGAGCCCUUGCCGUCGGUCAGCCAAGGCCGGUGACCCCAACCGACCCUCCCCCCUCCUUCGCCGCCCCUUCCCGAUGGUGGCGGGGAGGUGGCGGCAACGAGGGCUUAGCCUUUAGCCGCCUCCCUCCCUAUUUUGUUUUUUAUAAAUAUUUGUAUUGUAUUUUUAAAUGUUUUAAAUAAAUUUAGUUUUAAAUUUAAUUUUAUUAAAUUCUAUAUUAAAUUUUAUAUUAAUUUUUUUAUCAUGUCAUAGACAAAAAUGAUGUCGUUUUUACAUUUUCUAGCCACAUUAGCAUGCAAAAUGACGUUGUUUUGCGCUUACCUUGACGUCAAUAUUUUGGCCGAAUUGGUACUUAAGUGAUCCAUUUUGCUCUGAUUUUGGCACUUAAGUGUCACUUUCCUAAUUUUUGGCACAUAAGUGUUCUUCCGUGCUAAGUUUUGGCACUCUAGGUGUCCAUACCUCCAUUUCCACUCAUCUCCUUCGUUCGUUCAUUCAUAAAAACACACUCAUCACAUUAGCACACUAUCUUUCUGUUUAGUUUUGAUGUUCACGUCUUUCCCCUUCUCUUUCUACAAGUCGAACAACAUAGAUUGACCAACUGACGUCCAAACAAAAUCAAGAGAUCUCCCAUGCAACCAUUCAAAAUUCAUUCGGUCAAAUGCAAAACUCAUACGUUCACAGAAGUUACUCAACCAGCAAGAAAUAGAGCAUUAACCAAAAGGACAUGCUAUGAGCGACAAUUGAUGAUCCGGUACGCUACUGAGUCAGAAUUUUCGCCAAGCACGUUCUAGGCACUGAAUUCUCCCUCGGCUUAUAUGGUUACUUGACUGAAAUAGCAAAGUACCAAGGAUGAAUCGACAUAAAGUUAGGCUAGGGAGCUUAUGGUCAGCAUGUAAAGAUUCCAGUUCCAUCCAACUUGAGAUUAAUUUAAGCAAGAUCAAAGUUCAAUAAUGGUAAGGUUCCAAAAGAAUCAUUGAUCAAAUAAAGUCUACACAACGAAAAUAGUGAAUCGUUCAAGCAAAAGAUAGCUCUCCAUCAAAAUUUGAACCAAAACACACUGCAUUUUAAUUCAGAAAUUUUCACGAACAUUUGGUUGGUAGGCAUCUGGGCUAUGCAUUUUAGAACCAAGUCGCUGCUGAUUGGAGUCGUUCGAACCGCCUGGACUGCUAGAGGAAGAGGGCAUAAUGAAGAACGAAUAUAAAGAAAUGUGACCUCAGAGACUCCAUUCGAGAUAUGGCAUCUCAAGAGAGAGAGAAUGGAGUCGGUCGUCAUCCGGUAAUGGACGAUCGACGGUGAUACUGCGGCAGUCAGAGGCGGUGGAGAAGGAACCAAUUUUUGGACCAAGGCUUCCAAGGAUCUUGGCAGGCUUCUUGGACUGAUGGGCUCUCCACAGUCAGGGAAAUGGACUGGAAUCGAUGAGUUCGGUGGAUUUGGGCCAAGACUGGGCUCAGUAAUGCUUCCGUGGGCUGUACAAGAUGGGCCGAAACUGAAUUAUUUCAAUAUAAUGUCACUAAUUACUUUAGUGAGACACAUCUUCCUCGGAUUGUCAUGUGAAGCAUCUCGUAAGUGUUGCCUCGAUCCGAUUAAUCUAUUUCUUUUUUGUCCUUCUAGGUAAUUCUUUGUGUUUCUUAACACUACAUUCUCCAUCCAUGAAUGGCUCCCACAUGCAAGUCGGUCAUGUUGGCUGCUUCUCUACGUCUAGUUUGUCUCUUCUUGAUGCACACUUAAUUUCUCAGAUUUGCUCUCCCGACACAAUUUGUUCGUUUAUGCAACACUAUGAUAGAACUACCUUCAACAUGUCUUCUUGUUUAUCAUUGUUAUUUUUCUACUCUUGAUUAACCUCAAUCCUAUCAAGAAACUCGUUCCAACACUCAUUAUCAGAAGCUAAUGUUUGAAGAACAUCUCAAGUUGCAUAUAGUUGUUGUAAUGUUAAAUUUGCAAUAUCAUGUAUCUUUCCAUGUUUGUUUGGGAACUAGAUCAAUAGAAAGAUCAUCAAUGUUCCUACUAUGCAAUUAGUGAUAUAGAAAAAGCAUUCAGCUUAUUUGUCUCUUGUUAACACAACUACAUAUGACAAUCUAAAAUUAUAAUGAGUAGUCCAGCAAUCAAAGUUUAUCACAACAUCCAGCUCGAUGCCUGCUAAAAUUGCUCAAGCUCGACACUAGAUUUGGUCAAGCAUCGUUGCAGCUUCGGGCUCGACACCUCUAUUUUUGAGUUGGGGGAUGGCAAAGAUGAGAGAGAGAGAGAGAGAGAGAGAGAGAGAGAGAGAGAGAGAGAGAGAGAGAGAGGUGGGUGGGGGCUCACUUGUGGAGGGCAUCGGUGUGGCCAGUUGGGGGAGUGGUGAUGUUCAUCGGGGAUAAGGAUGGCGAUGUUGAUCGACAAUAUGGUGGGGAGAAAAAGAAAGAGAGAAACGAUAUGAUAAAAGAAAAGGGAUUUCAUACGACAAUUAACUAUAUGGUAGACGUUACCAAAAAUAGAAAAAAACUAUAUGGUAGUGACAUAUACUGUGACAACCCAAUAAAAGCAAGCACCAAUUAGGAUGACGUAUAGUGCACUGAGCAUAUGAAUUGAUUGAUCAUACCACAUCAAUUGUGUAACUGACACAUUACAUAUAUUUUCUUAAUAGAAUAGUUUAACCUUUUAGUAAUGGUUUUUGUCUAAAGAUGACAUAUACUGUGACAAGCCAAUACAAGCAAUUAUUUCCAAUAUCUAAGCACUAAUUAGGAUGACAUGUAGUGUACCGGCCAUAUGGAUUGAUUGAUCAUACCACAUCAAUUGUGUAACUGACACAUUACAUAUAUUUCCUCAAUAGAAUAGUUUAACUUUUUAGUAAUGGUUUUUUUUCUAAAGAUGAAUACUCCUGCAAUCAAGAACUGAGAAAUGUAUUUGAUGCAGAUGUAAAGUUGGAGUGGAUUUUAUAAAUUUUCUCUUAUGUGAUUAAGAUAAGGAAAAACUAUCCCAAUUUCACUUUAAAUCCUUUAAUUUUUUAAGCUAGGAAUAUUUUAUUUUGUGCCGUCCCUUUCGUAGCUUUGCUAAUAGGCUUCAGAUUUCAAAUUUGUUAUUAGAUGAGUGGGAUGAGGAAACUUCUAGGAUGACUACCCAUUGAUUGAUUAAUAAAAUUGAGAAGAUUGCAAUCGUCAAAGUGAUCAAUUCAUUUUUAGUGGAAUCUCACUUUUCAACUGCUCGCACUUUUGAUGGAGUUAUUUAUAUAGCUCAUAAGAAGAUGAAGAAGAAUCAUGUGAUUGUUUGUGGGGUUAGCAUCUACUUGUCAUUUUCUGAAUUAGAAAAGCAAGUUAAUAUGAUGUUCAAAGAUUCAUAAACUGCGUUCUAUCUUUCGGUAUAUCGUAUAAAUGUGACUAAUGGACAAGAAUUUAUUGAACAAUUUCGUAAAUCGCGUGUAAUUAUGUGACUUCGGAUUUUACUGGGUUUUUUUGUAAAAUAAUUGCUUCCAUAACGCCUAGUAAUAUGCACUACAAAUGAUUCUCACGUGCACCUCAGUCAUGGGAAGUAUCUCGGAAUUCUCGCUUUGUCUUAGCACAUGAUCAUGCUUUUGUUAAAAAGCAACGAAGCCAAAAUAAAUAAAAGAUAGAUGAGAGGCCUGCCCAUCACCCAACCUUGGUAAUCAGAAGCACGCGUGCCAAUUCCCCUUAAUUUGAGCAUCUCAUUGUCCUAAAUUGCGUUCUGUUUUUUAAGACUGCACAAGAAGUUCCCGACAAUAUCGUAAAUCGUGCGCCAUUUUUUUUUAUUCAAAUAUUCUUUGUUUAUUUAGUGAUACUGCAAAAAACGAAGACCAUGUUUUCUCAUUUUCGUGUUCAACAACCAAAGUUAUUCACAAUCAAUUCUUCUGGCUACAAACCAAGUUAAAACGCUAUCUUUGAAUUUCCCUCUCCUAAUUUUAAAAAUUCUAGAUGUUUGAUAUUAAAUCAAAACCUCAUUUCAAACCCUGGAAAGUUAAAAAAGAGAAAAGUGUGGGCCGAGAUCUGUUCAAUCUAUUGCCUGUUCUGUCCCUCUAGGUAAUGCUUUAUGGUUCUUCAAUCUGCAUUCUGCCUCCAUGUGACUUCGAAUUUUACCUUCUAUUUUCCGAGUAAAAUGCUUUGCUUCCACUACACCUAGUGUCCGUAUGCACUACAAAUGGCUUUCACAUGCAAGUCGGUCAAGUCGGUUGCGUCUCUACCUCUGGUUUGUCUCUUCUUGAUGCCCACCAACUCCUCAUAUCAGCUCUCUCUACAGAAUCUGGUUGUAUAUGGAUCUUACUACUACCUAAAUUUGAACCUUAUAUGCAACCCUUUGAUAGGACUACCUUCAAUGCGUCUUCUUCAUUAUAAUCGUUAUUUUGCUACUCUUCAUGAACCUCCAUCCUAUCGAGAGGCCUAUUCCAACACUUAAUGGCAGAAGCUAAUGUUUGAGGGAGUGCAAGCUUUAGGAAAGAGUCGUGUAGGAUUUGGUUGAUUUUCUAGUCGAAAGAAGUUACCGGAGGUUAGCAAAUGGGUGAUAUUAAGCGAAGACUCUCUUUUGAUCCUAGUGAUCAGUAUUGUGUGACGAGGUUUGACUUAGAAGCAGGCAUUCGGAUCGGACGGCUGGGGAUGAUUCCAUCUGGAGCAGAGGGAUUAGAGAGGGCCAUCGGGCGAUUAAGGCCCGGAUUGAGUCAUGCUUAGAUGCUAACACGUGUAACAAUGAGGCGGGCCCACUUCUGAAACAAUUGUUUUCGUUCUGGUGGUGUGCGAUGCAAUCUCAACCCCCCAUCACUCUUCACUUUUUGCAAUUUCUUACUACCAUCCAUACGACAGAAACAAAAGCCACUAAUCGUAAGAGUAUUCCUAAACGAGACUCGUCUGUACUGCUCUCUCUCUCUCUGCACAGAGCUCUCUUUCUUGAAUUCUCACGCGUUCACGUACUCCCUUAGCCUUUCCUCCCUUAGCCUUUCCAACUCUCUCGCUCUUCGCUCUUCGCUCUGCUGAAAACAUGGUGGUUUCCGACGAACACCAACCUGAAGUGCCAGCAAAAUGGACGAAUUCUCGGGGAUCAGUUGGACCUUCCUACGAGGUUUUUCUAAGUUUUCAUGGACGAGACACUCGUCAUGGAUUCACCGAUUUUCUUUACCGUGGCAUGGUGGAGACCGGGAUCCUCGUCUUUAGGGAUAAUGAAUCCCUCCAUGUCGGUCAAAGAAUUGGUGAUGAACUUCUACAAGCAAUCCAAAACUCCAAGAUCUAUGUUCCCAUAUUCUCCAAGAAUUAUGCAUCGAGUCACUGGUGCCUCUGAGAGCUUGCAUAUAUGGUUGAGUGCACCUCCAAAUCGAAUGGGAAUAAAGAGAUUUUGCCCAUUUUCUUGGAUGUGGAGCCUGACAAUGUCAAGCUCAAAACAGACUUAUACAGCAAAGCUCUUUCAGCGCACCAGAAAAAGUUCGGUACUGAAGUUGAAUCAUGGAAAAAAGCUCUCAUUGAAGUGGACGAGAUAAAGGGAUGGAACUGGAGGAAAGAUGAAGGGUAAAUAUCUUAAACUUUUCAAUUAUCAUUUGUAGAUCUCAUUUUCCUCUCUAUUUAGUUUAAUUGCAGUGUUGCGGAUGAAAAAUUAUUAUGUCAUUCUUUUCAUUUUUCUCCUAUUUUCUAAUUUUAUUUCGUUUUUCACCGUGUUUAAGUAUGAAAGAGAGUUUUCUUAAAAAUUGAGAUAAAAAUAUAUCAAUCACAUAAAAAUCAUGUGCACUACACUGCUAACGACAAAGCUAAUAGAGAGAUAACGGUUUUAACAGAGUAAAAGUGCAGGAAAUAUUGCAUAACAGUUGAAUUUUUGAGAAUAAAUGUGUACUACCCGUAAUUUAAGGGGAUUUUGUGUAGUGUCCUCUUGUAUCUUUCAUCCUCACUUCUAUGGCAGUGCGAUUUUUCACUUUCGAUUUCAUAAGCAUUGAAUAAAAAUAUAGAAGUAUAAGGGCCAGUGGAUGUUUAAGGAAUAUUAAAAUGAAACGAUUACUUAAAAAGGUGAAAAGCUCUCGGCACUAUUGUGGCGAUCGCUCCUAGCAGCUCCACCAAGCCGCCGGCCAACCAUCAGCUCUCCGUCCGUUCCUGCCACUUCUUUGUCACCAGCCCGACACCAAGCCACCAGAAGCCGCCGCCGAGCCAUCUGGCCCCCACCCUUUCUUUCUCUCACUCAAUGGCAAGUUGGAUUUGGGUUCGGGAUGUCGGAUCUAAGAUCACCAAGCCCAUAUCCGGCGUCGUCGAGCUUGGGCUACCCCAAAUCUAGUGUUAGCGAAGGCCAGCAAAGCCAUCCCCAGUGGUCGCAAGGCUGCAACCCACUUGACUUGAAGGAGAGGCAAGGCCGACAUGGGCAGGUGGAUGGGGUGCAUCAGGCGGCGGCGCUCGAAUGUGACAGUGAUGGCUCACGGAGGUGAGCGACGUUAUCGGCGGCUUGGUAAUGGCAGGGGCCGACGGUGAUGAUGACUAAAUUGGGGUAACGGAGAUAGACCGGGGAAAUUCGGAUUGUUUUAGCAUCUAGAUUUCUUUGCGUAAUUUCUGCAAAUUGUAAGGACAAUUGAGUCACUUAGGGAGUAGUUUUGCAAUAUAAGAUAUAUUCUUAAAAUGGUUGUUACGUUGUUGCAGGCAAGCAGAUCUGAUACAAUCCAUAAUUAAAAUUGUGCUGGAUAAGCUGAAUAUCGGAAAUAAAAAGAUUGUGUCCGAAGAUCUAGUUGGAGUUGAUGAUCGUGCGGAAGCUAUAAUCAAAAUGUUGGAUUUGAGAUUCAGUAGCAUACAAUUUCUCAGAAUCUAUGGAAUGAGCGGAAUUGGCAAAACAACACUUGCCAAUGUCAUUUUCAACCGCCUGUCUUCUCACUUUAAAGACUGAUAUUUCCUUCCAGAUGUCCGAGAGUUGUCACAACGCCACGGACCGGUGUAUUUGCAAAAACAGUUGCUAUCCAAGUUUGUUAAUGCUCAUUCUAACCUUGACCAGAUUCAUCGCGUUGAUGAGGGGAUCAACAUGAUUAAGAGAGUUUUUGGCAAUAGAAAAGUUCUCAUUGUUUUGGAUGACGUGGAUGAGAAAGAGCAACUCAAAAGUCUAGCAAAAGAAGGUGAUUGGUUCGGUUCUGGUAGUAGGAUUAUCAUAACUAGGACCAAAGAGUCUUUAGGAUUGUGGGAGAAGCAAUAGGUGAAGGCCAUGUAGAAAAGUCUACAAAAGUUUCGACUUACGAAGUACGUGAAUUGGAAUUUCAAGAUGCUCUUAAGCUUUUCAGUAAGCAUGGCUUUAGAAGGGACUCUCCACCGGAUCAUUUUGCCUCCCUUUCAAAUGAGAUUGUCUCCACUUUGGGAAUGCUUCCUUUAGCCCUUGAGGUUACAGGUUCAUCCCUUAACAAUGAACCCAAAGAAUUCUGGCAAGCCACAUUGAAGAAGCUAAAAGAUGCUCCUCCUGAUGAAGUCCAAAGUAAAUUGAUGAUAUCUUAUGAUAAGUUAGAUAUUAAAAAAAAGCAAGUAUUUUUGGAUAUAGCUUGUUUUUUUGUUAAUGAGGAUAAAACAUACCCUCUCUAUAUGUGGGAUGCCUAUAGAUACCAUCCAGACGUUGCCAUUAAGGUCCUCUUUCUCAUGUCCUUGAUCAAAAUUAAAGAUGACGAUACUUUUUGGAUGCAUGAUCAAGUGUGAGACCUCGGAAGGGAAAUUGUACGUCAAGAGAACAAAGAACCCUGCGAGCGUAGUAGAGUGUGGAAUCAUGAGGAUGCCUUGAAUAUUCUGGAGCAAAAAGAGGUAUAGAAAGGGUAUAGCAAUUUAAUUUCAUGUGAAUUGUUGUAGAUUAUUCUUGCAAAAGGAAAAUUUGAUUGCUAUUAGCGCUUGCAAUUGUUUGAUUUUGACCAUCAGACGUGGACUUCUUGCUGUUUCCAUUCUCAGGGAAGUAAGAAAAUAGAAGCUCUUUCACUUGGAUCUCGAAGAUUCUCUUAUAAAGACAUAAUUCUAAAGACUGAUGAAUAUGCUGAUUUACAAAACCUGCGGUUUGUUGGAGAAAUCCUUGUGAAGUGUUUUGAAGUUGACAAAACGUUUUCAUCAGUCUAGUCUGAAGGUCUGCAGACUCUGUUAGUUAAAGUCUGAAGACUUCCGGACAGCCAGACUCAAGACUCAAAGUCUAUUCUCAUUGACAGUCUCUAAUCCGUUGAAGAAAGGUUAUCCAGAACUGGAUGGUUUGUUCAGGAUUUAACCUUAUCAUCUGGAGAAGAUCUUGUGGUUGGAGAAGACGUAUCAGAAUCCUUUGAUUGAUCAAGUUUGAUUCAAUGACUGAAGAUUCGAUGAUUGUCUAAAUAUUAUUGGAAGGUUCUACUUAUGGAAACCGAGAUCCUGAUUGUAUGGGCGAACAGGAUUGAUGGGCUAUCAACACGUUCCUUUAAUAGCUCGAACAAUCUUCCUAAUUGAUUCCUUCCAACGGGUAGAUUGGAGGAAUUCCUUUGGUAAGUGCCAACGGGUAUGAUGGCCUAAAGGAGUAUAUAAGGAAGACGUUCUUAGUUGUUCGAGGUGUGCGCGAUAGAAGAAUUCAAAAGUCUGAAGCUCCUAUUUGUUUAGAUAAAUCCUUUGAGCGAAUACUUGUAUACAAAAGAGAGUCUAUAUUUGUGAGAGACCUUGAGGAGGUGUGGUAGUACAUCUACACUGUGGAAUCAAGGCAAAGCUGUGCUGUAACUACUCUUUUGAUCAUAGUGAAAUCCAGCCGGUGGGCUGUCAGUGCGGAAGAGUGGACGUAGGCUUGGAAAAGCUGAACCACUAUAAAUCCUGUGUUCCAAUUUCUCUCUUUCUACCUUGAUCGUAUUUCAAUUUGUUAAGAAUUGCUUCCGUAUUUGGGACAAAUUGUUUGUGCGCCUAUUCACCCCCCUCUAGGUAUUUAUACUAGCAAUAUCAAUUGGUAUCAGAGCCUGUGUACUUACUUUAUUUGAAGUGUUUUACUUCAUAGUAAAAGAUCCAUGGCUAGUAUGCUAGCACCAGGGCUGAUGGAAGGGCAAAGCAAUACUAGACCACCCUACUUUGAUGGAAAUGAUUACAACAUUUGGAAGAACAAGAUGAAAGCUUUCCUACGAUCAAAGGAUCCUCUGGAAUGGGACGUUGUAGAAAAAGGAAUUACUCCUACCACUGCAUCAGUCUCUGAAAGAGGAAAAGAAACUGAAGAAACCAGCGGAAUGUCUCAGGAAGAAAUAAUCAAGAGACAAACACUCGAUGCAAAAGCAAUUUACUCCUUAUGUUGUGCUUUAUCACCAACUGAAUAUAAUAGAAUAUCUUCUUGUGGUACAGCAAAAGAAGUUUGGGACAGAUUGCAUAUCACCUAUGAAGGAACAGAUCGAGUGAAGGAAACAAGAAUCAACAUUCUUCUCGGUCAAUACGAAGCCUUCAGAAUGAAACCAGGAGAAUCAAUAUCUGACAUGUUUAGUCGUUUUACAGAUAUUGUGAAUGGUCUUGAAAAUCAAGGUCAACCAACUUCUGAUCCCAUGAAGGUAAACAAGCUACUGCGUGGACUCUCCAGGGAUUGGAAUCACAUAAAGACUUCGAUAAGAGAGACGCAGAGAAUUAUGCCACUAUCUGUUGACGAGCUGAUUGGAACUCUUCAGUCCUAUGAAGUGGAAAGGAUCAAUGAAGAUGAAGAUCCAAAAGGUAAGAAAUCCAUUGCAUUAAAAUCAAAUGAUGAUUCUGAUGAUACAGAUUCUGAAGAUGAUAUGGACGAUGAGGAGCUUGCUCUCAUGAUAAGAAGAUUCAGAAAACUAAAUAGAAAAGGAAGAAGGUUCAACUCAAAGAAACAAAGCUUUCAAAGACAGCAGACCAAGUCUGUUGAUGAUGAGGAACCAAAUAAAGAUGUAGUCUGCUUUGAAUGCAAGAAAAAGGGACACAUCAGACCCAACUGUCCUCUUCUGAAGAAGAAGAGAGGAAAAGCUGAAAAAUUUCGAAAAGCUCUCAAAGCUGAAACCUGGAGUGAUACUGAGUGUGAAGAAAGUGAUAAUGAAUAUGCCAAUCUAUGUCUGAUGGCACAAUCAGACUCAGACUCUGGAUCAGACUCAAGAUCAGACUCAGACAGUGAAUUUGAGGCAAGUAAUUUUAAAAUUCCUGUCAAAGUUUCUAAAUAUAUUGAUGAACUAUGCUUUAGUCUUAAGACUUCUCUCAAAAGAAUUUCCAAACUGAAAAAAGAAAACUCAGCUCUAAAACAAAAAGAAAAUGUUUUAGAAGAAAGAGUUAAAAGUCUAGACGUGUCUAUUUCCAAUCUUAAAGAAAAUGAAGAAAAUAUUUUAAAAGAAAAUGUUUUUUUAAAAACAGACUUAUCAAAUAUAUCAAAGAAAUUUUCUAUAGGGUCUGAAAAACUUGAGAAAAUUCUUUCAGCGCAAAGACCUUACUUCAAUAAGUCUGGUCUAGGUAUGACAGAAGAAACAAUUCCCUUGAUUGAUUUUCCUAAAGUAAAAGAAAGAAUUAAGAAAAGACUUUCGAGUGAGGUUUACAAAAAUCACUUCAAGAAAGUUUUUGUAAAACCUGUAGGUAGAAGUGCUCUCAGAUGUUCUAAGUGCAACAGUCCGGAUCACUUUGAAAAAGAGUGUCCUAUGGUAUGGAAACCUAUUAAGAAAGCAUGGGCUAAUACUGUUUAUCUUACUAACACCAAAGGACCCAAGAAAAUUUGGGUACCAAAGAAAGCUUGAGACUUUAUUUUAAAUGCAGGUCUCCGUCAAGAAACAGGUAAAGUGGUAUCUUGAUAGCGGAUGCUCAAGACACAUGACAGGAGACUCAAAUUGCUUUAUAAAGCUUGCUCAAAUAAAUGGUGGAAAAGUUUCAUUUGGAGGAAACAGCAAAGGAAGUAUUGUGGGAUUUGGAACCGUGAAAAUUGGAACUCUCACAAUAAGUAAUGUUUCCUUAGUGGAAGGACUCAAUUACAAUCUUCUCAGCAUUAGUCAAUUGUGUGAUACUGGUUUCAAGAUCUUCUUUCAAGAAGGAACAUGUUCUGGAAUCAGUAAAGACUCUACUCAGUCUUUCAUGGGUCGAAGACAUGGAAAUAUCUAUCUUCUGGAUGUGAAACCAAAUGAAUCACAAUGCUUCAUCUCAAUUCAAGACGAAGCAAGCUUAUGGCACAAAAAGCUUGGUCAUGUCAACAUGAAGCAAUUAGCCAAAAUCUCAUCAAAACAGCUUGUUCGAGGUCUACCCAAAUUGCCAUACCAAAAGACUGAUUCAUGCACUCCAUGUAUUCUGGGAAAGCAGGUAAGAAAUUCUUUUAAGCCAAUAAAUCAUGUCUCUACUAAUCAUGUACUACAGUUGCUGCAUAUGGAUCUCUUCGGACCAACCAGAACUCAGAGUAUUGGGGGUAAGAAGUAUUGCCUAGUAAUUGUUGAUGAUUACUCCCGUUUUACUUGGGUAUAUUUCCUUGCAAGUAAGUCCGAAACCUUUUCGUAUUUUGAAAAAUUUGCUAAAAAGGUUCAAAAUGAAAAAGGAUGUGUUAUCUCUAGUAUAAGAACAGAUCAUGGAGGUGAAUUUGAAAAUCAAGAUUUUACAAAAUUCUGUGAUGAAUCUGGCUUUAAGCAUGUGUUCUCCUCUCCAUAUACUCCUCAGCAAAAUGGAGUUGUGGAAAGAAAGAACAGAUCUCUUCAAGAAAUGGCUAGAACUCUUUUAAUAGAAAGUAAAAUUUCUUCUCGAUUUUGGGCUGAAGCUGUUUCAACAGCAUGCUAUAUCAUCAAUAGAGUCUUCUUAAGAUCUAUUCUUCAGAAAACCCCUUAUGAGUUAUUCAAAGAAAAGAAGCCUAUUGUUUCAUACUUUCAUGUAUUUGGUUGUAAAUGUUUUAUAUUGAAAAAUGCAAAAGAUCGAAUUGGUAAGUUUGAAGAAAGAUCAGAUGAAGGUAUCUUCCUUGGAUAUUCUACAUCAAGCAAAGCUUACAGAGUCUAUAACAAGAAGAGUCAGUCUGUAGAGGAGUCAAUGAAUGUCAAAUUUCAAGACUCAUCGCAAGAUGAAUCAAGUCAGACUCAUCAAGAAGAGUCUGAACCUGCUCCAGACCCUCCAAAGUCUACAACUCAAGAAGCAUCUCAGACUCUGGAAAACCAGCAUCGGGUUGUUAGUGAAGAUCCAAAUAAAGGAAGAGAUCAUCAACCAGACAAAUCAAUAAGUAACUGGAAGCAUAAGUCCAGUCAUCCCAAAGAUCUUAUAAUUGGCGAAAUUAAUGAAGGAAUUCGCACAAGAUCCAAAAGGCGAGAAGAGUCUAGUGCUGUGGCACUCGUUUCUGAAAUUUAACCAAAGAGCAUAGAAGAAGCUUUAUCUGAUGAAAGCUGGAUUGAAGCUAUGCAAGAAGAGCUCAGACAGUUCAGCAUAAAUGAUGUCUGGGAAUUGACAUCCAAACCAAAAGGUAAAACUGUUAUUGGAGCUAAAUGGAUGUUCAGAAACAAGAUGAACGAGAAAGGAAAAGUCGUACGAAAUAAAGCAAGACUUGUGGCCAAGGGAUAUACGCAAGAAGAAGGAAUAGACUAUGAUGAGACUUACGCUCCAGUGGCAAGGUUAGAAGCUAUUCGACUAUUACUUGCGUUUGCUUGUUAUAAGAAUUUCAGGUUAUUUCAAAUGGAUGUCAAAAGCGCCUUCCUAAAUGGAUUUAUCCAUGAGGAAGUUUAUGUGGAACAACCACCAGGGUUUGAAGACCCAAAGAAGCCAGACUCAGUCUUCAGACUGAAAAAGGCUUUGUAUGGUUUAAAGCAAGCACCUCGGGCUUGGUACGACAGAUUAAGUAAGUUCCUAAUACAAAAUGGUUUUGUAAAAGGUAAAGUUGAUACGACUCUAUUUAUCAAGAAGGAAAACAAAAGUUUCUUACUUGUUCAAAUAUAUGUGGAUGAUAUUAUUUUUGGAUCUUCUAAUGAAAGUCUGUGCAAGAAAUUUUCAAAGUCUAUGCAGGAUGAGUUUGAAAUGAGUAUGAUGGGAGAAUUAACAUUCUUUCUUGGUCUUCAAGUAAAACAAUUGAAGGAAGGAACUUUUAUUUAUCAAGAAAAAUAUGUUAAUGAUCUUGUCAAAAGGUUUGGACUGGAAAAGUGCAAAAAGACCGACAUACCAAUGUCAAGUUCUUUAAAGAUAGACAAAGAUGAAGAAGGGAAGAAAGUUGAUCAAAAGCUGUACAGGAGCAUUAUUGGAUCACUUCUUUAUCUUACUGCCUCUAGACCUGAUAUUUUGUUGAGUGUUUGCAUCUGUGCUAGGUUUCAAUCAGAUCCUAGAGAAUCUCAUCUCAGUGCUGCGAAACGCAUCAUCAAAUACGUCUCUUCAUCAUCAAGCAUCGGUCUUUGGUAUCCUAAGAAGGGAGACUUUAAUCUUCUGGGAUAUUCAGACGCAGAUCUGGCCGGUUGCAGAGUUGAUAGAAAGAGCACUUCAGGAACUUGCCAGUUGCUUGGAAGCAGAACAGUAUCUUUGUUUUCAAGGAAACAAAGCACUGUGUCUCUUUCAACAACAGAAGCAGAGUAUAUAGCUCUUGGAAGCUGCUGUUCGCAAAUUCUAUGGAUAAAACAACAGCUGAGAGAUUUUGAAAUUGAAGACUCAUGCACGGAGAUUAAUUGCGACAACACCAGCGCUAUCAACCUCACCAAAAAUCCAAUUCUCCACUCAAGAGCAAAGCAUAUAGAGAUUCGACAUCACUUUAUUAGAGAUCAUGUUCAAAAUGGAGAUAUUUCAAUUCAAUUUGUUGACUCAAAGAAUCAGCUGGCUGAUAUACUCACAAAGCUUUUGGAGAAAAAUUAAUUUGAGUCUAUACGGUCCAGACUCAACAUUUUGAGGUAUAAGGAUAUCAAAGUCUAAAGACUUUCAGACUCAGGCUUACAAGACUUUAUCUAUAGUCUUGGCUUGACCUUCAGACUGUAAGUUUUUCUCUCUCCAAUCUUAUAUUGAAAAGGUACGAUCAUCAGACUGUGUUUAAAUUGUUGCUAUAUUUAAUUAACGUAAAUAUUGCAUCGAUUCAUUUUCAAAAGGGAAGUUAUUUUUGAAAUAGUUAUUUUUGCGGAUAAAGACAGUUAUUUUGAAAAGGCAUAUUUUUAUUUCCUUUGUGACGGUUCGUUUACUCUUCUUUUUAAACGAUUGAACACUGUCGAUUCCUCUUCACGUUUCUAUUCACUUUUCUCUCAAAAACCCUAAAAAGCAUCGAUCCUCCAUUCCCGUUUGUCUUCUUCGCUAAAUCUUCCAAAAGUUGUCAUCUUUUCUGGGAAAGUCAAGCAAUGAAUCUUUCAUACACUGAGAAAGAUGUCUUCUUCACGAAAGUCGUCAAGAAUCGCAAGCAAGGGACCACAGAGAAUGAGUGAGGGGCCUACGCACUUCGAUCUUACUGAAGAUGAAGUUACUCCAGAUCAGCAACCGAGCCCACAACAUUCUCAGCAGCGUCAUUCUCCACCAUCUAGUCCUCAAGGCGUUGUUAAUUAGCAUCAGGAAGAAAUCGUCGAGGAUGCAAACCCCGUAAGAGUUCAAAAGCCCGCUUUUAUUUACAAGAUAUAUCGUGCUUUAAAAGGAAUUCGUACUCCUUUGAACUAUGUUGAUGAUUUUGUUAAAGAAAAAGGAUAUAGGAACGAGUAUAUCUUUCUGCGAAAAAUGGAAAGUUUGGGAAUCGCUCGUAAAGGGGUGGCUGAGGAAACUCUUGUGAAUAUCCCAAGUGAUCCUCGUGACUGGGGGCCGAAUCCUGUAGAUGGGAAUGACGAUGACAAUCUGUUCAGUCUAUUUCAACCGAAAAUGGGUAUUGCGGCUGAAAUUCAAGGAAAAAGGGGAGAUUUGUUCAGAUCAAAGGAACAAAAGGAUCUGUACUCGAAAUUGCUGAAGCGUGGGGUAAUAAACCCUAGGAGUGUGGACUUUGAUUUUCUGGAUGCUAUGAAAGUGAACUUAAGGGAAAAAUUCAGUUAUCUACAACUUGAAAAGUUCUGCUUUGACUCAACUGAGGCCUAUGCUGAAUUGACUGCUUAUUUCUAUUCAAAUCUUAGCUUUUUAGAUGCGAAUAGAUUCUCCUUCAGCGUUAAAGAACAAGACUAUGUUGUGGAUAUGAAUAUGCUGGCAGAUGUGUUAGAAGUUGAGAGAGGCAGAUAUCAACCAAUCAAAGUUUUCAUUGCUCGGGCCACACUUGAACUGGUGAAGGACAGGAGAAUGGAUGAGAAGAUCACCUACUCAAGGAUGAAUGCAUUCAACAUCUUGCUUCACAAGAUUGUUAUUAAUUGCCUUCGGCCAAAAUCAACUUCCAAAACUGAUGUUUCAAGCUCUGAGGCAAAGUUGAUGUAUGCCAUCCUUUGUGGAAAGAAGUUUUCUCUUCCUCAUACUGUUAUGUUUCACAUGUAUAGAGCAGUGAUGAAGGACAGAGGUCAACUCCCUUACCCAAGCCUUGUUACGAAGUUAUUCAGACAUCUGAAUAUUCAGCCUCCGCAAAUCUUUUGUGUUCGAUCAUGCGAUCAUAUGGUGGUAGGACUGAAAAUGGUGACCAAAAUGCGUCUGAAGGAACUGAGCAAGGAAUUGGAGAAAUUCAAGGAGAAGACUCCUGCCAAAUGUCAUCAACUCUCUUCUACUGCUAAGAGAAAAGGGAAGGAGCCCAUGACUGCUCCAUCUAAGAGAAGAAGAUCUCUCCUCAUUGAGGAUGAAGAUGAUGACGAUGACAUCACCAUCUCUGCAAUGGCUUUGAAGAAUCUAAGUCGUCCUGUUCCACAGAAAGAAUCGGAACAAAAGACGAAAGAAGCAGAGGAGAAGGAAGAAGAAGAAAGAGAAACAGAGCAAGAAGCAGAGGAAGAAAGACCUGAAGAAGAAAGAAGAGAAGAAGGAGAACCUGAGGAAAUCUCUUCUCCACCUGUAGGCAUGGAAACAGGGGGAGAUCAGGAGAAAUGAGUGACAUCUUCAUUUCCUGAUGCAAGUGAAGGAGUCAGUCGUUCACCUGCAGACCCAGAAGAUGUGUAUGCAUCUCAAUUUCCAGAGGAAGGUCAUGAAGCUUCAUCGCCAAACCUGCAAGAUUAUGCUGAUCCACCAUCGUCUGCUUUUACUCCAGAUCGAGCCGAAGCAAGUACUCAGACUGAUAAUGGAGCAGAUUUUCGCAGAAUCAUGGAUAUUCUCAUGGAAAUGCGAGGUCAAAUUUAUGCAUUGGGAUGCGAAGUUCAAAAUUUGAAGAAUGAAAGUCAAGCUUCUUCCUGUUCAUUGAAUGAUAAGAUGCAAGCCCUCUCUAUACAGAAUCAGGCCAAUGCCAAAAGUGAGGAGGUUGUACAGCUGAAGGAAGACUUCAAAAGGCUGGAAGGCAUCGUUCAGUCUAUGGAAGAUUUCCAGCUUGUCCGCGUUCCCAAGAAAUCUUGACUUCAUCUCAUCCUUUUUAAUGAUGACAAAAAGGGAGAGAGAUGCAUGAUUUGAUCAAAAACUUUCAAUCAUUUUUUAACUAUUUGUUGGAUUGUGUUUAACUGUCCUGUUUUUAACAGACUUUGACUUUGUUUUGUGUCUGGAUGAGAACUGAACCAGACUUGGACUUGACUGCUUCUAUUAACAAGUAUUGAUAUCUUAUGGAUGGUUUUAUUAUAUAGACUAACCUAUUUUCUGUGGUUGCAGAUUCUAGUGUUAAUCUUUUAGCCAUUCAUCUCUAUAAGAUAUGCAUAUGUGUUUGAGAAAUGUUUUGCAGGUCAAAAUUAUCCAAAUCUGCAGGAAGGUUUUGUCACCAUAAAAAAGGGGGAGAUUGUUGGAGAAAUCCUCGUGAAGUGUUUUGAAGUUGACAAAACGUUUCCAUCAGUCUAGUCUGAAGGUCUGCAGACUAUGUUAGUUAAAGUCUGAAGACUUCCGGACAGCCAGACUCAAGACUCAAAGUCUAUCCUCAUUGACAGUCUCUAAUCCGUUGAAGAAAGGUUAUCCAGAACUGGAUGGUUUGUUUUAUCAUCUGGAGAAGAUCUUGUGGCUAGAGAAGACGUAUCAGAAUCCUUUGAUUGAUCAAGUUUGAUUCAAUGACUGAAGAUUCGAUGAUUGUCUAAAUAUUAUUGGAAGGUUCUACUUAUGGAAACCGAGAUCCUGAUUGUAUGGGCGAACAUGAUUGAUGGGCUAUCAACACGUUCCUUUAAUAGCUCGAACAAUCUUCCUAAUUGAUUCCGUCCAACGGGUAGAUUGGAGGAAUUCCUUUGGUAAGUGCCAACGGGUAUGAUGGCAUAAAGGAGUAUAUAAGGAAGACGUUCUUAGUUGUUCGAGGUGUGCUCGAUAGAAGAAUUCCAAAGUCUGAAGCUCCUAUUUGUUUAGAUAAUUCCUUUGAGCGAAUACUUGUAUACAAAAGAGAGUCUAUAUUUGUGAGAGACCUUGAGAAGGUGUGGUAGAGUAUCUACACUGUGGAAUCAAGGCAAAGAUGUGCUGUAACUUCUCCUUUUGAUCAUAGUGAAAUCCAGCCGGUGGGCUGUCAGUGCGGAAGAGUGGACGUAGGCUUGGAAUAAGCCGAACCACUAUAAAUCCUGUGUUCAAAUUUCUCUCUCUCUACCUCGAUCGUAUUUCAUUUUGUUAAGAAUUGCUUCCGUAUUAGGGAUAAAUUGUUUGUGCGCCUAUUCACCCCCCCUCUAGGUGUUUAUACUAGCAAUAUCACGGUUCUCGCGUGGGGUGUCCUUUGUUGGAGAUUUUGAUAAUCUUCUCUCCCGUUUAAGAUGGCUUUUUUGUUCCAUGUUUGAGACAAAAAACUUUCAUCCAACUAAUUUGGUCGUUCUUGACUUUUCAUGGAGCAAAAUUUCGGCAAAAAGUAUUGAUUGGAUCAAAGUACGAUGCAGACCCCACUCCUUUGUAUUCGUAAAUCCUUUCUUUUCAUUUUUUUUUUUGUAGGUGGUUUCUCAAUAAAUAUUUUAUCAAAUUGUUUUGUAGGCGGCAAAGAAACUAAAAGUCCUACAUCUCAGCUACUGUAAAAACUUAAGGAGAACACCCGAUUUAUCUACGUUGGUGUCUUUGGAGAUUUUGAGAUUAUAUAGUUGUGUCAAGAUAAAGAAACUUCCAAACUCGAUUGGGAAAUUACAAUCUUUAAUCGAGUUGGAUUUAGUAAAAACAAGAAUUGAUCACCUACCAGAUGCAUUCAGCAAUCUAAAGCAACUGACAACACUUAAGAUGAUGGACAUUGAGGGAGGGUUGACAAAAUUACCUAAUGCGAUCUGGUUUGUUCAGUUAGUAGAGACUCCUGAUUUUUGGUGCAGGGGAAGUAAGCUAUAUUGUUUGAAAAUGCCAGACUUGUCAUGGACCCAAAUAUCCGGAUUACCCACCGUGGCGAGUCUCGUCUCUAAUAUCCUUCUUGAACUUGAGAUGGCCGCACGGGAUAGCAGAUGGUUUUCGCAUUGGACGAGGUACCCCCUUGACCCCCUUGGCGAGCUGGAGAGUGUCGUUUUUUCUGGCAUGUUUCCCAGGUGUACCCAAUCUCAGAUGGAAAAAUGAAUAAUGGCCACCCCAAACAUGCGGUUCCUCCUCCAGCUCCCGUCUAGUUUAAGAGAGUCAGUAUUUCGAGUACUGGCGCCCUCACCUUCGUCAUAUGAUGCCCCUUCUUGGUGGAUGCCGAUAUUCGUUGGUAUAUGUGAUUCGGAGUUGGAGAAACUCCUUCUGAAGGAUUACACGCUUUCAAGACGGCUCGAGCAGUUUUCGCUGAAUAUGAGGAGACUCCAGCUUAACUACCGUGAUAAGAAACUCCUUCUGAAGGAUUACACGCUUUCAAGACGGCUCGAGCAGUUUUCGCUGAAUAUGAGGAGACUCCAGCUUAACUACCGUGAUAAGAUUUUUCGACGGCCGCAUCACCCCACAAAAGCACUCAAGCCGUUGAAAAAUUGGGGUCCCUUUCAUCCCUUGCGGUCGCAUAUUGUAGGUCGAUCGAAAGGAUGCUAGACCUAUCGAAAUCGAGGAAGCUAAGGGAGCUUCGAGUAGGAAAAUGUCCGAAGUUAAGAAGCAUGGAAGGUUUGGACCGCUUGGCAUCUCUAAAGCGUUUGUGGAUUCACGAUUGCAGGUCGUUGGAGAGUUUGGUGGACAUCUCGAAUUUGGAUUUAGAAUGUUGCUUGAUUGUCCGUUGGAAGCGAUUGCCCCACCGUCGCAAUUAUUGUAAACGUGGCCGGGUUGCUAUUGUGAGAUGCUUUUUGAGGGGUUAUGGAAAUCUAACCUGAUGGAAGUCCAGGAAGUAUUACAGGGACACCCGGAUGUUGUGCCGGUAAGGAGUUUAGAACAUGGCUUGCUUGUUGUGCUUGGUGUAGCCAUUUUGUUUGUUUUGUUCUUGUUUUGUUUUUUAGUUCUAUGAAAAAGGCUUUCUCCUAGACAAAUAUUGGUGAUGAAGCUAAGGAAGUGAACGAGGCACGCUCAUAUGAUGCUAAAACAUUGUCCAAUUUUGAUCAGCUUUUGAACAUGGUACUCAGUUCAUUGAUUGCUGUCCAUGAUUUCCAUUUUAUUCCUCCUUUUGUCUUUGUUAUAUAUGAGUUUCAACUCAAAUGACUGUGGUCAAACCCUAAUUUUCUCUCGCUUGUUUUGAUCGAAACGGAGAAACUGAACACGGAACGGGAAAGUCUCACAGUGAGAGAUGGGAAAGGGCUAGAGAGAUAGAGAGAGAAAGAGUGGAUGGUCGGAGUUUCUCUUGGCUUCUUACAUUAGAGAGAGAGAGAGAGAGAGAGAGAGAGAGAGGGAGAGAGAAGGGGGGGGGGGGUUUGUCUGCGUCGCGUGGUGACCGUCUGAUAAGGGUGGGCUUCGAGUUGUUCGAGGUCAGCGAGGCUGUGGCGAUCGAGUCACAGACGGUCAAGCACAUAUACUAACCCUCUUUAUUCACAAUUGACUGAUGUUUUAUCCCAUAUGCUCACCAAUUCUGUGUAGGAGGGUUGGCUUUAGGGAAUUAAGCUUAAAAAUGAGUGCCCCAAAGGAGUGCCCUGAGCCCACAUUCUCUUUACAUAUGACUCCCUAUUCUUUCUUGUUACUAACCCUGAUUGAACUGCAGAUGUUCGAAAAAGAUUCUUGACUGAAUUGCACUGCUCGGUCCCUAGGAUUAUCUUGCAAAAAUCGAGUAUAUGAUUCAGUCCUAACACGGGUGCAGAGUUCAGAACAAAGGUACGCAUAGUCUAGGGAAUGAAUGGUAUUCAGAACCCUAGUAAUUAUAUGGGUCUACCUAUUCUAUGGGGGUAGAUCCAAACAUGAAGCUCUUGGCUUUUUUAAGGAUAGAGUCUUGACAAGGAUGCCUAGCUGAAAAUCUAAUUUGUUGUCACAAGCUGGUAGGGAGAUUAGGUUAAAACAGUGGCUUAUGUUGUACAAACUUACUCCAUGUCUUGUUUCAAGUUUCCAAAGAAGUGAUAUGAAGAAGUGGAUGCAGCUAUAGCCAAUUUUUGGUUGGAAAAAAGAUUAACUGAAGCAAAGUUAGAAUGAGGCUUAAGUUUAUCACAGUUUGACAGAACCCUCCUUGCUAAGCUUGUUUGGAAAAUCCAAGCAACCCCUCAGAAUUCUGGGUGCAAGUAUUUCAAGCGCUCUACCCUUUGUAGCUUCAUGGAAGUUAGAAGAGGUGGCAAAAUGUCUUGGGGAUGGAGUAGAGUUUUGGAAGGAGAGAUCCAAUUAAGGAAGGCAGGUUAUAAUAAAUUGCUAAUGGGAAAUCAGUCAAAGUUGGGGAGGAUAGGUUGGUGAAGGAGUGUUGAGACUUGAUGCUACAUCCUUCAAUCUGACUCAGGUGAUAAAGGAAUUAAGAAUGGAGUCUCUAAUUGAUGCGGAUACUAAGACUUGGAACUUAAACCCCAUCAAAGACAGCAUGUGGUAGGAGGAGCAGUGACUGGUGUUGAGCAAUCACAUAAGGUCGAGAUCGAGAAGUUCUGAUGACCAAAUGAUUUGGCCCUAGAACAAGAUUGGUUGUUCUUCAGUAAAGUCUCUACCACUUUACCAUGCAAAAAAGAAAGAAACAUCUACUAAAGCCUAGAUUCUCAAGCUCUCAUACUAUUGAUGGUAUAAUUUGGAAGUUAGCACAGGGAGUCGACUCUCCUCAAGAUAAGACACUUCCUCUAGCAACUUUGCUUGAAUGUUGUGCCUGUUGUUGCUACAUGUGCAAAAGGAAAAAAUAUAGUUUCUCCUGGUGAUGGUGCCCUUAAGAGUUUGUGGCAACAAACUUUCAUUGAACUAAUUUAGUCGUUCUUGACCUUUCACAUAGCGAUGUUUCAGAGAAAUGGAUUGGCUGAAAUCAAAUCAUAAUAUAGUACGAAUCUCACUCCUUGCAUACAUGUAUCAUUCCUUGUCGUUUUUUUUUUCCUACAAAUAAUUUCUUAGUAUAUAUUUUGUUUUGCAGGUGGCAAGUAAACUAGAAGUACUAGAUCUCAACAAUUGCGAAUACUUAAUGAGAACACCUGAUUUAUCUAUGUCGGUGUCCUUGGGGAGAUUUGACUCUUGAAGGUUGCCACAACUUAAUUGAACUUGACCCAUCCAUUGGUAAAUUAAAGCUCCUAACUGCUUUGAACCUGAAGGGAUGUGACUCUUUUCAAGAGUUACGUGAAGAGAUAGGAUAUCUAUAAGCUUUGACAGAGAUUGUCAUGCCUAAUAUGCUACAUGAACUUUGGAAGAGAUUUGGUAAUUUGCAGUCAUUGUUGACCUUUGAUGUAUCACAUUGGUAGAUUAGCAAACUGCCGUACUCGAAAGACUGACUGACAAGUUUUCUCUGUUAUGUACGGUGAACAAGAAGCACUAUCCACAAUCAUUGAGCGACGAAGUAUGGCGUUUGCAGAAAAUAGCAAAGACAGCGCUCUGCACAAGUGCAUGACUUCGAGAGGAAUCAAUACCGUUCAAGAUUUCCUCGAGCUGUACGAAGCAGAUGUGCCUUUCUAAGAAACAAAGUGACUCUUACUCUUCGAGCACUGCUAAUUUCCCUUUUUUCCAGUUCACGUUAUUCUAAGAGUUGUUCAAUAUCAAAUCGUGCUACUUCUUUUGUGUACGAUGUUAUUUCAGGUACUUGGAAAUGGCAUCACCAAGCGGACAUGGGAGACGAUCAUCAGACAUGCCAGCCCGUGUGAUCAAUGAUGACAAGAUGUAUUUCUACCAAGCUUUGAACAAGGCCAGUAUAGUGUUCAAUUAGGUCAUGAAAGUUGCUCAAGCAGCACUCGAUGGCCAAAUUUACCAGUGAGUAGACAUAUUGGCCCACUCUCAGAAGGUACAAAAAUCAUAACCCGAAACAUCUCUAUCUAGUAGCUGAGUGUGAAUCUAUCUGGACCUAUAGAAAGGGCCUGUAUUAUCGGAUUAGUCUGCUUCCAUGGCAGAAUGUAUACCACAAGCACUUUUCUUAAAAAAGUACCUGUUUGAUUUUGAGCUUGAUUGAACCCACUGCUCGGUUGACAGAUUUUGUUGCAGAACUUGAAAUGGCUAGCUUACAAUAACAAGAAUCAAUGGUGGCGCUAGAUGCCCUGCCCAGCGUCUCUCUUCUGAGAGGCCCAACCAAUUUGCCUACAGAGCUGUCAAUCGGCCUGAGCCUGCCUCUUCAUCAUCUAUUUUACAUAGAGCUAAACCAAAGGUAUUGUGGUAUUUCAUCACUUCCAUCUAUCUUUUCCUUUUUGGCCUUCUUAAUAUUUCACAGUUUAGUGUUCCCAUUUCUUUAUUGGCACAUCCACCUUUUUGCACAUAUAUGGUAGCUGAAACUGAAAUGCAUUAUUAUUCAGAUAGACCAAAAGUGACUCCUGAAUUUACUUACUAAUUGGUUUCAGCAUCGUGCUGCUGCAAUGUCACAGAGAUCGGACAAUUAGGUUGUCUGGGGCCACAGUCAUAUCACUGCAAAAAUCUUUGAUCUGACUGUAUUCAACAGUUUGGCAAGGGAGGACUUUUUGUCCAGUUUGAGUGCUGGCGAAAGCAGUCAUCUUCCUGGUUACACACAAGAUCUGUUUGCACCGAACAUCCAUUUGUCUCCUGAAGUGCCAUCUCCAAUCUCUGGCAAUUUAAUGUGGACACCGGAGCAUACUUUCAUCAUUGAGUCGAGCAGCGGGGCAGAUUUUGGGAUCUGCCCAUCUCGCACGGGUUAUGGAGUCCAUAAUUCUAGGAUUGCAAGGCCCAAGGUGGCAUGGUGCAAGAUCCGUGAUGUGGUGAAGUGGGGAUUGGUUCAGCGCGUUGUGCCUGCAAAGAGAAGAGCAAGGUUCAAUUGUGCAAGUUAUCCAGCUGUAUAAAUGGAGAGUCCCAUCCCCCAAAAGGAUUUUGGGUGCUUCAGGAGUGCGAAGCUCUCGCCCACACAAGCCAGUCAUCACAUGCAAAGUACAAAAAAGAAGGAAAUUCAUGAUACUUGAUACAGGAUGCAUCAUCGACUUAGUAUUAUGCAUGAUCACUGCGAUUAUCUCUAUUGUCUUUUGUUGAUUGUCCUUUCAUAUUUGAAUGAAGUUGUGCACCAUCAAGAUGGGGCUACCAAUUGGACGUGUCUUCUCUCUAUAGAUCACGCAAGGUGAUCUUAGGAAGUACCUUAAUACAGGGGUUCUUCCUCAAGAUUUGUAAGGCUUUUGCUCUCUUCUUCAAGAAUUGUUUGGCAUUCUGUUUGUCCCAAAUACAUCAUUCCUUGAUUUGUCAGUUUACUGCUAUGAUAUGCUUAGUAGACUUUUCUUUGCUUUACAAAAUUUGUGAGUAUAUUACUUUGUUUGCGAGAUCCAAAGUUUCUCCUGUCAGCUUUGCUCUUAUUGAUCUGAAAUAUUAAGUGGCAGCUAGUGGAUGAUAUACAUCUCUUGGUGGCUUGGCCAAAUGCCAGUUAGAUACCUUGGCCUUCCCCUGAUUUUGGGAAGGUUAAGAGAAUAGAGUGUAAGCCUUUGGUGGACAAGAUUACUUUUCGAGUGAGUCCUUGGACAAUUAGGCAACUCUGUUGCGCUGAAAGAUUGCAACUCAUUGAGGAAGUAACAGCUUGGUGAAUUUUUGGAGUCGAAUUUUUUUGUUGCCAAAAAAGUCAUCGAUAUUAUGGAAAGCGAGUGUAUUGCCUACCUUUGGAAGGAAAAAUCUGAAAACGCUCGAGGUUCAAAAGUUGCUUGGAUGAUGCAUGUCUCCCCAACUUUAAGGGUGGUUUAGGAUUUGAGGAAAGUGGGGCCUUGAAAUCUUGCUUGUCUAUUGAAGAACUUACGGAUUUUGUUGCAGGCUGGAUCCAUUUGGGUGGCCUGGCUUAGCUGUUUCUUGCUUAAAGGGCAGUCUAUUUGGGCAGUGAAUCCAACUGGCGAGGCAGCUAUGCUUGGAGAAAGUCUACUUGAAGCAAUGUAAAUUAGUAUAUAACAGAUAGUUUCAUUUAAAAUUAAUAUUUGAAAAUUUGAUGGAGCAACGCGAACUUAAUUGUAAUUUGCACUGCAAAGCAUGGCUUGAGUUGUCACUUUUCUUCUUGUCCCAUAUAAAACUCGACCUCACUCACAAUGUGGUUUUGAGAAGACUUUUUGAGAUUUACUACUUGUCAUGUCUUACACAUAAUGGAUGAUGAGACUGGAAAAAUGCAAAGUCAAGAUUUUCAAAUUAUGAUAUGGGAAAUUUAUUCUUACUUUUCAUCACCAAUAUAAGAAGAUGCCCACUGGACUAGAUCUUUGCUAGAAAUGCAUCCCCUCGUAGGACGCGAAUGAUAACAGUUUUGUUCCUCUAUUUUUCUAUUUUUCUAUUCCUAAGAACAGGUUUGGAACAUAAAUCCGUUUAGUGAUGUAAUUUCAUUUUUUUUUAUCUUCAGGACAAAUUUUGCACCUAGAAAUUAGGUUUGGAACAAAAAUGAGAAGUAGAAAAUUUCUACUUUUCUCUUUCUAGAAUGGAAACAAAAAUAAAAACUUUUUUCAUCACUCAUCAUUGUCGCUACCCUCUGCCGGCCGUCGCCGCCCUCCACUGGCCACCUGCCCUCCACCAGCAAUUGGUUGUUGCCCUCCACUCACUACCCACCCGCCAGCUACCAAUCGCAACCUUUCAUCAGCCGUCACCAAGAAAUUUUAAGGCCUAUCAAAUGAAUUUCUAUUUCGAGAACAUAAAUUCUGUGUCGUUAUCAAAUGCAUGUCUUUGUUCAUAAACUCAUCCAAUAAAUAAAAACGGAAAAAUCUAUUUUUGAUAAGAAAAUAUUCUCGGAAACAAAAUGAUUAUCGUUUGCGCCCGAACUUGAAUUUAACCAGAGCAAAUCAUAAUGCAGCGGAAUCCGAAUGGGUUCCAUAGGUAAGUUGAAAGACAAAAGAAAAAGAAAAAAAAAAUAGAAAGUUGAAAGGUCAAUGUCCCCAAGACAUGUCGGUGGGAGCUUAGGCAAAAUUUUGAAAAACAAAAGCGAGGCAAUUUUUGCCGAGCAAACCUGAAAUGCAGUUGAUCACUUCGUCUCAAUUGCUCUCAGCUCACCUGUGACAUGGCCGUUGGACGAUGACCACAUACGUCUCACGUUCCACGUUCCACGUUCCUUUUUUACGAAUCCUUCAUAGAGGAUCAACGUCCAAUAGAUCGUCAGCGUAAUCUGGAGUAGAGUUUCCCAUAUCUAAAGGUUGAAACCGCAUUUUCUUGAAAACGUCGUCCGCCCCUCUUCUCCAUUCCCAUCACGAUCUACAUCGUACACCACCAAAAAUUAGUCCACAAAAUGCAUAAGUGAGAUAGCUAGUAUAAGCACCUAGAGGGGGGGUGAAAGGUGCACAAACAAAUUUUCGAGAUACGGAAGCGAUUCUAGGCAAACGAUAGAAAGGAAAAUACGAUCAAAGUAAAGUAAAGGUUAGGGAAGAGAGAAAUGAACACAAGAUUUAUAGUGGUUCGGCUUAUUCCAAGCCUACGUCCACUCUUCCGCACUAACAGCCCACCAACUGGAUUUCACUAUGAACAAAAGAGAAGUUAUAGCACAGCUUUUCCUUGAUUCCACAGUGUAGAUGUUCUACCACACUUCCUCAAAGUUUCUCACGAAUAUAGACUCUCUUUUGUUUACACGAUUUUGCUCAACAAAUUAAUUGACUAGGAACAAAGAGCUUCAGACUUUGGAAUUCUUCUCUCGUGCACGCUCUCGAACAACUGGAACGUCUUCCUUAUAUACUCCUUCAUGCCAUCAUACCCGUUGGCACUUACCAAAGGAAUUCCUCCAAUUUACCCGUUGGACGGAAUCAAUUAGGAAGAUCAUUCGAGCUAUUAAAGGAACAUGUCGAUAGCCCAUCAAUCAUGUUCGCCCAUACAAUCAGGAUCUCAGUUUCCAUAAGUAGAACCUUCCAAGUAUACUUUGCCAAUCAUCGGAUCCUUAAUCUUCGAAUCAACUAUGAUCAAAUAAAGGAUUCCGUUAUGUCAUAUCCAGCCAAGAGAUCUUCUCCAGACGAUAAGGCCACAUCCUUAAUGAAACAUCCAGUUCUGGAUAACCUUUGUUCAACGGAUUAGAAACUGUCAAUGAGGAUAGACUUUAAGUCUUGAGUCUGGCUGUCCGGAGGUCUUCAGACUUUAAAUAGCAGAGUUUGCAAGCCUUCAGACUAGACUGAUGGAAAUGUUUUGUCAACUUCAAAACACUUCAAGAGGAUUUCUCCAACAAUCUCCUCCUUUUUUAUGGUGACAAAACUUUCCUGCAGAUUUGGAAAAGUUUGACCUGCAAAACAUUUCUCAAACACAUAUGCAUAUCUUAUAGAGAUAAAUGGCUAAAUGAAUAACACUAGAAUCUGCAGCCACAGAAAAUAGGUUAGUCCAGUAUGCAAUAAAGCCAUCCAUAAGAUAUCAAUAGUAGUUAAUAAUAAGCAGUCAAAUCCAAAUCCCAAAUUUAGUCCACAUCCAGACACACAAGUUAAGUCAAAACAAACCAAAAGUUCGACAAAUUUAAGUUCAAAGUUUUUUAAGUCUCGCAACUCUCCCCCUUUUUGUCAGCAUAAAAAGAUUGAGAUGAAAAUGGAGUCAAGAAUGCUUGGGAACACGAACAAGCUGGAAAUCUCCCAUCGAUUGAACGAUGCCUUCCAGCCUUUUAAAGUCUUUCUUCAGCUGAGCAACAUCCUCACCCUUAGCAUUAGCCUGAAUCUGAAGAGAAAGGGCUUGGAUUUGAUCAUUUAAUGAACCCGAAGAAACUUGUCCUGCAUUCUGCAAGUUUUGAAUUUCGCAUCCCAAUGCAUAUAUCUGACCUUGCAUCUCCAAGAGAAUAUCUAUCACUCUACGAAAGUCUGCUGAAUUUUCGGUUUGCGUACUGGCAUUAGCACGAUCUGAUGGAGUAAAUGCAGACGAUGGUAGAUCAACAUAAUCACGCAGAUUUGGCGAAGAAACCUCAUGUCCUUCCUCAGGAAAUUGAGAGGCAAAAACCUCCUCUGGAUCUGUUGGGGAUCGACUGACUCCCUCACUGGUUGCAGGAUUUGAGGACAUUCCUCUUUUCUCUUGGUCUCCCCCUGUGUUCAUGCCUUCAGGUGGAGAGUGCUCCUCAUGUUCUCCUUCUUCUUGAUCUCUUUUCUCUUCUUCUUCUUUUUCAACUCUCUCUUUCUCAGCAUCUCUUUCUUCUUCUUCUUCUCUUUCCUCAGUUUCUUUUUCCUCUGCUUCUUUCUCUGCUCUUUCUUCUGUCUGUUGUUCUAACUCUUUCUCUGGAACAGAUCAACUGAGAUUCUUCAAAGCCAUUGCAGAAAUAGUGAUGUUAUCCUCAUCAUCUUCAUCCUCAACGAGAAGAGCUCUUCUUCUCUUGGAUGGAGCAUCCAUGGGCUCCUUCCCUUUCCUUUUUCCUGCAGAAGAGAAUUGAUGAGAUUUGACUGGAGUCUUUUCCUUAAAUUUCUCCAAUGCCUUGCUUAGUUCCUUCAGACGCAUCUUGGUCACCAUUUUCAGUCCUACCACCAUAUGAUCGCACGAUCGAGCACAAAGAAUUUGCGGAGGCUGAAUGUUCAGAUGUCUGAAUAACUUCGUCACAAGACCUGGAUAAGGAAGUUGUCCUAUGUCCUUCAUCACAGCUCUACACAUGUGGAACAUAACAGUGUGAGGAAGUGAAAACCUUUUCCUAGUGAUGAUGGCAUACAUUAGCUUUGCCUCUGAACUUGAGACAUCAGUCUUGGAAGUUGAUUUCGGUNNNNNNNNNNNNNNNNNNNNNNNNNNNNNNNNNNNNNNNNNNNNNNNNNNNNNNNNNNNNNNNNNNNNNNNNNNNNNNNNNNNNNNNNNNNNNNNNNNNNNNNNNNNNNNNNNNNNNNNNNNNNNNNNNNNNNNNNNNNNNNNNNNNNNNNNNNNNNNNNCAUCUGCCAGCAUAUCCAUAUCCACUACAAAGUCUUGAUCUUUGACAUUGAAGGAGAAUCUAUUCGCAUCCAAGAAACUAAGAUUUGAAUAGAAAUAUGUAGUUAGUUGAGGAUAGGCCUCUGUGGUGUCAGAGCAGAAUUUUUCAAGUUGAAGAUGACCGAACUUUUCCCUCAAGUUCACAUUUACAGCAUCUAGAAAGUCAAAAUCCACACUCCUAGGGUUUAUCACCCCACGCUUCAGCAAUUUUGAGUAUAGAUCCUUAUGUUCCUUCGAUCUAAACAACUCUCCCCUUUUUCCUCGAUUUUCCGCUGCAACUCCCAUUCUUGGUUGAAAUUGGCUGUAUAAUUUGUCAUCAUCAUUUCCAUCUACCGAAUUAAAUCCCUAAUCACGAGGGUCACUUGGGAUAUUCGCAAGGGUUUCUUCUGCCACCCCUUUACGAGCAAUUCCCAAACUUUCCAUUUUUCGCAAAAAGAUAUAUUCAUUUCCUUAAGAAAAUCAUCGACAUAGUUCAAUGGAGUACCGGUCCCUUUUAAAGCACGAUACAGCUUAUAAAUAAAAGAGGGCCUUUGAACUCUUACAGGGUCUGCAUCUUCAAUGAUUUCUUCAUUUUGAUGAUGAUCAACAUCUUGAGGACUAGAUGGAGGAAAAUGACGCUGCUGAGAAUGUUGUGGGCUAUGCUGCUGAUUUGGAGACACUUCUUCUUCAGUGAGAUCGAAGUGCGUAGGCCCCUCACUCAUUCGCCGUGGUCCCCUGCUUGCGAUCCUCAAAGACUUUCUUGAAGACGACAUCUUUCUUAGUCUUUGAAAGAUUCCUUGCUUGACUUUCCCAAGAAAGAUGACAACUUUUUCGAAGAUUAAACAAGAGAAGAAAAUAGGAAUGGAAGAUUGGUGCUUUUUAGGGUUUUGGAGUUAAGCGAGGAGAAACUGAUUGUAUAUAAGACAGUCGAAAUGAGAGGAUACCAAACGUCGUAAUGGAAAGUGAAAAGAUGCCUUUUAAAAAAAUAUCUGCCUUUUUCGAAAAAAAAGUCACAUCAAAAUAACUCAUUUUUCUAAAGGAAACGUUGCAAUAAUCUCGUCAAUUAAAGAUAGCGGUUGAGAUAACAAUAAUCAACACGGUUGAUGAACGUACCUUUUCAAGAUGAGAUUAGAGAGAGAGAAUAACUUACAGUCAAAGUCUUAUUUGUCUGAGUCUGAGAGUCUCUAGACUUUAACUUCUUCAAACCUCAAAAUGUUGAGUCUUGAACGGAUAAUUUCAAAUUGAUUUUUCUCCAAAGGCUUUGUAAAUAUAUCCGCCAGUUGGUUCUUUGAGUCAACAAACCGAAUCGUAAUUUCUCCAUUUUGAACAUGAUCUCUAAUGAAGUGAUGUCGAAUCUCUAUAUGCUUUGCUCUUGAGUGAAGAAUUGGAUUUUUGGUGAGAUUGAUUGCGCUGGUGUUGUCACAUUUAAUCUCCAUGCAUGAAUCUUCAAUUCCAAAGUCUCUUAGCUAUUGUUUUAUCCACAAAAUUUGUGAACAACAACUUCCAAGAGCUACAUAUUCUGCUUCUGCUGUAGAGAGAGCUACUAUACUUUGCUUCCUUGAAAACCAAGACACUGUCCUGCCUCCAAAUAGUUGACAAGUACCUGAGGUGCUCUUUCUAUCAACUCUACAUCUGGCUAAGUCUGCGUCUGAGUACCCAAGAAGAGUAAAGUCUCCCCUUUUAGGAUACUAGAGACCGAAGCUUGAAGUUAAUGCAAUAUAUUUGAUAAUACGCUUUGCAGCAUUUAAAUGUGAUUCUUUAGGGUCUGCUUGAAAUCUGGCACAAAAGCAAACACUAAACAAAAUGUCAGGUCUAGAAGCAGUAAGAUAAAGAAGUGAACCGAUGAUACUCUUGUAUAACUUUUGGUCGACUUUCUUUCCUCCUUCAUCUUUAUCUAUCUUCAAGGAAUUUGACAUUGGUAUAUUGGCCUUUUUGCAAUUGUCCAGUCCAAACUUCUUCACAAUAUCAUUAGCAUAUUUUCUUGAUGAAUAAAAGUUCAUUCCUUCAGUUGUUUCACUUGAAGUCCAAGGAAGAAGGUUAACUCACCCAUCAUGCUCAUUUCAAAUUCAUCCUGCAUAGUCUUAGAGAAUUUCUUGCACAGACUUUCAUUAGAGGAUCCAAAAAUAAUAUCAUCGACAUAUAUUUGAACAAGUAGAAAACUCUUGCUUUCUCUUUUAAUGAAAAGAGUAGUGUCUACUUUACCUUUAACAAAUCCAUUUUCAAUUAAAAACUUACUCAGUCUGUCGUACCAAGCUCGAGGUGCUUGUUUCAAGCCAUAUAAAUCAUUUUUGAGUCUGAAUACUGAGUCUGGUUUCCUUGGGUCUUCAAACCCAGGUGGUUGUUCCACAUAGACUUCCUCUUGGAUGAAUCCAUUUAGGAAGGCACUUUUGACAUCCAUGUGGAAUAACCUGAAAUUCUUAUAACAAGCAAAAGCAAGUAAUAAUCGAAUUGCUUCUAACCUUGCUACUGGUGCGUAAGUCUCGUCAUAGUCUAUCCCUUCUUCUUGUGUGUAUCCCUUGGCCACGAGUCUUGCCUUGUUUCUUAUGACUUUUCCUUUCUCGUUCAUCUUGUUCCUAAAAACCCAUUUAGCUCCAAUAACAGACUUACCUUUUGGUUUAGGAGUUAAUUCCUAGACAUCAUUAAUACUGAAUUGCCUGAGCUCUUCUUGCAUAGCUUCAAUCCAGCUUUCAUCAAAUAAAGCUUCUUCUAUGCUUUUGGGUUCUAUUUCAGAAACAAGAGCCACAACACUAGACUCUUCGCGCCUUUUAGAUCUUGUGCGAAUUCCUUCAUUGAUGUCACCAAUAAUAAGAUCUUUGGGAUGACUGGACUUAUGUUUCCAGUUGCUGGUUAAUUUGUCAGAUUGAUGGUCACUUCCUUCACUUGAAUCUUCAACAGUCACUUGUUGCUGGUCCUUCAAAGUCUGAGCUAUUUUAGACUUUGUAGAAUCUGGAGUAGGUUCAGAUUCUUCAAGAUGAGUUUGAAUGGAUUCAUUUUGCAUAGAAUCUUGGAAUUUAACAUUCAUUGAUUCUUCCACUAUUUGAGUCUUCUUGUUGUAGACUUUGUACGCUUUGCUUGUGGUUGAAUAUCCAAGGAAGAUGCCUUCAUCUGACUUUUCUUCAAACUUACCAACUCGAUCAUUUGCAUUUUUCAGUAUAAAACAUUUGCAUCCAAAUACAUGAAAAUAUGAAACAAUAGGCUUCUUUUCUUUGAAUAGUUCAUAAGGGGGUUUUUUCCAUAAUAGGCCUUAGAAAAACUCUAUUUAUAAUGUAACAUGCUGUAGAAAAACUGCUUCAGCCCAAAAACGUGAAGAGAUGUUACUUUCAAUUAAAAGAGUUCUAGCCAUUUGUUGAAGUGAUCUAUUCUUUCUUUCCACAACUCCAUUUUGCUCUGGAGUAUAUGGAGAGGAGAAUACAUGCUGAAGACUAGAUUCAUCAUAGAAUUUUGUAAAAUCAUGAUUUUCAAACUCACCUCCAUGAUCUAUUCUUAUACUCGAGAUAACAUACCCUUUUUCAUUUUGAACUUUUUUAGCAAACUUUUCAAAGUAAGAGAAAGUUUCAGACUUACUUGCCAAGAAAUAUACCCAAGUAAAUCGUGAGUAAUCAUCCACAAUUACUAGGCAGUAUUUCUUACCUCCAAUGCUUUGUGUUCUGGUUGGUCCAAAAAGAUCCAUAUGCAGAAGCUGCAGUACACGGUUAGUGGAAACUUGAUUUAUUGGUUUAAAGGAAUUUCUUACCUGUUUUCCCAAUAUACAUGGUGUACAUAGAUCAGACUUUUGGUAUGAUAAUUUGGGUAGACCACGAACAAGCUUCUUUGCUGCGAUUUUGGCUAUUUGCUUCAUAUUGACGUGCCCAAGCUUUCUGUGCCAUAAAUUUGCUUCGUCUUGGAUUGAGAUUAGACAUUGUGAUUCAUCUGGUUUCACAUCCAAGAGGUAGAUAUUUCCAUGUCUUCGUCCCAUGAAUGACUGAGUAGAAUCUUUACUAAUUCCUGAACAUAUUCCCUCUUGAAAGUUGAUUUUGAAACCAGUAUCACAUAGCUGACUAAUACUGAGCAAAUUGUAGUUAAGCCCUUCCACUAAGGAAACAUUGCUAAUUGUGAGAUUUCUAAUCUUUACAGUUCCAAAUCCCACAAUUUUUCCUUUGCUGUUUCCUCCAAAAGAGACUUUUCCACCAUUCACUCGAACAAGCUUUAUGAAGUAAUUUGAGUCUCCUGUCAUAUGUCUUGAGCAUCCACUAUCCAGAUACCAUUUUACCUUUUUCUUGAUAGUGACCUGCAUUUAAAAAAGAAACUCAAACUUCUUUGGUACCCAUAUUUUCUUGGGUCCAUUGGUGUUAGUAUGAUAUGCGGUUUUUGCCCAUACCUUUUUAACAGGUUUCCAAAUCAUAGGACAUUCUUUUUCAAAAUGAUCUGCACUAUUGCACUUUGAGCAUCUGAGAGUAUUGCGACCUACUGGUUUUACAAAGAUCCUUUUAAAAUGAUUUUUGUAAGUAUCUCUUGUGGGUCUUUGUUUGAUUCUUUCCUUCACUUUAGGAAAAUCAAUUAAAGGAAUGGUUUCAGCAGUCAUUCCCAAACCAGAUUUAUUAAAAUAAGGUCUUUGAACAGAGAGAAUUUUUUCUAGUUUCUCAGAUCCUAUAGAAAAUCUUUUGAAAAUAUUUGAGAUAUCACUUUUCAAGAAUGCAUUUUCUUUUAAAAGAUUAUCUUCACUUUCUUUAAGAGAAGAAACAUUCUUGUCUAAACUUUUCACUUUUUCUUUCAAAAUAUUUUCCUGUUGUUUUAGAGCAGAAUUUUCCUUCUUGAGUUCGGAAAUUCUUUUAAGAGAAGUCUUAAGACUGAAACAUAAUUUAUCAAUGUACUUUGAAACCUUAAUAGGGAUUUUGAAGUUACUUACCUCAAAUUCGCUUUCUGAAUCUGAAUCUGUCUCGGAAUUUGAAUCUGAAUCCGAUUGUGCCAUCAGACAUAUAUUGGCAUAAUCAUCAUCACUUUCUUCACACUCUGUAUCACUCUAGGUUUCAGCUUUAAGAGCUUUUCGGUACUUUUCAGUUUUUCCUUUCUCCUUCCUCAGAAGAGGACAGUUGGGUCUGAUGCGUCCCUUUUUCUUACAUUCAAAGCAGACUACAUCUUUGUUUGAUUCAUCAUCCUCAACAGACUUAGUCUGUUGUUUUUGAAAACUUUGUUUCAUUGGAUUGAAUUUUCUUCCUUUUCUGUUCAGUUUUCUGAAUCUUCUUAUCAUGAGAGCAAGUUCCUCAUCAUCCAUAUCGUCUUCAGAAUCUAUAACAUCAGAAUCAUCAUUAGAUUUUAAUGCAAUGGAUUUCUUACCUUUAGGGUCUUCGUCUUCAUUGAUUCGUUCCACUUCAUAAGACUGAAGAGUCCCAACCAACUCAUCAACAAAUAUUGGCAUGAUUCUUUGGGUCUCUCUGAUUGAGGUCUUUAUGUGAUUCCAAUCCUUGGAAAGUCCACGCAGUAGCUUGUUUACUUUCAUGGGUCAGAAAUUGGUUGACCUUGAUUUUCAAGACCAUUCACGAUUUCUGUAAAGCGACUAAAUAUAUCAAUUAUAGAUUCUCCUGGUUUCAUUUUGAAGGCUUCAUAUUGACCGAGGAGAAUGUUGAUUCUAGUCUCUUUCACUCGAUCGAUUCCUUCAUAGGUAAUAUGUAAUCUAUCCCAAACUUCUUUAGCUGUAACACAAGAAGAUAUUAUGUUAUAUUCAGUAGGGGAUAAAGCACAAUAUAAAGAAUAAAUUGCUUUUGCAUCAAGAGCUUGUCUCUUGAUUUUCUCUUCCUGAGUCAUUUCGCUAGACUCAACAGCAUCUUUUCCUCUUUCUGAGACAGAUGCAGCUUUAGGAAUGAUUCCUUUUUCUACAACGUCCCAUUCCAGAGGAUCCUUUGAUCUUAGGAACACUUUCAUCUUGUUUUUCCAUAUGUUGUAAUCAUUUCCAUCAAAGUAAGGUGGUCUGGUAUUGCUUUGCCCUUCUACCAGUCUUGGAGCCAACAUACUAGCCAUGGAUCUUUAACUCUGAAGUAAAACACUUCAACCAAAGUGAGUACAUAGGCUCUGAUACCAAUUGAGAUAACUAGUAUAAGCACCUAGAGGGGAGUGAAUAGGUGCACAAACAAAUUCUCGAGAUACGGAAGCGAUUCUAGGCAAACGAUAGAAAAGAAAAUACGAUCAAAGUAAAGUAAAGGUUAUGGAAGAGAGAAAUGAACACAAGAUUUAUAGUGGUUCGGCUUAUUCCAAGCCUACGUCCACUCUUUCGCACUGACAGCCCAUCGGCUGGAUUUCACUAUGAACAAAAGAGAAGUUACAGCACAGCUUUUCCUUGAUUCCACAGUGUAGAUGUUCUACCACACUUCCUCAAGGUUUUUCACGAAUAUAGACUCUUUUUUGUUUACACGAUUUUGCUCAACAAAUGAAUUGACUAGGAACAAGGAGCUUCAGACUUUGGAAUUCUUCUCUCGUGCACGCUCUCGAACAACUGGAACGUCUUCCUUAUAUACUCCUUCAUGCCAUCAUACCCGUUGGCACUUACCAAAGGAAUUCCUCCAAUCUACCCGUUGGACGGAAUCAAUUAGGAAGAUCAUUCGAGCUAUUAAAGGAACAUGUCGAUAGCCCAUCAAUCAUGUUCGCCCAUACAAUCAGGAUCUCAGUUUCCAUAAGUAGAACCUUCCAAGUAUACUUUGCCAAUCAUCGGAUCCUUAAUCUUCGAAUCAACUAUGAUCAAAUAAAGGAUUCCGUUAUGUCAUAUCCAGCCAAGAGAUCUUCUCCAGACGAUAAGGCCACAUCCUUAAUGAAACAUCCAGUUCUGGAUAACCUUUCUUCAACGGAUUAGAAACUGUCAAUGAGGAUAGACUUUAAGUCUUGAGUCUGGCUGUCCGGAGGUCUUCAGACUUUAAAUAGCAGAGUCUGCAAGCCUUCAAACUAGACUGAUGGAAACGUUUUAUCAACUUCAAAACACUUCAAGAGGAUUUCUCCAACAAUAAGAAAUUGCAUGGCGAAGAUGUCGCAAAGAUAAAUUCGACAUUAAAACUGGAAAAAGGAGCCAAAUGCCAAUGUUCCCACAAAUAUGAGAGCUCACCAUUAGGGAUGGGCAUGGGGGCAAGUCCAAUUCCCAGCCGGCGAACUAGGAACCUGCGCCAUCCCUGUCCCAUUCCCCAUGUGGGGCAGGGCGGUUCACCGGCGGUUCCGUUGAAAGGGCGGCAGAGAGUAAGAUAGAGAGAGACUGUAUUAACACAGUGCCAAAAAUUUUGCUUUAAUUCCCACUUGUAUCCGUGUAUUAAAAUAGAGCGGGAGGUACACUCAAGUCAACGCUUAGCGAGCCAUACCAACAUUGUCCCUAACAUUGUCCGUAGCGAGCCAAACCAACAAGUACCGACGCCCAGAGCUUAAUGGAUAAUUAGCGAAGACACUCAAGUCAACGCUCUAAAGUCAAACCUGAAACUGAAUACACCGCGAAAAACUAAAGGGCCGUUUGAGGAACUAAAGAAUUGACUACUCAGGAUGAGUUCAAAGAGAGUAGCCUGGUCAACUUCGACAAACUCAGCGACCCAGGCCUUUGAGGACGUCCUCGAUGGUGCCAUCUUCGGACUUGGCAAACUCGGCGUGCUUCUUGCAGUACUCGAUUGACAUUGAAGUACAAUCGCAAUCUGAGGAACCAUGGUCACCACUGCGAAUUCACACCAAUGGGAGAGGCAAGGACACAAAUGCAGUCGAUGAGGAAGAUCACCCUUGGGAGCUCUGACGGUGAUCCGUUCGAGGUCAACGAGGCUGUGGCCGACGAGUCAUAGAUGAUCAAGCACAUAUACUCACCCUCUUUAUGCACAAUUGUGGCUGAUGUUUUAUCCCAUGUACUCAACAAUGCUCUGUAGGAGUGUUAGCGUCAGGGAAUUAAGCUUAAAAAGGAGAGCCCUGAGCCCACCUUCUCUUUACAUAUGGCUUCCUAUUCUUUGUUGUUGCUAACCCUGUUUGAACUGCGGAUGUUCCAAAAAGAUUGUUGACUGUAUUGCACUCUAUCCGUAGGAUUAUCUUGCAAAAAUCCUGUAUAUGCUUCAGUGCUAACACGGGUGCAGAGUUGAGAACAGAGGUAAGCACAGUCCAGGGAAUCAAUGUUAUUCAGAACCCUGGUAACUAUUUGGGUCUACCUAUUCUAUGAGGUAGAUCUAAACGUGAAGCUCUUGGCUUUGUGAAGGAAAAAGUCUUGAAAAGAAUGCCGAGCUGGAAAACUAAAUUGGUCUCACAAGCUAGUAGGGAGAUUAUGGUAAAAAUAGUGGCUUAUGCAGUACCAACUUAUUCCGUUGUCUUAUUUCAAGUUUCCAAAGAAGUGGCUUGAGGUCGUUGAUGCAGCUAUAGCCAAUUUUUGGUGGGGGUAAGCAGAAUAAUGAAGGGAAAGUGCAUUGGAAGAAUAGGGAAAGCUUAACUGAAGCAAAGUUAGAAUGAGGCUUGGGUUUUAGAAAUUUUCAUAGUUUAACAUAACCCUCCUUGCUAAGCUUGCUCGGAGAAUCCAAAGCAACCCCUCAGAAUUCUGGGUGCAAAUAUUUCAAGCGCUCUACUUUCCCCUUUGUAGCUUCAUGGAAGUUAGAAGAGGUGGCAGAAUGUCUUGGGGAUGGAGUAUAGUUUUGGAGGGAGAGAUCUAAUUAAGGAAGGUGGGUUAUGGUAAAUUACUGAUGGGAAGUCAGUCAAAGUUGGGGAGGAUAGGUUGGUGAAGGAGAGUUGAGACUUGAUGCUCAUCCUCUAAUCCGACUCAGGUGAAAAAGUAAUUAAGAAUGGAGUCUCUAAUUGGUGCAGAUACUAGGACUUGGAACUUGACCCCCAUUAAAGACAUCAUACGGCAGGAGGAGCAGUGAUCGGUGUUGAGAAAUCUCAUAAGGUGGAGAAGCUCCGAUGACCAACGAUUUGGCCCCGGAACAGGAGUGGUGGUUCUCCAAUAAAGUCUACCACUUUACUAUGCAGAAAAGAAAGAAACAUCCAAGCCUAGAUCCUCAAACUCUCAUACUAUUGAUGGUAUAGUUUGGAAAUUAGCACGGGUGUUGACUCUCCUCUCACGAUAAGACACUUCCAUUGGCAACUUUGCUCGAAUGUUAUGUCUGCUACUGCUAAUCCAUGCAAAAGAAAAGAAUAAAGUUUCUCUUGCUUGUGUUCUGCUUUGAGAUUAUAUCUGUUGAGCAUUUAUACUCAAUUGCUUAAAGUUGAAAAUCCAAAAAACGAAAUGAUUCAGAUAGCCAAAGGACUCAUCAUUUGUUUAAAUUUGGAAAAAAGAAAAGAAAAGAAAAGACAGAAAAUCAAACUUUUACAUGAAAAGUCAGUGCAACUCAGCAGCAAAAUUUUGUUGCUGUGCAAAGUUGUCUCCAAGUAAAAUUUAGAGGAAGAUAAAUAUUUCUCACGGAAGAGUGGAUGGUAAGCAAGAUGGAAACUUUCCAGAGUUUCACCUCGAAGAGUGAUAAUCCGAUCAGUGACACCUCUCCUUCAUGGAUGGGCUUGUUUUCUAAUUUGAAGUGCUCGUUUUGCGUGCCAAUAGAUUUCAUUGAGCCAUAAAACAGCUCAAAGCUCAUUACCAAUUUCAUACAUAUCUUUGUUUGGUCAUAUCUAAUGUUAGUAACUCUCAAUGUUCAUCGUAAUUUCCCUAGACUUUGCUAUACCCAUCAAUUUACGUUCAUUAACUUGGUGGUGAGAAUAUGUAAGAUUUUGUGUCAUGGACAUAUUACAUCCGUUGUGAGUGUUAGAUAGGCUAUGGUACUAUUGAAUUAGUUUGUGCUAGUUGACACAAGUUUUCGCUCGAGUCUUCUCGUUCAAUUAAGAAAAUUUGAGAUCAAAUUUGAUGGAGUUUGACCCCCGAAGCAAAAAUAUUGAUAUUGCAUAGUCUUACUUUUGCAAUUCCCAACUCCAUUUCUUCGCAUUUAAAUAUUAAGGACAUUUAAAUUUUGGGUAUAAAGUGUUCUCGUCGAACAAAGCAUGGAUCAAAGAGUUUCAUCGGGAUUGGCUCGAUGGAUGGUUUAAUAUGCAAAAAAUGAGCCCUGAAAUCCCUUGAGGUUCCAAAAUCAGGCCUGCGCGAGGACGGCCCUAAGCAAAUCAAACUAGGCCCAAUGAAUGGAAAGGAAGCGCGGCCAUCUAAGGACAAUAAGGGAAAUUCAAAUUGGCCAACACCCAUUUUCGAAGCCCACGCAUAGUUUUUUUUUUUUUUGAACGAAAGGUCGACUUUCAUUACUACUAAAAACCCUUACAACCCGCGGCAAGAGCGUCCGCGCAUAAAAGAUUGAAAAGAGGAGAGGGCAGACGAAUGGCCCAAUUAUCAGACAAAGAUGUGCCCGUAUGGGCCUUGCAAGCCCAGUCAGCAACCGAAUUCGCCUCUCUACAGCAAAACCCUAACUUGAGAUUGGGAAAUAGGGUUAGAAGGAAAGCAGCUUCGGCGAAGAGAGAUCGAUCGCGCCAUGGCGGCUGGGAGCGACGAUUCAGCGUUUCCACAACAGUGAGGUUAUCUGAUUCAACGAUUAGUGCUGCAGUUUGAAGGCCUUGCUGCAAUAGGUGACGAAGCGAGUAAGAGAGGGCUUGAAUCUCGACCUGGAGAGCAGAGACAGCCACGACACGUACGGAGAAGCCAUCGGUAAGUCUACCUUGAUGAUCCCUGCAAAUACAAGCAAUCGUACCAUAAUUUCUCCCUUGAUGGAAAGAACCAUCGAGAUUGACCUUCAAAACUCCGAGAUCUGGAGGACGCCAUAGAUGGGAUCUAUUUCUAAUGGAACUCCUUUGAUGCAGAGAGGGAGAUGAAGAUAAGCGAUCAACUUGGGCGUGAGUCAGUGCCGCCUCUACGACCUGCUUUGGAUUAGGAUAAGAACCGCGGAAGACAAAGGCAUUCCGAGCACGCCAGAUCUGCCACAGAAUGUUAGUAAUGAAGGCCAGCCGGGUUAAGCGAUGGCCGUCGCCAAUCGUUGUCACAAUCCAUGAGUCCAGACGCUGAAUGCGAGUUGGAAGGACUGAAAUCCCAAUCUGUGAGUGAUUCCACACUCUUUGAGUCCAUGAACAGAGUAAGAACAAAUGCUCUAAUGUUUCUGGAUUCUUACUUUUGCAUAAAGUGCAACAAGGAUUGUCUAAUAUAUGUCUGCGAUGCAGGUUUUCUCGCGUCGCCAAAGCAUUACUACAAAGUGACCAGAGAAAGACUCGGAGCUUAGGUGCAGCAGGCAUCUUCCAGAGAUUACGCCAUAACCAGGUAGGAAGUUGAUACGAAGUAGACGCAGUUGCAGUGACUGUACUUAAUUGUGUCUGAUGGAUUGCGUGAUAUGCUGAUUUGACUGUGUAAACUCCCUGUUUAGUUGCUGUCCAUAUAAGUGCAUCUGAAGUGAAGUUAGGUCGAAUUGGAAUGUCUGUGAUCUGUUGAAUGAUUGGCUUGUCGAAAAUGCUGUGUAAUAAAUCAACCUUCCAUGAACUGGUGGUCUGGUCAAUAAGAUCAGCUACUAGUGUAGGUUCAGCAGGGGCUCUAGGUCCACCGAGAAUUCCCAUAGGAAGCCAGCGAUCUUCUCUAAUAUUAAUACAUGUUCCAUCUCCCACAGACCAAGUGAUGUGUGGUAAAAUUGCAUUCCUCCCACAUAAUAAGCUCUGCCAACCCCAUGAGGGCCGAAUACCUUUGUUUGCUUUUAAAAAAGUGGAAGAAUGAUAAUAUAAACCCUUAAAAAACUUACUCCAUAAUGAUAAUGGUUGAUGCAAUAGACGCCAAGCUUGCUUACCAAGCAUAGCAUGAUUAAAACUCACCAGAUCACGAAAACCCAAUCCACCUAGCUCUUUUCUUUGCUGAAGAUUUUUCCAACUCUGCCAAGGAAUUCCAGAUCUACUUGUAUCAUUACUCCACCAGAAUUUUGCCAUUCUUUUCUCAAUAACUUUACAUAAUGAUAUGGGAAUCUUAAACACAGACAUUGCGUAUUGAGGGAUAGAUUGAAUAACUGUCUUUAAUAAAACCUCUUUUCCACCCUUUGACACUAGUUUCUCCUUCCAUCCUUCUAAUUUCAAAUGAACUCUAGUCAACAGCCAGGAAAACAUAUCCUUUUUAGAUCUUCCCCAGUCAGUAGGAAUGCCUAGGUACUUCCCACAGCGCUGUAAAAUUGGUACCCGUAAUGCACCUGCAAGAUUUUCCUGGAGAGAUGUAGGGCAACAAGGACUAAAGAAAACACCAGACUUGUUUCGAUUGAUCAUUUGUCCUGAAGCCAAGCAAUAUUGAUUCAAUAUAUUGGAAAGAUUCUGACACUCCAGCAAGGUACCAUUAAGAAAAAACACUGCAUCGUCAGCGAAAAAGAGGUGCGAUAGAGUAGGACACCAUUGAUUCAGUUGGAUUCCUGUGAGCGAGCCCAUAUUCAUAGCAUUCCUAAUUAGGAAAGAUAAAAGAUUUGCGACAAUGAUGAACAAGUAAGGGGAAAGAGGAUCUCCCUGCCUCAGACCACGGGUUGGGUGGAAAGUCGGUAAAAAUUCCCCAUUCAUUUUAAUUGAGAAAGAUGGCGUGGAAAUGCACUGCAUAAUAAGAUUAACCCAAUGAGAAUGGAAGCCCAAGUGAAGUAAAUAAUCGCGAAGAAAGUCCCAUUCAACACGGUCAUAAGCUUUCUGCAUAUCUAACUUGAGUAUUGCUUUAAAAUGACGCCUACUUUUCCGUGUCUUGAGCUGAUGAAUAACUUCCUGUACAAUUAGAACAUUGUCUUGAAUUUGUCUGCCAGCAACGAACGCACUCUGUUCUUCAGUAAUCAGCAGAGGCAGCAAUGGUUUCAAGCGAUUAGCCAGCACCUUAGAAAAGAUUUUAUAGGCAUAGUUACAGAGACUAAUAGGGCGAUACUGAUCCAAGCUUUCCGGGUUUGGGGUUUUAGGAAUUAGAGUGAUAGCAGUUUUGUUUAAAGAUGGAGGUAGUAUACCAGAAGAAAAGAACUGAAGAACUGCUCUGUGUAUAUCAACUUUGAGAAUUUCCCAAUGUGAUUGAUAAAAUAAGCCACUUAAACCAUCCGGGCCCGGUGCCUUGGAAGCACCUAAUUGAAAGGUAGCAACUUGAACUUCUUCAAGGGUGGGUGGAGCUAGGAGAGUUGCAUUCAUUGUUGCAUCAAUCAUGUGUGGACAUUGGUCUAAAAUCUGUGCAUAAGGUCUAGGCCCAGAGGUAGUAUAAAGCUGAGAGAAGUAGUUAGUGGUCAUUUCUUUAAUGUGUUCAAUAUCCCUAACCCAUUCCUGAGAUUCAUUCCUCAACAUACUAAUUUGAUUGCGAUGCCGUCGUUGAAUAGUGGUAGCAUGAAAGAACUUAGUGUUACGAUCUCCCCAUUGUAACCAGUUGAUCCUAGAUCGCAUCGCCCAAUAUUGCUCUUCCUUCUGCCAUGUUUGCUGAAGUUCAAGUUUAAUCUUUUGUUGCUGGGAUUGAUUCAGUAUAGUAGGAUGCUGGUUUGAUAAAAUCUGUAACUGAUGUUCUAAUUCAAUGGCCUGGUGCCUGUUAUGAGAGAAAACCUGGCGACUCCAAGUAGACAAAGCUGUGGUGACUGCACGUAGCUUUACUGGAAGAGAAGAAUCCCUUGUCGCAGCUGAGUGCCAGGAGGUGUGAACAACCGAUUGACAUCCAGGGUCUUGGUUCCAGAAAGCUUCAAAGGUAAAGUGUUUCUUUCGUCGACUCAAACUGGGUGUGGUGUUAAUAACUAGAGGGCUAUGAUCGGAACCUAUUGCAGGCAUAGCAAACACUUGAGCUUUCGGGUAUGCGACACGCCAUUCAGCAGUGCAAACUGCUCGAUCCAAUCUCUCCUUCACCAAAGCAUCACCAGCUCUAUUAUUGGACCACGUAUAAGCACAGCCAUGAGAAGGUAAAUCCAACAACCGGCAAUCAUUAAGAAGCUCACGGAAAGAAUCAAUGCGGUAAGAGUCUGGUGGACGGGUUCCUAUUUUCUCCCAUCUAUGUAAUAUUUCAUUAAAGUCACCACAGCAUAACCAAGGUAAGACAGAGAAGCUGCUGAACUGACGUAAAGUCUGCCAAAGAUGCUGACGGUGUUGAAAAACUGCAGGAGCAUGAAGACAAGUAAUCCUCAUAGACCGAGCAUCGGAGAUAUCCAGACAAGUGAAGUCCAAAAAAUACUGAGAGGAGGAGAAAUCCGACAGAGAAAGCCCUGCAUUCCAAAAAAUAGCUAACCCCCCCGCCGAACCAACAGGGCUAACCAACCUGUGAUGCAAAAAACCAGAGGAUUUUUUCAAGCGAAGGAUAACAUCAUCAACAUUUUUUGUCUCCAUCAAAAAAAGCAGGUCAGGCUUUUCCUUAGCCAAAAGGGCUUUUAGAGAUAGGACUGUCAGGGGAUUGCCCAAACCCUGACAGUUCCAACUUAUGAUUUUCAUCGUUGAUUGGGUGACUGUUUAGGGCCAGCCACCGUCGCCCGCAGAAGUUCUUCAGAAGCCUCCAUGAUGGGUGUGUCUAACAAGGAAGAGUCGUCAUACAGUCCAGUAGGUUCUUCCGGUAAGGUAUAAGGAGAGUAACGCCUGGGUUUCUUCGCAGGACUGAUCUUACUAAUCGGUCGAAUACUUUUCCCUUUUGUGGCCUGAUGAGUUGAUGGUGGCCAUUGCACUCCUUUCAGUUUCUCUGUAGCUGGAAUGAGAGCAGUGGUUACAGUGUGUUUCUCAGGUGGAGGCAUGUUAGAGGAAUAAUUUCUGGGCAGUGGAUCAAGUGGAGUAGAUUCCUGUGGAGAAGAUGUUAUAACAGGAACAGGCGUUAGAAGAAGUGGAAGGGUGUGAACCGCUGUGGGAGGAGUUUCUGGUAUGAAUUCUUCAUUCUCCUCCUCCAUACAUGAUGAACCAUAGUAACAUUGCUAGUAAGGGCUACAUUUCUGAACUUCUGCUUUUAACCAUGGCCCAUAGGGAGUUUUAUCAGCCUCGGUUAUCAUGUUUUCCUCAAAAGGAAUGAAGGGACAAGAAUCCGUGUAAUGGCCCAGACGUCCGCAGGAAUAGCAGUAGUGAGGUAACCUUUCAUACCUAAAAUCCAACCACAGAGUUUGAUUGUUAAGUUUAAUUAGCCGCCCUACCUUCAGUGGUGUAGAUAAAUCCAAUUCAACACGAGCACGACAAGCUUUCAAGGCAGAACCAGAGGCGAACUCAGAUUUAACUUGCAAAACAGGGCCAACCGUACUAACAGCAGUGCGAAUCAUUUCAGCAGUACUACACUCCAAAGGUAACCCAAUUAUCUGAACCCAAAAUGCGCAUGUUGAAAAGUCAUAGCUGUGUAGAGGGGUGUUAGCAAUCCAGGGUUUAAAAUUGAUAAGAUGUCCUGAGAAUUGCCAAGGUCCAGUGUCAAGAAUUCUCUGUUUUUCAGCUUGAGACUUGAAUUUUGCUAAAUACAGUCCUGCUUCUUUCUGUAUGAUUUCUGCAUGGUCCAACCUCCAGGCCCUCUUCAAGACUGACUGAAAAGCCGGAAAAUUAAAGGAAGGGUUGGAGGGGACUUUACCGAUUAACAGAAGCUUACAUUCCUCAACCGCACCAGGUGUGGGUUCAACUCGCAACUCUGCAAUCUCUUUUUCCGUACUUAAUCGACCAAGUUUAUGACAAAGUGCAGCAAUUCUGGAUGCAUCCGGGUCAUCGUCAAGGGCCAUCGAUGAAAUAGUGGAACUAAUCAACAGAGGGAAGUUGGUAGCUUCGAUAAUAUCGACAUGCAAGAGUAGAUAAGUGAAGAGAAAGAGGAAAAAGUAAGAAAUGGGUAGCGAUUUAGGUGGAUGUAAGACUGAGAGGAAGAGAAGGAUGAUAGAGAACCAUCGACAUGGCAGGAAGAUCAACAGGAGGCUAUAGAAGAGGAGGAACGAUGAAGAGCUCUACCCAGGUGAUAGAGAGGAUCUCGACAAGACGAGACAAAACUUUUUCCUAUCAUCGGUUGCACGGGUGAUCUUUUUACAGCCCACGCAUAGUUGGAAGGUCUUAUUCAGCUGCACACGUCGAAAUUGGAAGAAAAGGCAAAGGAGAAUCAAUGAAGGAAAGGAGCGUGCAAUUUCCACCUUGACAAAGGGAGCAAUCUCGGCAUUCAGGGACCCGAAUUCACCGCCAAAAGAAAACAAGAAAAUCUGAGCACAAGAAAGCAGGGGAUUCUCCGCCAAGAGGGGCGGGGAAUUUUUCAGCAUUUAAUCAUUGCCAAAUAGAGCCCGAAAAAGAAAAAGGAAAAGGAAAGGAUGAAGCUUUUUCUUCACGGCCGAGAAAGAGAAACGCAGAGAGGGUUUCGGUCAACGAAAGAGAGAAGACUAAAAGAAAAAAAAUAACAGAGAAGUGGUCGGCAAAAGAAGAGAAAAAGAGAAACAGAGGAGUCACAUUCUCGUGGAGGAGGUGAAAAGAAAAAAGAGGACAGAAAGAGAGAGCUGUUGGGGCACGCGUGAGGAAGCAACAGAGAGCGAAAGAUGCAAUUUCCCAUUUAAUUUCCUCGAAGUUCACUUUUCCUCUAUACUUUAAUUUCCGAGAAUUUUACUCCUCGCAGUCAAAUUUCUCCAUCAUUUCAUUUAAAGUCUGGCGCACCUUGCACUUGGGAAAAGCCAAAAAUGAAAUCAUUUUAUUACUAUUUUGAAGUUGACCGAUUUUUGUUCAAGUUAGAAUUGAAGUGUGAAAACCCAUUUUAUCUAGAGAAGGGGUGUGUAAAAGUGACCAGUUUGGGAACUUUGUAAGAGCCACCCUCUUCAAAGGAAACUCAUUUUAUGAAGAGUACUCUCACAUUUGAUGGACAAAGAUCACUUGGCAUCUAACUGUCAUUUCUAGAAUACCGGACAAGCAUUUCCUAAACAAUUUUGUAACCACGUGAAACUGUUUAUCCAACUCUUCUUCGUGACAUUCAACCAUCAAAUCCAAGUACCUAGCAAUACUGCAGAAGAGGAAGACCGUGUUUUCUCUUUUCCACGCCUACAACAACCAAAGAUAUUUACAAUCAAUUUUUCUUGCCAUGAACCAGAUUAAAAUGCCAGCUUCGAAUUCCCCUCUCCUCGUUUUAGAUUGCCAAUCUUGGCUAUGCUAAUUAUAUUCCAAGCGCAAAUACUUUUACAUAUCAAUUUCAACUCUUUUAAAACCUUUGGUGAGAGACUAGCGUGAGAAUUACAUGUAUCGCAUAUUCAGGUGUUCACAUUCAUGGAUAGUGACCUAUCUACUCACUCCUUCAAUUUAAAAGAAAAAAAAAUACUAUAACUAUAAAACAAUAACAUAACAGCAUAUUUACCAGAUCAAUAUGAAUUAUAUACAUUCGAUAGACAAAUCGAAGAGUUUGAUGUAUAUCGAAUUUACAUGACGUUGUUGAACAUCUAGAUUUCUUUAAAUACCUAAAAGAAGCUAUGCAAACCCAUACCGACUCUCAUUGUAAAACGCAACUUUUAUUACAAUUAUUAUAUUGAGAUUGGUUCUCUCUGUCGCAUAAAUAGAUUUUAUACAAUAUCAAUCCAAAAAUUCGCCAAGCAGCUAAGCAAAGCAAAGAUGAUGGAAGACUUUGACCUGUUUUCUUUUCCUUUUGACUUUUUCAUUCAAGUAGCUUUUGUCGGUCUUUGCCUUACCUCUUUCUUUGGUUGGGAGAAAAGAAUAGUAAAAUGCAAGGAAGCAAGCAAAGAUGGUAGAAGACUUUGAUUUGUUUUCCCUCACCUCACGCUGGGAAGUAGAUUAUCUAACAACCAUGAUUUGAGAGGUGCGUGCGUCCCAGGCAAUUAACCGUCAAGAUUAAUUUAAAUAUGAGUACUCAUCGCCUCCUCUCCCUACCUAUGCGAUAAGUAACUUUGAAUUAGAAAAGGUAAUUUUCUGCCUGUCUAUUUUUUAGUAAAUCUCAAUGUUGAUAGUCAUUGUUCAAUCAACAAAAUAAGCUUAACUAUUUACGUAAGUAGUACUUUAUAUGCCAACUUUUAACAUAGAAAAAGGUAACACAAUUUCAUAUGGUUAGUAAAUGGUUAGUAACUCAUUAAUCUGACUUGUAAUAUAUAUACAUGAUUAGUUUUUCUUAUAUACGUUGAAGUAACUUUCCCUACAUCUGUGUGUCAGUAACUUUUCACAAGAUUGCAGUGAAAUUUUUGGAGAUGCAAGUGACAUCCGGGCUAGAGUUGAUGACUUAGCACUAAAUUUUAACAAUCACUUAGUAUUGACUCUUACUUAUAACUCAUUAAAUUUAUAUUUUUACUUACAUUCAAAUUCAUUAGGAGUACCAAAAUUUCGUUUUAAUCCAUUCAUGAUAAAAACAUCAAUAAUACUUAGAUCAUUAAUUUACUACUCUCCAUCCAAUCAUUUUAGUAUAUAUAAAUUCAAGCAAACGGAAAUUUAUUUUCCACCUUUUAAAUGGAAACAAGUAAAGUUAUUGUCGAGAUUUAUAUUUCAUGAAACUACUGGUCCUUGAAAUUAUAUUUGAAUGUGUCCAUGUCAUAUCUAAUUGAACAAUCGAUUCAAUUACAUCCUUAAAUAUUUGCCUAAUGUGCGCUGUAAUCUUAUCUCUUAAUUGGUUCUUUUCUUGACCUUUUUAGAAAUGUUCAAUACUGUCUCGUUCUAGUAAUUAGAAGGACAAAUCUGUAUAAUGUCACUUUCUAGGCCUUUCCUCGUCAAGAACAGAUGGUUGUUCUUUACUUUCUACCAGCUUUAGCUACUAAUGUUGAUCCAGCUCUUAACACUUCCAACAUGUGAGAAAUGGUAGUUGGACAUUAUUUAGUAGGAUACAUUUUCAGUUCCGAGGAUGAAGCUUCGGAAAGCUACCUAGAGGAACAGUAUAUUGGCCCAUACACUUCUAUGCUUUCAUCCAACUUAUUUUUCUGUAUAAAAAAGCAAUAAAGUGAUUAUACAAAAUUAAUAUGAUUAGUAACUCAAUUUAUAUAUAACAAAAAUUUCCAUCUACCUAUUAGUAACUAGUAAUUUUUCUAUGCAAUAAAUAAUUAUGGAAUAAAAAAAGGUAAUUUUCUGCCGAGUGUUAGUAAGUCAUACUAUUCAUAGUAAUUUUUCUAGACUUUGCUAUACACAUCAACUCAUGUUUGUUAUCUUAUUGGACUACAUAAGAUUUUAAAUAGUGGAUAUAUUACAUUUGGUGUGAGUGUUAUGCCACUGUUAAACUAGAUUGUACCAAUUGACACCUAAAUUUUCAUUAGAAGACUUCCAUUCAUUUGAUAAGAAAAUUGGAGAUUGAAUUCAACAAAGUUUGACCCCUAAACAAAAAUGUCAAUCUUGCAUGGUCAUGCAUUCGUAAUUCUCACUUCGUUUCUUCGCAUUUAGAUAUCGGGGACAUUUUAAUUUUGGGCAUGAAGUAUUCACAUCAAGCAAAGCAUGGUUCCAUCUGUGAGUUUUCUUGGAAGUGGCCCAAUAGAUGGCUCCAUAUGCAAAAAUGAGUCCUAAACUCACUUGAGGUGCCAAAACCGAGUCCGCGUGAGUCCAGUGACUCCAGCCCCCAAGCUGUAAUCGAACUCAGCCGAAUGGAGGGAUUGGAAGCGUGGCCAUUCAAGGGCAACAAGGGAAAUUUUAAUCGGCCAAUACCCAUUUUCGUGGCCAAUUCCAGUCUGAACUUAUAAGAUGGAAGGUCUUGUUCAGUUGCUGUACGCGUCCAAAUGGAAGAAAAGGCAAAGGAGAAUCAAAAGGAGGAAAAGGGGCGUGUAAUUUCCAUCUUGACAAAGGGAGCAAUCUCGGCAUUCACGGACUGGAAUUCACGGCCAAAAAAACAAAAAAUCUGGGCAUAGAAAAGCAGAGGAUUCUCGGCCAAGUGGGGCAGCGAUUUUUCAGCGUUUAAUCAUUUCCAAAGAUAUCUUGAAAAGGAAAAGGAAAAGGGUGGAGCUUUUUCUGCACGGCCAAGAAAGAGAAACACAAAGAGAGGAGAAAAUAUUCAGUGGUAUGUUUCUCCAAAGGGAGGGUUUCGGUCAAGUAAAGAGAGAAGACUAGAAGGAAAAAAAGAACAGAGAAGUGGUCAGCAAAAGAAAAGAAAAAUAAGAACAGAGAGCAAAAGACGCAGUUUCCGUUUAAUUUCCUCGAAGUUCACUUAUCCUCUGCACUUUAAUUUCCGAGAAUUUUACUCCUCGCAGUUAAAUUUCUCCAUCAUUUCAUUUUAAAGCCCAUCGCACCUUGCACCUGGAAAAAGCCAAAAACAAAAUCAUGUUUAGCACUGUUUUGGAGUUGACAGACUUUUGUUCAAGUUGAAAGUGAAGUGUGAAAACCCAUUUUAUUUAAAGAAGAGGCGUGUAAAGGUGACCGCGUUGGGAACUUUGCAAGAGUCACCGUUGUCAAGAGCCACCCUCUUUAAAGGAAACUUAUUUUGUGAAGAAUACUCGCACAUUUGAUGGACAAGGAUCACUCUGCAUCAAACUGUCAUUUCCAAAAUACUUGACAAGAAUUUCCUGAACAAUUAAGUGACCGCAUGAUAUUAUUCAUCUUCACUCUUCUUCAUAAUAUUCAAUCAUCAAAUCCAAGUACCUAGUAUUACUGUGGAAGAGGAAGAUCACGUUUUCUCAUUUUCACACCUACAACAACCAGAUAUAUUUACAGCUCCGAAUUUCCCCCUCCUAAUUCUAAAAACAAGAUAUGUUUGACAUCAAAUCAAACUCUUAAAAGUUGAAAAAGAGGAAAAGCCUGAAGUCAAUGUAAAGAAACAUCCAUUUAUCUGAUAGGAUUAUGAGCCGAAAACCUCCUUUCAAAUUGAUGCCUAAUAACUGUUUUAUGUCCUUUGGACCAUGAAUAUCUAACAGUAAUAGUGGAUUAAAAACAUUAAUUCAUAAAACAAUGUUGCAACUUGUUAGAUAUAUUUGUAAUGGACUCUUCUGCAAAUUACCUAAUCAUUCACACAUGCAUUGGAUUACAUGUAUGUUGUAUAUGGUCCAAUUUUGUCUAGAAUCAUGAAAUUGUGUAUCUAUUCUACUCUAUAUUAGUUUAGGUUCUAUAUAAAUGAUUGCAACUACUUGUGUAGUGCAUUCUGAUGAUGUACAAAGACCUUCGGUUUAUCAGUCUCUCACCAACAUAACCAUUCAAUCGAAACUCGCCACCAUCCACUUAGACAGUCUCCGCCAUGACCCAUUUUCAAAGACUUUGAAUCCUAAAAUCACGUUGUUGAAUCAACCUCAACUACAACUCAACUCCAAUAUGGACGAAAAGCUCACAUGUCGGGACGACACAACUCAAUCCAAAUCUUUGCCUUCGUAGCUUGCCACCCUUUGGUGCUUAUUUCUCAAUGAACCACCCAUCAGACAAGUGACCCUCCUCCAAGUUGAACACUAGAAACCAGUUUUGCUGGAAUUGAUCCCACAGCCAAAUGUCUUGUACCAAAGUCGUUCUUCGGUUUUAUUAAAAGGGGCUAGUAUUUUGCAUCAACUCCACACAGAUGAUAUCUCAUGCAAAGAGGAAUCGAACUCCUUUGAUUUAAACAACACUAUACAAUUCCGGGCUAAGUUGGAUUUUAAUCAAUAACAAAGCCCAAAAGUUACGAGAUCAGUCUCAAACUAUGUCGGAAUUCAAUCGAGAACAUAAAUUGAGGAUACUGAGAUACAAUGUCAGAAUUCAAUCGAUGAUGAAGCAAGAUAAAGAUACACAUUGGAAUCUAAUCGACAACGCGAAUUCGAGAGUUAUAUAGCUAAGGAAAUUUAAAAUACAAUGUAGGAAAGUAAAGAUACUAAGAGAUAACAUUUUAUUUUACUUGUAUAAGGAGUCUUCUUGUUGGAAAGCUAGUGGUAUUUAUAUUGAAAGUGUAGUAACUGCUCCUCGACUAUGCUUAGUGGCUGUAUUUCUAAUGUAAAUCUCUAAAAACUUGUGAUCGGCAUAAGUAGAGCAACUAGGGGAGUAGAUGGAUUUUAUGAAUAAGGACAAAGAUGAAAAUUUGGUAAACUUUAUUACAUGGCUAAUCUUGGCUAUGUCGAUAUAUAUUUAAAGCAACAGAUAGCUUUCACAUAUCAACUUCGACUUUCUUCAAACCCUUGAUGAGAGACUAUUGUUAACAUUACAUGUAUUGCAUAUUCGCACACACACAUUCAUGAAAAGUAUAAUUACAAAACAAUAACAUUACCACGUAUGCUAUUUGAUAAAUAUGAGUUAUUUAGAAUUAAUAAACAAGUUGAAGAGUAUGAUGUAUACUGAAUUUAUGUAACAUUAUCGGAUAUCUAGAUUUUCUUAAAAUAUUUAAGAAAACCGUGCAGACCCCAUAUUAAAUCCCAUAGUUAAACACAAAUUCCAGUAUAAUUAUUAAAUUAUUAUCGAUUUUCUCCGUAGCAUCGGUUACAAACCGUGCAAGGCGGUGGAAGACUUUUGGUUUGCUUUCACUCGUCGGAGCCUUUCUUUUCCACUUCUCUUUCGAGAGGAUUUUGUCGGCUUUUCCUUUUUCCAGCUAAAAAGCAAGAUGAUGAAAGACUUUUUGACUUACUUUCUCUCGUCGUUGAGUGGUCCUCGAUGAUGGGGACACCCUCAUUUCAUGUGCCCUUCCUUCACGUUCUCCUUUUCUGGGCCCCGCUGGUUGUGUGACAAUGUUUGACUUGGAAGCGGGCAUUCGGAUCGAACGGCUGAGGAUGAUUCCAUCUGGAGCAGGAGGGAAUUAAGGCCGGGAUCGAGGCAUGCUUAGAUGCAACUCUCACAUUUCGCGAUUUAUUACCACUAAUCCAUGACAAUGGCACUUUCGUAAUAGUAUUGUUAAACGUGACUUUCUUCUCUUCUGCACUGCUUUUUCUCUCUCUCUCUCUUUCUCACUCUGCGCGGAGCUCUCAUUCUUGAAUUCUCGCACAUUCACGCACUCCCUUAGCCUUUUCGACUCUCUCGCUCUUCAGUCUGCUGGAAAACAUGGCGUUUUCCGGCGAACACCGACCUCUCGACUGCUCUCUCCCUCACGACCUCACCUGCGAGACUCCCUGCCCCAGCCUCAAGCUCUACUUCCUCAUCGGAAUCCUCAGCCUCUCCGCACUCUGCAUCGCUCUCCUCGUAUACCUCUGCGUCCUUCGCAGUCGGAUCUCGAAGAAGCGCGAAGUGCCAGCAAAAGGGACGAAUUCUCGGGAAUCAGUUGGACCUUCCUACGAGGUUUUUCUAAGUUUUCAUGGACGAGACACUCGUCAUGGAUUUACCGAUUUUCUUUACCGUGGCAUGGUUGAGACCGGGAUCCUCGUCUUUAGGGAUAAUGAAUCCCUGCAUGUCGGUCAAAGAAUUGGCGAUGAACUUCUACAAGCCAUCCGAAACUCCAAGAUCUACAUUCCCAUAUUUUCCAAGAAUUAUGCGUCAAGUCACUGGUGCCUUCGAGAGCUUGCACACAUGGUUGAGUGCGCCUCCAAAUCGAAUGGGAAUAAAGAGAUUUUGCCCAUUUUCUUGGAUGUGGAGCCUGAUGAUGUCAAGCUGAAAACAAACUUAUACAGCAAAGCCCUUUCAAAGCAUCAGAAAAAGUUUUGCACUGAAGUUGAAUCAUGGAAAAAGGCUCUUGUUAAUUUGGACAAGAUAAAGGGAUGGAACUUGAAAACAGAUGAAAGGUAAAUGUCUUGAACUUUUCAACUUGUCAUCCAUAGGUUUCCUUUUCCUCCCUAGUUAGUUUAAUUGUGGUAUCAUUGGUGAAAAUAUAGUUUAUUCAUCUCACCAAUCCUAUCCAGUGUAACUUGUGGUCGUGGCCGUUGUCGCUGCUGCUAUCGACCACAGUGACCGGUAUCAACUCUAUCGUAGGCUUCGAUGGUUCUAUUGCGGUGGUAGUGCACCCUAUUCAUCCUAGUUUUGUCUCUCCUCACACACAGUCUCCAAUACAAUAGCCACCGAGCCACUGACCAGCCACUGCAGCAGGUCGACGGUCAUUCGCCACCACUUCUUCGUCGCCGGUCGGCACCAAGCUGCCAGAAGCCGCCGUUGAGCCUUCCGGCCCCCACCAUUUCUCCCUUUGACUCACUGUGAUGAGUCGGAUUUGUGCUCAGGAGGCCAUUUCCGACAUCACAAAGCCCAUAUCCGGAGUCGCCGACCUUCGGUAACCCCAAAUCUGGUGUUGCCCAAGGCUGGUGACGCCAUCCUUGGCGGUCGCAAGGCCACGACCCACGUGAAGGGGAGGAAUUGAGGCAAGGCCCAGAGGGGCAGGUCAAUAGGGCUCAAUGGGCAACGGCGCUGGAACGUGACAGCGACGGCCCAGGGAGGUGAGUGAUGUCAACGGCAGCGAGGCAGUGGCAGGGCCAACGGUGUGGUGACUGAAACUGGCGGAGCGGAGAUAGAAUGGGAAAAAUCCAAAAUGUUUUGGCGUCUAUAUUAUUUUUUCUUUUUUCUUUUUGCAAAUCUAAAUAUAAAAUUUACCCAUAACCCGGUUGUUACAUUUUUGCAGCCAAGUAGAUCUGAUACGAUCUAUAAUUCAAACUGUGUUGACAAAGCUGAAUGUUGGAUUUAAAAAAAAUGUGACUGAAGAUCUAGUUGGAGUCGAUGAUCGUGUAGAAGCUAUAAUCAAAAUGUUGCAUGUGGGAUCCAAUAGCGUACAAUUCCUCGGACUCUAUGGAAUGGGUGGGAUUGGCAAAACAACACUUGCCAAGGUCAUCUUCAACCAACUAUCUUCUCAAUUUCAAGGCUGCAAGUUCCUUUCGGACGUCGGAGAAUCAUCACGACGCCAUGGUCUGGUACAUUUGCAAAAACAGUUGCUAUCCAAGUUCCCCGAGUCUCGUUCUAUCCUCGACCAAAUUCAUGACGUGGAUGAUGGGAUCAACAUGAUCAAGAGAGUACUUUGCAAUAAAAAAGUUCUCGUUGUUCUUGACGACGUGGAUGAGAGAGAGCAACUCAGAACUCUAGCAGAUAAAGGUGAUUGGUUCGGUUUUGGUAGUAGGAUUAUCAUAACUACUAGGGACCAAAGAGUUCUAACCAUUCAGGCAAAAGCAGUAGGUGAAAGCCCUACAAAUAUUUCGGCUUACGAAGUAUAUAAAAUGGAAUAUGAUCAUGCUCUUAAGCUUUUCAGUAGGCAUGCCUUUAGAAUAGACUCUCCACUAGAUCAUUAUAUUUCCAUUUCCAAAAAAAUUGUCCGUGCUUUAGGAAAUCUUCCUUUAGCUAUUGAGAUUAUAGGUUCAUCCCUUAAUGGUAAAUCCGAAGCUUUAUGGGAAGACACGUUGAAGAAGCUAAAAGAAGCUCCUCCCAUGGAAGUCCAAAGAAAAUUGAUGAUAACUUACGAAAGGUUAGAUGAUGCACAAAAGCAAGUAUUUUUGGAUAUAGCUUGUUUUUUUCUUAAUGAGGAUAAAACAAACCCUUCCUACAUGUGGGAUGCUUGUGGAUACUACCCACACAAUGCCCUUGAAGUCCUCUCUCUCAUGUCCUUGAUAAAAAUCAAGGAUGACAAUACUUUAUGGAUGCAUGACCAAGUGCGGGAUCUCGGAAGGGAAAUCGUUCGUAAAGAGAAUGUUGAUGAUCCGUGCGAGCGUAGCAGAGUGCAUGAUCCUAAGGAAGUGCUAAGCAUUUUGAAGCAGAAAGAGGUAUGAAAAGGGAACAUCAAUUUAUUUUAUUGUGAACUGUUGUAAAUUAUUCUUGUAAAAAAAAAAUUAAUCGCUAUUAACAAUUGGAAUUGUUUGCCUUUGAGCUUCACCAUGUGGACUCCUUUGUGUUUCCAUUGUCAGGGGAGUAGGAAAAUUAAAGCACUGUCACUUGGAUUUCUCGAAGACACUUUGGAAGACAUAAUUUUAAAGCAUGACGAAUUUGCUUAUUUAGAGAAGCUGAGGUUCUUUCGAGGAUAUCGCGUGUCCUUUGUUGGAGACUUCAAUAAUCUUCUUUCCGAUUUAAAAUGGCUUUCUUGCAAUUCCUCAUUUGUAUUUGAGGCAAAAAACUUUCAUCCAACUAAUUUAGUCGUUCUUGACCUUUCAAGGAGCAACAUUUCGGAAAAAGAUAUUGAUUGGAUCAAAGUACGAUACGAGUCUCACUCCUCACUCCUUGUAUCCAUACAUCAUUUCUUUUUAUUUUUUUUAUAGGUCAUUUCUCAAUAAAUAUUAUUGUUUUGCAGGCGGCAAGGAAACUAAAAGUCUUAGAUCUUAGACAUUGCUAUUACUUAAGGAGAGUGCCCGAUUUAUCUAUGUUGGUGUCUUUGGAGAUUUUGAGAUUACGUUAUUGUUCAAAGAUAAAGAAACUUCCAGACUCGAUUGGGAAAUUACAAUCAUUAAUUGAGUUGGAUUUGUUAGGAACGAAUAUUGAUCACCUACCGGAUUCAUUCAGCAAUCUAAAGCAACUAACAACACUUAGGAUGAGGGACAUUAAGGGAGGGUUGACAAAAUUACCUAGUGCGAUCUGGUUUGUUCAGUUAGUGGCUUAUUCUUUUUCGUCCCACGAUAAUGAGCUGUACUGUUUGAAAAUGCCAGACUUGUCAUGGACCCAAAUAUUUGGAUUACCCACCGUGGCGAGUCUCGUCUCUAAUAUCCGUGAACUUCGGAUGGACGCGUGGUAUAGCAGACGGCCCAACUUUUACCCCGAUGAUAAGCCGGAGAAUUUCACUUUUAAUUGCGAGUCCCUCGAGUGUAGCAAAUCUCAGAGGGAAAAACAAAUAUUGGCCUCCCCAAACAUGUGGUUCCUCCACCAGCUCCCGUCUAGUUUAAGAGACUCAGUAUUUCGAGGAGUGUGGAGUCUGGGUUUCUGUCGUUAUUGGAUGCCGAUAUUCGUUGGUAUAUGUGAUUCGGAGUCGGAGAAACUCCAUCUGCAGGAUUCCACGCUUUCAAGACGGAUUGAACAGUGUUGGCUGAGAAACAGGAAAUUCCCGUCCAGAUACCGUCGGAGGAUUCGUCGACAGCGGCAUCAGCCCACAAAAGCACUUGAGCCGUCGCAUAUGAAGAAUCUGCGAGAGGUAGAUCUGUUCGAAUGCGAGCUACUAGUCGAGAUUCGCGGCCUCGAAGAAUUGGGAUCCCUUUCAUCCCUUGCGGUCGCAUAUUGUAGGUCGAUCGAAAGGAUGCCAGACCUAUCGAAAUCGAGGAAGCUAAGGGAGCUUCGAGUGGGAAAAUGUCCGAAGCUAAGAAGCAUGGAAGGUUUGGACCGCUUGGAAUCUCUAAAGUGUUUGCGGAUUCACGAUUGCAGGUCUUUGGAGAGUCUGGUGGACACCUCGAAUUUGGAUUUAGAAUGUUGCCUGAUUGUCCGUUGCAAGCGGUUGCCCCACCGUGACAAUUAUUGUAAACGUGGCCAAGGUUGCUAUUGUGAGAUGCUUUUCGAGGGGUUGAGGAAAUCUGACCCGAUGGAAGUCCAGCAAGUAUUACAGGGACAUCCGGAUGUUGCGCCAGUAAGGAAUUUAUAACGUGGCUUGGUUGUUGUGCUUGGUGUAGCCAUUUUGUUUGUUUUGUUGUUGUUCUGUUGUUUUGUUCUGAGAAAAAGGCUUUCUCCCGGACAAAUAUUGGUGAUGAAGCUAAGGAAGUGAACGAGGCACGCUCAUAUGAUGCCAAAACGUUGUCCAAUUUUGAUCAGCUUUUGAACAUAGUACUCAGUUCAUCGAUUGCUGUCCAAACAUGAAGCUCUUGGCUUUUUUAAGGAUAGAGUCUUGACAAGGAUGCCUAGCUGAAAAUCUAAAUUGUUGUCACAAGCUGGUAGGGAGAUCAGGUAAAAACAGUGGCUUAUGCUGUGCAAACUUACUCCAUGUCUUAUUUCAAGUUUUGAAAGAAGUGGCAUGAAGAAGUGGAUGCAGUUAUAGCCAAUUUUUGGUUGGGAAAGCUUAACUGAAGCAAAGUUAGAAUGAGGUUUAGGUUUAUCACAGUUUGACAGAACCCUCCUUGCUAAGCUUGCUUGGAGAAUCCAAGCAACCCCUCGGAAUUUUGGGUGCAAAUAUUUGAAGCGCUCUACCCUUUGUAGCUUCAUGGAAGUUAGAAGAGGUGGCAGAGUGUCUUGGGGAUGGAGUAGACUUUUGGAAUGAGAGAUCUAAUUAAGGAAGGCAUGUUAUAACAAAUUGCUAGUGGGAAAUCAGUCAAAGUUGGGGAGGAUAGGUUGGUGAAGGAGAGUUGAGACUUGAUGCUGCAUCCUUCAAUCUGACUCAGGUGAUAAAGGAAUUAAGAAUGGAGUCUCUAAUUGAUGCAGAUACUAAGACUUGGAACUUAAACCCCAUCAAGGACAGCAUGCGGCAGGAGGAGCAGUGACUGGUGUUGAGAAAUCACAUAAGGUCGAGAAGUUCCGAUGACCAAAUGAUUUGGCCCUGGAACAGGAUUGGUUGUUCUUCAGUAAAGUCUCUACCACUUUACCAUGUAGAAAAGAAAGAAACAUCUACUAAAGCCUAGAUCCUCAAGCUCUCAUACUAUUGAUGGUAUAAUUUGGAAGUUAGCACAGGGAGUCGACUCUCCUCAAGAUAAGACACUUCCUCUAGCAACUUUGCUUGAAUGUUGUGCCUGAUGCUGCUACAUGUGCAAAAGAAAAAAAUAUAGUUUCUCCUGGCAAUGGUGCCCUUAAAAGUUUGUGGCAACAAACUUUCAUCCGACUAAUUUAGUCGUUCUUGACCUUUCACAGAGCGAUGUUUCAGAGAAAUGGAUUGGCUGGAAUCAAAUCAUAAUAUAGUACGAAUCUCACUCCUUGCAUACAUGUUUCAUUCCUUGUCGUUUUUUUUUUCCUGCAAAUAAUUUCUUAGUAUAUAUUUUGUUUUGCAAGUGGCAAGUAAACUAGAAGUACUAGAUCUCAACAAUUGUGAAUACUUAAUGAGAACACCUGAUUUAUCUAUGUUGGUGUCCUUGGGGAGAUUGACUCUUGAAGGUUGUCACAACUUAAUUGAAAUUGACCCAUCCAUUGGUAAAUUAAAGCUCCUAACUGCUAUGAACCUAAAGGGAUAUGACUCUUGUCAAGAGUUACCUGAAGAGAUAGGAUAUCUACAAGCUUUGGCAGAGAUUGUCAUGCCUAAUACCCUACAUGAACUUUCGAAGAGAUUUGGUAAUUUGCGGUCAUUGUUGACCUUUGAUGUAUCGCAUAGGCAGAUUAGCAAACUGCCAUACUUGAUUGGAGAGCUAGUGAAACUUAGGCGGUUGAUUUAUCAGGGUGUACAAAGAUAGAGGAACUUCCAGACUCAGGUUUGGAAAUUACAAUCCUUAGUUGAGUUGGAUUUGUAAUUGAUAAUAUUUGUGGACCUUAAAAAGAUUUAAAGAUUGACAAGUUUCCUCUGUUAUGUGCAGUGAACAAGAAGCACCACUCUCCAUUUUUGAGCGAUGAAGAAUGGCGUUUCGAUAAAAUAGCCAAAGAUGGCGGUCUAUGCAAGCACAAGAAUUUGAGUGGAAUCAACACUGUUGUAGAAAAAAGAAUAAGGGAAGCACAAGCAGUUUGCGACUGCAUUUAGUUACCAAAUUACCAGCCAUCUUCACUAGCAGUCAGAUAAGCACCGAGGAUGGUACUCCUCAAAGGAUCGAACUAGUGGAUGGCAAGACCAAUGAGAGGGUUAUGAAUGGCUCUCUAUCUUCCAUAAAGCUCAAAAUUGUCAUCCUUGAUGGCGAUUUCAGGUCAGAUGAGGGAGAGGAUUGGACCGAGAAGGAAUUCAAUUACAAUAUCGUUUGCGAAAGGGAUGGGAGAAGGCCAUUGAUAACCGGGGAGCUAAAUGUGAUCUUGCAAGGGGGAAUUGGUUGCCUCCGUAAUUUAAUCAUCACUGACAGCUUGAGCUGGAUGAGAAGUCGGGAAAUGAGCUCGAGUUGUUCAAAAGGUUUGUGCAGAAAUAAGAAUAAGUGAAGUGAGUGAAACUUUCAUCGUUAAAUAUCAGCGAGGAGAGUGUAAGUUUGCAAUGCCUAUCAUUUUAUGAUAACAAUUAAUUUCCAACCAUCAACUCUGUAUGUGGACCUUAGAAAGACUGACUGACAAGUUUUCUCUGUUAUGUGCAGUGAACAAGAAGCACUAUCCACAAUCACUGAGCGACGAAGUAUGGUGUUUGCAGAAAAUAGCCAAAGACAGCGCUCUGCACAAGUGCAUGACUUCGAGAGGAAUCAACAUUGUUCAAGAUUUCCUCCAGCUGUACAAAGUGGAUGCACCUUUCUAAGAAACAAAGUGACUCUUACUCUUCGAGCACUGCUAAUUUCCCUUUUUUCCAGUUCACGUUAUUCUAAGCAUUGUUCAAUAUCAAAUCGUGCUACUUCUUUUGUGUGCGAUGUUAUAUUAGGUACUUGGAAAUGAAAUCACCAAGCGGACAUGGGAGACAAUUGUCAAACAUGCCAGCCCCUGUGUGAUCAACGAUAACAUGUAUUUCUACCAAGCUUUGAACAAGGCCAGUAUAGUGUUCAAUUCGGUCAUGAAAGUUGCUCAAGCAGCACCCGAUGGCCAAAUUUACCAGUGGGUUGACAUAUUGGCCCACUCUCAGAAGGUACAUAAAUCAUAAACCGAAACAUCUCCAUCUAGUAGCUGAGUGUGAAUCUAUCUGGACCUAUAGAAAGGGCCUGUAUUUAUCGGAUUAGUCUGCUUCCAUGGCAGAAUAUAUACUGCAAGCACUUCUCUUUAAAAAGUACCCGUUUGAUUUUGGACUUGAUUGAACCCGCUGCUCGGUUGACAGAUUUUGUUGCAGAACUUGAAAUGGCUAGCUUACGAUAACAACAAUCAAUGGUGGCGCUUGAUGCCCUGCCCAGCAUCUCUCUUCUGAGAGCCCCAACCAAUUUGCCUACAGAGCCGUCAAUUGGCCUGAGCCUGCCUCUUCAUCAUCUAGUUUACACAGAGCUAAACCAAGGUAUUGUGGUAUUACAUCACUUCCAUCUAUCUUUUCCUUUUUGGCCUUCUUGAUCUUUCACAGUUUAGUGUUCCCAUUUCUUUAUUGGCACAUCCACCUUUAUGCACGUCUAUGGUAGCUGAAACUGAAAUGCAUCAUUAUUCAGAUAGACCAGAAGUGACUCCUGAAUUUAGUUACUCACUGGUUUCAGCAUCAUGCUGCUACAAUGUCACAAAGAUCAGACAAUUAGGUUGUCUGGGGCCACAGUCAUAUCACUACAAAAAUCUUUGAUCCGACUGUAAUUCAACAGCUUGGCAAGGGAGGACUUUUUGUCCAGUUUGAGUGCUGGCGAAAGCAGUCAUCUUCCUGGUUACACACAAGAUCUGUUUGCGCCAAACAUCCAUUUGUCUCCUGAGGAGCUUUUCCAAGUGCCAUCUCCAAUCCCUGGCAAUUUAAUGUGGACACCGGAGCAUACUUUCAUCAUUGAGUCGAGCAGCAGGGCAGAUUUUGGGAUCUGCCCAUCUCGCACGGGUUAUGGAGUCCAUAAUUCUAGGAUUGCAAGGCCCAAGGUGGCAUGGUGCAAGAUCCGUGAUGUGGUGAAGUGGGGAUUGGUUCAGCGCGUUGGGGCUGCAAAGAGAAGAGCAAUGUUCAAUUGUGCAAGUUAUCCAGCUGUAUAAAUGGAGAGUUCCAUCCCCCAAACAAAUUUUGGGUGCUUCAGGAGCGCGAAGCUCUCGCCCACACAAGCCAGUCACCACAUGCGAAGUUCAAAAAAGAAGGAAAUUCGUGAUACUUGAUGCUAGGAGAUUGUCUUUGGGGGUAUGAGAAUGUCUAAUUCUAGGGGUAAGCUGCCCAGGAUGCAUCAUCGACUUAGUAUUAUGCAUGAUCACUGCAAUUUUCUCUAUUGUUUUUUGUUGAUUGUCCUUUCAUAUUUGAAUGAAGUUGUGCACCAUCAAGAUGGGGCUGCCAAUUGGACAUGUCUUCUCUCUGUAGGCCACGCAAGCUGAUCUUAGGAAGUACCUCAAUACAGGGGUUCUUCCUCAAGAAUUGUAAGGCUUUUGCUCUCUUCUUCAAGAAUUGUUUGGCAUUCUGUUUGUCCCAAAUACAUCAUCCCUUGAUUUGUCAGUUUACUACUCUGAUAUGCUUAGUAGACUUUUCUUUGCUUUACAAAAUUUGUGAGUAUAUUACUUAGUUUGCGAGAUCCAAAGUUUCUCCUGUCAGCUUUGCUCUUAUUGAUCUGAAAUAUUAUAUGGUAACCAUUAGUCACAAAACCCACAAUCUUGACGGUAUAUAGUCAAGGUUCUUCUAUCGCCAAUGUGGGACCUUCUUUUCCAUCUAACAUUCCACCGAGUUCUUGUAGGCUUGGAUCUAAGACCGCUUCGAGACUAUUCCAGAGAAUAUUUCUGGGCGAGAAAAGAGAUGAAUUUUUCUCUUUCUAAAUUGUGCAGUUUUGCUUUCAUCUGCGAAAAAUUGAAAUGGAAACAAUCCAUCUUUAUCAUUGAAAAUAUGCAAGAUGUGCAAAGUUUCCCAUUUGAUCAAUGAAAAGUGCUUAUUUGAUUGUGAUAGUGAGUUCUAACGGAAGAAAUAGGGAGAACCAAAAAAGUAUCCUUGGGCAGAAAGUAAGAUCCGAAUACGAACUUGUAAAGAAAAGAGUGUACCAGCAAUCUAGGACGUUGCACACAUGUGCCACGUACCUAAAAUUGUCGAUGGUGUUAAGCAUGUUUUAGUUCCUAAAUCUGUCAUAGGUAACAGCGGUGAAAAAUGGAAUUCUUCUCUUGUAGGGCAAGGUCUUGGCAAGAAAGAGUAUUGGAUUUAUUUCCACUGCAGUGAAUAUGUUGUGGUGACGAGGAGAUUGAGAACGGAAUGUUCCUUAUGAACCUUUCCUCUUCCAGAACAUUGCGCACUAUCUUCUUGUGCUAAGAAAAUGGAAGCCUGAACUGCAAAGUUAGGAGGUCUCUUAUGUGAAAACUGUUGUCUAGGCUAAGCUGCAGAGCGUUCCUCUGUAUCUUCUGACAUUGGAGGGAAGUCUUGACGGCUUUUUCAAGAGUGAGAAAGGCCUAAGGCAGGUCAAUCCUUUAUUGCAUAUUUUUGUUAUGGUGAUGGAGGUUUUCCCAGAACUGUUCAAUAAUUCUGCAAGUCAUGGCAAAUCAAAAUACCAUUCUCAGUGCUCUAAGGGGAAACUUGCUGACGAUUUGAUGAUAUUUUCCAAAGGGGAUAUGGAUUCUUGAAUGAAACUAUUGACUUUGUUUCAGAGACUUAAGCACACGUCAGGUCUUAGUAUUAAUCCCCUUAAGACAGAGAUAUAUAUGUAGCUGGUAUUAAGUGGCAGCUAGUGGAUGAUAUACAUCUCUUGGUGGCUUGGCCAAAUGCCAGUUAGAUACCUUGGCCUUCCCCUGAUUUUGGGAAGGUUAAGAGAUAGAGUGUAAGCCUUUGGUGGACAAGAUUACUUUUCGAGUGAGUCCUUGGACAAUUAGGCAACUCUGUUGCGCUGAAAGAUUGCAACUAGGGGUGUGCAACGGGAACCGCCCGAACCGAGAACCGGCCGGACCAGACCGAACCGGCCGGUUUUGGGCGGUUCCCAUGGUUGGCGGUCCGGUUCCCGGUUCCUAAUCUUGGAACCGGUGGCCGGUCGGUCCGGUUCCCGGUUCUAAGGUGGGAACCGGACCGAACCGGACCGAAACAAAUUUUUUUAUAUAUAAUUUAUAUACAUAGAAUUAAUAAAUUAUAUAAACAUGAUAACUUAUUGCAACUAAAAUUGUAAUUUGAGGUAGCAUCAUCUUAUGUGGCCAAGAGACCAUUAAAACUAUUUUUAUUACUCUUUUUUUAUAGAAAAAAAUCUCCUUGUUAGUUUUUGUUGGAAAUAUGAUUUGUUUUUUUAUUCUAAUUAUCUAAAUACAGUUAAUUGAUUCUAUGAAUCCAUGAUAUUGGAUAUUAGGACAAUAGUAUAGGAAACAACAUAUUUUGUAUAUUCUUUCCUAUCGUACUCUUUUCUUGUAUUAUUAAUAGGUGUGUAAUACAUGUACAAACACAGCAAUACACAAUACAGAAAAUUCCUCCAAUUCCUUCUCAGUUUUUGUCAAUUUUCUUUCUCAUUUUCUAUCAGUUUCAUCUUCUACUUGAUGUGGGACUAAGGUUCCAAGAGACCCACAAGGCACUUCAAGCCUCCAACAAUCCCACAUUGACUAAACAUUUAAAGAGCAGAGAUUGUCUAUAAAAUCUAAGCCAUGCAUAACUUUUAGCCAAAUUAUUCACGGCUUUCAUGGUUAAAGUUAAGUGUGAAACACACAAAGUGUGAAUCACAUUUGAAUAUUUUGCACAUGGAAACAUGUGUGAUUAGUUUUGUUGAAUUGCUCAAAAACCGAAUUGGAUUGAUCGGUCCGGAGCGCGGUCACUCUUUUGUGCAAAAAAGUAUAGUCGAUUUUGUUGGACCGGACCGGACCGGACCGGAACCGAUGGUCGGUCCGGUUCCCGGUCUUAGGACCAAACGGUCCGGUCCACGGUUCACAAUUUUGGGAACCGGUGCUCCCGGUCCGGUUCCCGGUUCCAAGGUGGAACCGGACCGAACCGGGAACCGAUCACCCCUAAUUGCAACUCAUUGAGGAAGUAACAGCUUGGUGAAUUUUUGGAGUCAAAUUUUUUUGUUGCCAAAAAAGUUAUCAAUAUGAUGGAAAGCAAGUGUAACCCUUUUGGAAGGGAGAAUCUGAAAACGCUCGAGGUUCAAAAGUUGCCUGGAUGAUGCAUGUCUCCCCAGGUUUAAGGGUGGUUCAGCAUUGAGGAAACUAGGGCCUUGAAAUCUUGCUUGUCUAUUGAAGAACUUAAGGAAAUUUUGUUGCAGGUUGGAUCCAUUCGGGUGGCCUGGCUUAGCCGUUUCUUGCUUAAAGGGCAGUCUAUUUGGGCAAUGAAUCCAACUGGCGAGAGCAGCUAUGCUUGGAGAAAGUCUACUUGAAGCAAUGUAAAUUAGUAUAUAAUAUAUAGUUUCAUUUAAAAUUGAUAUUUGAAAAUUUGAUGGAGAAACGCGAACUCAAUUGUAAUUUGCAUUGCAAAGCAUGGCUUACGUUGUCACUUUUCUUCUUGUCCCAUAUAAAACUCGACCUCACUUACAACGUGGUUUUGAGAAGACUUUUUGAGAUUUACUACUUGUCAUGUCUUACACACAAUGGAUGAUGAGAUUGGAAAAAUGCAAAGUCAAGAUUUUCAAAUUAUGAUAUGGGAAAUCUAUUCUUAACUUUUCAUCACCAAUAUAUGAAGAUUACCAGAAGCCCACCGGACUAGAUCUUUGCUAGAAAUGCAUUUCCUCAUAGGGUGCGAACGAUAAUAGUUUUGUUUCUCUAUUUUUCUUUUCUCGAGAAUAGGUUUGGAAUAGAAAUCCGUUUGGUGAUGUAAUUUCAUUUUUUUAUCUUCAGAACAAAUUUUGCACCUAGAAAUAGGUUUGGAAGAAAAAUGAGAAGUAUAAAUUUUCUACUUUUCUCUUUCUAGAACAAAAAUAGAAAUAAAAACUUUUAAGGUGCGUUUGGUAAUCAUUCUGUUCCGGGGAAUAAUUUUUUAACAUAAAUAGUUUUUUUUUUGUUUUUAUUUCAUGGAACAAUUUCUGAGUAUAAGAACGCGCUUGGUAAUUGCAAAAAAAUUAUAUUCCAGGAAUAGAAAUACGUUUGAUAAACUUGUAUAAUUUUGUUAUUUCUUUUUAAUUUUUUAAUAUUUUUCCUUUUUUUCUUUUUUUUUUCCUUCUUUAUUCUUUGUAACCGGUGGCCGGCGGCUGGCGACCGGCGAGGUCCGACGAGCUUGCCGAAGCUUCACCAGGCCACUGCGAGGGCCGGCGAGCUCGCCGGAGCCUCACCAGGCCACCGCGAGGCUCAGCCUCACUAGAUAUGGGCCUCGCCGGUGGCCUCAAUAAAUAGGUGAGCCUCGCCAAGCCACCGGCGAGGCUCAAGCUUGCCCAAGCGACGCGAGGUCGGCCUCGCCUUGGAGCUUGCCCAGCCAAGGCGAGGCCGAGCUCGCCCAACCACCGGCGAGGCUCGGCCUCGCCAAGCCGACGUUGGGCAACAUCGCCUGCCAGUGGCCUGGCAACUCUCUGGAGAGGUUGUCGGCCCUCUACGGCCGGUCACUGACCAUGGCCGAGGCCGGCGACCAGCCAAAAGGAAGAAGAAGGAAAGAAAAAAGAGGAGAGAAAAUUUGUUUCUCAAAAUUGUUCCUGAGAUUGAUCUUGGGAACAAGAAGUUACUCUUUUCUACUUCUUGUUUUUGUUCCAAAUCUGUUCUCGGGAACAAAAGUUUUACCAUGUUUCUAUUUUAUUUUUGUUCCCCGGAACAAAAGAACAGAAAUUUUUGUUCCGGGGAACAAAAACACUUUUUACAUCACUCAUCCUUGUUGCUACCCUCCACCGGCCGUCGCUGUCCUCCACUGGUCACCUGCCCUUCGCCACCUAUUGGUCAUCGCCCUCCACUCGCUAGCCACUUGCCAGCCACCAAUCACCACCUUUCAUCGGCUGCCACCAAGAAAUUUUAAGACCUAUCAAACGAAUUUCUAUUUCGAGAAUGUAAAUUAUGUAUUGUUAUCAAAUACAUGUCUUUGUUCAUCAACUCAUCCAAUGAAUAGAAAUAGAAAAAUCUAUUUCUUACAAGAAAAUAUUACCGGGAACAAAAUGAUUAUCGUUUGCACCCUUAUUGAACUUGAAUUUAACCGGAACAAAUCAUAAUGCAGCGGAAUCUGAAUGGGUUCCAUAGGUAAGUUAAAAGACAAAAAAGAAAAAGAAAAAAUGUUGAAAGGUCAACGUCCCCAAGACAUGUCAGUGGGAGCUUAGGCAAAGAAUUUUCGCGGAGCAAACCUGAAAUGCAGUUGAUCACUUCGUCUCAAUUGCUCUCAGCUCACCUGUGACAUGACCGUUGGACGAUGACCACACACGUUCCACGUUCCUUUUUUACGAAUACUUUACAGAGGAUCAACAUCCAAUAGAUCAUCAGCGUAAUCUGGAGUAGAGUUUCCCAUAUCUAAAGGUCGAAAUCGCAUUUUCUUGAAAACGUCGUCCGCCCCUCUUCUCCAUUCCCAUCGCGAUCUACAUCGUACACCACUGAAAAUUAGUCCACAAAAUGCAUGAGAAAUUGCAUGGCAAAUAUUUCGCAAAGAUAAAAUCGGCAUUGAAACCAGAAAAAGGAUCCAAAUGCCAAUGUUCCCACAAAUAUGAGAGCUCACCAUUAGGGAUGGGCAUAGGGGCGAGUCCAAUCCCCAGCCGGCGAACUAGGAACCUGCACCAUCCCUGUCCCGUUCCCCACGCGUGGUAGGGUGUUUUGCGCGGUUCCGUUGAAAGGGCAGCAGAGGGUAAGAUAGAGAGAGACAGUGUAUUAACACUUUGCCAAAAAUUUUGCCUUAAUUCCCACUAGUAUCCGUGUAUUAAAAUAGAGCGGGAGGUACACUCAAGUCAACGCUUAGCGAGCCAUACCAACAUUGUCCAUAACAUUGUCCGUAGCGAGCCAAACCAACAAGAACCGACGCCCAGAGCUUAAUGGAUAAUUAGCGAAGACACUCAAGUCAACGCUCUAAAGUCAAACCUGAAACUGAAUACACCGCCAAAAACUAAAGGGCCGUUUGAGGAACUAAAGAAUCGACUACUCAGGAUGAGUUUGAAGAGAGUAGCCUGGUCAACUUCGACAAACUCAGCGACCCAGGCCUUUGAGGACGUCCUCGAUGGUGCCAUCGUCGGACUUGGCAAACUCGACGUGCUUCUUGCAGUACUCGAUUGACAUUGAAGUACGAUCGUAAUUUGAGGAACCAUGAUCACCACGGCGAAUGCACACCAAUGGGAGAGGCAAGGACACAAAUGCAGUCGAUGAGGAAGAUCACCCUUGGGAGCUCUGACGGUGAUCCGUUCGAGGUCAACGAGGCUGUGGCCGACGAGUCACAUACGAUCAAGCACAUAUACUCACCCUCAUUAUGCACAAUUGUGGCUGAUGUUUUAUCCCAUGUACUCAACAAUGCUCUGUAGGAGUGUUAGCGUCAGGGAAUUAAGCUUAAAAAGGAGAGUCCUGAGCCCCCCUUCUCUUUACAUAUGGCUUCCUAUUCUUUGUUGUUGCUGACCCUGUUUGAACUGCGGAUGUUCCCAAAAGAUUGUUGACUGUAUUGCACUCUUGUCCGCAGGAUUAUCUUGCAAAAGUCCUGUAUAUGCUUCAGUCCUAACACGGGUGCAAAGUUGAGAACAGAGGUAAGCACAGUCCAGGGAAUCAACGUUAUUCAGAACCCUGGUAACUAUUUGGGUCUACCUAUUCUAUGGGGUAGAUCUAAACGUGAAGCUCUUGGCUUUGUGAAGGAAAGAGCCCUGAAAAGAAUGCCGAGCUGGAAAACUAAAUCGGUCUCACAAGCUAGUAGAAUAGGUAUUACAACAAAAAGUAAUGCAAUGAAAUAAAAUAUAAAUCAUGGUAUAAAUACAUGUUGUAUCAGAAACAAAAAGUUAUGAAUAUUCAGAACUCAUUUUAUGAACUCAUUUAGCUAGUACAACAAAAAAGUUGGAAUAUGUGACCCCAUGUUGUAUCAGAACUCAUUUUAUGAAUAUUCCCGGUUCCUAAUGAAAUAAAAUAUAAGUCAUGGUAUAAAUACAAGAAGUUAUUCAAUAUAUCAUAAUAAGAUUGUUAAACAAGGUUAUCUUCUCAUCACUCCCUAAUAUUUCUUGAUUUCUUUUACUUUCUUUUUUUUUCAAAAGCGAGUUUGCUUCCCUAGCAAAGAAGGCAAGAGUUCAAGAUUCCAUUAUGAUAAAAUCAGAGAUUUAAAAAAAAAAACUACUGAAGAAUAUAUAUUUUUAUAAUCAAACGGAAGCGCUAUUACUUGUAAGGAAGAUGAACUCUGCCUAAUUAGCUUUUUCUUUUCCCUUUUUAUAUUCACCAACCGGUGAAGAUGAUAUGCUUGGCUCUCCUUAAGCUUCCUGUGAUUCCAAGGCUGACACCUAAGCUUCAAUCACAAUAAUAACUCAUCCCAUCUUAAGAGGAGACCUAUCAUCCAAUUCAUUCUUAAUUCAAGGAUAUCUCUAAGCCCUCUUUUGCUUUUUAUCACGCCUUAUGUUGAAAUCCACAAGGAACCAUUCUAGAUUUAUCUUCCUCAAGUGGUGGAAAUUACAAUUAUAAAUAAUCAGAAUUGGAAUUGACUAUCAAAAUCAAAACGUAUUGCUUUCUAAGAUGUGUUAAUCAUUACCAUUGUCUUGAGCAAAGGCUUGACGUUAAUAAUUUCCAAUCAAAAUUGAUUGGAUGAACUCAAUUAAUAAAAAGUUAGUAUAUUUUAGAUUUUUUGGAUAAUUUUCCCCUACUAAAUCCACUAUACUAUGGAAUUCGAAAUUAAACGGACCAAAUCACAACGCAACCCAAUCUGACUGGGUUCCGAUAGGCAAAGAGAAAAGACAAUUCAGAUUGGUCAAAAAAAUCUAAAUUAUGAUGUCACCGCGUUGAUCGGCACAAAAGGUCAACGUCCUCAAGGCACGUCGGCGGGAGCUUAUCCAACAAAAUUUCCAAGCAAGAAAGAAGAAAAACAAAGGAAAAAGAAAACCAAGUCAGCUUCUGAAUGAUCAAUCUUUUCUUGUUCAGUAUUCAAAAUGAAAAACAGAAGAGCCCACUGUCUUCAGAAAUGAAAACCAUCAAACUCGAUCUACUCUAAAGAACACAAGGCUAAUAGAUUCUUAUUCUCACCAGCACACAACAAAACAACAUCUCUCUCUCUCUCCCUCCCUCCUAUAAAUUACCCUCUUCACCACAUCUUACCUUGAAUCCAACAAGCCGUCGAACUCUUCAGUUUGUCCAUAAAUCGUACCAAAAAAGGACAGAACAUCUGGUUUUUUUGGCCUGUCUCUGUCUCGUCCUUGCUGAAAGAGGGGGAUGGCUGAGACGGUAGCGAGAGAGAGGAAGAUACUGGUGGCGGUGGACGAGAGCGAGGAGAGCAUGUACGCCUUGUCGUGGUGUCUCCAGAACGUCGUCUCCGAGAACUCCAAGGACACCCUCGUCCUCCUCUACGCAAAGCCCCUUCGUUCUGCCUACACAGCCCUCGACGGCACAGGUAAAAAACUAAACGUCAAGAUGUUCUUCUUCUUGUUCCGACAUGGUGGGGGUGGCGGCAGCAAUGAGGGCCUCCUCACCAUAGAGGCCCUUGUUGAUUUGCUUCCAAAACCCUUUUUUUUUUUUUUUAAUUAAUUUUUUAAUUUAAUUUAAUUAAUAUUUAUAUUAAAAAUCAAAUUUAUGGGCAAAACAGCGUAUUGCUGACUAAGCAUUCCAAUGAGUAACGUGGAUAAGUUUUAUUAUUGAAAUAAUGCAAUAUCAGAUUUCUAACUACUUUCGUCAGAAUUAGCACUUAAGUAUCCAUUUUUUUUUUAAAUGCCACUUAAAAUGCCACUUAAAUGUAUUUUUUGAAGUUUUGGCACUAAAGUGUUGGCUCAUGCCAAGUUUUGGCACUUAUGGUGUACAUUUGCCCUCGUCCUCCUCUAUGGAAAGCCCCUUUGAUCUUCCUACAGGUAAAAAAACUAAACGUUCUUUUGCUAUGGAGACCAUCUCUUGCGAUUAUAUUUAUAGAGUGGUUUUGACAUUUUUAUUUUUCAUUUCGUUCUUUGUUCCGGUACCUGUUUUCUUCAGACAUAGUGGCCACCAUGGAGAGGUACAACAAUGAAAUGGCCGACUGUUUUAUGGCUAAGGCUAAGAAGAUCUGCCAUGAUUGUGGUGAGAUGAGCUCUUAUUAAGGCAUAAAUUUCUAAAUUUCAAUAAGCGAAAUAUCAAAGGGAUUACUGUGAUGGUUGACCUGGGUAUGGUUGCUGUUAUUGGGGACAGGUCGAGGUGGAGACGAGCGGGAGAAUGGGGAUGCAAGAGAUGUGAUCUACCGAGGGACGCAGAAGUUGGCACCUGAUGUUCUGGUGAUGGGAAGCCAUGGGUACAGCCUUAUCAAGAGGUACUUCAAAUACUCAUUUCGUUUAGUUACUCAAAAACUCCUGAUAUCGACCCUAACGCUAGAACAUUGCUUCAGUGGAAAGACAUGUAUUAUGUAGCCCUAGAUUGAGAAAUGCUUGCAUUGCAAGUGUGGGUGAACGAUUUUACGAUAGGUAGGUUCCAGAUUAUUGUUGUGAGUAGCAUUCGAGAACCAGGCCUAACUUUAAAUGUUGUCAUCAUUGUUUUGGAAGAAAAUAUAAUGUAAACAAUUUGUGGUAUGGUGGUUAAGAAACUAAAGGAUUCAUAAAUUUUGGGUUUGAAACCCAUCUCUAGCAUAUCUAACAUUUCUUUAUAUAAAAUGAAAAGAGCAAAUGAAAAUCGGUCCAAUUGCUCACCCUAGUUGAAAGUUGUCCUCACCUAUACGCGGGCAAUCUAAAAGUCUCUAAGUUUUCGAUUGACUAUUUAAUGAUUUAUUCCUAUUAGUAGAAUGAGGGGAAGUAAUAAGCUUUUAGUCUUAAUUGUAAAUUUCUUUUUUGUUUUGGCAAGUAGAUUGUAAUAUUUGUAUGGAUAUUGGCUAGUGAUUGGUGAAAUGUGGCAGGGCGUGAGCUAUCACUAUACUCAAAAUGUCGAGUGCCCUAUGUUGGUAGUGAAGAGACCCACAUCUAGCAGGAAUAACUAAAACUCGAAUCUGUAAAGUUUGUGCUUGGGAUCUUCCUUGGUUGGGUCCAAAUCCUAGGUUGCCUUUAAGCACUUUGUCAAGUUUCAUUGUAUAUACUCCCACAUUGUCUAGUGUCCUCAUUGUUUCUUACCUAGGCUUUCUGUACAUGCAUAUUCUUCGUCAAUUAUGACUUAUGAAUGGAUUGAUUUUUUGUUAAUAAAACUUUAUUAACACCCAAAUUUUGACGGAUCUACUUAAUCAUUCAUUAAUUACAUAAAAAAUUAUGGAUUAAUUUUUAACCUUUAGAAAAAAUAAUUUUCAUUAAAUUGCAUUGCAUAAAAACAUUAGGAGCAUUUGCAUUACUAGUAUUAAAGUUUAAAAAAAUUUAAGAAUUUUAAUAUUAUAACUUUUAUAAUUAUUUAUAUAUAUAUAAAUAUAUAUAUAUAUAUAUAUAUAUAUAUAUAAAUUUAAAAAAAGUAAGACCCGCCUUCUUUUUUUUACCCUCUUCUUCCUCUUUCCCGUAGCCCGCCCUCUCCCUCGCGCUCUCACGCGUAAAAAGGAAAAAAUAGAAGGCUCGUACGAGCAGAAGGACAAGAGAGCAGAGGGCAAAGCGUCUCACCGGAGUGGGUGGUCGGGUGCAGACCAGCGACGGCAGCUGGUGUCACGGGAGGCCAUGUGCGUCGGUGGCCAUUAAAAGGAAAGAGAGGUAGAGAGAGAGGGGGCAUUUUUACAGAGGAAGGAGACUGAGAGGGAGAGAGGCGCGUAGAGCGAGAGCCGAGAUAGAACGGGGAGCGAGAGUGAGCUGGGCCGACACCGCGGCCACGCACGAACUCCGUCCGAUGACCACGCCCGGUCGAUGUCUUCAAGCCGAACGGGUAAAUCUUUCUUUUUUCCCUCUUUUUUUCUGCCCUGUUUUGGGGCACGCCGGGCCGGAGCUCGCGACCGUCUGGCUCACGCGAACUCCGGCCCCGUCCAUCCCUCCUUCGGUUGUUGUGUGUUUCCUUGUCUGUUUGGCGAGAGUCCCGGUUUUGGUUCGGGUCCCUGGUCGAGUCGGAGACCUCACGAUUCGUGCGCGCCCUUCACCCAUUCGCCGAAAUGCUUCUUCAGUGAGAUCUAGUUUUCAUCCUCCCGUUUUUAGACAAAACCGAGCGUCCUGGAGUUGAUUCGUUCUGUUGAGGCGGGUGUUGUUGAGUUUGCCGUUCCGGGCGUCGGUCGUUUCGCCAUAUUCUCGCCACGGCCGUCAUUGUUUAUGUUUGCGCGUGGCCGAGGGCGCCACGGCCGGCGAUGUCAGGUUCCGGCCUAGGAGUGACGGCCUAGACGGAGGGGUUGUCUUCAGGGUGGCCGUGUUUUUUCUGCUUGGUCCGCGGCCGCUCACGGUGGUCGUCCGCGGAGGCUCCGCAGUUUCUUGCGGAUCGGCGUCCAAGCGGCCCCGUCAUGGUUGUCAUUGGAGCCUCACCGGCCAGACGAAAGCCAAGUGCUCGGCCCCGGGGCGGCUGAGGCGAAGCCUAGAGGCGUCCUUGGCCGGGCGAAGACGGGCGGCGUCGCUCAUCGCGGCCAUCUCCGUCGCGCUGAGACUGCCGCGAGCGUGGGGGAGGAGCUGCGGUUCGGGGGAUGGAAUGAGUACGAAGGAUGGACUCAAGGCUUGGGGUCUUGAUUUUGGUUUGGACUGAAUUGGGGAUUGGGCUUUAGGAUAAACUUAGGUCUUUUUAAGUGGGCUCGGUUUAGCUUUGGAAAGCUUGGGCUUGUUAAUUUAGCUCUUGGGUCGAGCUUGUUUUGUUAGAGUUGGACUUAGCUAAAUGCUGGAGGAAUUGGGCUUAAUUCUAUGAGGUGAGCCCAAUUCGUUUUUUAAUUAAUUAAAGCCUCCUAAUGUGUAAAGCCCAUUUCACGUCCUUGAGCCCAGCUUCGUAUGAACUGAUGCAGCCCAUUUUUGGGACUGCGCCCGAGUCCCUAUUGUCGGAUAAAAAUUUUAAAAUUUUAAAAAUAUAUUUUUUAAAAUAAAAAUUUCGAAUUUUUUUUUUCUGAAAACUAUGGAAAAGCUAAAAAUAAAAAAUAAAAAAUAUCUUUUAAGUAUUUUUUUCUUAAAAUGUGUAAAAAUCCUUAAUAAAAAAUUCGUGUUCAAAAUUGAACAAACUCUUAGGACUUCGCUAUAGGAUUUGGAUGUCCUUAAUGGCAAAUGGUAGGCUAUGAUUUGUGCACUUCCAUUUCCAUGAUCACUUGAUUGCACACUUUUAAAAUGUUGUUUGUUGUUUGCCUUUAGUCUAGUUAGGGGAUGACAAGAUAACAUGACAAUGAUCAAUGAAUGCCAAAAAAUGGUAAAAGUCUAGCAAAAUAAAGUUCAUGAUCGUGUCAAGUGAAGAAUCAUACCUAUGCAUCAUCGUUAGCAUCGGUAGAGUCAGCACUCUCACCCAUUUUAAUUUCAAAAUCAAAGUGACCUCCGGCAUCAUCAUCUUCAAAAAAAGAUGUGCACUUCCUUUUUCCCCUGUCAUAGAUUUGUACAGUUUAAACCAUCCAAAUAAAUAAGAUUAGGAAUUUUUAAAGAAUAGGUAUAGAAGGCUUACAUCUAAAUCUACUGGAUCAUUGGCUUACUAGAAAGGGCAUAAAUCGAAGUCGGAGAAAUAGGAACAAACCAAUGUGAAUAGAACAUCUCUCUCUCUCUCAAUCGAAAUUGCGCCUGUGAAUAGGUACAUUAUAAGUAUUGUCAAAAACCCUAAGCUAUCCAGGGGAAAAUAUGCAACCAUGCAAUACCCAGCAUCACAAGCAUAACCUCCAGAGAUACGAGUAUUGAUUUCCUGUCAACUCACCAAUUUAGUAACUGUUCACAUCCUUGUUUGUCAAUAUAUAUAUAUAUAUAUAUAUAUAUAUAUAUAUAUAUAGACAAUUCAGAUAGCAUUAAAUAAUGAAGCGAUUUGAUCUUAAAACUUCUAUGCUCCUUUCUAAUUACCAAAAAAUAUGAGUUAUAACAGAUCUAGGUUACCUCUUCAUCUCAUUUCUUCUCAGCCUUGUCAGACGCUGCCUUCUCAGCCUGCAAAGAAAAAAUAAAGCCCAUGAAUACUCUAUACUCUUACCAAAUUCAAAAGUAAAACUUACAAGGAGCAAAACCACUUGCAUCCUUGUUCUUGCCCCAUGUUUCUUCAGCAAGCUUCGUGGCAUACUCAGGAUCAUCACAGACCAAGGCAUUAUUGAAUAAGGUUCCAGAUCUGACUUGACAAAUCGAGCGUAGAGUAAACCGAAUUUUGAGCUCCCGGAACAUUGUUAUUAAAUAAAACUGGAUCGGUUACAGAAAAAUUACCUGCCACAGUUCAUUCCAACAUGCUUUAAGAUGGGGAAGCCAUAGAGCUCUGGGUCAUCUUUGAAGUCUAUAAAAAAUACAUAGGAUAGACUUCAAAGAACUUUCAAAUAACAGCAAACAAUAGCAGCGAACAAGAAAAGAAUAACAUUGAUGUACAUCUAAGCUUAAGAAAAGAACUAGUGAUUAAGACCCUGGGUUGUCCAUUAUUGGUGCCUUCCACUUUUCCCUGUAGUUGGGAUUCUUAAUUCUCUGCAAAUAAGCAUGAUCAAGAGAAUCCCUUAAAGCAGUCCAGAACGUAGACUCACAAGUUGCAUACCUUUGGCUUCCAUGGACCCUUUUAUUUAGGGUUGGCAAUGGUCGGGGUAGUCCACUCACCAUCCACCUCAUUGGCCCAGUCUUUGGGCUUAAAUCAUAAUCUUGAUUAGUAACUAAAUAUUGUACAUCAACCUCAUGAAAGCAUGGUUGAUAAUCAGCUUCAAAUCGAAAUCAUCGUUUAGCAGGUUUACCAUCUUGGCAGUGGGAUUUGGUGUCUUUUUUGGGAUGUCAUCAAUCAUAGCCCUGUCAUCACAUCUACAAUAUCCUUUUAAAAGAUUUACAGGAAUACUGCAUUUAAGAAAUCCAACAAAUAGAAGACAAAAUGAUCAUAUAAUCUUCUGGCGUGCGAAACCUAUAUGGGGUGUCGCCACCAAACUCUUUCUGAUCAACCUCCCUACUGAGUAGCUUUAUGUGCCCCNNNNNNNNNNNNNNNNNNNNNNNNNNNNNNNNNNNNNNNNNNNNNNNNNNNNNNNNNNNNNNNNNNNNNNNNNNNNNNNNNNNNNNNNNNNNNNNNNNNNAGAGUCAUGUUUUUGCGCAUGUAUUACAGAGAAUUGGGAAACUAGUCUUUGUCCUUGUUACAGAAUUUAGGGCACUGAGCUGAUAUAGCAUAGAAUGUAUAGUCUUCACUUUUUUGGAUACCUGCAAAUGCAAGGAGGGAUUACUGCUACAGAAUUUGCCAUUAGUCACUCCAAUUUAAGGAAACUUUCCAUCUUCAAUAGGUAAUUGACUCAACUUACCAUGUUGAAUUUGCAAGAUGAAAAAUUCUUAGGUUAAAUCUAAUCUUCCCUUGGGAAGCUCGUCCAAAUCUCCUCUUUGGAUCUUAGCUUUAAUCAACUCUUUGGGAAAAACUACUUCCUUGACCAAAUUCACCAACCUCAUUUACAAUCGGUCAAAUUCCAGCUGAGAUCACUAGCCUCACCUGUCAACUUAUCUAAACCUAUCCUUUAAAAAAUCAGCUGAUCCAACUCCUGAAAACAUUUCUAACCUCAGAAUCUUACUAUCCUAGACUUGCAAUCAAACAACCUAAAUGGCACUUUGUUGCUAAACCUGGUGCUCAGAUUAAAACACUUAAUGGUGUUGGUACUCCCAUUUGAUGAAUUCUCAUCAAUUAUUGAAUCCAAAAUGAAUGCUAGCCUUUCAAACUUGUUUGCUCUCUACUUGGCUUCAAGCAACUUAAGUGAGUUCCGCAUCUUCCUAUUGGACCAAAGUAGGUUGCAAAGGUUGGACCAAUCCCAAAAUAGCAUUUAUGGGCUGCCAUCUCGGUGGUUCUUAAUUGUAAGUAUAGCAAAAUUGGAGUUUUUGAAUCUUUCCAGAAAUUUUGUACAAGUUUCACAGCUUUUAAAUGCCCAAAUCUUAUGACAUUAGACCUUAGUUACAACAAUGUACAAAGCUUACAAUUCCCCCGAAGGCCAAUAAAUUUUAUUGUCUUCAAUAACAAACUAUCCGGAGAAACAUCACCGGCUAUAUUCUAGCUAAGCUCCACUUUAAGUCCAAGAACAAGUUGACCGGCGUUAUCCUGCCAUACUGAGCAAUUUGAGCGAGGCCCUUCUCACCUUGAGUUUGCAUGGCAAUGAUUUUUAAGGAAGAUUUCCUCCAUUACAGACUAAUGAAAGUGCAAUGGGAAUGACAGAUUUGGGUGCUAACCAACUACAAGGGAACUACCAAGGGCAUUAGCCAAUUGUAACAGUCUAGAUUUUCUCAAUUUGGGAAAUAAUCAGAUGGUUGACACCUUCUCUUCAUGAAUAGGCUUGCUUUCUUGUUUGAAGGUGCUCAUUAUGCGUACCAAUAUAUAUUUCUGUAGCCAUGAGGGACUUCAAUGCUCGUUCUCAGUUUCCUAACGUACAAAUUGUCGAUCUAUCCAUGAACAACUUCUUGACUGGCCUCCCAUCUGAAUACUUGAUUGCUGGAGUGACACGAAAGUCAACAAUUCAGAUGAUGCAACUACUAGAGGAACUACGUGCCCCCAUACCUCCCAUUUCCUGAGUUUGAGGGAAUUAUGACUACUCAAUGAUGAUAAUCAACAAAGGCAUUAUAAUAACAAAAGGUUAUUAUCUUUGGAAAUUGUUGGAAAAUAUGGUAACGAUUAGAGUCACAAAGCCCACAGUCUUGACUGUAUAUAGUCAAGGCUCCUCUAUCGCCAACGUGGGACAUUUUUGUCCACGUAACAUUCCCCCAAGUUCCUGUAGACUUGGAUCUAAGACCGCUUCAAGACUUCAUUUUCCAGAGAAUAUUUCUGGGUGAGAGGGGAUGAAUUUUUCUUUUCUAAAUUGAGCAGUUUUGCUUUCAUCUGCAAAAAAUCGAAAUGGAAACAAUUAAUCUUUAUCAUUGAAAAUUAUGCAAGACGUGCAAAUUUUCUGUUUGAUAAAUGAAAAGUGUUUAUUUGAUUGUGAGAGUGGGUUCCAAGGGAAGAAAUAGGAAGAGAACCAAAAUAGCAUUCUUGGCCAGAAAGUAAGGAAUUUGUAAAGAAAAGAGUGUAUCAGCAAUCUAGGAUGUUACGCAUGACGUACCACUUACCUAAAAUUGUCAAUGGUGUUAAGCAUGUUUUUAGUUCCUAAAUCUGUCAUGGAUAACAGCGCUGAGAAGUGGAAUUCUUCUCUUGUAGGGCAAGGUCUUGGCAAGAAAGAUUAUUGGAUUUAUUUCCUCUACGGUGAAUAUGUUGUGGGGAUAGGAGGAGAUUGAAAAUAGAAUGUUCCUUAUGAGCUUUCCCUCUUCCAGAACAUUGCCCGCUAUCCUCUUGUGCUAAGGAAAUGGAAGCCUGAACUGCAAAGUUAGGAGGUCUCCGAUGUGAAAACAGUUGUUGGGUUAAGCUACAGAGCGUUCCUAUGUAUCUUCUGACAUGGGAGGGUGGUCUUGAGGGUUUCUUCAAGGGUGAGAAAGGACUAAGGCAGGUUGAUCCUUUAUUGCAUGUUUUUUUAUGGUGAUGGAGGUUUUCCCAAAACUGUUCAAUAAUGCUGCAAGUCAUGGCAAAUCAAAAUACCAUUCUCAGCGCUCUAAGAUGAAACUUGCCGAAAAGGGGAUAUGAAUUCUUUGAACGAAGUAGUGGCCUUGUUUCAGAGACUUAAGCACACGUCAGGUCUUAGUCUUAAUCCCCUAAAGACCGGGAAAUAAAUCUAGCUGGUAUUAAGCGGCAGCUAGUGGAUGACAUACAUCUCUUGGUGACUUUAAAAAGGGCCAAGUGCCAGUUAGAUACCUUGGCCUUCCUCUGAUUUUAGGAAGGUUAAGUGAUCCAGUGUAAGCCUUUGGUGGAUAAGAUUACUUUUUGAAUGAGUUCUUGGACAAUUAGGCAUCCGAAAGAUUGCAACUCAUUAAGGAAGUGACAGCUUGGUGAAUCUUUGGAGUCAAUUUUUUUUUUUGCCAAAAAUGUUAUCAAUAUGAUGGAAAGCAAGUGUAUUGCCUCCCUUUGGAAGGGAAAAUCUGAAAGCGCUCGAGGUUCAAAAGUUUCUUGGAUGAUGCAUGUCUCCCCAAGUUUAAGGGUGGUUUAGGAUUUGAGGAAACUGGGGCCUUGCAACUUUGCUUGUCGAUUGAAGAACUUACGGAGAUUUUGUUGCUGGCUGGAUCCUAUGGGCCCUUGAACAUUGCCCACUGUCCAUUUGGGUGACAUGACAAAAUUUCUUCAGCAUAAAUUAAUUUCUCAAUUUCUAUUCCCUAAAUAAAUUUUUGAGUAAAGAAACGGGUUUAUCAACGAUUCAAAAUUUUUGUUUUUAGAAUAGAAAUUCAUUUGAUAACAAAAUAAAAUUUCUAUUUCUAGGAGAGGCAACGGCGGGCAUCCGUGGUCCGAUGAUGGGCGUCCAACGAUGGGUGGCUGACGUUCGGCAUCAGGCGGCGGGCGACCGGCGGCCGGCAAUGGGUGAGCAGCGAGUAGUAAUAGGAGUGAAUGAUAAAAAGAGUGUUCAUUUCUUACUUUUGUUCCAAAAAUAGAAAAAAAAAUAGAAAAAAAUAGAAAAGCUAAUAAUUUUAGGACGCAUUUGGUAACGAUUCUGUUCCUGGGAACAAAUUCUGAUUUGAAAUGAUUUUUUUUUUAUUUUAUUCCUGAAAACUGAUUCUGAGUAAAAGAAAAUGCGUUUGGUAACUAUACAAAAUUUCUGAUUCUAGAGUAGAAUUGCAUUUGGUACCGUGCUAAUUGAUUCUAUUCCAAAUCAUUUUUUUUAUUUUUUAUUUUUUAUUUUUUUUUAUUUUUUUCUUUUCUCUUUUUUCCUUUUUUUUUCUUUUCUUUCUUUUCUUUUUUUCCUUUUUUUUUCUUUUCUUUUUUUUAAAUUUUUUUUCGCCUAUUCUUCUUCUUCUUCAAGCCGGUCGCCAGACCGGCGACCGACUAGAUGAGGGCUAGCGACCUCAUUAGAGUGUUGCCAGCCCUCAACAAGGCCGGCCCUCGUCGGCCGAGCCUCGCCGAUAGCUGAGUGAGGCUCGACUCGCCAGAUCCAGCAAGGCCGAGCCUUGCCGAUGGCCAGGCCGGCCUCGCCGGGGCUGUGCGAGGUCGACCUAGCCACCGACGGGGCUGGACAAGCCUCGCCGGUGGCCAGGCGAGCCUCGUCAAGGCUAGGCGAGGCCUGCCUAGCCACCGACAGGGCUGGGUGUCGUGAGGCUCACCCACCUACCGGCUAGGCACGGCCUCACCGGUGGCCAAGUCGGCGACUUGUGCAAGCUCACUGAUGGUUGGGUGAGACUUUGGCGAGCUCGCCAGACCUCGCCGGUGGCUGGGCGCGCUCGCUGGACCUCAUCGAUGGCUGGGCGCACUCGCCGGACCAGUUGCCGGUGAUUGGCGGUAGCGACCGGCGACAGCAGGCGACGGUGGGCGGCGGUCGCAAGAUGGCGGUCGAUGAAGAAGAAGAAGAUUUUUGAUUUUCAAUUUGUUCCUGGAACAAGAAUCAACUUUUUUUUUUUUUAUUCUUGAUUCUCCUCCAAAUCUGUUCCUAGGAACAAAAAUUUUACCAAAUGCAAUUCUGUUCCAAAACUACUCCCAGGAACAAAAAAUCAGAAUCUAGCACUGUUGGGAUGGUUACCAAACAGGCUCUUAACUUCUGAUUUUGCUCCAAAUCUAUUUAUAGAAUAGAAAUUUGUUUAAAAAAAAUGAUAUUGCGUUACUAAAUGAAUUUUUGUUCAAACAUGUUAUGAGGAUCACAAAAAUAAAAAUAAACAUAAACAUAAAUUUUGUCAUGGACAUCUUUAAAGGGCAAUCUAACUGGGCAAUAAGUCCAACUAGCGAGAGCAGCUAUGCUUGUAAAAUAGUAUAUAAUGUAUAGUUUCUUUUAAAAUUAAUUUUAAAAUUCGACGGAAAACCCAGUAAUUAAUUAAUUAAUUGUAAUUUGCACUGCAAAGCAUAGCUUGAGUGGUCACUUUUCUUCAUGUCCCAUAUAAAACUCGACCUCUCUUACGACUUGGUGUUGAGAAGACUUUUUUAGAUAUGCUAAUUGUCAUGUCUUGCACAUAAUGGAUGACGACUGGAAAAAUGGGAAGUCAAGAUUUUCAAAUUAUGAUAGGGGUAAUCUAUUCUUAACUUUUCAUCACCAAUAUAAAAAGAUUACUAGAAGCUCGCUAGACUAGAUCUUUGCUAGAAAUGCAUAUCCUCUUAGAUUGCGAAUGAAAAUUAUUUUAUUUCUUUUUAUUUCUUUUUUUUUUCUGUUAUUUAGAAUAGGUUUGGAAUAGAAAUUCGUUUGAUAAUGCAAUUUCAUUUUUCUAUUUUCAAAACAAAUUUUUAGCUAAGAAAUAGAUUUUGAAUAAAAAUGAGAAAAGUAGAAAUUUUCUACUUUUCUAUUUUUGGAACAGAAAUAGAAAUAAAAACUCUUUUCAUUACUUGUCAUUACCAUCCUCUGCUAGCAAAUGGUCGUCGCCCUCCACCCAUUGCCCACCCGCCACCCGCCAGCCACCAAUCACCACCCUUCACCAACCACUCCAACCACUGCUAAGAAAUUUUAAGGCUAUCAAACGAAUUUCUAUUUUAGGAAUAUAAAUUCUGUCACAUUAUCAAACGUAUAUCUUUGUUCAAAAACUCACCUAAGAUAUAGAAAAAGAAAAAAAAAAUAUUUUUGAUAAGAUAUUAUUCUUAAGAACGGAAUGAUUAUUGUUUACGCCUUUAUUAAACUUGAAUUUAACCGUGAACAAGUCAUAACACAGUCAAAUCCAAAUGGGUUUCAUAGGUAGAAAGACAAAAAAGUUGAAAGGUUAACGUCCCCAAGACAUGUCGGUGGGCGCUUAGGCAAAAUUUUGAAAAACAAAACCGAGGCAAUUUUCGCUGAGCAAACCACAAAUGCAGUUGAUUACUUCGUCUCAAUUGCUCUCAGCUCACUUGUGACAUGGCCUUUGGACGAUGACCACAUAUGUCUCACGUAAGGGUGAGCAUCGAUCUAAGGUCAACCCUGGACCAACCUUGGAUCGGCCCAACUCUACCGGUCCUAGUCCAGUUCCUAGGAAGAUCAAGUCGAUCAUUGGUCCUGGGAUUCCUAGACCAAUACUGUACGGGUUGAUCCUCGAUUCUGAAAGUUUAGAUAUAUAUAUCUAAUAUAUUAUUUAUAAUUUUUUAUAUAGAGAAAAUCCUAAAAUAAACGGCGCCAACAGCAUUAAAUAGCUCCUUAGUAUGGAGUUGAAUAAUUUUACACUAUUUUUUAAUAACUUAGAUCUUUUAAUGUCUUUUACGGCGUCAAAAGUCAUAAUUUACAAAGAAGAAAUAUGUUUUUAUGAGGAGUCCUCAGGGUGUUCAAAAGAGCAUAAAUAACUCCUCACGGCAUCCUCAUCUAAUACUCGUUUUCUUCUAUCCUAUUUGUUAUCUUAGUCUUUAAUUUGCCAAAAUCAAAAGAAAUAACUUUUAUGCUCGCCACUUAACACUAGCCUCUCACUUGCUUUGGGUCACUCCUGCCGCUCGCCGCUCAAUGCUUGCCUAGCUUGUUGCUCCCUGCUCGAUGCUCGAUGCUCACCCCACUCGAUACUCGUCACUCGCCUCUCUUAGCUAACCUCGCUUGUCAUUGAACCUAUAAGGUCAGUCCAGUUCUCACUCACUUUUUCAAGGAAUACAAAAAUGAAACAAAAAAUUAUUAAUUGAUCCUGAGUUGAUUAUAGAAUUGGACCAAACCCAUUAGGUCGAUCUGGUCCUUGAUUGCCUUUUUAGAUAGUACAAAAAAUGAAAUAAAUAAAUUAUCGGUUGAUCCCGAGUUAAUCUUGGAACUGGACCGAACCCACUGGGUUGGUUUGAUUCUUGGUCCCAAGCUCAAUAGGAUCGGUCCUCGGUCCUCGAUUCAAAAAAUUGAUAACCAGUACUAUGUGGGUUGGUCCUAGAGUAAGGGGGUGGGCCAACCCAAUCCAAACCAUGCUCACCCCUCUUCACGUUCCACGUUCCGACCCAUGGACAGUGCCCUUUUUAUUAUUUUCCUUUGUUUUCUUGCUUUUUUUUCUUUUUCUUUUUUUUUUACUUCCUUUUUGACAAAUCCUUUAUAGAGGAUCAAAAUCCAAUUUGUCAUCAGCGUAAUCUAGAGGAGAGUUUCCCAUGUCAAAAGGUGGAAACCACAUUUUCUUGAAAACGUCGUCCGCCCUUCUUCUCCCUUCCCAUCACCAUCUUCAUCGUACACCACUGAAAAUUAGUCCACGAAAUGCAUAAGAAAUAGCAUCGCGAAGAUUUCGUAGAGGUAAAAUCGACAUUAGAAUCAGAAAAAGGAGCCAAAUGCUAAUGUUCCCACAAAUAUGAGAGCUCGCCAUUAGGGAUGGGCAUUGGGGCGAGUCCAAUCCCUAGCCGGCUAACUAGGAACCUGGGCCAUCCCUGUCCUGUUCCCCACGCGGGGCAGGGUGGUCGCCGGCAGUUCUUUGAAAGGGCGGCAGAGAGUAAGAUGGAGAGAGAGAGAGAGUGUAUUAACACAAUACCAACAAUUUUGCUUUAAUUCCCACUAGUAUCCGUGUAUUAAAUCAGAGCGGGAGGUACACUCAAGUCAACGCUCAGCGAGCCAAACCGACAUUGUCCUUAACAUUGUUCGUAGCGAGCCAAAUCGACGAGAACUGACGCUCAGAGCUUAAUGGAUAAUUAGGAUACGUUUGGUAACGUUUUUUGUUUAAAAAUUGUUCCAAUGAACAAAAAUAGAAAAAACCAUUUCUCUUCCGGGGAAUAAUUUUUUAACAAAAGAACGUGUUUGAUAAAUUUGUUCCUGGAAUAGAAAAAGAACAUGAACACGUUUGGUAAACUUGUAUGAUUUUUUUGUUUCCUUUAAUUUUUUAAUAUUUUUAUUUUAUUUUUAUUUUUUUCUUUUCCUUUUUUUCUUUUUUUUUUCCCUUCCUUUUGGUCGGUCGCCGGCCUCAACCAUGGCCGACGACUGGCCGACAAGGGCCGGUGGCCUUGCCCAGCCAUGGCGAGGAUCGCCAGCCCUCGGCGAGGCCGAGCCUUGCUAUGGCUAGGCGAGGCUCGGCCUCACCUUGACUGGGCGAGCUCGAGCUUGCCCAGAUUCAGGGAGGCCGAGCUCACCCAGCCACUAGCGAGGCUCAGCCUCGCUCGGCCAUUGCCAGGUGAUGCCUACCUGGCUGUGGCCCGGCGACGUUGGGUGAGCUCGCCUAGAUUCGGUGAGGCCGAGCCUCACCAGCCGCGCGAGGUCGGCCUCGCCUUGGCUAGGCAAGCUCGAGCUCGCCCAGAUUCGGUGAGGCCAAGCUUCGCCAGUGGUUAGGCGAGCUUGAGGUCGCCGGCCCUCACUAGCUCUUGACAGGCGGUCGCCAACCAUGGUCGAUGGCGGCGACCGGUCCACUGAAUAAGAAGAGGAAGAGAAAGAGGNNNNNNNNNNNNNNNNNNNNNNNNNNNNNNNNNNNNNNNNNNNNNNNNNNNNNNNNNNNNNNNNNNNNNNNNNNNNNNNNNNNNNNNNNNNNNNNNNNNNNNNNNNNNNNNNNNNNNNNNNNNNNNNNNNNNNNNNNNNNNNNNNNNNNNNNNNNNNNNNNNNNNNNNNNNNNNNNNNNNNNNNNNNNNNNNNNNNNNNNNNNNNNNNNNNNNNNNNNNNNNNNNNNNNNNNNNNNNNNNNNNNNNNNNNNNNNNNNNNNNNNNNNNNNNNNNNNNNNNNNNNNNNNNNNNNNNNNNNNNNNNNNNNNNNNNNNNNNNNNNNNNNNNNNNNNNNNNNNNNNNNNNNNNNNNNNNNNNNNNNNNNNNNNNNNNNNNNNNNNNNNNNNNNNNNNNNNNNNNNNNNNNNNNNNNNNNNNNNNNNNNNNNNNNNNNNNNNNNNNNNNNNNNNNNNNNNNNNNNNNNNNNNNNNNNNNNNNNNNNNNNNNNNNNNNNNNNNNNNNNNNNNNNNNNNNNNNNNNNNNNNNNNNNNNNNNNNNNNNNNNNNNNNNNNNNNNNNNNNNNNNNNNNNNNNNNNNNNNNNNNNNNNNNNNNNNNNNNNNNNNNNNNNNNNNNNNNNNNNNNNNNNNNNNNNNNNNNNNNNNNNNNNNNNNNNNNNNNNNNNNNNNNNNNNNNNNNNNNNNNNNNNNNNNNNNNNNNNNNNNNNNNNNNNNNNNNNNNNNNNNNNNNNNNNNNNNNNNNNNNNNNNNNNNNNNNNNNNNNNNNNNNNNNNNNNNNNNNNNNNNNNNNNNNNNNNNNNNNNNNNNNNNNNNNNNNNNNNNNNNNNNNNNNNNNNNNNNNNNNNNNNNNNNNNNNNNNNNNNNNNNNNNNNNNNNNNNNNNNNNNNNNNNNNNNNNNNNNNNNNNNNNNNNNNNNNNNNNNNNNNNNNNNNNNNNNNNNNNNNNNNNNNNNNNNNNNNNNNNNNNNNNNNNNNNNNNNNNNNNNNNNNNNNNNNNNNNNNNNNNNNNNNNNNNNNNNNNNNNNNNNNNNNNNNNNNNNNNNNNNNNNNNNNNNNNNNNNNNNNNNNNNNNNNNNNNNNNNNNNNNNNNNNNNNNNNNNNNNNNNNNNNNNNNNNNNNNNNNNNNNNNNNNNNNNNNNNNNNNNNNNNNNNNNNNNNNNNNNNNNNNNNNNNNNNNNNNNNNNNNNNNNNNNNNNNNNNNNNNNNNNNNNNNNNNNNNNNNNNNNNNNNNNNNNNNNNNNNNNNNNNNNNNNNNNNNNNNNNNNNNNNNNNNNNNNNNNNNNNNNNNNNNNNNNNNNNNNNNNNNNNNNNNNNNNNNNNNNNNNNNNNNNNNNNNNNNNNNNNNNNNNNNNNNNNNNNNNNNNNNNNNNNNNNNNNNNNNNNNNNNNNNNNNNNNNNNNNNNNNNNNNNNNNNNNNNNNNNNNNNNNNNNNNNNNNNNNNNNNNNNNNNNNNNNNNNNNNNNNNNNNNNNNNNNNNNNNNNNNNNNNNNNNNNNNNNNNNNNNNNNNNNNNNNNNNNNNNNNNNNNNNNNNNNNNNNNNNNNNNNNNNNNNNNNNNNNNNNNNNNNNNNNNNNNNNNNNNNNNNNNNNNNNNNNNNNNNNNNNNNNNNNNNNNNNNNNNNNNNNNNNNNNNNNNNNNNNNNNNNNNNNNNNNNNNNNNNNNNNNNNNNNNNNNNNNNNNNNNNNNNNNNAAAAAAGAGAUAUAAAGAUAAAAAAAAGAAAAUAUAGAAAAAAAUAAGAAAGAAAAAAAAUAGAACGUGAUUAAGGAAAUAUGAAGAUAGAGGAACAUUGGUAAUAAAAACAAGCAGAUAGACAACCAAGUCGGAGGCAGACAGCCGACCAAAGAAAAAGAAAGAAGAAAAGAAAGAGAAGAAAAAAAAUAGGAGAGAGAAAAUUUGUUUAUCAGAAGUGUUCCAAGAACAAGAAACAAAGUUUUUUUAGUUUCUAGUUUUUGUUCCAAAAUUUGUUCCCGGGAGCAAAAAAUAGAUUUGGAACAAAAACGCAAACAAACACGUUUCUAUUCAUUUUUUAACUAGAGGGCCGUUUGAGGAACUAAAGAAUCGACCAAUCAGGAUGAGUUCGAAGAGAAUAGCCUGGUUGUCUUCGACGAACUCAAGCGAUGCAGGCUUGAGGUCGUCCUCAAUGGUGCUAUAGUCGGACUUGGUGGACUCGACGGGCUUCUUGCAAUACUUGAUUGACAUUGAAGUACGAUUGCAAUCAGGGUUUUGCGAUCGCAAUCUGAGGAACCACUGUCACCACCAGGAAUGCACACCAAUAGGAGAGACAAGGACACAUUGUGGUCGACAAGGAAGAUCACCCUUGGGAGCUUCAGCAGUGAUCCAUUCGAGGUCAACGAGGCUGUGGCCGAUGAGUCACAGACGAUCAAGCACAUAUGCUCCCCCUCUUUAUUCACAAUUGUGGCUGAUGUUUUAUCCCAUAGUCUCUCCAAUGUUCUAUAAGAGGGAUGCCUUUAGGGAAUUAAGCUAAAAAGGAGGAUCCUAAACCCCCCUUCUCCUCACAUAUGACUCCCUAUUCUUUCUUGUUGCUAACCCAGUUUGAACUGCAGACGUUCAAAAAAGAUUCUUGACCAUAUGGUACUGCUCAAGCCAGAGGGUCGUGUUGCAAAAAUCCUGUAUAUGCUUCAGUCCUAACACUGGGGCAAAGUUGAGAACAAAGGUAAGCACAGUCCAGGGAAUCAAUGCUACUCAAGACCCUGGUAACCAUUUGGGUCUACCUAUUCUAUGGGGUAGCUCUAAACAUAAAGCUCUUGACAUUGUUAAGGAUAGUCUUUGAAAAGAAUGCCAAGCUGGAAAACUAAAUUAUUGUCACAAGCUGGUUGGGAGAUUGAGGUAAAACCAGUGGCUUAUGCAGUACCAACUUAUUUUGUUGUCGUGUUUCAAGUUUCCAAAGAUGUGGCAUGAGGACGUUUAUGCAGCUAUAGCCGAUUAUUGGAGGGGUCCGCAGAAUAAUGAAGGGAAAGUGCAUUGGAAGAGUAGGGAAAGCUUAACUGAAGCAAAGUUAGAAUGAGGCUUGGGUUUUAGUAGUUUAUCACAGUUCAACAUAACCCUCCUUGCUGAGCUUGCUUGGAGAAUCCAAAGCAACCCCUCAGAAUUCUGGGUGCAAAUAUUUCAAGGGCUCUACUUUCCCCUUUGUAGCUUCGUGGAAGUUAGAAGAGGUGGCAGAACGUCUUAGGGACGAAGUAGAGUUUUGGAGGGAGAGGUCUAAUUAAGGAAGGUGGGUUAUGAUAAAUUGCUGAUGGGAAGUCGGUCAAAGUUUGGGAGGAUAGGUUGGUGAAGGAGAGUUGAGACCUGAUGUUGCAUCCUCUAAUCUGACCCAGGUGAAAAAGUAAUUAAGACUGGAGUCUCUAAUUGGUGCAGAUACUAGGAUUUGGAACUUGACUCUCCUUAAGGACAGCAUACGGUAGGAGGAGCAAUGAUCGGUGUUGAGAAAUCACAUAAGGUGGAGAAGUUCUGAUGACCAACGAUUUGGCCCCGGAACGGGAGUGGUGGCUCUAUAGUAAAGUCUCUACCACUUUACCAUGCAAAAUAGAAAGAAACAUCUAAGCCUAGACCCUCAAGCUCUCCUACUAUUGAUGGUAUAGUUUGGAAAUUAGUAACAGGCAUUGACUCUCCUCCCAUGAUAGGAGACUUCCAUUGGCAACUUUGCUCGAAUGUUAUGCCUGCUGCUGCUAAUCUGUGCAAACAAAAAGAAUAAAGUUUCUCCUGCUUGUAUGUUCUGUUUUGAGAUUAUAUCUAUAGAGCAUUUAAUACUCAAUUGCUUUAAUUUGAAAAUCCAAAAAACGAAGUGAUUCAUAUAGGUAUUUUUAAAUGAAAAGUCAACGCAACUCAUUUCAAAUACAAAAUGGUGUUUCUAUACAAAGUUGUCUCCAAGUAAAAUUUAGAAGAAGAGAAAUAUUUCUCAAAGAAGAGUGGAUGGUAAGCGAGAUGGAAACUUUCCUGAUUUUCACCUUGAAGAGUGAUAAUCCGAUCAUUGACACCUCUCCUUUAUGGAUUGGCUUGUUUUCUAAUUUGAAGGUGCUCAUUUUCAAUGCCAGUAGAUUUCAUGGAGCCAUGAAAGAGCCCGAAGCUCAUUGCCAAUUUCCUACAUAUCUUCAGUAGGUCAUAUAGUAACUCUCAAUAUUCAUAGCAAUUUCUCUAGACUUUUCUAUACAAGUCAACUUACCUUUAUCAACUUAGUGGUGAGAAUACACAAGAUUUUAUGUCUUGGACAUAUUGCAUCCGUUGUGAGUGUUAGAUAGGCUAUGGUAUUAUUGAAUUGAUUUGUGCCAUUUGAUACACAAGUUUUCACUUGAGGUCUUCUCAUUCAUUUAAGAAAAUAUGACAUCAAAUUCGAUAAAUUUUGACCCCUCAAACAAAAAAAUUGAUCUUGCACGGUAUUGCUUUUGCAAUUCUUCACAUUUAAAUAUUAAAGACAUUUAAAUUUUGGGUAUAAAGUAUUCGCAUCAAACAAAGCAUAGAUCAACAUUUCUUUAAGAUUGGCUUGAUGGAUAGUCUAAUAUGCGAAAUAUGAGUCCCAACUCCCUUGAGGUUCCAAAAUCAAGCCUGCGCGAGCCUAGCCCUAAGCUAAUCAAACUCGGCCUAAAUGGAAAGGCAACGCGGUCAUUCAAGGACAACAAGGGAAAUUCAAAUCGGCCAACACCCAUCGUCGAGGGAGGGGCAUGUAAAGGUCACUAGUUUGGGAACUUUAUAAGAGUAGCUGUUGUCAAGAGCCACCCUCUUCAAAGGAAACUCAUUUUGUGAGGAAUACUCGCACAUUUGAUGGACAAGGAUCAAUUGGCAGCUGAUUGUUGUUUCCAAAAUACUUGACCAGAAUUCCCUGAACAAUUUAGUAACUGCGUGAUACUGUUUAUCCUGACAUUUCUUCAUAAUAUUCAACCACCAAAUCCAAGUACCUAACAAUACUGCGGAAGAGGAAGACCAAGUUUUCUCAUUUUCACACCUACAACAACCAAAGAUAGUUACAAUUAAUUUUUCUUGCACCAGAUCAAAAUGCAAGCUUCGAAUUCCCCUCUUUUAAAUUUAGAUUGCCAAUGUUAAUUAUAUUCCAAGCGACAAACCUUCCACGUAUUGGGAUUACAUGUAUCGCACAUUCGCAUGUUCACAUUCAUGGAUAAUGACCGGUAUCUACUCAUUCAUUUCAAUUUAAAGCAAAAAAAAAAAAAACUAUAACUACAAAACAAUAGCAUAACCGCAUAUUUUACUAGAUCAACAAUAAUUAUUUAGAGUCAAUAAACAAAUCGAAUAGUUUGAUGUAUAUCGAAUAUUUACAUGGUGUUGUCAACAUUUAGAUUUCUUUAAACACCUUUAAGAAGCUAUACAAACCCAUACUGAGUCUCACUGUAAAACACAAGUUAUAGUAUAAUAAUUACAUUGAGAUUGAUUUUCUCUAUCACAUAAAUGGAUUUUAUACAAUAUUAAUCCAAAAAUUCGCAAUGCAGCGAAGCAAAGCAAAGAUGAUGGAAGACCGACUUGCUUUCCCUCGCCAGUCUUUUCCUUUUGACUUUUUCAUUUGAGUAGCUUUUGUCGGUCUUUGCCUUGUCUCUGUCUUUGGUUGGGAGAAAAGAAUGGGAAAAUGCAAGGAAGCAAGCAAAGGUGAUAGAAGACUUUGACUUGCUUUCCCUCACCUCACGCCGGGAAGUAGAUUGCCUAACAACCAUGACUUGAGAGGUGCGUGCGUCCCAAGUAAUUAAUUUAAAUAUGAGUAUUCAUCGCCUCCUCUCCUGACCUAUGCGAUAAGUAACUUUGAAUUAGAAAAGGUAAUUUUCUGCCUGUCUAUGGUUAGUAAAUCUCAAUGUUGAUAGUCAUAGUUCAUUCAACAAAGUAAGUUUAUAUACCAACUUUUAACAUAGAAAAAGGUAACACAAUUUCAUAUGGUUAGUAACUCAUUAAUCUGACUUGUAAUAUAUAUACAUAAUUAGUUUUUCUUAUAUACAUUGAUGUAACUUUCCCCACAUCUGUGUGUCAGUAACUUUUCACAAGAUUGCAGUGAAAUUUUUGGAGAUGCAAGUGACAUCCAGGCUAGAGUUGAUGACUUUGCACUAAAUUUUGUUUUAAUCCAUUCGUGAUAAAAGCAUCAAUAAUACUAAGAUCAUUAAUUUACUACUCUCCAUCCAAUCAUUUUAGUAUAUCUACAUCCAAGCAAACGGAAAUCUAUUUUCCACCUUUUAAAUGGAAACAAGUAAAGUUAUUAUCGAGAUUUAUAUUUACUGAAAUCGCUGGUCCUUGAACUUUUAUUUGAAUGUGUCCAUGUCAUAUCUAAUCAAACAAUCGAUUCAAUUACAUCCUAAAAUAUUUGUCUAAUGUGCGCCUUGAUCUUAUCUCUUAAUUGAUUCUUUUCCUGACCUUUUUAAAAAUAUUCAAUAUCGUCUCAUUUUAGUAAUUAGAAGGACAAAUCCGUACAAUGUCCCCUUCUAGUCUUUUGCUCGUCAAGAACAAAUGGUUUGUUCUUUACUUUCUACAAGCUUUAGCUACUAAUGUUGAGCCGGUUCCUAACACUUCCAACAUGUGAGAAAUGGUAGUUAGACAUUAUUUAGUAGGAUACAUUUUCAGUUCCGAGGAUGAAGUUUUGGAAAGCUACCGAGAGGAACAAUAUAUUAGCCCAUACACUUCUAUGCUUUCAUCCGACUUAUCUUCUGUAUAAAAAAGCAAUAAAGUAAUUAUACAAAAAUAGUAUAAUUAGUAACUCAUUUUAUAUAUAAAAAAAAAAAUGCAUCUACCUAUUGGUAACUAGUAAUUUUUCUAUGCAAUAAAUAAUUAUGGAAUAAAAAAAAAGUAAUUUUCUGCCGAUUGUUAGUAAGUCGUACUGUUCAAAGUAAUUUCUCUAGACUUUCCUAUACACAUCAACUUAUGUUCAUUAUCUUAUUGGACUACAUAAGAUUUUCUAUAGUGGACACUUUACAUUUGGUGUGAGUGUUAUGCCACUGUUAAACUAGAUUGUACCAAUAUUUUUUUUUUUGGUCAGAAGAUUGUACCAAUUGACACCUAAAUUUUUGUUAGAAGACUUCCAUUCUUUUAAUAAGAAAAUUGGAGAUUGAAUUCGACAGAGUUUGACCCCUAAACAAAAAUGUUGAUCUUGCCUGGUCAUGCAUUCAUAAUUCUCACUUCGUUCUUCGCAUUUAGAUAUCAGGGACAUUUAAAUUUUGGGCAUGAAGUAUUCACAUCGAGCAAAGCAUGAUUCAAUCUGUGAGUUUUCUUGGGAGUGGCCCAAUAGAUGGCUCCAUAUGCAAAAGUAAUUACUGAACUCACUCGAGGUGCCAAAAUUAAGUCCGCUUGAGUCCAGUAACUCCAGCCCCUAAGCUGUAAUCGAACUUGGCUGAAUGGAGGGAAAGGAAGCGCGGCCAUUCAAGGGCAGCUAGUGAAAUUACAAUUGGCCAAUACAAUUUUCGAGGCCAAUUCCAGUCUGAACAUAUAAGAUGGAAGGUCUUGUUCAGUUGCUGCAUGCGUCCAAAUGGAAGAAAAGGCAAAGGAGAAUCAAAAGAAGGAAAGGGGCGUGUAGUUUCCAUCUUGACGAUGGGAGCAAUCUCGGCAUUCACAGACCUGAAUUCACAGCCAAAAAAAAAAAACCAAGAAAAUCUUGGCAUAGGAAAGCAGAGGAUUCUCGGCCAAGUGGUGCAGCGAUUUUCAGCAUUUGAUCAUUUCCAAAGAUAGCUUGAAAAGGAAAAGGGUGGUGCUUUUUCUGCACGGCCAAGAAAGAGAAACACGAAGAGAGGGUUUCGGUCAACAGAAGAGAGAAUACUAAAAGGAAAGAAAGAACAAAGAAGUGGUCGGCAAAAGAAAAGAAAUAUAAGAACAGAGAGCAAAAGGUUUCCCGUUUAAUUUCCUCGAAAUUCACUUUUCCUCUGCACUUCAAUAUCCAAGAAUUUUACUCCUUACAGUCAAAUUUCUCCAUCAUUUCAUUUUAAAGCCCGGCGCACCUUGCACUUGGAAAAAGCCAAAAAUGAAAUCAUUUUAGCACUGUUUUGAAGUUGAUCAAUUCUUGUUCAAGUUAGAACUGUAGUGUGAUAACAUAUUUUAUCUAAAGAAGGGGCCUGUAAAGGUGACCGAUUUGGGAACUUUUUAAGAGUCAUUGUUGUCAAGAGCCACCCUCUUUAAAGGAAACUCAUUUUAUGAAGAAUACUUAGCACAUUUGAUGGACAGGGAUUACUUAGCAUCUAACUGUCGUUUCCAAAAUACUUUAUCAGAGUUUCCUGAACAAUUUCGUGACUGCGUGAUAUUGUUUAUCCAGACUCUUCUUCAUAACAUUCAACCAUCAAAUUCGUUAAAAACAACUGAUUGUUCUUUCCUAUUUCCAAGUUUUAGGUACUCUUGUUGAUAUAGUUCCCGACACUUCUAACAUAUGAGAGAAAUGGUUGUUAUAUAUAAUUUUGUAGGUCACAUUUUCAGUUCCAAGGAUCCAGCUUUGGACAGUUAUCUAGAGGAACAUUAUAUUGGUCCAUACUCUACUAUGCUUUCAUGCAUUUUAAUUUUUGGUAUAAAAAAGCAAUAAAAUAAUUAUACAAAAUUAGUAUGAUUAGUAACUCCUUUUACACUGAAAAAGCAUCUAUCUAUCAGUAACAAAUAAUUUUUCCAUCCGCGAAAUUAUGAUAAAAUAAGAAAAAAUAAUUUUCUGCCUAUCUAUUGUUAAUAAUUCUCAAUGUUCAUAGUAAUUUCCCUAGACCGAGCUCGUGCUAGCCCGGUCCCAAGCAAUUCAAACUCGGCCUAAUGAAGGGAAAGGAAGCGCGGCCAUUCAAGAACAGGGACGAAAGUCCAAAUCAGCCCUCACUAGGGGUGAGCAUGGUCCGGGUUGGUCCGGGCCACCCCCUAACCCUAGGACCAACCCGUACAGUGUCGGUCCUCAAUUUUUAGGACCAAGGACCGACCCUAUUGAGCCUGGGACCAAGGACCGGACCGACCCAAUGGGUUCGGUCCGGUUCCAGGGUCAAUCCGGGACCGAUCGAUAAUUUUUUUCGUCUUAUUUUUUAUACUUCCUAAAAAAGCAAACCUAAAAAUUCAAAUUACGCAUCCAUGAUCCAUCAACAAUACGAUAUUGUGCAACUAAAUUAUAAAAUACCAAUACAUAUUUAGCAAAUUUAAGAUGACACAAUAAUAGAAAUUUCAUAUCCGCUAACCGCUCAUCGAGAUAUGGGACAAGAUGGAAAGUUCUUGUAAUCAUCUAUCUUUAAUAUUUAUAACACCAUAUGCAAAAGCGUUUUCCUGAUCAUGUAGAGUUUACUCAACCAAAAAAUGAGCUUUGCACCACUUGACUAGCAUUUGAUCAUGUAGAGUUUACUCAACCAAAAAAUGAGCUUCACACCACUUGACUAACAAAUCACCGUAGCAACUGCAGUACUACUCUACUCUUCAAAAACUUCUACCAUUUAACACAAAUUGAAAAGCAAUUAAAUCAUAAAAUUUUUAAAAUACUUAAUAUAAACCAUGAAUAUAUAACUUCACAUCUUGUUAAUUCACUUGAACUUCUAAACACUUGAAAACAAAACAAACGACACAUAAUUAAUACUUAACAAAAGUUUUAAAUUGAAAUUACUAUUAGUGCUAUUGAUAGAACAUCUCAAUAUAAUAUAAUAUAAUAGACAUUUUACUUAGGUUUGAAUAUAUAAAAGAAUUAUAAAUAAUAUAAUAUAAUAUACAGGGUUGGUCCAGGGUUGGACCGACCAAAAACUCUUAGGACCGAGGACUAACCCGCACAGUGUUGGUCCUGGAAUUUCAGGACCAAGGACCGACCCAGUCCCCUUGGGAACCGGACCAGGACCGGCAGGGUUGGGCCGGUCCAGGGUCGGUCCAGGGUCGACCCUAAACCGCUGCUCACCCCUAGCCCUCACCCAUUCUCAAAGCCAAUUCCAAUCUGAACACAUAAGAUGGAAGGUCUUGUUCAGCUGCACACGUCGAAAUUGGAAAGGAGAAUCAAAGACGGAAGGGAGCGUGCAGUUUCCCUUUCGACGAAAGGAGCAAUCUCGGCAAUUAGGGACCGGAAUUCACGGCCAAAAGAAGAGGAUUCUCGGCCAAGUGGGGAGGGAGAUUUUUCAGCAAUUAAUAAUUGUCAAAGAGAGCUCGAAAAAGAAAAGGGUGGAGCUUUUCUUCGUGGCCAAGAAAGAGAAAUACAGAGAGAGGAAAACUUUAAUAAAAAGAAGAGAAAAACAGGGAAGUGGUCAGCAAGCGAGAGGACUAAAAAGAAGAGGAAAACAGGGAAGUGGUCGGCAAAAGAAAACAGAGAUUUUGAAAAACAGAGGACGCAGAUUCUUGUGGAGGAUAUGCAAGCAAGAUUGAAAAGACGGAGAGAGAGAGAGGGCUGUCGGGGCACGCGUGAGGAAGUGACAGAGAGCAAAUGGUGCAAUUUCACCAUAAGUCAGUUUAAUUUACUUUCGAGGCAUCUAAAUUUCCUAAAAGUUACACUUUUUCUUUGCACUUUAAUUUCCAAGAAUUUUACUCCUCAUAGUUAAAUUUCUCCACCAUUUCAUCUCAAAGCCUAGAGCACCUUUCACUUGGAAAAAGCCAAAAAUGAAAUCAUGUUUAGCAUUGUUUUGAAAUUGAAUAAUUAUUGCAAAGUGCAUUUGCCAUCAUCUAAAGAAAUACUUUUGUUAAGGGAAUUUUUCCCGAAUAAAAAUAUACAAUUUUCCUCUAUUCUGACUAAAGGGCGGGUAAGAGUGUUCAGCUCUAAAGACCUUCACUGUAUCUUAUCAUAAAAGGUUCCCACAUCCCUAUAAAGUAUGCGGAUUGAACUGUAAUUGUUUCAGAGUUUUUCAACUUAGCUUCACCGAGAGAGAGAUGUUAUGGUGGAGAAGAGAAAAAAAUUUCAAAUAAUAGUUGCAUCACGAGAUAGUAAAAUGUAGUAUAAUAAACUUAUUAAUAUUGAGUAUUUUCAAUUUUCAAGCGCCAAAUUAAAAGAACAUGUAUAUUGCAUUCGGGCCAAUUACUUCACAUAUGACUGACACAUAAAAUACAUUUCCUUAGUAAAAGGGUAAUUUGGUCUUUUAAUUGAGGAUUUUUCUCUAAAGAUGUACAUUCUACAUAUAUCAAAAGCUGAGGAGCGUACAUGAUAUGGGAGUACUUUUGAAAUUUUCUUUAAUAUGAUCAAAGUAAAUAAAAACUCAAAAACCAUCUUUAUGCUCUAUCUUGGUUUCACUUUAUAUCCUCCAUCUCUAAAGUCAUGAAUCUAUGAAUUUGUUCUGUCACUUUCGUUAGUUGUCAGGUUUCAGAUUUUAAAUUCGUCAUUAAAUGAAUGGGACCCGGAAGUUUCGAGGAUGCCAACCCAUUGAUUGAUUCAUGGAAACUUUUAGGAAACUUCUCGGAUACUUCUCGAAUGACUCAAGUUGUUGACUAUUUUUGACUCGAGAAAAAAUUUGAAGUCAAGUCCCUUUUCCCCACGCCAGAGACUGAUAGAGCUUGUAAUACCGACAACCCUCGCUUAGAUCCAAGCACACCCAAAGCAAACUACACUGAGAGGAAGAAAGCAUUUGAUAUCGCUCAGAUCCAAGCACACCCAAAGCAAACUUCACUAAGAGGAAGAAAGCAUUUGAUAUCCGUGGCAUUUAGAGAUCCUACAAUGGAGAAAGGGACGAGUUCACAGGUGUCAUCUAGAUCUUCAUAUGAGGUUUUUCUAAGUUUUCGAGGAUUAGAUACCCGUCAUACAUUCACCGAUUUUCUUUAUCGUGACAUGGAUGAAGCUGGAAUCUGCGUCUUUAGGGACAAUGAAUCCCUCCAUGUCGGUGAAAAAAUUGGUAAGCUUUUACAUGCAAUUGAGAACUCUAAGAUCUACAUUCCCAUAUUCUCCACAAAUUAUGCUUCGAGUGACUGGUGUCUUCGAGAGCUUGCACAUAUGGUCAAAUGCACCUCAAAAUUGAAUGGGAACAAAGAGAUUCUACCCAUUUUCUUGGAUGUGGAACCUUCUGAUGUCAAGUUGAAAACAAAAUUGUAUCGACAAGCUCUUUCAAAGCGCCAAAAGACGUGCAGUGAAGUAGAGUCAUGGGAAAAGGCUCUCAUUGAGGUGGGCAAGAUAAUCGGAUGGAACUGGAAGAAAGAUGAAAGGUGAAUGUCUACAAUUUUUUAAACUAUCAUAUGUGGAUUUCCUUUUCCUCCAUAUUGAGUUUAAUUGCAGUAUUGCUGGUGAAAAAAUAGUUUAUUCAACUUUAGUAUCUCAUUCUUUUCAUUUUUUCUCCCAAUUUCUAAAUUUCUUUUCUUUUUCAUGAUAAUUAAGGAUAAAAGAGAUUUUUUUUUCAAAUAUUGAGACAGAAUUAUAUCACGUAAAAAUCACAUGCCUUGCACAUGCCGACGACAAAAUUGAUACACAGUUAAUGGUCGUGUAACAAACUGAAAGUGCAGGAAAUAUUGCGAAACAGUUGAAGGUUCGGCUGUGUACUACCCGAAAUUUAAGAUGAUUUUGUGUAUUACCUCUGCUUUCUUUCAACCUCAUUUAUAUGGCAUUUGCAUUUUUUUUUAUCCUGGAUUUCAUAAGCAUUUAAGAAAAAUAUAGGAGUAUACAACCGUAUGGCCAUUCGGCAUUCGCGUAGCGCGAGUCUAAGGGGCCAGUUAAUUUUUAACGAAUAGAAGAAUGCAACUUCUCUUUGUUUUUUUUUUUAAACGUUUACUUAAAAGGUGAAAAGCUGUGUUCUUUCGUGAACCUAGCUGCUCUACCAAGCCGCUGGCCAGCCACCGCAGCAGCUCUCCCUCAACCGUCACUUCUUCCUUGCCAGCCCGACAACAAGCCGCCAUCGAGCCAUCCGGCCCCCCACCCUUUCUUUCUCUCAUUCACUGGGAAGUCGGAUAUGGGCUCGGGAUGUCGGGCCCGAUGUCACCGAGCCCAUAUUUGGCAUUGCCGACCUUGGGUGACCUCAAAUUUGGCGCCGCCAAAGGCCGGUAAAGCAUCCUUGGCGGUUGCAAGGCCACAGGAUCCAUGUGACUUGAAGGAUUGAGGCAAGGCCGAGAUGGGCGGGUCGAUGGGGCGGGAUGGGCAACCCCGUUGGAACACAAUGGUGACGACCUGGGGAGGUGAGCGACGUCAAUGGCGGUGUGGUGGUGGCAGCGGUCGACAGUGAUGGUGACUAAAAUUGGGGGAGCGGAGACGGAUUGGAAAAAAUCCAGAUUAUUUUGCCGUCUAGAUUAUGUUGCAUAAUUUUUGCAAAUUGUAGGAGCAAUUGAGUCCUUGAGGGAGCAGUUUUGCAAUAUAAAAUAUAUCCUAACAUGGUUGUUACCUUGUUGCAGCCAAGCGGAUCUGAUAAAACUUGUGACUGAAACUGUGUUGCGUAAGCUGAAUGUCGGAAAUAAAAAGAUUGUGACUGAAAAUCUAGUUGGAGUUGAUGAUCGUGUAGAAGCUAUAAUAAAAAAGUUGGAUGUGGGAUCGGAUAGCGUACAAUUUCUUGGAAUCCAUGGAAUGGGCGGGAUUGGCAAAACAACACUUGCCAAGGUCAUCUUCAACCAACUGUCUUCUCACUUCGAAUACUGCCAUUUCCUUUCGGAUGUCCGAGAAACGUCACGAUGCGAUGUCCGAGAGAUGUCACGAUGCAAUGGUCUGGUAAAUUUGCAAAAACAGUUGCUAUCCAAGUUCCUUGAUUCUCCUUCCAUCCUCAACCAAAUUCAUGACACGGAUCAUGGGGCCAUAAUGAUUGAGAAAGUAUUUCGCAAUAAAAAAGUACUCAUUGUUCUUGACGAUGUGGAUGAGGAAAAGCAACUCAAAAGUCUAGCAAAGAAAGUUGAUUGGUUCGGUUCCGGUAGUAGGAUUAUCAUAACUACUAGGUACCAAAGUGUCCUAAGCAUUCGAGUAGAAGCAACAGGUGAAGCCCCUACACAUAUUUUGGCUCAUGAAGUAUUCGAAAUGGAAUGUGAUCAUGCUCUUAAGCUUUUCAGCAAACAUGCCUUUAGAAGAGACUCUCCUCUAGAUCAUUAUAUCCCCCUUUCCCAAAAAAUUAUCCAUACUUUGGGAAAUCUUCCUUUAGCCCUUGAGAUUAUAGGCUCAUUUCUUAGUGGUAAAUCCAUAGAAAUAUGGGGAGACACAUUGAAUAAGCUAAAAGAAGCUCCUCCUAAGGAAGUCCAAGAAACAUUGAUGAUAACUUAUGAAAGGUUAGAUGAUGCCCAAAGGCAAGUAUUUUUGGAUAUAGCUUGUUUUUUCGCUAAUAAGAAAAAAACAUACCCUCCCUACAUGUGGGAUGCUUGUGUAUACUACCCACACAAUGCCCUUGAAGUCCUCUCUCUCAUGUUCUUGAUAAAAAUCAAGGAUGACAAUACUUUCUGGAUGCAUGACCAAGUGCGGGACCUCGGAAGGGAAAUCGUUCGUAAAGAGAAUGUUGAUGAUCCGCGUGAGCGUAGCAGAGUGCAUGAUCCUGAGGUAGCGCUAAACAUUUUGAAGCGGAAAGAGGUAUGAAAGGGGAACAUCAAUUUAUUUUCUUGUGAAAUGUUGUAAAUAUUCUUGUAAAAAGAAAAAUUAAUCGCUAUUAACAAUUUGAAUUGUUUGCUUUUGACCUUCACCAUGUGGACUCCUUUGUGUUUCCAUUGUCAGGGGAGUAGGAAAAUUAAAGCACUGUCACUUGGAUUUCUCGAAGACACUUUUCUAGAGUUUGGAGAACUUAGAGGAUUUGAAGCACCGCCAAUUAGAUUUCAUGAAGACAUAAUUUUAAAGCAUGACGAAUUUGCUUAUUUAGAGAAGCUGAGGUUCUUUGAAGGAUAUCGGGCGUCCUUUGUUGGAGACUUCAAUAAUCUUCUUUCCGAUUUAAAAUGGUUUUCUUGCCGUGAUUGCUUAUCCAUGUUGGAGGCAAAAAACUUUCAUCCGACUAAUUUAGUCGUUCUUGACCUUUCAUGGAGCGACAUUUCGGAAAAAGAUAUUGAUUGGAUCAAAGUACGAUACAAACCCCACUCCUUGUAUUCAUAAAUCGUUUCUUUUCAUUUUUUUUUUUUGGUUGGUGGUUUCUCAAUAAAUAUUUUAUCAAAUUGUUUUGCAGGAAGCAAGGAAAUUAAAAGUCCUAGAUCUCACCUACUGCACUAAAUUAAGGAGAACACCCGAUUUAUCUACAUUGGUGUCUUUGGAGAUUUUGAUAUUAUCAAAUUGUAUAAUUUUGGAAAGUGUCGAUUGGAUCAAAGUAUGAUACAAGUCUCACUCCUUGUAUCCAUAAAUCAUUUCUUUUUAUAUUUUUUAUAGGUCAUUUCUCAAUAAAUAUUAUUGUUUUGCAGGCAGCAAGGAAACUAAAAGUCCUAGAUCUUAGCUACUGCCAUCGCUUAAGUAAAACACUUGAUUUAUCUACAUUGGUGUCUUUGGAGAUUUUGAGAUUAAAUCAUUGUCAACUUUUGGAAAGUAUCGAUUGGAUCGAAGUACGAUACGAGUCUCACUCCUUGUAUUCAUAAAUCAUUUCUUUUUAUAUUUUUUUGUAGGUCAUUUCUCAAUAAAUAUUUUUGUUUUGCAGGCGGCAAGGAAACUAAAAGUCUUAGAUCUCAGCAAUUGCUAUAACUUAAGGAGAUUGCCCGAUUUAUCUACGUUGGUGUCUUUGGAGAUUUUGGGAUUACGUUAUUGUUCAAAGAUAAAGAAACUUCCAGACUCAAUUGGGAAAUUACAAUCAUUAAUCAAGUUGGAUUUGUUAGGAACGAAUAUUGAUCACCUACCGGAUUCAUUCAGCAAUCUAAAGCAACUGACAACACUUAAGAUGAGGGAUAUUAAGGGAGGGUUGACAAAAUUACCUAGUGCGAUCUGGAUGGUUCAGUUACUGGCUUAUGGUACUGAGUUCAUCAGAAGUGAGCUGUACUGUUUGAAAAUGCCAGACUCAUGUAGCCAAAUAAUCGGAUUACCUACCUUGGCGAGUCUCGUCUCUAAUAUCCAUAAACUUGAGAUAGCCGCACGGGAUGGCAGACGGUUUUGGGAUACAACGUGGGGCCCCCUUGGUAAGCUGGAGAAUGUCAUUGCUUUUCUCUAUAGACUCGGUUGUACCGAAUCUUCGCCGGAAAAACGAAUAUUGGCCUCCCCAAACAUGCGGUUCUUCCUCCAGCUCCCGUCUAGUUUAAGAGAGUCAGUAUUUCGAGAACUGGCGACCUCACUUUUGCCAUAUUCAUAUUCUCUUUGUUGGUGGAUGCCGAUAUUCGUUGGUAUAUGUGAUUCGGAGUUGGAGAAACGCCAUUUGCAGGAUUGCACUCUUACGAGACGGCUCGAACUGUUUGAGUGGAAUAUGAGAGAAAAAAUGAAAGAAAUGGAAGACCGUGAUUGUAGUUCUUAAUUGUGUCAAAUGUACAAGUAUGCAGUUGUAUUCACGAUGGAGUCCAUCGCCGCCACUGCUGCAACCAAACCCUUCUUCUCCGAUCUCUCCCCUCGCCUCCGCCGCGCGACCGCCAUGUCGCAGCCGCAUUCGAUUCCCCCAAACGCCCCCGAAUCUCCGACCACAUACCCCGCGCCGCUCUCUCCUCCGUUGCCGCCCUUAUCGAAGCAGGUGGAGCUGGCCAGAGCCAUGUCCGCUUCCUCCAGAUCGGGCGCCUUCUCUCUCUCCCGGAGCCACGUGGUCUACGAGGACGAGUGGCCCCUUGCCGUCAACAAGCCCCCCGGAGUUUACUGCGAGAGCGUCCUGGCCUCGGCCCCUCGCGUCGUCCCCGGCGAUUCCGGCGAUUCGGGUAGGUUACCGAUGGGGCGAUUUGCGUCCCGUCUCGUAUCUGUGCAGAUUGAUAAUUUUGCUGCUUUUUUGUUUAGCUUCACGCUGUGGUUGAAAUUGUACUUAACCUGCCUGUUCUUGGAUUUCAAAUGCGAGUUACGCGAAAUCCAUUUGCGGGAAUGUGUAGUUGGGAAAUCCGUAGUGCGAAAUUGAAGUUCGAUUCUAUGCUUUAGUUUAGGAAAAGGAAAUGCGAAGCUGGAAAAUUUGCGAUCUUUUUAUUUCGGUUCAGUUUGAUGGCAAAAAAGCAGUUCAUAUGAUUUCUUGUGCUUUAUUUGGGAAGAUAGUAGCAAUGUGUUUCCUUAGGCUUAAUUCUGCUACAAUUUGAUGUGGAUGUUUUGAAAUGGGAUUAGAGAAUCCUACUCCGAAGGGUUAAAAUUGUUGCUGUUUCGGGUGUGGUGAUGCUUGAGUGAAUUUUCAGCUCUAGAUCAUAGUGAUGUCGCUUGUCCUAUGUUUAUUAGCUUUAGUAGAAGGCUAGAUUUGAAUCCAGUUUGUGGGUUUAGCUUAUUUUUAUUCAGUUCCGGCCAAUCUUGAAGAGAUAAUUUGAGCAGAUUUGAGGCUGAUUCGAUCCGUGUAUAUCUCAUUUUAAGGAUGUUCUUGUCAUAGAAAAUGAUCACUCCUUGAAACCUGUCUGACUGUGCAGCUUAGCUUUGUUAAUCUAAGUUCUUUGAAAUGGUUAUCGUUGUAUGAUAUGUGCUCAACCUACUUAAUUGAUAAAUGUGGUUAAGAUGGAGUCAAAUUUAUCUUUAUUUCUCAUGGUUUGAAUACUUAGGAUGCACCUACAUUGUCAAUACUAGAACAAGUUUUGUCAGAAUUCCUGGCAAUUGCAUCGUGAAUUCAAUCAAAUGAGUGAACAGAAUCCAACAUUGACAGCUUACUGUUUUCUGCUGUUAGGGUGCACUGAAGCUGUGCCUGAGCUCCACCUUGCUAAUCGACUUGACAUAAGGUGAGAAAAACAUACAUAGCUCUCUGUGUUGGAUUAGCACCGAAGUGGGAAACUAUAACCAUUCGAUCAGGCCAUGGUCGGUCAAAGUUUGGAGGGUCUAUGCAGCACCAGAUGUGGGACGGACACUGCCAGGUGGGUCUUUGGUCAGGGACAUGGAAACAUCAUUUGAGGUAUUGUCUGUAAAUGGUCAAUUGAAGUCCAAGCAACCAGUUAAGCAGGGAAAAGAUGAUGACAAUAUCGUGGUAGUUGAAGAGAAAUCUUCUAUCAAGGAUAAUGGAACGAAAGAUGUAGUUUUGGUGAGAGCAUAUCCUCGGAGUGUUAGGACGCAUCAAAUCCGCUUGCAUUGCCAGUAUCUUGGGAUUCCCAUAAGAGGUGAUGUGAAGUACGAGGGUGUGUAUGAGUGGGAAGGGCAAAUAAAUGACUACCACACUCUUCAUGCCGAGAGCUUGUCCUUUGAGCACCCAGUAACCGGUGUGCACCUGAUGUUUCGAGCACCUUUACCUGCGUGGGUUGCUGAGUGCUGCCCUAAUGAGAUCCCACCUGCUUUUUCUUCAAAUGAAAAUCAUGCUAGAUGAGGCUAUAAACGCUUCAUUGGAGGCUGAUGAAUUUGCUAAUUUAGAAAAGCUGAGGCUCUUUCUAGGCAAUUGUGUGUCCUUUAUUGGAGACUUCAAUAAUCUUCUGUCCGAUUUAAGAAUGCUUUCUUUUUAUGAAAGGAGAUGGGCUUUUACAUAUGGUGGUCCUUCCAUGUUUCAAGCAAAAAACUUUCAUCCAACUAAUUUAGUCGUUCUUCACAUUUCAAGUAGCAGCAUUACGGAAGAAAGUAUUGAUUUGAUCAAAGUACGAUACGAGUCCCACUCCUUGUAUUAAUAAAUCAUUUCUUUUCAUUUUUUCUUGCAGUUCGUUUCUCAAUGGAUAUUUUAUCAAAUUGUUUUGCAGGCGGCAAGGAAACUAAAAGUCCUAGAUCUCAACCGUUGCAUAAACUUAAGGAGAACACCUGAUUUAUCUACGUUGGUGUCUUUGGAGAUUUUGGGAAUAACACAUUGUAUGAAAUUGGAAAGUAUCGAUUGGAUCAAAGUAUGAUACGAGUCUCACUCCUUGUAUCCAUAAAUCAUUUCUUUUUAUAUUUUUUUAUAGGUCAUUUCUCAAUAAAUAUUAUUGUUUUGCAGGCGGCAAGGAAACUAAAAGUCUUAGAUCUUAGCCGCUGCAAUUACUUAAGGAGAGUGCCCGGUUUAUCUACGUUGGUGUCUUUGGAGAUUUUGAGAUUACGUAAUUGUUGGAGGAUAAAGAAACUUCUAGACUCGAUUGGGAAAUUACAAUCAUUAAUCGAGUUGAAUUUGCUAGAAACAAAUAUUGAUCACCUACCAGAUUCAUUCAGCAAUCUAAAGCAACUGACAACACUUAGGAUGAGGGACAUUAAGGGAGGGUUGACAAAAUUACCUAGUGCGAUCUGGUUUGUUCAGUUUGUGGCUCAUCGGGAUGAGUUCAUCACAAGUGAGCUGUACUGUUUGAAAAUGCCAGACUUGUCAUGGACCUAAAUAAUCGGAUUACCUACCGUGGCGAGUCUCGUCUCUAAUAUCCAUAAAAUUGAGAUAGCCGCACGGGAUAGCAGACGGUUUUGGGAUCCAACGUGGGACCCCCUUGGUGAGCUGGAGAAUGUCUUUGCUUUUCCCUAUGGAUCCAGUCAUACCC